rnacentral:lncRNA from 1 species
UGGUGUGACCUAACCUCGGGAUAAAUCUUGUGUCUCUUGUGUUCUUGCUCAUUGUGUUUGUUUGUGUUCUUCGUUCUCUCACCAUUCCGUGGAAGAUUUGUUCAUAUCCUUUUGGUGUGUGGAUUUUGAGAAGUGCCCUUCUCAGAUCUACUACUUUGAACACUGUGGAUAAUUUAGAACAUCUCAUUUCCAAAGUUAUCUGGGUGAAUUUCGAGAUCAAUUCAGUUUUAUCCAGUUUGCUUCUAGUUUUUUUGUUAAAAAAGUUUUAACUUGCCUAUUCACCCCCCCUCUAGGCAACUUUCAGUUCAUAUGAACGAUUCAUCAUUCAUCGUUCGUUCAUACGACUAUUCAUCAUUCAUCGUUCGUUCAUACGAACUAUUCAUCGUUUGUUCAUACGAACUAUUCAUCGUUCAUUCAUAGUCACUAUUCACCGUUCAUCGGAUCAUUCAUAGUCAUUAUUCAUCGUUCGUUCAUACUAACUAUUCAUCGUUCACCGGAUCCUUCAUCGUACUAUUCAUCGCUACUAUUCAUCCCAUCCCAGAUUUCUCCAAGAUAUCUCUAGUAAGAACUUCCCGUCUGGUCUCGCAUCCCAGAUUUCUCCAAGUUGAGCAUGCUUAACUUUUGAGAUUCUUUCAAACCAGGCUUCCAAAAAGAAAGGUGAACCAUGUUUGUAUGGAUAGCCAUCAAUCCUAUAAAACCUGGCCCAAGAUACCACAGCCCACCCGGACCAGAAUACUCUAGCAUUCCAGCUAUCUAGGUCUCGCCUUACUGUUGUCCCGUGUGACACAGUAGGUAGGAACAGUUACCACCAACAUAAACCUCUGCCCAAGAAUAGCCUAGAAAUAAUUCAUGGCACUCCGCUCAAAAAUACAUAUGAUUUUCCAAAUACUCUAAAUAUUUAAAUUUUGGAAUAUUCCAAGAAUAUCCAUUUUCCCAUUUCUUUUUAUUCCUAUGAUUAUAAAAUCAAAAACUCCCCCAUCCAAACUCAGAUUCCAAUAAUUCUUGUUUCUAAAUUCUUAUCAAAUUAUUCCCUAUCCAACCAUGUCAUCCCUUGAGCAUGGUUCAUAUUCCAGAAAACUCAAAAAAUACUCUAGUCUCAUAUUCUGCCUAAAAUUUCCCUGUUCGGACUGAGUCAAACGAUUCAUUCGCCACUAUUCUCACAAAUAGUGAACUCUACCGUACUAAAUCACAUGUACCCAGCUAUAAAUACACCCAGUUACCCUCUCCCUCUCCACACCCUCAGGCAAGGCAAACCUCCACCCACCCAGUUACCCCGCUAUGUCGGCUACACGGCUAGUGUCGCUUCGCCUCCAAUCCACCCUUCUAGUAAGCACCUCCACUCCACCAGUAAUAUCACAAGACCACAUGACACAAAUUCUGCUCAAGACUCUACACGUCCAUAUAUCGCCAUUCUAACCACUAUACUAAAUAUUUGUUGAUAUACUUGUUGGUUUGUAUGUUUGUUUUUCAUGUUGCAUAGUUAUUGGAGCGUCUAUGUCGUCUCGUGAAGGCCAGUUUUGCAAGUCUACGCCAAACGGUGGAGCUAGAAGCCAGUCCCGCGAGCUCUCACCCCUUCACGGGUUAAAGCAACAACAAGCUCACUGGAUCCCUUUGAUGCAUAAAUUACCUAUGUUUUUCAAACACAACCCUCGGCCUGUUAUUUUAUGCAUUAUAUGAUUUUGCUGCUAAGAGACAAGUUAUUAUGGCCACCCAGCCUUAGAACUUAGCCGCAAUUCAUCUUUAUACUCCUUGAUAUUUUUGUUACAAAAUGAUAUGGGAAAAGGUGUGAGUUUUCAAAAGAAAAUGUUUUUCAAAAUAGGUAUGAUGAAGGGUUGUCACCCUUAUCACCUUUGAGUGAGAUGAUCAGGGACUCCCUAGUUUGGGAGGGCCUUAAGGUGAUGGCUCAGCCGAGUUAGGUGUGAGCAUGAAGGAUUGUCCCUCUCGCCUAAGGACCGGAUUGUCAUCACUCCUUACCUGUACUCUUAUCAAAUACAACCACUCGAGACUGUAUGGGCAGUCGCUUGAUCCGAACUUGCACGGUCUAUGCCUUAGGGUUAUGAUGGCUGAGGAGCACCGAGAGGACAAGUAGGGGGAAUGUUUUGUCCUGGUUUGGGCAUGGAGGUGGCCUUGUUCCUUUUGGUGUAACCGCCAAGGUAAAGUCAUCCAAGGGAAGAGAGAGUUUCAGAUUUGGCUCUCAUUGGCCAUGAGAUCGCAAAGCCAGACUAGUGGGUAAAGUGUACACUUCUGCGCAAAGUUUAAAAACCUAUUCGAAUAGUCCGUGUCCAUGGAUAUGGAUGAGUUAUGGCUUGGAUUUGACAAUUAGUGUUUUGUUUUCCAAAAAUGCUUUUGAAAAGUGGUUUUAAAAGGUCCGGUGGUUGAGCCCUGAGCUAUGGUGGACGGGAAGUCCAGUAGCUGUUUUUGAAAAUAAAAACCGGUGGGAAACUGCGCAGUCUCGGUGCACCGGACAGUGUCUGGUGCACCAGGAUGGCGUCUAUCAACUGGCUGCUCUCGGGAUUUUGUCGGCGGCGUACGGCUAUAAAUCAUCGGACUGUCCGGUGGUGCACCGGACUGUCCAGUGAGCCAACAGUCGGCCGAGCCAACGGUCGGCCGCGUAAUCCGCGCGCGACGCGUGGCAGAGCCAACGAUCAGAAGGGGGCACCGGACUGUCCGGUGUGCACCAGACAGUGUCCGGUGCGCCAACAGCUCUGAAUCUCCAACGAUCGGCUUCGCCAAAUAAGGAAAGAAAUCCACACCGGACAGUGUCCGGUGGUGCACCGGACUGUCCGGUGCGCCAGGCGACAGAAGGCAGGAAUUGCCUUCCUGGAAUGCUCUCAAUGGCUCCUAGCUGCCUUGGGGCUAUAAAAGGGAUCCCUAGGCGCAUGGAGGAGUACACCAAGCAUUCUCUAAGCAUUCCUAAGCACCAAGACUUCAAUUCCGCGCAUUCGAUUCUUUGUGAUAGCAACUAGAGCUCCAUUUGAGUAGAGAUCUCUUUGAGUUGUGUUGAGAGCUCUUGUUGUGACUUGUGUGCGUAGUGUCGCUCUGAUUUUGUGUCUUGUGUGCGUUGCUCAUCCCUCCCUUACUCCGUGCUUCUUUGUGAACAUCAAAGUGUAAGGGCGAGAGGCUCCAAGUUGUGGAGAUACCUUGCAAGCGGGAUAUAGUAAAAAGCAAAACACCGUGGUAUUCAAGUAGGUCUUUGGACCGCUUGAGAGGGGUUGAUUGCAACCCCCGUCCGUUGGGAUGCCACAACGUGGAGUAGGCAAGUGUUGGACUUGGCCGAACCACGGGAUAAACCACUGUGUCUAUCUGUGUUGAUCUUCUUGUGGUUAUCGUGUCUUGCAAGAACUCUUCUCUAGCCACUUGGCUUUAUUGUGCUAACCUCUAACAAAGUUUUGUGGCAUUAAGUUUCAAGUUUACAGGAUCACCUAUUCACCCCCCUCUAGGUGCUCUCAAUUGGUAUCGGAGCCGUUCUCUUCAAGAAAGGGACUAAUCGCCCGAAGAGAUGGAUCCUAAGGGCAAGGGGAUGGUGGUCAAUGAUAAGGAGAAGGAGUCCUUCGUCAAUGAUCCAAAGGAUGACAAGCCCACUGACUCAGGCUCGGGCCACAAGAGAAAAUACGGGAGGAAGAAGAAAACAAGGCACAUCGAGGAGAUAGUCUACUACGACAACGACGAAUCUUCCUCUUCCCAAAAGGACGACGACAACGACUACGAGAAAAAGAAGACGGUUAAUUCAAACUUUUCCUUUGAUUAUUCUCGUAUUCCGCAAAGUUCCAAUGCUCAUUUGCUUUCCAUUCCCCUCGGUAAACCCCCCACUUUGAUGGAGAGGACUACGGAUUUUGGAGUCACAAAAUGCGUAGCCACUUAUUCUCUCUCCAUCCAAGUAUAUGGGAAAUAGUAGAAAAUGGAAUGCACUUUGAUAGUACGGAUAGUCCCAUGUUCAUUAAUGAGCAAAUUCACAAAAAUGCACAAGCUACUACUGUUCUUCUAGCUUCAUUGUGCAGGGAUGAAUACCAUAAGGUGAGCGGCUUGGAUAAUGCCAAGCAGAUUUGGGACACCCUCAAAAUCUCACAUGAGGGGAACGACGUCACCAUGCUCACCAAGAUGGAGUUGGUGGAGGGCGAACUUGGGAGAUUCGCAAUGAUCAGGGGCAAGGAGCCAACCCAAACGUAUAACCGGCUAAAGACCCUCGUCAAAAAAAUAAGGAGCUAUGGAAGCACGCGAUGGACGGACCACGACGUCGUCCGCCUAAUGCUAAGGUCUUUUACUAUCCUUGAUCCACAUCUUGUGAACAAUAUUCAUGAGAAUCCUAGGUACACCAAGAUGACGCCCGAGGAGAUACUUGGAAAGUUUGUAAGCGGGUGGAUGAUGAUCAAGGAGGCUAGAUACGUUGAUGAUGCGUUGAAUGGCCCAAUCCAAGAGCCUCAAACCAUUGCUCUCAAAGCAACGAGGAGCAAGGAGGCGCUACCUAGCAAGGUGGCACAAGUUGAGGUGGCCGGGCUUAAUGAUGAAGAAAUGUCCCUCAUCAUCAAGCGUUUCAAGACGGCGCUAAAGGGUCGUAAGGAGCAUCCCAACAAGAACAAGACAAAAGGGAAAUGCUCAUGCUUCAAAUGUGGUAAGAUUGGUCAUUUUAUCGCUAAUUGUCCCGAUAAUGAUAGUGACCAGGAACAAGGGAACAAUAGGGAAAAGAAGAAGACUUACAAAAAGGCUAAGGGCGAGGCACACCUUGGAAAGGAGUGGGACUCGGAUUGUUCGUCGUCCGACUCCGACAACGAAGGACUCGCCGCCACCGCCUUCAACAAGUCAGUCCUCUUCCCCAACGAGCAUCACACCUGCCUCAUGGCAAGGGAAAAGAAGGUAAGUACUCAUAAUACUAGUACUUACGCUUCCUCAAGUGAUGAAGAAUCUAGCGAUGAUGAAAUAGACUAUUCAUGUUUAUUCAAGGGCCUAGAUAGAACUAAGGUUGAUAAGAUUAAUGAAUUAAUUGAUGCAUUGAAUGAUAAGAAUAGGUUAUUAGAAAAGCAAGAGGAUCUUUUGUAUGAAAAACAUGAUAAGUUUGUAGAGGCACAAAAAUCCCUUGUUUUAGAAAUUAAAAGGAAUGAAAUGCUUUCUUGUGAAUUGUCUACAUGUCAUGACUCUAUUUCUAGCUUAAAGAGCAUAAAUGAUGAUUUGAAUGCUAAGUUAGAAAUAGCUAAUAAAUCAACAUCUUGUGUAGAACAUGUUGCAAUUUGCAAUAGGUGUAAAGAUUUUAAUAUUGAUGCUUGUAGUGAACAUCUAGUUUCAAUUUCUAAUUUGAAUGAUGAAGUGGCUAGUCUUAAUGCUCAACUUAAGACUAGCAAGAAUGAAUUUGACAAACUAAGACUUGCAAGGGAUGCCUACACGAUUGGUAGACACCCCUCAAUUAAGGAUGGUCUUGGCUUCAAGAGGGAAGUCAAGAACUUAACAAGUCAUAAGGUUUCCAUCUCCGCCAAGGAGAAAGGGAAGGCCCCUAUGGCUAGUUGUGCUCAAAAGAACCAUGCUUUCAUGUAUCAUGAUAGGAGACAUUCUAGGAAUGUUUAUAAAAGUUAUGAUGCUUUUGAUUCUCAUGCUAUGAUUGCUUCUAGUUCUUCUAUUAUGCAUGAUAGAAAUUUGGCUAGAAAAAAUGUUGUUCAUCAUAUGCCUAGAAGAAAUAUUGUUCAUGUUCCUAGGAAAGUAAUGAAUGAACCUUCUACAAUUUAUUAUGCUUGCAAUGCUUCCUUUGCUAUUUGUAGAAAGGAUAAGAAGGUAAUUGCUAGGAAAUUAGGGGCCAAAUGUAAGGGAGACAAGACUUGCAUUUGGGUCCCUAAGACUAUUGUAACUAACCUUGUAGGACCCAACAUGAGUUGGGUACCUAAAACCCAAGCCUAAAUUUGCCUUGCAGGUUUAUGCAUCCGGGGGCUCAAGCUGGAUUAUCGACAGCGGAUGCACAAACCACAUGACGAGGGAAAAGAGGAUGUUCUCUUCCUACGUCAAGAACAAGGAUCCCCAAGAUUCAAUCAUAUUCGGUGAUGGGAACCAAGGCAAGGAGAAAGGGUUAGGAAAAAUUGCUAUUUCAUCCGAGCACUCUAUUUCUAAUGUGUUCUUAGUUGAGUCGCUUGGAUAUAACUUGUUGUCUGUGAGUCAACUUUGUAAUAUGGGAUAUAACUGUUUAUUCACAAAUGUAGAUGUGUUUGUCUUUAUAAGAAGUGAUGGUUCAUUAGCUUUUAAGGGUGUACUAGACGGCAAACUUUAUUUAGUUAAUUUUGCAAAAGAGGAGGCCGGUCUAGAUGCAUGCUUAAUUGCUAAGACUAGCAUGGGCUGGCUGUGGCAUCGCCGCUUAGCACAUGUGGGGAUGAAGAACCUUCACAAGCUUCUAAAGGGAGAACACGUGAUAGGUCUAACUAAUGUAACUUUCGAAAAAGAUAGACCUUGUGCAGCUUGUCAAGCAGGUAAACAGGUGGGAAGCUCUCAUCAUGCCAAAAAUGUGAUGACAACAUCAAGACCACUAGAGUUACUUCAUAUGGACCUCUUCGGACCCGUCGCCUAUCUAAGCAUAGGAGGAAGUAAGUAUGGUCUUGUUAUAGUUGAUGAUUUUUCCCGCUUCACUUGGGUAUUCUUUUUGCAGGAUAAAUCUGAAACCCAAGGGACCCUCAAGCGCUUCCUAAGGAGAGCCCAAAACGAGUUUGAGCUCAAAGUGAAGAAGAUAAGAAGCGACAAUGGGUCCGAGUUCAAGAACCUUCAAGUGGAGGAGUAUCUUGAGGAGGAAGGAAUCAAGCACGAGUUCUCCGCUCCCUACACACCACAACAAAAUGGUGUGGUAGAGAGGAAGAACAGGACGCUACUAGACAUGACAAGGACGAUGCUUGGUGAAUUCAAGACGCCCGAACGGUUUUGGACGGAAGCCGUGAGCACGGCUUGCCACGCCAUAAACCGGGUCUACCUUCAUCGCCUCCUCAAGAAGACUUCAUAUGAGCUUCUAACCGGUAACAAACCCAAUGUGUCUUACUUUCGUGUAUUUGGGAGCAAAUGUUACAUUCUAGUGAAGAAAGGUAGGAAUUCUAAGUUUGCUCCCAAAGCUAUAGAAGGGUUUUUGUUAGGUUAUGACUCAAAUACAAAGGCGUAUAGGGUCUUCAACAAAUCAUUGGGUUUGGUUGAAGUCUCUAGCAAUGUUGUAUUUGAUGAGACUAAUGGCUCUCCAAGAGAGCAAGUUGUUGAUCUUGAUGAUGUAGAUGAAGAAGAUGUUCCGACGGCCGAAAUACGUACCAUGGCGAUUGGUGAUGUACGACCACAGGAACAAAAGGAGCAAGAUCAACCUUCUUCCUCAACAAUGGUGCAUCCCCCAACUCAAGACGAUGAACAAGUUCAUCAAGAAGAGGCGUGUGAUCAAGGGGGAGCACAAAAUGUUCAUGUGAUAGAGGAAGAAGCGCAACCGGCACCUCCAACCUAAGUUCGAGCGACAACUCAAAGGAAUCAUCCCAUCGACCAAAUAUUGGGUGACAUAAGCAAGGGAGUAACUACUCAUUCUAGACUAGUUAAUUUUGUGAGCAUUACUCCUUUGUCUCUUCUAUUGAGCCUUUCAGGGUAGAAGAGGCCUUGCUAGAUCCGGACUGGGUGUUGGCCAUGUAAGAGGAGCUCAACAACUUCAAGAGAAAUGAAGUUUGGACACUAGUGCCUCGUCCCAAGCAAAACGUUGUGGGAACCAAGUGGGUGUUCCGCAACAAACAAGACGAGCACAGGGUGGUGACAAGGAACAAGGCACGACUUGUGGCAAAAGGUUAUGCCCAAGUCGCAGGUUUGGACUUUGAGGAGACUUUUGCUCCUGUGGCUAGGCUAGAGUCAAUUCGCAUAUUGUUAGCCUAUGCUACUCACCAUUCUUUCAGGUUGUUCCAAAUGGAUGUGAAGAGCGCUUUCCUCAAUGGACCAAUCAAGGAGGAGGUGUACGUGGAGCAACCCCCUGGCUUUGAGGAUGAACGGUACCCCGACCACGUGUGUAAGCUCUCUAAGGCGCUCUAUGGACUUAAGCAAGCCCCAAGAGCAUGGUAUGAAUGCCUUAGAGACUUUUUAAUUGCUAAUGCUUUCAAGGUUGGGAAAGCUGAUCCGACUUUAUUCACUAAGACUUGUGAUGGUGAUUUAUUUGUGUGCCAAAUUUAUGUCGAUGACAUAAUAUUUGGUUCUACUAACCAAAAGUCUUGUGAAGAGUUUAGCAGGGUGAUGACUCAGAAAUUCGAAAUGUCGAUGAUGGGCGAGUUGAACUACUUCCUUAGGUUCCAAGUGAAGCAACUCAAGGAUGGGACCUUCAUCUCCCAAACGAAGUACACGCAAGACUUGAUCAAGCGGUUUGGGAUGAAGGACGCCAAGCCCGCAAAGACUCCAAUGGGAACCGACGGACACACCGUCCGUUGAUCAAAAGGCAUACCGGUCUAUGAUAGGGUCCUUACUUUAUUUAUGUGCUAGUAGACCGGAUAUUAUGCUUAGUGUAUGCAUGUGUGCUAGAUUUCAAUCCGAUCCAAGGGAGUGUCACUUAGUGGCCGUGAAGCAAAUUCUUAGAUAUUCAGUCGCUACGCCUUGCUUCGGGAUCUGGUAUCCAAAGGGGUCUACCUUUGACUUAAUUGGAUAUUCAGACUCCGACUAUGCUGGAUGUAAGGUCGAUAGGAAGAGUAUGCCAAUUCUUAGGAAGGUCCUUGGUGUCAUGGAGUUCUAAGAAACAAACUUUCGUUGCCCUAUCCACCGCUGAGGCCGAGUAUGUUGCCGCAGAACAGUGUUGCGCGCAACUACUCUAGAUGAGGCAAACCAUCAGGGACUUUGGCUACAAUCUGAGCAAAGUCCCACUCCUAUGUGAUAAUGAGAGUGCUAUCCGCAUGGCGGAUAAUCCUGUUGAAAGCACAUUGACAUCCGGCAUCACUUUUUGAGAGACCACCAGCAAAAGGGAGAUAUCGAAGUGUUUCAUGUUAGCACCGAGAACCAGCUAGCCGAUAUCUUUACCAAGCCUCUAGAUGAGUCGACCUUUUGCAAGCUGUGUAGUGAGCUAAAUGUCUUAGAUUCGCGGAACCUGGAUUGAUUUAUAGCAUACAUGUGUUUUAUGCCUUGAUCAUGUUCCUUAAUGCACUUUGUUGUUUAUGUAUGGUGCUCAAGUUGUACAAGCACUCCCCGGACCUCACAAGUCCAUUUGCAAGUGAUGCACAUAUUUAGGGGGAGAUGUGCUACAACUUGACCCUUUGAGACUAACUGUGUGCUUGAGUUUGCUUAAUUUAGUCCCAAAGGAGGUCUGAAAGGGAAAAGGUGGACUUGGAUCAUGCAAGACUUCCACUGCACUCCGAUGAAAGAGUAACUAACUCCAAGUUCAUAUUCAUGCUCUUAUUGCCUUUUUAAUUCUUAAUUGAAGAUUUUGGUGAGGCAAUGGGGUUUAAGGGCCAAGAUUGAUCCUGUUUUGAUGCUUGAUGCCAAAGGGGGAGAAAAUAAGGCCAAAGCAAUAAAUGGAUCAGCUACCACUUGAGAAUUUUGAAAAUAGUAGAAUAGAGUUUUUGGUUUGUCAAAAAUCUCUUAUUGUCUCUUUUGUCAAAAGUUGGCCUCUUGUGGGGAGAAUGGUUGAUUAUGGAAAAAGGGGGAGUUUUUUUUGAAAUCGUUGAUCAAUUUCUCUUGGAACAACUCUCUUUAUGUCUCAACAAGUGUGUUUGACUUAGAGAUAGGAAUUUGAGGUUGAUUUGCAAAAACAAAACCAAGUGGUGGCAAAGAAUGAUCCAAAUAUGCCAAAUUUGAAUAAAAAUAAAUUUGUGUUCUUAUUUGCAUUGAUGUUGCACUUCCUUUAGUUGCUUCUUGUUGUGUUGGCAUUAAUCACCAAAAAGGGGGAGAUUGAAAGGGAAAUGUACCCUUGGGACAUUUCUAUAAGAUUUUGGUGAUUAAGUGCUCCACACAAAUGCUUUGAGUAAUAUUUGUGCCAAAGACUCAAGAAGUGCAAAUCAAGAGUAAAGGUAUGUUUCUAAGACUUAGUACAUUGUUUUGGAGACUAAUGAAUUGUGUCUAAGUGCUAGAAAUAGGAAAAGACCAAUUUGGAAAAGACUUGGCUGAGCAGCCAAGACUCUGUGCAGUCUAGGUGCACCGGACUGUCCGGUGCGCCAGGCUGGCGUCUGUCAACUGGCUGCUCUCGGGAUUUCGUCGGCGGCGUACGACUAUAAAUCACCGGACUGUCCGGUAGUGCACCGGACUGUCUGGUGAGCCAACAGUCGGCCGAGCCAACGGUCGGCCGCGUAAUCCGCGCGUGACGCGUGGCAGAGCCAACGGUCAGAAGGGGGCACCAGACUGUCCGAUGUGCACCGGAUAGUGUCCGGUGCGCCAACGGCUCUGAAUCUCCAACGGUCGGCUUCGCCAAAGAAGGAAAGAAAUCCGCACCGGACAGUGUCCGGUGGUGCACCGGACUGUCCGGUGCGCCAGGCGACAGAAGGCAGGAAUUGCCUUCCUGGAAUGCUCUCAACGGCUCCUAGCUGCCUUGGGGCUAUAAAAGGGACCCCUAGGCGCAUGGAGGAGUACACCAAGCAUUCUCUAAGCAUUCCUAAGCACCAAGACUUCAAUUCCACGCAUUUGAUUCUUUGUGAUAGCAACUAGAGCUCCAUUUGAGUAGAGAACUCUUUGAGUUGUGUUGAGAGCUCUUGUUGUGACUUGUGUGCGUAGUGUCGCUCUAAUUUUGUGUCUUGUGUGCAUUGCUCAUCCCUCCCUUACUCUGUGCUUCUUUGUGAACAUCAAAGUGUAAGGGCGAGAGGCUCCAAGUUGUGAAGAUACCUCGCAAGCGGGAUAUAGUAAAAAGCAAAACACUGUGGUAUUCAAGUAGGUCUUUGGACCGCUUGAGAGGGGUUGAUUGCAACCCUCGUCCGUUGGGACGCCACAACGUGGAGUAGGCAAGUGUUGGACUUGGCCGAACCACGGGAUAAACCACUGUGUCUAUCUGUGUUGAUCUUCUUGUGGUUAUCGUGUAUUGCAAGAACUCUUCUCUAGCCACUUGGCUUUAUUGUGCUAACCUCUAACAAAGUUUUGUGGCAUUAAGUUCCAAGUUUUACAAGAUCACCUAUUCACCCCCCUCUAGGUGCUCUCACAUACUCCAUGCAUUAUAUAUGAAUUCCCCAUUCCGUGGGUGAAUGUGGGUUGUUGGGUACGUAAGUACUCACUCUUGCUUAUUUGUUGUUUUUUAGAGAAGGAGAUCACUGAUCAGGUAAGAGUCACGCCUGUUCCCAACCAUGCCUGUGGCUGUUGGACUGCUGAUUUGCUUCGCGGCGUAAAUCGGGCUGCUUCAGCCCCACUCUGAUGAUAUGUCCCGAGUUGUGGACCAACUCUUAAAGUUGAUCGCCACCUUUAUAGGUUUGUCUCGUUUAAGUAGAUCUAGAACCAUCUGACAUAUAAAUGUGUUUACUAGCCUCCUGGGACUAGUAAUUGUAUCACAUUUGAGUCCCAGAGGAUUGGGACGCUUCAACCUUCUCUUUGUAUGAAGUAUGAAUUUUUAUUUCUUUGCUUAAUCAUACCUGGCUCGGACCAUCCUGGAAAGAAACUCAAUGUCAUGUUAAAACCCUUGAUUGAAGAAUUGAAGGAGCUUUGGAAAGGAGUCAAAGCAUACGAUUAUUAAAAAAAUAGAUAUUCAAACUUCGAAUUGCGUAUUUGUGGUCGGUACAUGACUUCAUGGCGUAUGCUAUUUUUGCUGGUUGGAGUACACAUGGUAGAUUGACAUGUCCAUAUUGCAGUUCAGAUAUAGAUUGCUUCUGUCUUGCUCGUGGUGGAAAGAUCACUUACUUCGAUUGCCAUUGACGCGGGUUGCCUAGGAAAUACCCCUUUAGGAGCGAUAAGAAAAAACUUUAUAAAGAACACAGUGGUCUCCAAAGGACCGCCAAAAUGUUUGAACGUAGCAGAAAUAUAUGCUCAGCUGAACAACCGUGUCCUAAAUGAAAAGGGGACAAGUACCAAGGAUUUGGAGUGGACCAUAACUGGAUACAUGUAUGUGGUCUGUGGGAGCUCCCUUAUAUGUCGUCAUUGAUUCUUGUGCACAACAUUGAUGUCAUGCACCAAGAAAGUAAUGUUCUUGAAGCCCUCAUACACACCUGCAUGCAUUUUGAAAAAACAAAGGACAAUCUGAAAGCUUGAAGAGAUCUAGCAAUGCUUUGUGACCGACCAACCCAAGUGCUCAAUGACAACGGCAAGCCACCACAUGCAUUGUUCUGACUUACCUCUAAGGACAAGAUCGAGGUGAUGAGAUGGAUGAAAAAAUUAAAUUUCUUGAUGGUUAUGAUGCAGGCUUGAAAAGAGCUGUGAAUUUGAAAACGGGAAAACUAACUGGGUUAAAGAGCCAUGACUUCCAUAUAUUAAUGGAGAGAAUUAUCCUUGUCAUGUUUUGUGGUUACAUGCCCGAUGCCAUGUGGCAAGCAAUAGCUGAGCUAAGCUAUUUCUACAGGCAGAUCUGUGCUAAAGAAUAAGUAAAAAUAUGAUGGAGAAGUUGGAAAAAGAAAUAUAAAUGUUGUUAUGCAAGGUAGAAAAAUAUUCCCACCUGGAUUCUUCCAAUGCUCGUCUACAGGUUGUGAACGCGUACAUGAAGCGUCGAGGGCAUUCUAUCAACAACUUUUGACAAUAUUCAUAUGUCUACUUGACUGUGGACCAGUACAUUGAGGUAAAAAUUUAAUCUAGCAACUCAUUCAGAUGUGAAUGCAAUUUUGUGCUAACACUUAGAUGUAGGUAACUCUUCCAUGGAUGGAACAUCGACCACAGGCUUACAAGGCUUUGUAUGAGAUAUGGGCUUCGCCAGAGUGGAUUGAGAAGUCAAACAGGAAUCGACAUAGGCAGCGCCAUCAGUAGGACGGGGACGAUGAUGAGGUCGUAGUCAACAAUACCUAUGGGGCUGAUGGACACAUUCGGUUGGCGAAGCAAAUCGUGAGUAUGUAGUAUUCUAUUUAACUCAGAAAUGGAAUCGGUUUAAACUCAUAUAUUUGCAGGAGGCUCAAACUGGAGUUGUCCCGAGCCCAAUCGAUGUUUAAGGCGAGGGCAUAGAGCAAAAAACAGUGAAAUUCCCGAUGAGCUAUGUAGUCAAGCGACCGCUGAGUGUAUGGUUAGUAGUUGUUAGGAAUAAUGUUUUCUUGCCAUAUAACUAUACAUUACAUGUGCGCUGAACCUUCAUAUUGUAUUGUAGGAGACUUACGAACAAGAGAUGGUUAGGAAGUAUGGAGAAGACUUGAUUGGCGAGGAGCGUCUACCAUUGACGCUGAAGUUGUGCAUUCUAUUGGAGGAAAGACCCAUGGACGAUAUCAACUUGUGAUUUUUUUCAAUAAUAUUGAAACUAUGACCGAAUAGCUAAUUUUCUUGUUUUUCAAGAUAUUCUAUGUUUACUGGUGUGAUCAAUUCGACGGAGUUGAGGUCUUAUGGCGACUCUUUGUCGCAAGUGGGUUGUGGUAGCAGUCGUAGCCGCCGAUGCCUCAGUGGGGAUUACAUGCUCUGCUACCUCCACCUCAGCUACUUCAAUUUAGUUUAGACUUAUCGUUUGUAUUAACCUUUCAAAUCUUGAAUAAACUUGAUUUUGUAGGGAUCCAGGGUUAUGGGCCACAACUCGCCACCGCCGGUGAUACCAGCACCAGGAAGAGCUUCUGGAGGGGAGGGAUCUACUACAGGAGAGGUUAGUUUGAUAAACAAUUCGUUUGAAUAGUGGUCAUGUAAACACUGUAGUUAUUAAUAUCUUGUUCUUUCUUUUAGACUCCAACCAGAUAUACGACUUCGUAAACAACUUCUUCACUUCUGAAGGUAGUGGUUACAACUCAAAUGACCCCUAUAUGUGAUGAUUUGACUCUUGUGGUGAAUUGUGAGUUUGUGUUAUAUUGUAAUGGACUAUAUGUGAUCACAACUCAAAUAACCCCUAUUUGUGAUGGAAUUGUGAGUUUCUGUUAAAUUGUAAUGGAAUUGCAAGGUAUUUUGGUGAACUGUGAUGUAUUUGUGAGGAAUUAUGAUAUUUUGUGUUGAAUGUGUGUAAUUCUAGAAUUGAUGUUUCUGUCAUAUUAUUGUGAUUAUAUUGUUGUUAAAAUUGUUAUUGAUUUUACAUUUCUUUCAUAUUUUCUUUUUGAAAUUACUUAUUUUCAGCAGCCAUGUUCAGACCUCCAAAAAUAACCAGGUUUAUUUUCGGUGGCCACUAUUUUUGGUGCCCUGUAAGACUACCGCCGAAAAUAAGUAAAUUUUUGUGGCCUGGCUCCGGCCGCCGAAAAUUACUACUUACUUUCGGCUAUUUUUUGGCGGCCACGUACCACAGAAAAUAGGGCCCAAGCCGUAGAAAAUAGCUUAUUUUUGACGGCAUGGGCCCUAUUUUCGGCGGCACCUAGACGUCGAAAAUGCUUUUUGUUCCUAUAGUGCUUAAAACAAGAGUCUGAUCCGUUCCACUGUAACUUAACACAAAAUGGAGUGUUCUUGGUGAAAUCGCUCUAUCUAGCUCUCAUUCGGAAGGAAGCUCCCAACAUCAAUAAAAAUAUGGAAGAUUAAGUCACCUUUAAAAAUUAAGGUCUUUCUUUGGUACCUUUUCAAGGGCUUUUUACUUACGAAAGACAAUUUAAUUAAACGCAAUUGGUAUGGUAAUAGAUCAUGCAGUUUCUAUCACAAGGAUGAGACUCUCGAACACCUCUUCUUUGAAUGUCGUUUUGCUAGAGCUGUUUGGUCUUUCUUCCCGUGUGCUUCAAAUCUUCCUUUACCAAAUAAUGCUUCUCAUUUGUUUGGAUCGUGGCUUCAUUGAAUACCUAACACUUGGCAAUCCAUAGUUCUUGGAGCUGCAACGUUGUGUUGGUCUAUGUGGCUAUGUAGAAACGAUUUAGUUUUUGAGAAGAAAACUCAUGUUCUCCUUUUGCAAGCUAUUUAGUCCAUUGGAUGCGUUCAUGGGAUAUCCUUCAGCGAGCGGAUUCUCAUGACUUUGUUACGGAGGCAUCGCAUCUUUUGACACGAGUGGCUCACUACCGGAAUCCGGGCCUUUGCCGAGUGUCGGACUCUUUGCCGAGUGCCUUUUGUCGGGCACUCGGCAAAGGAGGCUUUACCGAGAGCCACAGUCGGCGAAGUCUUGCUCUCGGUAACGAGCUGGUUUACCUAGUGCAGGACACUCGGUACAGGAAAACUCUCGGCAAAGACAUGUUUGCCGAGUGUCAAACACUCGACAAAGGUGUCGCUCGGUAAAGGGCCGUCAGCGGCCGUCCUAAAGCUGACGGCCGUCCUAAAGCUGACAGUCAUCCUAAAGCUGACGGCCGUCAGCCUUUGCCAAGGGCCGAGGGUCGGCACUCGGCAAAGAGACUUCUUUGCCGAGUGCCAAAUAUUUGGCACUCGACAAAGAACUCUUUACCGAGUGUCUUCUCUGGACACUCGGCAAAUCAUAUUUUUAUUUUUUAGAUUUUGUCCACCAAACUUUAUGUGGUAUGUUCCUACACUAUGUAGACCUACAUGUAUCAUUUGUGGACAAUUAUAACAGAGUUUACUCCAUGCAUGAAUUUUAUUUUAUCUUCUAAUAUGCACUUUACGUGUUUACUUUGUAGAUGAUUCCACAUUGGUGCGCCGCACAUCCUCUGUGCUGGGAGUAGAUGGUGGAUAGGUGGUGUUCAGCUGAGUGGGACGAGGCGCACAACGCUAGCCGGGAACGGCGUAUGAUGAUGCAAGGUCCCUCCCACCACCAAGGCAGCCGGAGCCUGGGCCAAUAUGCAGAAGCAUGGGUACGCCCUCUUUUUUAUUUAGGUAUAUAGCACUAGAUUAGAUAUUAUUUCUAACUAUCUCGUUGGUUUUCUUGCAGUCGGCGUCACAUGGUGGCCGGCCUUGCUCCACCUUCUCAGCCUAUGCUAUGGCCCAUAAGGUCAAGGCGACGUCCGAUAUCACCUACAACCCGGAUGACGGGCCCGAGGCCUACACCAACCCCACCAUCUACAGCCGCCUUCAUGACUACACUGCCAUGGCGCAGGAGGUCCAUGGCCCAGAAUAUGAUCCGAGCACCGAGCCGAUCGACCCCGAUGUGCUCAUGAGGGUCGGAGGAGGCAAGAGACAUGGGCGGUACUGGAUUGCCGACGGGGCAAUCGACUCGUCCUUCACUCCCACUCUGUCUCAGGUGAGAGCAAGGAGCAUGGGCUCGAGUCCAGCCAUACGACCUCGGCACGACAGCUCACAGCAUCGCAUACAGCAACUCGAGGUUAGUGCUUCUGUAACUCGUCCUUCCUUGAGUUUUAUACCUUCUCUUUGAGUUACUAUAAUGUUGGCUUGUAAUAUUACAGACCCAACUAGAAGAAGAGAGGAGGGAACGUCAAGAGAUGGAGGCGAGGAUGAUGGCGGAGCGGGAGGCGGACCGGGAGGCUCGCCUGGCAGAUCAUCAGAGGAUGGCGGAGAUGUUCCAGUACAUACAGAGCCUUGGCACCGCACAGGGCUUCGCUCCGCCACCUCCAUUGUUCCCUGCAGUUGACCCUGCUCUCUUCCAUACUCCUGUGAGUAUCAAAAUUGUAGUUAGAUGUUGGUAAUGCAUAUGGUAUAACACAUGCAAUCUCUUCUCUAUGCAGGGCCAAUCUGGGGCGGCAUCCAACAACCCUCAUGAAGGGUUCAGCCCAACGCAACACCAGUCGAACAGCCCACCUCCAUGAGAGUUAUGUUUUCAGUGUUUAGACUUCAGAAUUUGUGUUGAAUACUUAUGUUUGUGUGGAUACUUAUGUCAGAGCUUGAGACUUAUGAGACUUAUGUUCUUGAUACUAAUGUUUGCGUUGAGAACUUGGAUAUUUAUGUUUGUGUUGGAUAUUUAUGUUUGUGAUGAUAUUUGUGAUGUAUAUAUGUGAUAUAUGUGAUGUAUAUGUGGUAUCUUUUGUUUGUUUGGAUGGAAUAUAAAAAACAAAUAAAAAAGGUGUAUACUGGUCACUUUGCCGAGUGUAACACUCGGCAAAGAGGUGUUUUGCCGAGUGUCAGGGCCAUAACACUCGUCAAAGAACCAAGACCUGGGCACCGGUAUACGUUCUUUGUCGUGUGUAAUGUCUCUGGCACUCGGCAAAGAAGCACGCUUUGCUGAGUGUCAUACCAAGCACUCAGCAAAGUACCUGACAUGGGAACCCCCUCUGGCGGAUUCUUUGCCGAGUGCUGUCAGGGCGACACUCGGCAAAGACGCCGUCUCCAUGGCCCCGACGCCGUAACAGCUGUUUUUCUUUGCCGAGUGCCCCCUGGCACUCGUCAAACCUUUUUGCCGAGUGCCCGAGAAAAAGUACUCGGUAAAGAAGGCUUUGCCGAUGCACUGUGUGCCGAGCCCUCUUUGCCGAGUGUAACACUCGGCAAAGCCUUUACCGAGUGUUUUUAAGACUUUGCCGAGUGCUUCAGGCACUCGACAAAGCCGACGAUUCCGGUAGUGGCUAUGGAUUUCUUAUACCGGGUGCAUAGGUGGCGGUCUAGUCUUAGAAUCCAUAGCCACUAGAUUGUGUUUGGAUUCUUCUUCUUGUUGUUUUGGUUGUAUGUUUCCUUUAUGAAACAGAGGUCGAAAGGUACUCGUUCAAGAAUGUGCUUAAACUCGAUAUAUUUUUCUCGAAAGGUUUAAUAUAUUUUCCUUUUCAAAAAAAAAGCUACCUAGCAUGGAGUGGCAGCAAGAACGCCGCAGCCGGUGUGUUGGCGCUGCUGCUUCUCCAGCUGAUGGUAGCUGUGACGACGGCGAUGGCCCGCCUCCUGCAGGCGGAUACCCGCGCGAGGGAGUUUGGCCAUCAGUGGGAGGCAUCCCCUGUGGUGAAUCCUGUAUAUCUUCAUACCAUGCAGUUAUAAGGCACUCUUGGGUUGCCAAUGCAUAGACAAAGUAUGCAUGAAAUAAUAACUCGUGACGCCGCUUCUUCAUUUGGGCUUCAAUGAUGUUAUCCCACGUACGAGGCCACGUUGAUCUGUUGCUUCGGUAUCUUAAUUUCCGUCGUCAUUUCACAGGGCCGCUGUGAUCUCUGGACUAGCUAUUUGUAAUUUGUGUUGGGAGAAACACAAGCAGGACGGUGGUGUUCAACAAUAUUGUGUGUAUAUAUAUGGUGAUUUAAUAAUAAACAGGAUAUGUUGGAUGUGUGUACGUACCCAUCGCCUGCUCCUCGCGUAAGGCGUAUCUCCAUUCUCUAAUAUUUGUCGCCGCUAGUUCAUUUGAUUGUAAUCACGGAACCGUAACUUGUGCAACGCCUACCAAGAAAGAAAGGAGGAACCAAUUCUGUUUUAAUCUCAAUCCAUGUGGAUCGAACGAGAUUGAGAAGCAUGUCACUUCUGCCAUGAUUAGAUAGUGUAGUGAUUGGCCAAAGGGACCAAUAUCAGGUUUGAGCUACACUCCUUAUUACCAUUAUAAAAGACUUUGCCAUCACUGUCGCAUUGCCACCAUAGGAUGAUAUUGUAGCUUCGUAUCUCAUCAGAAACUGCUUCAGAUUCGACAAACCAUCAAACUUUGGAAAUUGAGGUAGCCUGGUCAUGGUGUAGCUUAUAAUUUAUCUGCAGCAAGGGAGAACCACUAUAUAUCAUACAAAAAAUCAACAAAGCCUUGCUCUUCAUGGUGAAGGUUGUUUUGACGGCAUAUGGUUCCUCUAGAUGCUCAACUUGUUGCAUUAUAUUACGCAAUUGCUCCGACGCUUCAUCAAUUAAUCCUCCUUAGUGAUAUUAAAUAACGGAAUAAUAUUAGAGAAAUAAACAAUAAUCUAAGACAUUAGCGCAUAAAGAUGUGACAAAAUGAUUGAGUCUGGUCAUAUUACCCUCCUUCAUCCUUUAUUGCAUAAAAGAUUGUAGUUUACACCUUCGGCUUUACAAAGGAGAGCUCGAAGGUAAUAUUACAGCUUCGAAGGCGGAGUGAUUUGAUUCUCCCUUGUUCAAAAAGCGAGAUCUCUUCAUAUCAUUGUGCCUCUAUUUAUAGUAACCAAGUACAAUUUCAUAUGAAAUUACAAACAUGCUCAUGGACAUGAUAAUUCCAGUGCACAUCCAACCCUGCUUGAUACAAAACAUGCUCAUAAUCAUGAUGAUUCAAGUGCACAUCCACCCUGCUCGAUACAACAGUUGGCGACCUGGUGUGAGAGUCAGACCAGACGGGCUUUCACAAUCGCCAUGCAUGUCAUUCUCUCGUGGUCCACGUGUUUAUUAAUAUUGCCAUUAAUUGGAGGGAAAUAAAAUCAACAAGAAUAGCUUAUUGAUGAGUCAUAUAUUAUGAAUACAUCUUAUCAUCUUACCAAACAAAAACAUAUGACCGUCGAUGACCUGAAACUAGACUAUUCGGGAUCUGCAAUGAUCUGCUUGUAAAUAUUAAUUUGCACAUCACGCCAUUGCAUGCACAUCGGCGUGGGCAUUAUUAAUUUGGAUUGGACGAAAAAUCAACCAGAGGGCGUCACCCUUUUGCUAGUUGGCCUUGUAAUACUUAUAAUAAUUAUCCGUAUAGUCUAGUACGUACGGGACAUCACGCCAUUGCCUGUUGUGUAUAAAAAGCGAGCAUGAGCUAGGUUGGGAGCAGAGCAAAGCGUAGUCAUCACCUGUGUCUAGGUUGGGAGCAAAGCAAAGAGAGAGAGGAAAGCUAGCUAGCUAGCAUGGAGAGUGGCAGCAAGAAGGUCGCAGCCGGUGUGUUGGUGCUGCUGCUUCUCCAGCUGAUGGUAGCUCCGACGACGGCGACAGCCCGCCUCCUGCAGGCGGAUACCUCCCCCGUGUUUGGCCUGGACUUCAUCGCGAGGGAGUUUGGCCAUCCAGAUGGAGCCAUCUCCUGUGGUGAAUCAUGUGUCAUCAUACCAUGCGUUUCGACACUCUUGGGAUGCCGAUGUGAAAACAAACUCUGCGUGAAAUAAACUCGUGACGCCGCUGCUACAGUCGGGACGAGGCCAUAUAUCUCUGAUCCCUUUACGUGUGAAGAACCAGCUCCAUCUUUGUAACAAAUUUGUGUUGGGAGAAACAAAAAGACGGUGGUGUUUAACUUAUUGUGAAAGGUGAUUUAAUAAUAAUAUAUAAUAAACGGUACGUUGGAUGUGUGUACUCAAUCGCCUGCUCCUCGCGUCCUUUUGACAUAUUUAUUUUCAGCCUGCAUACAUCUUAUUGUAAUCACGGAACGGUAACUUGUGCAAAAACAUAUGGACUCACUACCGGAAUCUUUCUGUUUUUUUGCAUUCAUAGUUUUCCAUAUUUCGAGUGAAUUGCAGUUCAAAUAUGAAUUAUACGAAUAAAUUCAAUUAAAAGAAUAAAAUCUAAUAGUUAUAGCAAACAAUUUUAUAAUUAUGCCAAAAUAGUACAUAUAGGUCUACAUAUUGUAGCAACAUACCACAAAAAGGAGGAGUACUCCUACCAUGAAUGGAAAAAGGAGGAACCUAAUUAUAUUCCAAACUUAGCAACAAGGCCGUCUAUGAGAUUUUGUAGCCCUGAUCUACAUUGAAGCCUUACCGGUUUACAUUGAAUCUCUAUGAUUUCAUGUGUAGGACAUUUAGAUUUCUACACAUAAUGCGUCACAACUUUCUUGAAACAUUAUGAAAUUUUUAUCAUACCCUAUACAUAUGAUAUCAUGACAUGUGAACAAGUUUCAUAAUGUUCUGACUUUCUUUGUGUUUUAUACAAUUUUUAAAUAACUGGAUGACAAGUUCACGACCAUGUUUCGUGAGCAUGGUGCUCGAAAAUUCCGGUCUGCUUCUUAAAUCGGCCGUAACUUGUGCUAAAUAACAUGAAUAUCAUGUUUGCAUUCACAGUUUUCUAUUUUUCGAGUGACUUAUAGUUCAAAUCUGAAUCAUCCGAGAAAAUUCAAAUAAACGAACAAAAUCUAAUAGUUAUAGCAAACACUUUUAUAAUUGUGCCAAAAUGUAAUAUGUAAGUCUACGUAGUGUAGGAACAAACCACAAAAAGUUUGGUUGCAAAAAAAUAUAUACUUUGUCAAGUGUCCAAGGUAGUAAAUUGGUAAAGAAUAGUUAUACGUGUGAAGAACCAGCUCGAUCUUUGUAACAAAUUUGUGUUGGGAGAAACAGAAAGACGGUGGUGUUCAACUUAUUGUGUACGGUGAUUUAAUAAUCUUUACUAUACUUAAAGCACCAGUUUCAACUGUCAUCCUGCGUCAUCUUUUUUUAAAAAGUCCCUACGUUUCUUCCAAAUCAACCCGCUUCCCCGUCGCUCGCGUCCUCGAAACCCUAAACCUGCUUCCCCACCAUCCGCGCGUCACGUGCGCGCCGUCCCUGGAACCCACCGCCGAACCCGCCGCCGCACAAGCAGCUCGACCUCGAGCACUGGGCGCGGCACAAUCCGUCUCCCUGCAUCUGCCACCAUCCGCGCAUCCCCGCAUCUACCGCCAUCCGCGCAUCACCGCAUCAGCCGCCAUCCGCACAACCAUACUGCUUUCGAACGAUGUCUCCCACGUGCUACGGAUCUCCGCUCCCCAUCCCGUGUGCCCACCAUCCUCAAUACCGCCGCCCAGCUUAUUCCUGAUGUGGUACCCCUCCUCUGUCGUCGACGUGCUGCCUAGGUCGCAUAGAGUCAUCGAGGCGAACCUCUUCCACCUCCCCUCCGUCAACGCCGACGACGGGGGCGUGGGGAUGCAGGAGGAGGCACCAAAUCCCUUGCCGGUGGUCUGUCGGGAUCAGACGAAUUGGUCGAGGCGACCUUCCACAUUCCCCUCCCCCACCACUGCCUUCCUCCUUCUUGCCCUCCUCUUCGUCGCAUCAGGGACCUCACUCCCUACCCUAGGAGGUUUCAAUCGGGGAGGAGCGACCCAGGUGUGUUGUAUCUACCAACCUCUCCGAUGAUCUCCUCCUCGAGAAUAGGGCCCACGUUGUGGCGGGGUGGGUUUCCCUCGCGGCGGCCAACUUCACGCUUGGCGGUGACCCAUUGGACCAGACCAGUGGUGUACCCACUAGGACAUAUGGGAAUGGGGUUGGCCGAAAUACUUUCUGGCUAGCUCUGAAAUGAAUGUGGCUUCCAGCCUAGAUGGAAGCACCUCUCAGCUAUGCUUCUCCGCAAUCAAUAAAUCAUUUGCAAAGGUUUGUCGUAGCUCGCCAGUGUUUGCCCACAGUUUGCUGGUCGUGCUUCUAGCCUCGGAGCAACGCGGAAAGGGGGUUGAUGCAUGGUUGGCAGGAUGAAAAGGGACAUAGUCCUAAAGUAGAGGCUAUGCUUCUCUGCAAUAAAGAAAUCUUUUACUAAGGUCUAUCUCAACUUUGCCACUGUUUGUCCACAGUUUGCUGGUCGUGCUUCUAGCCUCGUAGCAACAGAAUAGGGGGUUAUUGCGUGGAUGGCAGGAGGAAAGGGGAUAGAGCCCUAAAGCAGAGGUGAUUUUGAGGCACCCUCACAGUUGGCCAAGGGCGCGAUGACGCUCGAUAGACAUCCAUAGAGGCUCUAGGUCAAUACUCCCAAAGAAGGCAUUGUCAAUUUGGAACAAAGGGUGGUAAGUGUUUUCUUUUUAUUUAUUUAUUACAGUCCUAAAUGAAUCUAAUGGGCAAACUGAUUUUCCAUCCCCGGUUCAGUAACUAUUUUUCUUGCAUCAAAUAAUUGAUUGUCUGAUCCUCUAAUUGAAUGUUAUUGUUUGUUUGAUUAGUGCUUACAACUUCACAUAUAACAAAUCCACUUUCCUUGCAGAGAUGACUGAGGUUCACCUUUCGGAGAAAGUAGGUACUGAUAAAGUUCAGUUGUCCACAUUCUUUUCAAAUACCCUCGGCAUGUAUUCAGAUGAAGUAGAUAUAGUUGUCAUACUUACACAUAUGAUUGCAAAAAGAAAGGUGCACAUAGAGUUUCUUGAUCAUAACUGUUGCAAGUGAUAAAAGUAUUGUCGUACAAAAUAUUUAGUAAUAUAAAUGAUAAUGUUUUAUAUCUUUCUAUGUAGUGCAAGUAAUAUAUUUAUAAAAAUAUUACUUUGGUGAUGUUGUUCAUUGAUGUUAUUAUCGUAUGUUUUUCAUUUGCUUCUUUGAUUACUGUUGUGAGCACAAGGGAAAGGAACUAUAAAAACUAUUGAAGUGAAUUUUGCAAUGGCAGACAAUAAUUUAGUCCAACAAUAACUUUUCGGAUAUGCUUUAAAAAGGGGUUGCCAUAUGUAUUCCAUUUGUUAUAUGUUUGCAGGUUAUACCGGCUAGGAGGGUUCACUAAUGGAAAUACCAUUCCAGAAAAUUUUCACUUUGUUGGUGCUGCAUUGAGCAAAUCUUCAGUGUUUCCAUUUCGCAUGAUUGCUAAAGGAACUCUCUCUCUAGCACAAAAUAAAAAAAUGCAGAGGAGGAUGUGUAUAUGAACAAUGAAUUGAAAUAGUCAAAGUUAAUAAGCGUUUGAACUGGUUAGCUGAUGAAGGUAACAUAUUGAUAAGUUUUCUUUCUUACUUUAAAACUUGAUAGCAUUGUCUUUGUAUGCCUAUAGAAAUUAUAUUGGUUUGUUAUUUCUGUAAUUUGUAGGAUAGUGCUUGGUUGUAUAAUUCAAAGGAUGUAGUUGAUGGAACUGGCAGGAAGGCAAAGCAGUAAUCACUAGUACAAUUUGGCUCUAUACAAGCGGUAGACUUUUUACAUCACAGGCGGUUCGGUUAGAAAACAGCUUGGGAUGUCCCAGGCUAUUCGGACCGUCUGUAAUGUAUUAGUAUCACAAGCGGUUUUUGUUUCGGACCGCUUGUGGUGCUCUAUUCGUUUCACAAACGGACCGUAAUGAAAAAACUGCCUGUGAUUGUGAUUUGAUUACUAUAUUAAUAUUUUAGUUUUUAACAGUCUGUGAUUGUGAUUUGGUUACCAUAUUAAUAUUUUAAUUUUUAACAGAAAUAUGCAAAUACAAUUUAAAUGAAUUUUAAUAGCACACAUAGAUAACUAGCGAGAUUUUAAAUUAAUUGGCAACCACAAUGCAUAAUCGAUCAUACAUGCUAAUAAAUACAAUUUGAUUCAUACAAUUUUUCAUGAACUACCAUUUUUCCGCAUGUAUGGCUUUAAGUUCUUAUCAAUUUUCUUUUCCACACGCUUGAUUCUCUCUGGACCGUUAAAGAUGAACAUCUCUUCAUACUUAUUGUAUUCCUCAUCUUCGUCUCCCACAUUCUCAACUCCAACAAUUUUUUUCUUUCCAUAAAUAACUAAAUGCAUCUUCUCAUCUGCUGGAUCGAGUACAUAGAACAAUUGUGCAACACAUUCGGCGAGAACCCACGGGUCAUCUUUAUAUCCUACUUUCUUUAAGUCUACCAGUGUGAGUCCGUAGUUAUCCACUGUCACCCUCACGGGAUGUUGUACCCACUGGCACUUAAAUAAGGGUAUUUUCAUGCUUGGGCCAUAAUCAAGUUCCCAUAUUUCCUCUAUGAAUCCAAAAUAUGUGGUCUUCUGUCCCUGUAGGUCAAAAGCAUCGAUACGAACACAUCGAUAUGUGGUCUUCCAAAGAGUCUCCGAAUGGGAUGUUUUUGUCCAUUAACCAUUCUCUGAAACGAUGUUUGUGCUACCUCAUGAUCCAGUCCUCUGUGCGGUUCUGAUUUUCUUUACGAAGCUCAUCCAAGUGUUCCUCUAUGUAAGGCUCGGCUAUCGUGAGAUGUUGUAGUACACUACCAUGAGCAUAAUGUACUAGCUUGUAAUCCUCAACGUGAAAAGUUUUACUGCCCAUUCUCCCUCUCCCACAUAGUUUACCCUCAUGUUUAGGUACACUUCUUUUUUCACUAAAUGGAUUCAUUCCGUCUGUACCCAAAGCAAAUCUUACAUUUCUGGUUUCUUUGGCAAACUCAGGAUACAUAAGAUCGAAAAUUUUUCCAUUGUGAUGCAUCAACAGGGUGUCGAAUCUGUUUGUUACUCUGCUUGCGAUUUUCAGCAUGCCAACGCAUAAGCUCAGCCUCCCUAGGAUUUGAGAACAAAUGUUUCAAGUGAUCAAUUACUGAAAUGGAUUGAUUUGGAUUACUGUUUUUAUUACUAUUUUCAUGACAAAACAGAGAUUCUAAGUGAUAGCUAAUAAUAUUACAAAAAUUUAGAAACUGGAAUGGAUUGAUUUGGAUUAAAAAUGAAAUUUCUAUGAAUUUUACAAGUUCUAGCACUUAUUUAUAUAUUAAAAAUCCAUUUUAUAAUUUAAAUUCUCGGGUUAAAUACCAUUCUGGACUGGGCCUCAAUUCCAGAGAAAUCCAGGGGUCUCGUGAUAAUAAUCCUAAGACACAGGGAACACUACUAGUUGGACUGCAGGUUUAUUCUACGAAAACAAGGGGUUUCUUAUGUAAAUGUGUACACCGAAGGGGUACCGCGAAUCUUGGGCCAUCGGAUCCCUCCUGGACGGCCCGGAUUAGAUCUCCGAAAUCUUUGAACCGGUUCGUAGCAUGGUCACUCGGAUCAAGAUCUGACGGCCCCGGUUUAAUGAUCCGUGGGCUAGUCCUUUUAUACUGUACACACAUCGCAGGCGGAUUUUUAGACAAACCGCUUGUGAUAUAUAACAUCACAUGCGCUUUUUUAUUCCGAUCGCCUGUGAAGUUAAUCUAUCACAGGCGGUCGGAAUAAAAAAGCUCCUGUGAUGUUAUAUAUCACAAGCGGUUUGUCUAAAAAUCCGCCUGCGAUGUGUGUACAGUAUAAAAGGCUUGCUGCUUCCGGCAGGAACCCUAGCUAACUCCCGCCCGAGCUGACACAGCUGUUGCGCCGCCAGGCUGAUCAACUGCGUCGCCGUCCCCGAGCCCGAGCGUCGUCGUCCUCGAGCCCGAGCGCCGCGAGCGCCACCGUCCCGGAGCACUUUGGUAAGAGCACUUUGGUAAGAGCACCCUCCCUCUCCAUGUAGAAGUUAAUUGAUGACAGAUUUCUUGUUACAGACUUUGUGUUGUUACUGUAUUGUUACUGCUGGUCAUUAUGCUUAUUGCUUAUUGCUUAUUGCUUACUGCUGGUCAUUAUACAUAUUGCUUGUUGCCAGUCCAGUCAUUAUGCUUAUAUUGUUAGGGUUUAGGGUUUAGGCCAGUCAGUAAUACUUCUCAUGUAUCAGUUUUUUUAUUUCUUUUAUCCCUUCUGAUUAAAUGUUUGUAUACCAUUAAGAUGUUAUUGCAAUGAAUAACUAUGCCUACUGCCUAGACUCGGAAGGGACAGAUAUAGGCAGUAUACUGUGCGCAGGCUUUGCUUAACUUUUGCAAUUCAAUUAUAUCCCCAGAACAGCCCAAUUCUUAAUACACUAUUUUCUGUUAGUUCAUUUAACAAACUGAUAAUAUUCAUUCAGAGUUCUUACUUUUCAACAUGCGAUGAAAAUAUUGUGUUCUGAUACCCCCUUGUUACUGUUGCAAGUUCUUCUUUUUUCUGCUCCUCUUUGGCAUAUAUAGGAGGAGGAGUAGUAGUAGGGUGGAUUAUAUAUGUUGGUGCUGUGUGAACUGUGGUGGCCAGUGAAGUGUGAAUUGUUUUUUUCCUUUUCCACCCAUAAGUUCAGAGAUUGAGAAAUUAUGACCAUAAGAGUGCUUAGCAGCCCACCAAAGAGAAGAGAAGCGCACAGAUGAAGCCGGGGCGGCUUUAAAUUUUGUGACCACACAUCCGGACAGAGUACACCAGCUCACCAUCGUCUGGCCCCUUAACAAGCUCGCAGACGCCCCCAGCCCGAAGGUCGUUUGCUGCCACCAAAUGUUUCCAGCCCUCGGUGAAGCCCACAAAUAAUGGGCUGUCGUGGUAAACGACAGGCCAUAAUCUCUUCUUGGGGUCCUUCAGCAUUAUAACAUCACAGCCAUGCCUUCUCUGUCUAACUGCAUUGGAAAGUGCACUUCUGUCUGCUCCGUGCUUCCCGGCCCGAUCCUGCUCCGGAAUUUCGUCCUUCGUAGGUAGUAAAGACUCUGGGACCUCAUAGUUACUACACAUUCUGUCUUCCUGUUUGGGGAGGAAAGGAGGGACACGGAGGCGAGCCUUGAGGCGCCGCCAUCGCCUUCACCGCCACCGGCAGAUGGGGAGGCCGCUGGCGGCGGCGGCCGGGUACAGCUAGGGUUUGGGCUCGAUUUCUUUUGAAUCACCUUUUCUCCAAGUUCCCUUAUUGAUGGAACUAGUAUAUCAGACUAACAAUAUAUCCUCGGUCGACCCCCUUAUUGAUGGAACCAGCUGUGCACUAGGUACCUACUAGGAUGGAUGUGUUCUGCACUGGUGCGUCUAACAGAGUUGAUGAAGACACGACCAAACUUGAAUGGCAGACAACGAGCAGCUCCGAUGAAGGGAGCAGGGAGGAUAGUUCUAGUGAUGACAAAACUUUUCCUCCUAUACCUCCAAGGAAGAAAAAACAUCAUAUGAGCUUCAUGCCGACUAUAUUCUCAACGAUGAAGAGGUAAAUAGAAAUAUGUCGACUAUAUUCUAAAAUAAUGUUCAUAUAUGAAAGGCCAUUAAUUGUUUCAAUAUAUAGAUUUCAAAUGAAGAGAAGAAAGAGGAUGCAUGUUCUACACGAAACAUGUAGGAUGCUCCGAUGCCUGAAUCAUCCGUUUCACAUAAGCGGAAACGAGGGCAACGAGGUCCCAAUCAGAUGAAAGAAGGUGCAGUUAUGUACGUAACAAAACUCAAUGCAGAGGGGUUUCUUGAAGAACCACUUGACGUGGUUACAAAGUUUUGAAAUUCCUGCGGGUCUACUGUUAGAGAUAUAGUGCCAAUCACACUUCAGAAAUGGAAGGAUUUAGAUGAAGACACCCGCAAUAAGCUAUGGGCUAAGUUGUCUGAGUCAUUCAAGGUCCCAAAAGGCACAGAGAAUGCAGUAAGGAAGUCGAUACUCUCUGCUAUGGCCAAGAUAUUUCGUGGGUGGAAGACCGAGAUAAAUAGGGAUUUUGUUAAGAAGAAUAAGGUUCCUCCGCCCAAGAAAAUGGGGAAAAUCACUCAAGCUCAGUGGGAGGAAUUUGUUCGUCAGAAGACCGAACUGAAGGCCAAAGAACUGGGCGAAACUAAUUCUCAGAGAGCAAAGAUGAACAAACACCCCCAUCACCUGGGGUCAACCGGAUAUCACCAUAAAGUUGUGCAGUGGAACAGGAUAAUCGAGGAAGCUAUAGCUAACGGCACUUUGGACCCAAUAUUAAAAGAUAUCAAUGAGCGAGCUAUUCGUUGGAUCUUAGGUCGGGCAGGUUUGACUGAGGACGACAAACUUUUGCAUCCAGAAUUGGUAGGCGAAGUUUCGACAAAAGUUCAAGAAUAUGCAGAAAAGAGAAAGAAGGGCGAAGUUAAGCCUCGGAGGGAGAAUGACAUACUAACUGCAGCACUAGGCAAUCAUGAACACACUAGACGGGCUCGGGGAAUCUCUUCUAAGAUUUCCUGGAGAGAGGCGUUUCCAGAGUAUGCGGCGUCAUAUAGGAAACACGAGAAGUCGAAAAGGACCCUUGAAGAGACUAUUGAUGAAAGGGUACAAAAGGCUAUUAAUGACGUGAUGAACAAAAUGAAGAAAAUAGAAUGCAUAUCAUGUGAACUCAAGCCAGGCCACAUGAGUCCACCUCUAGUCCCUAGCAGCGUAGGAUCUGUGCAUGACUUCGUAUCGGGCACCAAGUACCUUGUAGACGAUAUUGUUGAGGACAAGCCUUGCUUUCUUCAUAUUCCAAUCAAUCGAUCUGGGACAAAAACAAAACAAGCUGCUACUGGUUUGGUAAAACCAGGACUUGUUAACUACAAGGAUAAUCCUGUCCCGCCACACUAUGCUGUGGUCCAAGUUCUAGAGAUCACAGACAAUGGUUGUGAAGAUUGGGAGAUAGACUUUCCAGUUGAGGGGAUCAUAACUUUGCAGCAGGCAAUGAACGAGUUGGUCCUUUGGCAUCGACGCGACAUCAAGUUGGGUGAUGAGCCGAUCUUAAGCCGUCUAUCGCGUCAUAAGUCACCAACGCCGAAUUCAACACCAAUGCAACAGAAAGAUAGUUUGAUCAUUCCAUACCCCAUGGUGUAGGAAAAUAUAGCACCGACCUCCACAAAAACCAUUGAAACAAUCAUAUCACCUCUUGCGAAGGAACUCGACGAGGGGGACGUAGACAAAAUUGUUCCUCAGAAUGUCGACGCAAACAUCAAAAAGGAAGCAAAGGUUGACACCAAUGUUGAAGGGCCAACUACUUCAAAGAAAAUUCAUCAGCGAAUCGCCACUGAUAAUGUCAAGAAACCGUCAGAAUCAGUGACACGCUACCUGCAAAAAUUGCAGAGUUAUGACAGAUCAAUCAAAAGCGGAAUCAGCAUCUCGUGGAGUACGCACACGGUCCCAAAUAGACAAUUUCGAAGUAUGGGAAGAAGAUGGAAUGAUUCAUACUCGAGAAUCAUUAUGUCUUAAAAUCAAUAUCCCGAUAUACAAGAAGGAGGAUGUUCCUCCUAAAUUUGUGAAUGGGAGGCCGUUCUUGAUGACGAUGCAACUUUCCAAGUUGUCGACUCCGGAGAUUAGAAUGCAUGAGUGGUACAUGGUGGCUAGCAACAAAUACAAACUCGAGGACUUCACAUUUGUUGUGCCAGAAGAUGCAUUUUGGAGCAAAGAUAAUAUAGAUCCUGUGCGACAUUUAUUCUUUGACGAUCUGUGGUCGUUGUACCACCGACAAAGGAUGGAAACCAACUACUUAACCCUCUUUUGCUUGUAAGUACCUCUAAACUUUCAUAUUUGUUAGUUUUGUACACACACACAUAAACGAGAGUCCAACGAUUAACACUUUUUAUACGUAGGAUGCAAUACAUGGAUGAUAAGAAGAAACAACUUAAGACAGGGUUUCUUGACCCGUUGAUGAUAUCCCAAGCUCACUACAAAGAAGUUGUUCGAAGACAUGGAGAAGAAUACAAAGACUUGGAUGAUGAUGAAUUUGAGAAAGCCGUCAAACAAAAUCAUAGAAAUAAAAUAAAGGUAAUGGCGGCAUACAUUGGACGAGCCAUGUAUAAUCAUGUACAACAUGGCAAGGACUUAAUAAUAGCUCCGCACCACUUUAAGUAAGUUCUCGACAUGGUUUUGAACUACAAAUUAUGGCAAUCGUGAUCUUAACAUGUGUUUUUGUCUAUGUCUAUAUAGUGACCACUACAUUUGUAUCAUGAUCUUUCCAAAGCAUGGUAAAGUCGUGGUCUUCGACUCACUGAGAAUGGAAAAGGCUGCGUAUAAUGACUUCUUGAAGAUUUUAGAGAAGUAUGAUUAUUAUUGCACACUUGUACUUAUUACAACUUAACAAAUGUAUUCUUAAUCUCACAAUGCUAUUCUUAUAUGCAGUGCAUACCGUUUUUUAUUAGAAAGAUCUUGGCGGCGAACAUCUAGAGGACAAGCCUAAUUUGUCAAUAUCAUUAUUUCCAUAUGGUGACAAACAACCUUCGGGUACUGUCCUGUGCGGUUAUUAUGUAUGCGAAUGGUGUCGUGUCACCUUCCAUUACAUGGUCAAUCAUGAGGAUGUAAGUUCGCUAUCAUUGUCUAUGUUGCAAUUUUUAUGUUAUAUUGUUGCUCAUCACAUUACUCUUAGCACUGCUUGCUUUUUGCUUUCAUUGCAGGUUCCUAAAUCCAAGAUCAAUGCUGAAUGGUUAGAAAGAGAUAUGGUUUCCGUCAGCGUGGCUAAGGUUGUAAAAGACUUGCUUUACUUUAUGCGCCGUGAAGUUCUUCAUUAACAAGGGCUAUUCUACAAUACAAAUGGAAAUUUGCAACACUUCCAGAACUAAGUUUGUACACGAUAUCACACAGUGUUUAGAUCUUUAGUUUGGAACUUGAGAUGUUCAGUUGUAUAUGGAACUUGAGAUGUUGAGUUGUUGAGUUGUAUAUGGAACUUGAUAUGUGUAUGAAUCUGUGUAUGGAACUUGAUAUGUAUAUGAAUUUGUGUAUGAAUCUGUGUAUGGAACUUGAUAUGUGUAUGAAUAUGUGUAUGAAUCUGUGUAUGAAUCUGUUAUUAAUUCUGUAUAUGAAUCUGGAAUCUGCAUAUAAAUUUGGAAUCUGUAUAUUGAAAUACAGUCGGACCUAUAUUUAAAACCGCCUGUGGUAUGUGUCUAACACAAGCGGCUAGGAUUAGAAACCGCUUGUGAUGUGUGUCUAACACAAGCGGCUAGAAUAAGAAACCGCCUGUGAUGUGUGUCUAUCAUAGGUGGUUCCUUUAGAUAGAACCACAUGUGAUGUGUGUCUAUCACAAGCGGUUUUUGAUUUACAGCCUGUGAUGUUAUUUUACAACACAGGCGGUGCACCACAAGCGGUUCCUGGAACCGCCUAUGUAGAGGCUAACUGGACCGCCUGUAUAGAGGUUUACUGUAGCAGUGAAUGGGCAGCUAUUACUAGCACAUGCACCACCACCACCACCAUAGAAAAUAGUCGUAAGAGGAACUAGAACCAAAUGAUAAUAUAUAGGGGAUAAAUAAACCAUUAUAAGUGGUUUCCAUGGAUGUUGGGUACAAAUCGGUAGAGUGUGGCAAAGUGGGAUGAGUGACAACCAGGUUAUUGACAAAGUAUUAGAGGUUUAUGCCAAUCAAAAUAAUGGUAAGUCCUUCACUCUACUGCACAUGUGUUAAGGUAGUACGUGAUCAAAAGUGGUCAACAGAUAUGAAUAGGUUGAAUAAGGAAAAGAAAAAAAGCUCAAAGGAUAACCCAGCUCAAGUUAUCAAUAUGGAAGUAGACUGAUAAAAGCGAUGUAUGGGACAUAAGAGAGUAAAAAAUGAGUGUAAUGGCGAAGGGAGGCAGCUGAUGCUUUGUAAUUUUAGUGCAAAACUUGAGUUCAUUGAAGUAAUCACGAAAAAUAGGAUAAACAGAGAGAAGAUGACUGAAAUUCAGCAAACUUCACUGAUAAGAAGAUUGAAGCAGCUCAUGAAUAAACUAAGUGCAAAACGCUAGAAACUGACACCCAACUGGUGCUUGCAUCUAUCGAUUGGACUACUGCAGAUGCUGGGUUGUUGUACCAAGACAUAUUGGAUGGAGUAAACAACAACAUCAGUUAAUCAAAUAAAAAAAUAUUAUGUGGAGAGCAGAGACAAUCAAUAAAAAAUCUUGAGAUAUUUUUUGUUGAUAGUUUACGUGGGUAUUGUUAUGAGCCGUCACAACGCACGGGCAACCGACUAGUAAUAUAUAAUAAACGGGAUAAGUUGGAUGUGUGUACCCAAUCGCCUGCUCCUCGCGUCCUUUUGACAUAUUUAUUUUUGGCCUGCAUACAUCUUUUGAUUGUAAUCACGGAACAGUAACUUGUGCAAAAAAUAUAUGGACUCCUACCAUGAAUGGAAGGAGGAGGAACCUAAUUAUAUUCCAAACUCAGCAACAGGGUCGUCUCAGUGGGCGAUCAUAUCCUUUUAUACACCAGGACUUAGGGAUCCUAAAAAUAAUACUCUAACCCUAACCGUAAUUAUGUGACAUGAAAGAGAAAGAUGGUUGGGGAGGCGUGAAAGAGAAAGAUGGCUUGAUUCUAUGUUAGAUUGACAACCCUAACCCGAAUUAUGUGACGAUGUGUUUUUGUCAACCACAUGGCGGAUGAAAAUAAUACUCCCUUCGUUUUUUAUUUGUCGUGGUUUAGUUUAAAAAUGAACUAGCAGGCGAUAAAUAUUUGAGAAUAGAGGGUAGUAUUAUUCCUUCAGUUUUGCAACCUGACGAAAAAAUCUUUUUUGGGCUAUGCGCGCUAAACCGAUUAAAAUAGCGUCGGUCCCAACGAAAAAACAUGGUUGAUUUCAUCAAGUAUUUUUUUCUUGUCGGGUAUUUUUCAUCGGUUUGCCGACGGAAAAAAUGAUAUUUUUUAAUUUAUAUUUAUUUUUGUUGAUUAUCAUAUGUAGAGACUCUGAUAAAUAUGUGAAAUUAUUUCGUGAAAGUUGUCACACACUAUGUGUAGAAAACUAGCUAGCAUACAUAGAAGUAUUAUGAUUUCAUGUGAAGGCCGGAUAGGUUUCUACACAUAGUGUGUCGGGGACCGUAAUUAGGGGUACCCCCAAUGCUCCUUAACCUGGCUGGAAAACAUCUUCAGAACAAACCGCAAAGACUGAUAAGCAUGGUUCAAGUCAGGGCCUCGUCUACCAAGGGACGUGACCUCACCUUGCCCGAGCCCGGCCUCGGGCGGGAACAGUAGUCCCGGACGGAUUCACGCCUCGCCCGAGGGCCUCCUCAGGCAGUGGGCGCGCCCUCGGCUCGCCCGAAGCCAAGCUUGGGCAAACUUUGUCGUGCAGCGACCUCGGCCAAAUCGCCUUACCAACCGACCGUAUCGCAUGUGCAUUUAAUGCGGGGAUCGCCUGACACCUUAUCCUGACACACGCGCCUCAGUCGGCAAGGUCGAAGUGACCGCAGUCACUUCGCCCCUUUACUGACCGUUGUGACAGGAAAACAACGCUAUUCACCCAGUUCCGACUACUGUGCCAACCACCAGGUCAAAACUGAGUCACAACCCCUUCCGAGUUUGGCCUCGGGCGCAACAGGGAGCUCCGCCUCGUCCGACCUCAGGCCUCGGCCUCAGCCUCGGCCUCGGGAGAAGGUCUCCGCCUCGCCCGACCCUAGGCCUCGGCUUCAGCCUCGGCCUCGGGAGAAGUCUCCGCCUCGCCCGACGUCGGGCUCGGACUGACCACGCCACAGGGGAUACAUCAUUACCCUACCCCUAGCUAGCUGCCUCAGGCUACGAAGGAACAAGACCGGUGUCCCAUCUGGAUUACUCCGGUAACAGGUAAUGAUGGUUCCCCACGUGCGCCCAUGACGUCGGUUGCUCUUAACCCCCUACGGAAGCAAGGAAACAUCAGCAGGAUCCAUGCCGCACCGCCAGCUAUGCUUCUAUAGGGCCAAAGCACUUCUCCGACAGCCACGUUAGCACAUGUACAGGGCUCAAGGCACUUCUCCGCCAGCCACGUUAGCACAUAGCUACACCCCCAUUGUACAGCUGGGCCAUCUCCUUGUAUAUAUAAAAGGGGAUGUCCAGGGCCUUCCUAAGGCAGGGACAAGGGAUGGGAGAAGAGCGGAGGCAGGCAGAGUAGGAGAGACGCGGUGGAGGCCAACUCAGACACCUCACCUCAACACCGAACCCUCUCCCUCUCUCUCUCUCUCUCACUCUCGCGACGCUUGUAACCCCUACUACGAGCACCCCGGUGCAAGAUAACAUAAACCUCAUUCCCCUCUUGUGUUCCAUCUUGCAUCAACCCAUCUGGGCAGGGACACACAACGACAAAUUCACUGGUCGGUUGAGGGUCCUCGCGGGUCCGAAAUGCUGACAGUUGGCACGCCAGGUAGGGGCCUGCUGCGUGUUGACAAAUACUUUCCCGUUGAGUUCCAGAUGGGUAGCCUUCAGCAACCUCUUCAGCCCGGGACGGUGCUCCGCUUCGGGAGUCUUAAGUUCAUGUCCUACGGCGGCAGCUACGACAUGGUACUCCUCCCUUCGCAGCAUGACAACAACGACGGUCGUCGGCUCGCCCGGUGGAGGCGAACUCAAUGACGACUUCCCCCCGUGGCGGAGGAGGAACACCCGGGUUUGCCCCGCCACCCUCCUCGCCGGAGGAGGAGGAGACGGGGCAACCGUGGCCAGGCACGGGGCGGCACUUCGUCGGCUGUCGGACCAGAGUGAGUCGACGACGCCGGCACCCCUGCGGGGGACAUGUUGGGUGUUGUCCUCGCAUUUGAGACAACAAUGGGUGUCGCUUCCCAGCAAUGUGUCAACCCCAAGCGGACUGAUGACGCCAGCACCCUCGCGAAGGACUUGUCGGGCGUCAGCCUCGUACCUGAGAUAACGGUGCAUUCCAUCCCCGAUGCGACUUCACCACCGUCCAUCAACCAAGAGGUACCAUCCAUUUUCCACCCUGUUCCCUUUAGAUUCAGCUUCGAUCCACCAAGCGACCCUGCUUCGGUGAGCGCUUUCGCGAGGGCAUAUCCUGACCUUCCAGGGUACCAUAUGUAGUCAACUUGGGACCGACUGACGGCCGUCUCAACCUCCGGACCCGCGAGUUCCGAGGAAGAAGACGACCCCGACUUCGAUUGGGAUUUCUCCGGACUCCGUGAUCCCAGUGCCAUGCGAGACUUCAUGUCCGCAUGUGACUACUGCCUCUCCGGCUGCUCUGACGAUGGCCACAGCCUCGGCGACGAGGGUUACGACCCAAGCCGCGAGUGUUUCCACAUCGAUCAGGGGGAUUACGACGAAGACGACUGCCUCGGCAUGCCAGAGAACGACGACGCCCCUGCGCCUGCGUCUCGCGUUGAGAUCCCGCGGGAGCUAGCUGUGGUCCGAGUCCCUGCGGGGGGUCAGGACACACAGCUCGAGCAACUCCGCGAGAUGCAGGCCAAGCUCGACGAAGAAGCGGAGCGACUUAUGCAGCUCCGACAAAACAUCAAGCAGGAGUGGGCAGGCCGAGCACUCGCCGGAGGAGCGCGUCAUCGGGCCCGGGACGUCCAACGCCGUAUCAUUGACGAUGCUAGGGCAGGGCUGCCCCCAGCCUUCAGCGGGGCCGGCUAGAACCUAGCUGCAGCGGCGAUGCUACUUGGAACAAUGCCGGAGCCAUCCACCACCGAGGGGCGGCGUAUCCAGGGCAAACUCCAGGAUCUCCUGGAAGAUGCCGCAAUCCGACGAGCUGAGAGCUCUGCCUCCCGAAGGCGAGGGUGCCCCUCGAAGCAUCGCGCAACGUCCUCCCGACGCAUGUGGGAGGCCUUGGUCCACACCGAGCGCACACGGGACGGGACGCCUGUAGCCUCAGACCGCCUCGGCAGCGAACAACACCGCCGCGACCGUCGAGCCCGCCUCGAGAAAAGGGUGCGCCGAGGCUACCACCCCAGGCGCGGAGGACGCUACGACAGUGAGGAGGAUCGGAGCCCCUCGCCCGAACCACCAGGUCCGCGAGUCUUCAGCCGGGCCAUACGACGGGCGCCGUUCCCGGCCCGGUUCUGGGCCCCGACUACCAUCACCAAGUACUCAGGGGAGACAAGGCCAGAGUUCUGGCUUGCGGAUUACUGGCUGGCGUGCCAGUUGGAAGGGACGGACGACGACAACCUCAUCAUCCGCAACCUCCCCUUUUCCUCUUCGACGCUGCCCGGGCAAGGCUGGAGUAUCUGCCUCCUGCACAGAUCUCCGACUAGGACGACCUAGUCAAGGCCUUUGCUGGAAAUUUCCAAGGUACGUACGUACGCCCUGGGAACUCAUGGGAUCUCCGAAGCUGCCGCCAGCAGCCAGGGGAAUCCCUGCGAGAGUACAUCCGGCGGUUUUCCAAGUAGCGCACCGAGUUGCCCAACAUCAUCGACUCGGACGUCAUCGGGGCAUUCCUCGCCGGCACCACUUGCCGAGACCUAGUGAGCAAACUGGGAUGCAAGACUCCCACCAAGGCGAGCGAACUGAUGGACAUCGCCACCAAGUUCGCCUCUGGUCAGGAGGCGGUCGAAGCCAUCUUCCGGAAGGACAAGCAGCCUCAGGGAAGACAGAAGGAAGACGCCCCCGAGGCGUCUGUCCAACGUGGCACGAAGAAGAAGGCCAAGAAGAAGGUGCAAGCAAAACACGACGUCGUUGACGCGGAUCUCAUCGCUGCUGCCGAGCACAGGAAUCCUCGGAAGCCUCCCGGAGGGGCCAACAUGUUCGACAAGAUGCUCAAGGAGUCGUGCCCCUAUCACAGGGGUUCCGUCAAGCACACCCUUGAAGAAUGCAACAUGCUCUGGCGUUACUUCAACAAGGCCGGACCCUCUGCAGAAGGUAGCAAGGACCAAGGCAACAACAAGAGGGGGGCGACAAGGAAGAGGAGUUCCCGGAGGUCCACAACUGCUUCAUGAUCUACGGCGGACAGGUGGCGAACGCCUCGGCUCGGCACCGCAAGCAGGAGCGCCGGGAGGUCUGCUCGGUGAAGGUAGCGGCGUCGGUCUACCUAGACUGGUCCGACAAGCCCAUCACCUUCGACCAAGGCGACCACCCCGACUGCGUACCGAGCCCAGGAAGGUACCCUCUCGUCGUCGACCCUGUCAUCGGCAAUGCUAGGCUCACCAAGGUCCUCAUGGAUGGAGGCAGCAGCCUCAACAUCAUCUACGCCGAGACCCUAGGGCUCUUGGGGGUCGAUCUGUCCACGAUCCGGGGUAGUGCGGCGCCCUUUCACGGGAUCGUCCUCGGUAAGCACGUCCUGCCCCUUGGGCAACUCGAUUUGCCCGUCUGCUUCGGAACUCCCUCCAACUUCCGAAAGGAAACCCUCACGUUCGAGGUGGUCGGGUUCCGAGGGACCUAUGGGAAGACCGUGCUAUGCCAAGUUCAUGGCCGUCCCCAACUACACGUACCUCAAGCUCAAGAUGUCAGGCCCCAACGGAACCAUCACCGUCGGAUCCACGUACCGCCACGCUUACGAGUGCGACACAGAAUGCGUGGAGUACGCCGAGGCCAUCGCCGAGUCCAAGGCUCUCAUCGCCGACCUGGAUUGCCUCUCCAAGGAGGCACGAUGCGAAGCGCCAUGCCGGCAACUUCAAACCAGCCGAGGCGGUUAAGUCCGUCUCCCUCGACCCCAGCAACGACGCCGGCAAGAAAGUCAGGAUCGGCUCUGAGCUCGACCCCAAAUAGGAAGCAGUGCUCGUCGACUUUCUCCGCGCAAACGCCGAAAUUUUUGCGUGGAGUCCCUCGGACAUGCCCGGCAUACCGAGGGAUGUCGCCGAGCACUCGCUGGACAUCCGAGCCGAUGCCCAACCCGUGAAGCAGCAUCUGCGCCAUUUUGAUGAAGAAAAGCGCAGAGCCAUAGGCGAGGAGGUCCACAAGCUAAUGGCUGCAGGAUUCAUCAAAGAGGUAUUCCAUCCAGAAUGGUUAGCUAACCCUAUGCUUGUGAAGAAGAAAGGUGGGAAAUGGAGGAUGUGCGUAGACUACACUGGUUUAAAUAAAGCAUGUCCGAAGGUUCCCUACCCUCUACCUCGCAUCGAUCAAAUUGUGGACUCCACUGCUGGGUGCGAAACCCUGUCAUUCCUCAACGCCUAUUCAGGCUAUCACCAAAUCAAGAUGAAAGAAUCCGACCAGCUCGUGACUUCUUUUAUCACACCUUUUGGAAUGUAUUGUUAUACUACAAUGCCAUUUGGCUUGAGGAAUGCAGGUGCAACCUACCAAAGGUGCAUGAACCAUGUGUUCGGAGAGCACAUCGGCAGAACAGUCAAGGCUUAUGUCGAUGACAUCGUUGUCAAAACAAGGAAGGCCUCCGACCUCCUCUCCGACCUCGAAGUAACUUUCGGGUGCCUGUGUGCAAAGGGCGUAAAACUCAAUCCCGAGAAGUGUGUCUUCGGAGUCCCCCAAGGCAUGCUCCUGGGGUUCAUCGUCUCCGAACGAGGCAUCAAGGCCAACCCGGAGAAAAUCGUGGCCAUCACCAACAUGGGACCCAUCAAAGAUUUAAAAGGAGUACAAAGGGUCAUGGGAUGCCUUGCGGCUCUGAGCCGCUUCAUCUCGUGCCUCGGCGAGAAAGAAUUGCCCUUGUACCACUGUCGGUGUUUUGGGUCCGACCGCACACCUGGGGUUACCCCUCAAGGUGUUUUUAGGAGUAGGACGGUGUCAACGAUUGUAGCAAAAUGGUUCGUGCCGAUUGCACGAGGGACAGUGGACAAGAUUUGCAGGAUCGGGCCGCUUAGAGAUGCGUAACACCCUACGUCCUGAUGAGUAUUUGAGUGCGGUUACAAGAGGGCUCUCUGGAUCGGAGGCACAGAGAGUUUACGUGGGUGGCUAAGUCAAGUAAGGUCGAUCGAUCUGAAGGGGUGCCCCCUAGGCCUUAUAUACUCGACCGUGGGGCAGUACAUGUGGAUAUGAUAACAACAAGUAGCUGAAAGAUAGUGAACCUCUUGAGUUUAUCCCUACGUAACCCUUGCCGACUUAUCCUCGCAUGGCCCUGUUGCAUGGGGGCUUCAGCGCGGGAAAGUCGAGUCUCUGUUGCGAUUUACUCGUUCGACGUUGUGGGCCGUCCGGGUUUGCAUCAAUCCGGUCUUACGUCUUCUCUGCUUUGUUGAUUGUCUUUCCCCAGGCCCACGAAAGAACGACCUUACGAUUUAUUGGGCCUUUGGGCCUUUCGGGAGGUCUUUUACUUCUUUAGUGGACCCGGGGGAUAUCUAUCCCCCACAAGCCCCCGAUCUUUGGGUUGAUUUGGAGGUAAUCAACCCAAAGAUCCAAGGUCCAAAGAAUGACUUCCUGCUGUCUUCUCUUGCUCUGAUCACUUGUUUGACCGAGGUUUGGCUCUGUUCUUGUGCCUUAGAGGUCGGCAUUUUGAUUUGUAGGAUUCUGAACUUCAUUGGGUGCACCGGAGGUGCACCCAAUGGGUGUAGCCCCCGACCUUUGAGUAGAUUUUAGAAGAUAAUCUACUCGAAGGUCUUCCCCAGAAAUUAUCCCCAUGCGCGCUCCUGUACCUUGGUUGAGGAUUGGUCUUUUCAAUCUUGUCCCAUGCCUUAGAAGUCGGCACUAUAUCGGUUUAGAGUGAUAAUCCAUGGGGUGCACUGGAGGUGCACCCAAUGGGUGUAGCCCCCGACCUUCAAAUGGAUUUUUUAAGGAUAAUCCAUUCGAAGGUCAUUCUUUUGCUUGUAAAAAUUGUCAUGAAGCUAUUCGCAUUAUGCUUUGGAGGUCAGCAUUAUGUCAUCAAAAUUUUGCUGCAGAGGUCAGCAUACAUUUUGUCUCUAGCAGCCGAGCUUGCAGUCCAUCCAUAUCUUGCUAGGUAAUGCAAUUUAUUUGCUUCUGCGACUUGAUUGGACGUGUGAUGGACGUUCUCUGUCUAGUCUUCACAUCGCUUCUGUCGGCCAUGUCUUGUACUUUGCUGGCUAUAUUUGGCUUUCCUCUGAUCCUUACUGGUAUCUUAUUUUUGUCUUGAGGUAUUUACUGCGUGCUCUGCACGGAUGUGACCGUUUUGAAAAAUAUACUGAUAAUUCCUGGGCGUCCCCCCCCAAUGGGUGUGGGCAAGGGACGGCUUGGUACGCUGAGUGUUUUAGCCGGCUGCUUCUGAGUAGUAAUGUGAUGGGACGGCUAGUGUAAUCAUAUCCUUUGUGUUUUGACUGGAGUCCCAAUGGGUGUAGUGUUGCAUGAAACGGCGUCUGCCGUCUGACGUGUCUUCAGAUGGGUGGGAGUGCUUAUUGAAUGCUUUGCGACUGUUCAGUGACCGCGGUUGGAAGUGAGCGGUUGCAUUUCCUUUCUAUAAAUAACGCCCUCGCUCCUCUGGUUUUUUCACAUCCUUCGUUGUUCUCUGUUUCUUCCCUUUCUUCUCUCCUGUCUGCUUCCACCAUGGGCAAGAACAACAAGCGCAAGCGUGAGCCGACUCCUCCAUCGGAGGAGUUUGGUGACUCGGAAUACUCAGAGGAGGAGUUCUCCUCUGAGUCCGAGGGGUCUCCGGCUCCCAUCCCCCUGCGUGAGUCGUCUGAUGACUCAGACGACUCCCAGGGGCUUGCGGCGGAGGUCUGGACGUACAUCCGGGCCGUCGAGCGCUCCGGGCUCGAGGGCUCGGAUGAGUCUGAGUUCUCCUCGGACGAGGAGGACUCGGACGGCGGCGAGGACGAAGAUGACGACGACGACGGUGACGGCAGCAACGGCGGCGGAGGCAGCGGCGGCAAGGGCAGCACCAGAGGCGGCAGCAGCACGGGCAGCACCAGAGGCGGCAGCAGCAAGGGCAGCACCAAGGGCGGCGGCGGCAAGGGCAGCAGCGGCAAGGCCAGUGGCUAAACGCCACUGGUCUUUAGAUAUUAGUAUAGUGUAGUUAAAAUAAUGUAGUAGUAAUGUAGAGUAGUAUAGUGUAGUUUAGUAGUAGUAGUAAUGUAGAGUAGAAGUAGGGAAGCACCAACUCGCGAAGAGUUGGUUUGUAAACUUAUUAACUUCCCCUUAAUGAAGAACUGUCGUUGACCCCCUUUUCGAUGACUCGCUUUCUCUGAAUGUUGAACUGAUUCUUUUGAUAUAGUAGAUGAAUAACUUGCGCAUCACAUUGACGCCUCCAGAAGUAGCUGCCGAGUGAUAUCUUAGUCGGUUUCGACGUUUUUAGAAACAACGCCGAGCGAUGUGAAGGUUGACAUCAGCGUUUUAGAAGUAACACCGAGCAAUCGAACACUAAACCAACGUUUUAGAGGCAACGCCGAGUCAGUGAAGAUCAACAUCGGCAUUUUAGAAGUAAUGCCGAGCGAUAGAAUACGAGUUCAACGUUUUGGAGGCAACGCCGAAUGAUUUGAAGGUCGGCGUCGGCAUUUUGGAAGUAAUGCCAAGCGAUUGAACGCGAGGUCGGCGUUUUAGAGACAACGCCGGGUGUUUAAAGGUCGAUGUUGGUAUUUUAGAAGUAAUGCCAAGCGAUUUGAACACGAGGUCGGCGUUUUAGAGGCAACGCCGAGUGAUUGAAGGUCGGCGUCGGCAUUUUAGAAGUAAUGCCGAGCGAUAGAAUACGAGUUCGUCGUUUUGGAGGCAACGCCAAGUGAUUUGAAGGUCGACGUCGGCAUUUUAGAAGUAAUGCCAAGCGAUUUGAACACGAGGUCGGCGUUUUAGAGGCAAUGCCGAGUGAUUGAAGGUCGGCGUCGGUAUUUUAGAAGUAAUGUCGAGCAAUAGAAUACGAGUUCGUCGUUUUGGAGGCAACGCCGAGUGAUUUGAAGGUCGACGUCGGCAUUUUAGAAGUAAUGCCAAGCGAUUUGAACACGAGGUCGGCGUUUUAGAGGCAACGCCGAGUGAUUGAAGGUCGGCGUCGGCAUUUUAGAAGUAAUGCCGAGCAAUAGAAUACAAGUUCGUCGUUUUGGAGGCAACGCCGAGCGAUUUGAAGGUCGGCGUCGGCAUUUUAGAAGUAAUGCCGAGCGAUUGAACGCGAGGUCAGCGUUUUCAAGACAACGCCGAGUGAUAGCCAGCCGCACGAGUUAUUUUGAGGAUAAUAACCGAGUGAUGAAGUGGCACGUCGGCUUUUUUGGAAAUAACUGUCGCAUGUCCACGUGGCAUGCUGUGAUUUCGGAAAUAACCGCCGGGUGAUGACUGGGCACUUUUUGAAAGGGUAUCUGGCUCAAGAAUAUCCCAUAAGAGUUGCGCUUUUAGCCGCCUUUGCUUUCCGUGCCCUAGUUCUUGCGUUCUCGCAUCUGAAUUCUCUCUGCCACUCGCCUCCUACUCUGUUCGCCAGUGAGAAGCAAGAUGGCGCCCAAGAGGAAAACUGCGAACUCGUCUGCUGCGGUGAUCCCCGCAAUCGACCCCAACAGUCAGUUACCCUUCCCAGGUAACCACAUGUCUGUUAUUUCCGAAGCUGAGCUUCUCUGCCUCGUCUCCAUCGGGGUUCUUCCUCCGCGGGAACUCUGUUCUUGGCGGAUUUGCCACGGGACUACUGUCCCAACCGAAGAUACCCACGAGUCAGUAGUUUAUGCUCCUUUUCUUCUCCGCGGCCUCGGCCUUCCCAUCUCUCCUUUUUUCCGUGGCCUUCUUGACUUUUAUCAUAUCAACUUGACCCAUUUGAACCCUAAUUCCAUUCUCCAAAUCUCCAUCUUCGUUCACCUAUGCGAAGCCUACCUCGGUGUGUUGCCGCAUUUCGGUUUGUGGAAGUAUCUGUAUCAUUGUCGCCCUGGGAUGGCCGGGGGGCAACACCAGCUGGUCGGAGGUGCCAGUUUGGAGAUGCGCCGUGGGCGGAAGACCGAGUAUCUUGAGAUUCCCCUCAAAGAUAGCAUUAAAGGUUGGCGUCUGGAGUGGUUUAUAGUUGAUAAUUAUGGAAAUUCUCUCCCUUCCCGGUCAGGAAGACAGCCAGAUGUUCGUACUCCGAGUUGGACUGAGUCUCCCACAGAUCAGGAAGUGGCCGAGGCAGGCGUGUUGCUUACUGAAGUCGGAUUACUGAAAGAGAGAGGUCUGACUGCCGAAGCUGUGGUCACUGAUUUUGUUUUCAAGAACAUUCAGCCACUGAAAGACAGGGCCUAUCCGGCAUAUCUGUAUCGAGGGCUGGCCGACUCAACUCGGGUUACCAAUAGGAGAAUUCCUUCUGUUGACUUGGUAAGCCGACUUGAAAUGAUCCUCAGGGGUAAAGUUUCAAAUGUUGGUGCUCCAGUGGCAUACUCGGCUUGGAACCUACCUCCUCCCAAAGCUUUCACCCUUUUUGUGUCGAAUCCGCCUGUGACUGACAGCAAUUUGGGCCUUAGAGUGCGACCCUCUGCUGAAGAAGUCAGUACUUUGGUCGCUUCGCUCGGGGCAAUUCCUGAUGAUGAACGGCAGGUUUAUUUUGAAGUGCCUCUGAACCCUAGUGAUGCCGACAUAAAUGAUAUGCUUGAUCUGUUAACUGAGGAUUCAUCCGAUGCUGCUCCUGAUGGUACGUUGGCAGUGGUGCCCCUUCCAGAGGUUGAUACAACUUUGAAUGUCCCGAAACCUAUCAGCACUCGCCCGAGGCGCCCUAGCCGAACCAGUCAGCCCGAGCCUUCUGCUGAUGAGCAAAAGAAAAAGAGAAGACGCCUCCGGCGAGUAUCCAGUUUUGAUGAGGACGCCGGUACCUUAGCUCCUGCUGCUGAAGAAGUGCCUGCAACUGGUCUUACUGACACUGAACCCAAUGGGUGUGCCCAAACUGUUGCUGAUCCCAAUGGGAGUGCUGCUUGCGUUGCCGCUGUGGAGGAUGAAGAGGAAGAAGAUGAGGCUCCCUUAACUCGGAAAAACAGUCGGCAGUUUAUCGCCAGCGGUGGAAGUAGCGGAGUUCCUUCUCCUGCUUUGUCUGCCCUUAUUGGUCUGCAAGAACUGUCCAUGGCCAACUUUGAUCAAACUCUAGAGGAUAUGGUCCCAGAGGAUUUGCUAUCAGAGCCUGCAGAUGUAGAUGCAACAGAGACUUGUGCUGCCAUGCCUGAUGCUGGGUUGAGGUCAUCCCGUGCCUCGUCGACCUUAGAGCAUGAUCUCGAGGGUCGGGAUGCUGACUUGGAUUGUCCUGGUCCCAUGGAAGUAGCUGAAGGCCCGUCAACCUUAGAGGUGGUUACGGCAGAGAGCUUGGACCCCUUGAAUAGUGCUGACACGCGCCCAGCCCCCGAGGAUGUCGCCGGGGAAGACUUAGCUCGGGUGAAGAGUAUAAGCCUCUGCCCAGCCCUCGAGGGUGUUGCCGGGAAUGAUCCGGCUCAAGUGGGCAGUGCCAACUGUGACCCAGCCCCCGAGGGUGUCCGAGCAAGGUCUCCUUCCUGCACUUCCAUGGAUGUUCAUGCGGGUUCACCUCCACACUCUGGCGGUAUGGUUGUGGCCCAGACUCUGGAUCCGGGGGUCGCUUUAGAGGGCAGCAUCCCCACUGGUCUGGCGUUAGGCUCUGUUGAAUGUACUGAGCUCGUUCCUGCUGGUCUGCUGCAAGCUGCUUCGGGUGGUGGUCUGGCACCUGGUUAUCAACUGAUUUCUCCUGACUUGGGGAUCCCUUCGUUCUUUUCCAACCUCCAGGUACUGUGCUAUACUUUAGCUUGUUCUUUACGUUGCAUGAAUUUUUGUCAUUAUGCUCAUCCGCUCUUCUUAUCAGGCUUUGGUGGAUGGGAUGGCCAACCAGCUGAAAUCGCAGGGUGCUUCCAUCCCAGAAGUGGCUUCAUCUCUUGAGCGUUGGAAUCCGGUGUCGCUUCAUCGUCGUGUAUCCGAGUUGGAGGCGACUAAUGCAGGUUAGUGCCCUUCUUCUUCUUCCUUGCCUUUAUUCGUGGAUUGUUUUACCUUCUGACCUCAUUUCGUUUGAUUACCUCUGGAUAGGAAUGACUCGGCAGAUUGCAGUUCUUGAGGAAAAACAUUCCCGAGAUCAAGCUGAAAUGGCUCAACGGUGUGCUGACUUCGAGGAGAAGUAUUCUCAGAGCCAGACUGAACUGAAUCAGGUCUCCGCUGCUUUGGAUGACGCCAACGCUCUGAGUUCUUCUCUUCAUGCUCGGCUUGACUCUGAAAAGGUAACUUACAAAACCGUGCUUCGCCUUAUUAUAUGCUUGGAUUCUGAAUGAGUUGAUUUUUGCUUGUAGGAAGAAAAAUGUAUCCUUGCUGCUUCCCGUGACAAUCUGGAUAGAUUGUAUCGAGAUUCAAGCAACUCGCUAACCAUCUUGGAGAGGAGCCACCGUUUUACAAUGGAAGAACUGGACAAUCAGCGUUGCAGGCUGCAAGAAUCUGCAGAUGAAGUGACCCGCCUCACGCAAUUGAUAUCAGCGAAGGAUGCCACCAUCAAGGGACUCCGAGCUUCUAAGAAAUCCAUUGCUCAGGAGUUAGAAACUGCUCAGCUGGCUGCUAAAGUUGCCGAGGAAACUGCUGUUACUCUCAAAGCUCAGCGUGACAAAGCCAUGGACAAGGCUAUUCGGGCAGGACGAAUCUUGAUGAGAAGACCCGGCGUGGUUGUCCCUGAAGACAUAAGAGCUGAUGUGAAUGCUGCCCCCGAUUCUUCGAAUCGCCCUUCUUCGUCAGUCGUUCCUGAGAAAGACAUUGGAAAAUAGAGAAACAUUUUGCGUGCUAUGGGCGCGCGGUUAGCAUAAUCGAGUGCUCGUUAGGGGUUAUCAGCUUAUCAUUCGAAUGAUAUGAUCACUCUCUUAUUGUAUCAGAAUUUAUUUAUUAAUUCGCAAGUUUGUGGUAACGCUACAUGAUGAUUAUGAAGUUUGUUUUCUGGAUAUGGAAGUCGUCCCCUGAAUUGCAUAAGCGUGAGUAUGUUGCACUGGCUUAAGUCGUUACCGACUUAAGUCGAUUGCUCCGUUGGUAGGGCAUAGUGGCCACCCCGAAUUAAGUAAGCGUGAGCAUGUUGCACCGCCUCAAGUCGUUGCCGACUUAAGUCGAUUGCUCCGUUUGUAGGGCAUAGUGGCCACCCCGAAUUAAGUAAGCGUGAGCAUGUUGCACCGCCUUAAGUCGUUGUCGACUUAAGUCGAUUGCUCCGUUUGUAGGGCAUAGUGGUCACCCCGAAUUAAGUAAGCGUGAGCAUGUUGCACCGCCUUAAGUCGUUGUCGACUUAAGUCGAUUGCUCCGUUUGUAGGGCAUAGUGGUCACCCCGAAUCAAGUAAGCGUGAGCAUGUUGCACCGCCUUAAGUCGUUGCCGACUUAAGUCGAUUGCUCCGUUUGUAGGGCAUAGUGGUCACCCCGAAUCAAGUAAGCGUGAGCAUGUUGCACCGCCUUAAGUCGUUGCCGACUUAAGUCGAUUGCUCCGUUUGUAGGGCAUAGUGGCCACCCCGAAUUAAGUAAGCGUGAGCAUGUUGCACCGCCUUAAGUCGUUGCCGACUUAAGUCGAUUGCUCUGUUUGUAGGGCAUAGUGGUCACCCCGAGUUAAGUAAGAAUGCAAGUCAAUCGUAAACGAGCCGAGUAUCUUUGGAAUCUCUCUUUAUUGAUGACGUAUUUCCAUUUUACAGAAUACAUGGUCGCCUUAGCUGUUUUGAAAUACAGCUAAGGGUAAAACUUUCUGAGGUGCUCUAUGUUCCAGGAGUUCCCAACUUCUGUGCCAUCCAUCUGGGUGAGGCGAUACGAUCCGGGCCGAGUGACCUCUGCUACUAUGAAAGGCCCUUCCCAUAAGGGUGAUAACUUGUGCCGUCCCUCCCCCGUUAGAAUUCGGCGGAGGACGAGGUCUCCUAUCGAAAAGGAACGUUGCCGCACAGCUUUGUCGUGAUAGCGCCUCAGAGUCUGCUGGUACCGUGCUGAUUGGAUUACUGCAUUCAGUCGUUCUUCCUCAAGUACAUCAAUAUCCUCCAGCCUGGUGGCCUCAGCUUUUGCUAUGCUUUCGAAGAUCAAUCUUGGCGCCCCAAACUUGAGGUCAGCAGGUAGCACUGCCUCCGACCCAUAGACCAUGAAGAAAGGAGUGUUUCCAUGCAGGGCUCGGCUAGGUUGGGUUCUCAGGCUCCAAACGACAUAAGGCAGCUCUCUUAUCCAUUUUCCUGCAAAUUUUUCAUUCUUAUCGAAGACCCUUUUCCUGAGUGCCUCCAAUAUCAUUCCGUUGGCUCGCUCAACCUGCCCGUUGGCUCUUGGAUGUGCUACAGAUGCGUACUUGAUUUGAAUGCUCUUUUGCUCGCAGAAGUCAAAGAAUUCUGAACUGGUGAAGUUGGAUCCCAAGUCAGUGAUGAUACUGUUUGGUAUCCCGAAUCUGAAUAUUAUGCUUUGUAUGAAUUCCACGGCUUUAGCAGAGGUUAAAGAAGCGAUGGGCUGGAACUCUAUCCAUUUAGUGAAUUUGUCAAUCGCCACCAACACAUGGGUAUAUCCUCCUUGAGCUUUCUUGAGAGGUCCAAUCAUAUCCAGUCCCCAGCAUGCGAAAGGCCAAGUCACUGGUAUGGUCUGUAGCUGCUGUGCUGGCAUGUGCUGUUGCUUUGACAGGUAUUGGCAAGCUUCGCAUCUCUGAACUAACCCGGCUGCAUCGUUCUUCGCCGUCGGCCAAUAGAAUCCUGACCUGAAAACCUUCCCGACUAGUGUUCUGGAUGCUGCAUGUACUCCACAUUGCCCUGCAUGGACUUCCUCCAGAAGUUGCUUCCCGGUGGACGGGAGGACGCACUUCAUGAGGACGCCUGACGCGCCCCUCCUGUAUAAUACCUCCCCAAUGAGUGUAUAGUGAGCUGAUUGUCUGGCAAUACGCUCUGCCGAGUUCUUGUCAUCUGGUUCUUCUUCAUUCUUUAUAUAUUUAAUAAUCGGCUGUCUCCAGUCAUCAGAGUCUGACUCAGGUUGAUCUAUGAUGUUGCACUCUUCUGUUUGAUCCGUUGAGAUACUCGGCUGCAGGAUUUCUUGUACGAAGACUCCGGGUGGGACCUGAGUUCGACCGGAUCCGAGCUUGGACAGUACAUCGGCUGCCGUGUUCCGAUCUCUUUCUAUAUGAUGAAACUCCAGACCCUCGAAUUUCUCUUCCAGCUUUCGGACGGCGGCGCAGUAUUUUCCCAUUGAAUCACUUGAACAAUCCCAUUCCUUGUUUAUCUGGCUGAUGACUACCAGUGAAUCUCCAUACACCAUCAAUCUCUUGACGCUAAGUGAUAUGGCAAUGUUUAAUCCGUGUAUCAAGGCUUCAUACUCGGCUGCGUUGUUAGAGGCCAGGAAUAGCAACUGGAGAGCAUACUUGAGGUGUUCGCCUCCAGGUGCAGUGAAGAGAAUCCCUGCUCCUGCUCCCUACAGCUUCAGCGAGCCAUCAAAAUACAUUCACCAUACUUCUGUCGUCUCUGGAUUGUCUGGAACUUGCUGUUCUGUCCACUCUGAUACGAAAUCAACCAGUGCUUGAGUUUUGAUGGCAGUGCGAGGUCGGAACUCGAUAUCGUGGGAUCCCAACUCGCAAGCCCACUUGGCUAUUCGGCCAAUGGCUUCCUUGUUGUGAAGAAUGUCCCCUAUCGGAAAACCAGUGACUACUAUGACUUUGUGGUCGUCAAAGUAGUGGCGCAGCUUGCGGGCAGUUAGAAGUACUGCGUAUAAUAGCUUCUGAACCUGAGGAUACUUUUUCUUCGAGGGGCCUAGAACUUCACUGAUGAAGUAAACAGGAUGUUGUACUGGAUAGGCAUGUCCUUCUUCUACUCGCUCGACUACCAACGCAGUGCUUACCACGUGAGUCGUGCAAGAGAUAUACAGCAACAAGUCUUCAGCCGGUUGAGUCGGUGUAGCUCGCCGGGGUGGUUUCAGUACUGGUGGUGUUGUCAAGAAUUUCUUCAGUGCGUUUAGAGCUUCUUGUGCCUCUGAAGUCCACUGAAACUUAUCCACCUUCUUGAGUAGCUUGUAAAAUGGCAAACCUUUUUCUCCCAGCCUGGAUAUGAAUCUGCUCAGAGCUGCCAUACAUCCAGUGAGUCGCUGAACCUUCUUUUGUGACCGAGGAGCUUCCAUCUUCAUGAUAGCUUCAAUCUUAUCUGGAUUAGCCUCAAUUCCCCGGUGGCUGACGAUAAAUCCGAGCAACUUUCCUGCUGGUACCCCGAAAACACAUUUUUCAGGAUUGAGCUUCCAUCUAUAUCUUCUCAGGCUGUUGAAAACCAACUGUAAAUCUUCGAUGAAGUUUUCCGAAUUCUCUGGUUUGAUCACCACGUCAUCUACGUAAGCCUCCACACGCUUGCCCCAGUGAUCGGCUAAGCAUGUCUGAAUGGCUCUCUGAUAAGUCGCUCCAGCGUUUUUGAGGCCGAACGGCAUGGAGGUAUAACAGAAAGCACCAAACGGAGUGAUGAACGCCGUUUUUUCCUCGUCUUCUUUUGCCAAACUAAUCUGAUGAUACCCGGAAUAGCAAUCUAAGAAAGACCGCACAGAACAUCCAGCGGUGGAAUCCACCACCUGAUCUAUCCUUGGGAGCCCGAAGGGAUCCUUCGGACAGUGUUUGUUGAGAUCAGUAUAGUCUACGCACAUGCGCCAAUCCACUUUAUUCUUUUUGAGUACAAGAACAGGGUUGGCCAACCACUCGGGGUGUAAUACUUCUCUAAUAAAUCCAGCCGCGACCAAGCGGGUUAACUCGGCACGAAUGGCCUCUCUCUUGUCGGUCGUGAAACGACGUAGCUUUUGCCGGAUCGGCCUCGCCUGAGGAUAGACCUUCAAUUUGUGCUCGGCCAGUUCUCUUGGGACUCCCGGCAUAUCCGCAGGUUGCCAUGCGAAUACGUCUCGGUUAUCUUGCAGGAACUGGACGAGCGCGUUUUCCUAUUUGUCAUUCAAACUGGAGCUGAUGAUGGCCGUCUUGCGCUCAUCAGCGAACCCCAGGUUGAUCCGCUUAGUUUCUUCAGUCGGCCGCAUAGAGGUCACGGCCUGAGCUUCGUUUGCCGGUACGGCGAGGUCUUCCUCAGGCUUAGAGUUCGCCGGCGUAGAAGGAACCGUUGACGGCUUGGUGGAGAGGGCUGCUUGGAUGGCCACUCGAAAACAUUCUACGGCGCCUUGGAAGUCGGCGCGCACAGUUAUGAUUCCUUGCGGUCCUGGCAUCUUCAGUAUCAUGUAUGUAUAGUGCGGAAUGGCCAUGAAUUUGGCCAGCCCCGGCCUCCCGAUGAUGGCGUUGUACCCGCAGUCGAAGUUCGCCACCUCGAACCUCAGGAACUCGGUUCUGUAGUUCUCCGGAGUCCCGAAGGUGACCGGCAUGUAGAUGUGGCCUAGCGGGUAUUCCCCUUCCGUCGGCACGAUGCCGAAGAAAGGAGUGUCUGACUCGUGGAGCUCUUUGAGGUGAACUCCCAAGCCUUGGAGCGUACGGGGGAAGGUGACGUUGAUGCUGCUCCCCCCGUCCACUAGCACCUUUUUUACCCGGCUCUCUCGGAUCACCGGAUCGACGAGGAGCGGGUAUUUGCUUGGAUGGUCGAAGUUGAGCCAUUGAUCCUCCCGAGUGAAAGUGAUCGGGUGCUCCGACCACCGGUAUGGGGCGGGAGGGCCGGUGGUCGCCACCAGUAUCUGGCGGUCGUUGAGCUUUUGUUGUCUUUUGUUCUCCUGCGACCCAUGUCCACCGAAGAUGACGUUGACCUCCCUGUCAACGCGUGGGAAAGCUCCUCCUCUCCCCUCCUCCUGCUGAUGGGGCUGUCGUGGUUCAUCUGGUCCUCCCCUCGGCGGAGGAGGCGGUAGAGGUUGGAAGGGUCGGCCGUGCCCGACAGAGUGCUUGAAGUCCCGGCAGUUACGGAGAGUAUGGCGCAUGUCCUUGUGGUACGGGCACUGGGCGUCGAGGAUGUCGUCCAGCGUGCGCUCGCCUCCACGAGGCCCUCCUCGGGCGCGAGAGGCGGGUGGUCCGGCGUCGUGUACUUCUUCACGAGGCCUCUUCUCCUAGCGUUUGUCGGGUGGCUGGUUCGCGUCACAUCGUGGUGCUGGCGGUGCGGGCUUUGCUCCUCCGAUGAGAUCCUGGGCCCGCUCGUCGGCGGUGAUGUAGAGGUCGGCUUCCCGGAACAGCUCCUCGGAGGUAGUCGGCGCCUUUUGUAGUAUGGCUCGGACGAAAGCCGAGUCAUUGGAUCCUCCGUAGAAGUCCUCGAUCACGGCCGCCUCCGUGACCUCGGGGAUGCGGUUUCUCAUGGUCUGGAACCUUUUGAGAUAUGACCGGAGAGUCUCGUCCCCUCGGCGCUUGAUGGAUUUGAGGUCCCAUGGUUGCGCUGGCUUGUCGGAGAGGGACUGAAAGUUGGCGAUGAAGCGUCGACUGAAGUCUCCCCAGUCGUCGAUGCAGUGUCGGGGUAGAUGUCGUAGCCACUGCAGCGCAUCUUGCCCAAGGACGAUGGGCAGAUACGCAGUCAUGACGUCUUCAGAUGCCCCGGCAGCCCGAGCAGCGGUGGUGUAGACGGCUAGCCAACCCCCUGGAUCCUGCUUAGGUUCAUAUUUGUCGACAUUGGAUACCUUGAAGUUGGGAGGCCAUUGGAUGGCCCUAAGGCGCGGAGUAAGAGCGGAUACUCCGCACGUGUCCUCCUGUCGUCGGGGACGAUGUCUGUCCCGGGGAGGGGAGCGGUGGUGGUGGUUCCUCGACCGUCCCCGGGUGGUACCACCAGUUGAAGCUGUUGCCGACUCAGUCCUGGUGGCCUGGCUUUGAGUCGGGAAGCCGUGAUCUCGGUCAUACUCCUCCCGACGGCGAAUUUCGUUCUCAUGCCGCCGUUCGCGCGAAGCAUUGAUAGAGCUUCGCGCGUCUCGGCGACUGUUGAUGGCGUGUCGCAAAUCGUUCGGCGGGUGAGCGAGCUGUAGAAGAUGGUUGGCCGCCUGAGUGAACAGGCGUCGGUAUCCCUCGGCGUCGGGAGUCCGAGGAAGUCCGUCAGCUAUCCGAGCUAGAACGCCUCCGACUUCGCUCGGCGUGUUCAUAGCUCGGGCGAAGUCGGGGUUUAGGUUGCGCCCGAAGAGCGGAUUCUCCCGGCGUUGCCUUGCGUCUUGCUCGGCUUGCUCCUGAGUCCGUCGGCGAUCGCGUCGUCGGGAGUUCCUUCGUUCCCUGAAGACGCGUUCUUCCGGAGUUUCUCCUAUCUCCGAGACCUCGUCUCGCGAGACAGGCUGCUCCGGAUCCCGUUCUCCGGCCGCGUGAUGUCGUCGAACGUUCCUGCGUCGGUUCCUCCGUCGGCGGGAUUCUCGUUGAGGUGGUUCUUCUCCAGGCACGGUCGGUUCGUCGUCAGAGACGGCGGGUGACUCCACUCUCCCGAUGAAGAGGACGUCGGGGUAGAAUGGUGCUGCUGUCGUGGCGACUUUCUUUCCGUUCUCCUUUGAGGCCAGAGGAACGGAAAGAAUGACUUUCCUUUCCCUGGUCUCCUUCUUCUUCGCGACCCGUGUCCACUCUUUCGUCGGGGAAGUAGACAGCGGAAUCUUCCGGGUCAGCGAGCUUCCAGCUCCAGCCUUCCCGGAGAUAAUCUUUUUCCGAAGAGCCGGAGGUAGCGCCUUUCCCGCAUUUUCGGAGUUUGUUGGAGGAGACUUCUUUUCCGGCAGAUCUGCGAGGCGGUGUAGAAUUCCCUCUUCAUCCGCUACAGAUGAGAUUGUCCCGAAGCAGAAUACAGAUCCGGGACGCACGGUGAUCUUGCUGUGGAAGGUGACGGCCAUUGAGCUAGCUUGGAUCGUCGACACACCCCCUACCUGGCGCGCCAGCUGUCGGUGUUUUGGGUCCGACCGCACACCUGGGGUUACCCCUCAAGGUGUUUUUAGGAGUAGGACGGUGUCAACGAUUGUAGCAAAAUGGUUCGUGCCGAUUGCACGAGGGACAGUGGACAAGAUUUGCAGGUUCGGGCCGCUUAGAGAUGCGUAACACCCUACGUCCUGAUGAGUAUUUGAGUGCGGUUACAAGAGGGCUCUCUGGAUCGGAGGCACAGAGAGUUUACGUGGGUGGCUAAGUCAAGUAAGGUCGAUCGAUCUGAAGGGGUGCCCCCUAGGCCUUAUAUACUCGACCGUGGGGCAGUACAUGUGGAUAUGAUAACAACAAGUAGCUGAAAGAUAGUGAACCUCUUGAGUUUAUCCCUACGUAACCCUUGCCGACUUAUCCUCGCAUGGCCCUGUUGCAUGGGGGCUUCAGCGCGGGAAAGUCGGGUCUCUGUUGCGAUUUACUCGUUCGACGUUGUGGGCCGUCCGGGUUUGCAUCAAUCCGGUCUUACGUCUUCUCUGCUUUGUUGAUUGUCUUUCCCCAGGCCCACGAAAGAACGACCUUACGAUUUAUUGGGCCUUUGGGCCUUUCGGGAGGUCUUUUACUUCUUUAGUGGACCCGGGGGAUAUCUAUCCCCCACAACCACCUCUUAAGGAAGGCCGAGCGCUUCACUUGGACCCCUAAGGCCGAAGAAGCCCUCAGAAACCUUAAAGCACUCCUUACCAAUGCGCCCAUCUUGGUGCCCCCCGCUGCGGAAGAAGCCCUCUUGAUUUACGUAGCCGCAACCACUCAGGUGGUCAGCGCCGCGAUUGUAGUCGAGAGACGAGAAGAGGGGCAUGCACUGCUCAUCCAGAGGCCGGUCUACUUCAUCAGUGAGGUGCUAUCCGAGACCAAGAUCCGCUACCCACAAAUUCAGAAGUUACUGUACGCAGUGAUUCUGACACGGCGAAAGUUGCGACACUACUUCGAGUCUCAUCCGGUGACUGUGGUGUCAUCCUUCCCCCUGGGAGAGAUCAUCUAGUGCCGAGAGGCCUCGGGUAGGAUAGCAAAAUGGGCAGUGGAGCUCAUGGGCGAAACACUUUCAUUCGCCCCUCGGAAGGCCAUAAAAUCUCAAGUCUUGGCAAACUUCCUGGCUGAAUGGGUCGACACCCAAUUGCCGACAGCUCCAAUCCAGGCCGAGCUUUGGACCAUGUACUUCGAUGGGUCGCUUAUGAAAUCCGGAGCAGGUGCUGGCUUGCUCUUCAUUUCAGCCCUCGGAAAACAUGUGCGCUACGUUAUACGCCUCCAUUUUCUGGCGUCAAACAACGUGGCCGAGUACGAGGCUUUGGUUAAUGGGUUGCGCAUCGCCGUCGAGCUAGGGGUUCGGCGCCUCGACGCUCGUGGUGACUCGCAGCUUGUUAUUGACCAAGUCAUGAAGAACUCCCACUGCCGCGAUCGAAAAAUGGAGGCCUACUGCGAUGAAGUUCGGUGCUUGGAGGAUAAGUUCUAUGGGCUGGAACUCAACCAUAUUGCUCGACGGUACAACGAGACUGCGGAUGAGCUGGCUAAAAUAGCCUCGGGGCGGAUGACGGUUCCCCGAACGUCUUCUCCAGGGACAUAUAUCAACCAUCCGUCAAACUUGACGAUGCGCCCGAACCCGAGGAGACCUCGGCCCAGCCCGAGGUACCCUCGGCCGCCGAGGGUGAGGCCCUGCGCGUCGAGGGAGAGCAGCACAGGAUUACGCCAAACCUGAACUGGCAGACCCCGUACCUGGAAUAUCUCCUCCGAGGAGAGCUGCCCCUCAACAAGGCCGAAGCUCGGCGACUGGCUCGGCGCGCCAAGUCAUUCGUUUUACUGGGCGAUGAAAAAGAGUUGUACCACCGCAGCCCCUCAGGCAUUCUCCAACGAUGCAUAUCUGUCGCCCAAGGACAAGAGCUGUUACAAGAAAUACACUCGUGGGCUUGCGGUCACCACGCAGCACCUCGGACCCUCGUGGGAAACGCUUUCCGACAAGGUUUCUACUGGCCGACUGCGGUGGCCGACGCCACUAGGAUUGUGCACUCCUGCCGAGGGUGUCAAUUCUACGCGAGACAAACGCACCUGCCCGCUCAGGCCCUGCAGACAAUACCUGACACUUGGUCGUUUGCCGUAUGGGGUUUGGACCUCGUUGGUCCCUUGCAGAAGGCACCCAGGGGCUUCGCGCACCUACUGGUCGCCAUCGACAAAUUCUCUAAGUGGAUCGAAGUCCGACCCUUAACCAGCAUCAGGUCCGAGCAGGCGGUGACGUUCUUAACAAAUAUCAUCCAUCGCUUUGGGGUCCCAAACUCCAUCAUCACCAACAAUGGCACGCAGUUCACUGGGAAAAACUUCUUGGACUUCUGCGAAGACCACCACAUCCAUGUGGACUGGGCCACUGUAGCUCACCCAAUGACAAAUGGGUAGGUGGAACGCGCUAACGGUAUGAUUUUGCAGGGACUAAAACCAAGGAUCUACAACAACCUCAACAAGUUUGGCAAGCGGUGGAUAAAAGAACUGCCCUCGGUGGUUCGGAGUCUGAGGAUGACUCCGAGCCGGGCCACGGGUUUCUCGCCGUUCUUUCUAGUCUAUGGGACCGAGGCCAUCUUACCCACGGACUUAUAAUACGGUUCCUCGAGGACAAAGGCAUACGACGACCAAAGCAACCAGACCAGCAGGAAGAAGCUCGGGACGUGGCCUUAUUACACUCGGUGCGGUAUCAGCAGUCUCUGCGACGCUACCACGCCCGAAGGGUUCGGCCCCGAGGCUUCCAAGUGGGAGACUUGGUACUUCGGCUGCGACAAGAUGCCUGAGGGCGCCACAAGCUUACUCCUCCCUGGGAAGGGCCGUUCAUCAUCGCCAAGAUUUUGAAGCCCAGAACAUACAAGCUAGCCAACGAUCGAGGCGAGGUCUACAGCAAUGCUUGGAACAUCCAACAGCUACGUCACUUCUACCCUUAAAAUGUUUCAAGUUGUUCAUGUAUCUCGCUUUCUUUACAUAUAUAAAUAAAGUCUAACUGUCAAGGAAGGAUCAGCUUUGCCUUGGCAAAGCCCGACCCUCCCUCGGGGGCAAGAAGGGGGGAACCCCCUCUGCGUCAAAAUUUUCCUCAGAAAAGUUUUCUACUAAAACAACUUUCGUGCUUUUCGACUAUAUCGAUAACAGGAUCCUAAAAACGACGAGAGGAACCUUAAACGGCAAUGCCGACCGAGCCGAGGGACUCCUAUGCCUCCGAGAUACGGAUACCUCACUCAUCACCUUCCGCGAAAAGUAACUCAUGCACGGAUGAGUGAUUCUGCUACCGACGAACAAGUCCUAACGCACGAAACAAGAGGAAAGAAAACGACUUUCGUGGUUUUCGACUACAUUGAUAACAGAAUCCUAAAAACGACGAGAGGAACCUUAAACGGCAAGGCCGACCAAGCCGAGGGACUCCUACGCCUCUGGGAUACGGAUACCUCACUCAUCACCUUUCGCGAAAAGUAACUCAUGCUCGGAUAAGCGAUUAUGCUACCGAACAAGUCCUAACGCACGAAACAAGAGAAAAGAAAACACAGCUUUAUACUCUAACAAUAAAAAUGUUUAGGCCUCAGUGGCCGCAAAAAAAACAUACACACACUUAAAACAAACUGUUCCUGCAGGAUCAGACAUCGGCAGGGGGAGGAGCAGCACCCUCGGCAUCGUUUCCACCCUCAGCGGAACCUGGCUCGGCCUCAGACGGCGACACGGGCGGAAGGAUCUCCACCUCAAAGGAGGAAGCCAGCGCCGCGCUUGGGCCCUCGACGGCCGCGUCAAGCCUCUGGACCUCGACUAAGGCGGCCUCCUCUUCGUCGGGUAAGCAGUACCCCUCGCUGACCCGCUCUAGAUCCACGUCGUAGUGGGAAGCGAGCACGGUGAAGGCCCGCCUAACGCCGUGGUGCAGCGCCCCACGGAGUCUGCUGCGCACAUGGCCGCCCAAGGCCCGCAGGUGACUCUGGGGGAAGCUACCCGAGGGGACGUCGUCGAGGCCAAAGGCCCGGCAGAAAGCCGAGAUAGCGUCGGACAUGGCCGUGCGGUCGGCCUCCUUCUGCUCUGCCGCCCAGGCAAGCACCUUGCAAUUCUUGACGGACUCGCUAAGAGCUGUCUCGAACCCUGCAGACAGCCGAACAGUAUUCUUCAGACACGAGGAGAAGAAUGGAGACAAAAAAAAAGUCACAAAGCGGGCAAAACAUACCCUUGGCCCGGGCACGCUGCUAUGAGGCCAUGGCUUGGGCAAACCAGGCAGACCCGACGGCCACAGCCAGGCCCUCCGCAAGGGUCCCGGCCCGAGCGGUCGCCUCGGGUCUAGAAAGAGGGAAGCCCCCUCUGUGUCAAAAUUUUCCUCGGAAAAGUUUUCCGCCAAAACGACUUUCGUGCCUUUCGACUGCGUCAAUGACGGAAUCCUAAUGACGAGCGACAGAGACCUUGAACGGCAAGGCCGACCAAGCCGAGGGACUCCUACGCCUCCGGGAUACGGAUACCUCACUCAUCACCUUCCGCAGAAGGUAGCUCACGCUCGGAUAAGUGAUUCUGCUACCGACGAACAAGUCCUAAUGCUCGAAACAAGAGGAAAGAAGCACGGCUUUAUAUACCCAAAUGUUCAGGCCUCAGCAGCCACAAAGAACAAACACACAUGCUUAGGGUAACUAUGGUAUCUAGACUUAGACAUCGGCAGCGCCCUCGGCGGUUCUCCCGACCUGCUGCAGAUGUCUUAGUACUUGAAGCUAUUACAUCUUGCUCUCAGGCAAGUACCAUUACAAACUAGACUCCAGCUCCAUUCCCACAGGAAUGAAGUACCUCCACACCAGAGGGGCUGCGAGAUAACAAACUCCGAGCGGCUCGCCGGCGACCACUGCACCAGCAGCGACAACGACCUCCACCUCGGGCGGCUAGACAGCUGCAGCGAUUGCCUCAGGGCAAACGCUACUGCGGAAAGGCCCUCGCCCACGUCCCCCUACGAGGGACGAGAACCAACCAUUAAAGCCAAAGAGCCGGAGGUCCGGAGUGCAGGUGGCACUAACGGUCUCGUCGGCGGAGGCAACCGCUUCGGCAGGGGAAGCCUCACCUAUGGCGACCACCACCUCAGCACCGACGACAGCGGCCACCUGCCCACCAACACCGCACCAGCAAACGGCGGCCGCCCCAGUGCGCACCGGCAGGUCCUCACUCCCGUCCUGGCCACAGGAGCAAAGAAGGGACUAUCCCAGAACACGAACACCGCCCUCACGGCGUACGACGUGUUGUGCGACCUCCCGGUGUAGCCGCCGGCGCGGGAAGGACCUGGACCUGGUGAAAGGGAAAUGUGCCCUUGGGCCAUUUCUAAGUAUUUUGGUGAUUAAGUGUCAACACAAGUGCUUAGCUGUGAACCAAUGCCCAUGAAUGAACAAAGUGCAAAUCUACAACAAAGGUAUGUUUCUAAGUCUUAGUACAUUGGUUUUGUGUACUAAUAUAUUUGUCUAAGUGUUAGAAACAGAUAGAAGAAGAUAAGAGAAGACUUGGCUGUGUACAGCCAAGGGACUGUUUCGGUCUGGGGCACCGGACUGUCCGGUGGUGCACCGGACAGUGUCCGGUGCGCCAGGCUCCCUCAGCCGAAGAGCCCGCUCUCGGGAAUUUGCUGACGGCGUACGGCUAAAAUUCACCGGACUGUCCGGUGAGUCAACGGUCGGCCGAGCCAACGGUCGGCCGCGGAAUCUGCGCGCGACACGUGGUCUGGCCAACGGUCGGAAGGAAGCACCGGACUGUCCGGUGUGCACCGGACUGUCCGGUGCGCCAGAUCUGCAACGGUCGGCAAUGGUCGGCUGUGCUGUUUAAGGAAAUAAAUCGGGCACCGGACAGUGUCCGGUGUGCACCGGACUGUCCGGUGCGCCCGACGACAGAAGGCAAAGAUGGCCUUCCAGAUUUGUUCUCAACGGCUCCUAGCUGCCUUGGGGCUAUAAAAGGGACCCCUAGGCGCAUGGAGGAGAACACUAAGCAACUCUUGAGCAUACUUGAUCAUCCACACUCAGUCUUUGCGCAUCCGUUUGUGAUUCUAAGUGAUUCGAGCUCUGUUCUUGUGAGAAACUGUGAGAUAGUCUUUGAGCUCGAAUUUUGGCUGUGUGUGUGCGUGUUUCGCUGUGGAUUUGUGUGUGUUGCUUCCCUCCCUUACUCCGUGCUUCUUUGUGAAUCUUAAGUGUAAGGGCGAGAGACUCCAAUUUGUGGAGAUUCCUCGCAAGUGGGAUAAAGAUAAGCAAGGCAAAAUACUGUGGUAUUCAAGUGGGUCUUUGGACCGCUUGAGAGGGGUUGAUUGCAACCCUCGUCCGUUGGGACGCCACAACGUGGAGUAGGCAAGUUUUGUACUUGGCCGAACCACGGGAUAAAUCACCGUGUCUCCUCUGUGUUGAAUUCUCUGUGAUUGUCGUAUUGUGCAAGAUCUUCUCUUUAGCCACUUGGCAAUUAUUGUGCUAACCUCUAACAAGUUUUUGUGGCUAUAAGUUAAGUUUUUACAGGAUCACCUAUUCACCCCCCCUCUAGGUGCUCUCAAUUGGUAUCAGAGCCGUUCUCUUCAAGAAAGGGACUAGCCGCCCGAAGAGAUGGAUCCUAAGGGGAAGGGAAUCGUGAUCAACGAUAAGGAGAAGGAGUCCUUCGUCAAUGAGCUCAAAGAUGACAAGCCUAACGACUCCGGCUCGGGUCAUAGACGAAAGGAAGGGAAGAAGAAGAAGACGAGGCGCAUCAAGGAGAUCGUCUACUACGACGACAGUGAUGAGUCUACUUCUUCCCAAAAGGACGACGACCACAACGACUACGAGCAAAGGAAACCGGUUAAUUCUAACUUUUCCUUUGACUACUCUCGUAUUCCGCAAAGCUCAAAUUCACAUUUGCUUUCCAUUCCACUCUGCAAGCCCCCACACUUUGAUGGGGAGGACUACGGAUUUUGGAGCCACAAAAUGCGUAGUCACCUAUUUUCUCUCCAUCCUAGUAUAUGGGAGAUUGUAGAUAGUGGAAUGCACUUUAAUAGUUCAGAUAGUCCUAUAUUCAUUAAUGAGCAAAUCCAUAAGAAUGCACAAGCUACUACUGUUCUUCUAGCUUCAUUGUGCAGGGAUGAAUAUAACAAAGUGAGUGGCUUGGAUAACGCCAAGCAAAUCUGGGAUACCCUCAAGAUCUCUCAUGAGGGAAAUGACGCUACCUUGCUCACCAAAAUGGAGUUGGUGGAGGGCGAGCUUGGACGGUUCGCGAUGAUAAGGGGCGAGGAGCCAACUCAAACAUACAACCGGCUCAAGACCCUUAUCAACAAAAUAAGGAGCUACGGAAGCACGCGAUGGACGGACCACGACGUCGUCCGACUAAUGCUAAGGUCCUUUACCGUUCUUGAUCCUCAUUUGGUGAAUAAUAUUCGUGAGAAUCCCAGGUACACCAAAAUGUCGCCCGAAGAAGUCUUAGGAAAAUUCGUCAGCGGGCGAAUGAUGAUCAAGGAGGCAAGAUACGUGGACGACGCCUUGAAUGGACCGAUCAACGAACCACAACCUUUUGCUCUCAAAGCAUCAAGAAGUAAGGAGGCGCUACCUAGCAAGGUGGCACAAAUUGAGGCGGUCGGACUUAAUGAUGAAGAGAUGGCUCUCAUCAUCAAACGCUUCAAGACGGUGCUAAAGGGUCACAAGGGGCAGCCAAGCAAGACCAAGACGAAGGGAAAGCGCUCAUGCUUCAAGUGCGGUAAGAUUGGUCAUUUUAUCGCUAACUGCCCCGAUAAUGAUAGUGAUCAGGAAAAGGGAAACAAGAGGGAAAAGAAGAAGCAUUACAAGAAGGCAAAGGGCGAGGCGCAUCUAGGCAAGGAGUGGGACUCGGAUUGCUCCUCUUCCGACUCCGACAAUGAAGGACUCGCCGCCACCGCCUUCAACAAAUCAACCCUCUUCCCCAACGAGCGUCACACAUGCCUUAUGGCAAAGGAGAAGAAGGUAUGUACUCGCAACUCUACCUAUGCUUCUUCAAGUGAGGACGAAUCUAGUGAUGAGGAUGAAGUAGAUUAUUCAUGUUUGUUCAAGGGCUUAGAUAGAUCUAAGAUAGACAAAAUUAAUGAAUUAAUUGAUGCCUUGAAUGAAAAGAAUAUACUUUUAGAAAAGCAAGAGGAUUUGUUGUAUGAAGAACAUGAUAAGUUUGUAGAGGCUCAAAAAUCCCUUGCAUUAGAAAUUAAGAGGAAUGAAAUGCUUGCUUGUGAAGUGUCAACAUGCCAUGAUUCUAUUUCUAACUUAAAGAGCAUAAACGAUGAUUUAAAUGCUAAACUAGUAGAAGCAAAUAAAUCCAACUCUUGUGUUAAAUAUGUUGAAAUUUGCACUAGGUGUAAGGAUAUUGAUAUUAAUGCUUGUAGCGAACACUUAAUUUCUAUUUCAAAAUUGAAUGAUGAAUUAGCUAGUCUUAAUGCUCAACUUAAGACUAGCAAGAGUAAUUUUGAUAAACUAAAAUUUGCUAGGGAUGCCUACACGGUUGGUAGACACCCCUCAAUUAAGGAUGGGCUUGGCUUCAAGAGGGAAGCCAAGAACUUAACAAGCCAUAAGGCUCCCAUUUCCACUAAGGAGAAAGGGAAGGCCCCUAUGGCUACUAGUGCUAAAAAGAACCAUGCCUUUUUAUAUCAUGAUAGGAGACAAACUAGAAAUGCUUAUAAGAGUUAUAAUGAGUACGAUGAUUUUUCUCAUGCUAUGUUUGCCUCUAGCUCUUCAUAUGUGCAUGAUAGAAAUGUUUGUAGAAGGGAUGUUGUUCAUAAUAUGCCUAGGAGAAAUGUUGUUAAUAUUCCUAGGAAAGUUAAUGAGCCUUCUACAAUAUAUCAUGCUUUGAAUGCUUCCUUUGCAAUUUGUAGAAAGGAUAGAAAGGUAAUUGCUAGGAAGUUAGGGGCAAGAUGCAAGGGAGACAAAACUUGCAUUUGGGUCCCUAAGAAUAUUUGUGCUAACCUUGUAGGACCCAACAUGAGUUGGGUACCUAAGUCCCAAGCCUAAAUUUUCCUUGCAGGUUUAUGCAUCCGGGGGUUCAAGCUGGAUUAUUGAUAGCGGAUGCACAAACCAUAUGACGGGGGAGAAGAAGAUGUUCACCUCCUACGUCAAGAAUAAGGAUUCCCAAGAUUCAAUUAUAUUCGGUGAUGGGAAUCAAGGCAAGGUAAAAGGGUUAGGUAAAAUUGCGAUUUCUAAUGAGCAUUCUAUCUCUAAUGUAUUUUUAGUAGAAAGUCUUGGAUAUAAUUUGCUAUCUGUUAGUCAAUUAUGUCAUAUGGGGUAUAACUGUCUAUUUACAAAUGUAGAUGUGUCUGUCUUUAGAAGAAGUGAUGGUUCACUAGCUUUUAAGGGUGUAUUAGACGGCAAACUUUAUUUAGUUGAUUUUGCAAAAGAAGAGGCCAGUCUAGAUGCAUGCUUAAUAGCUAAGACUAGCAUGGGCUGGCUGUGGCAUCGCCGCUUAGCACAUGUGGGGAUGAAGAACCUUCACAAGCUUCUAAAGGGAGAACACGUGAUAGGUUUGACUAACGUGCAUUUCGAAAAAGAUAGACCUUGUGCAGCUUGUCAAGCAGGUAAACAAGUGGGAGGAGCGCAUCACAGCAAGAACGUGAUGACCACUUCAAGACCCCUGGAGCUGCUGCAUAUGGACCUCUUCGGACCUGUCGCCUAUCUGAGCAUAGGAGGGAGUAAGUAUGGUUUAGUUAUUGUUGAUGAUUUUUCCCGCUUCACUUGGGUGUUCUUUUUGCAGGAUAAGUCUGAAACCCAAGGGACCCUCAAGCGCUUCCUCAGGAGAGCUCAAAAUGAGUUUGAGCUCAAGGUGAAGAAGAUAAGGAGCGACAACGGGUCCGAAUUCAAGAACCUUCAAGUAGAGGAAUUCCUUGAGGAGGAAGGGAUCAAGCACGAGUUCUCCGCUCCCUACACACCACAGCAAAAUGGUGUGGUAGAGAGGAAGAACAGGACGCUAAUCGAUAUGGCAAGGACAAUGCUUGGAGAAUUCAAGACCCCCGAGUGUUUCUGGUCGGAAGCCGUGAACACGGCUUGCCACGCCAUCAACAGGGUCUACCUUCAUCGCCUCCUCAAGAAGACUUCGUAUGAGCUUCUAACCGGUAACAAACCCAAUGUAUCUUAUUUUCGUGUAUUUGGGAGCAAGUGCUACAUUCUAGUGAAGAAAGGUAGAAAUUCUAAGUUUGCUCCCAAAGCUGUAGAAGGGUUUUUGUUAGGUUAUGACUCAAAUACAAAGGCGUAUAGAGUCUUCAACAAAUCAUCGGGUUUGGUUGAAGUCUCUAGCGACGUUGUAUUUGAUGAGACUAAUGGCUCUCCAAGAGAGCAAGUUGUUGAUUGUGAUGAUGUAGAUGAAGAAGAUGUUCCGACGGCAGCUAUACGGACCAUGGCGAUUGGAGAAGUACGGCCACAGGAACAAGAUGAACGAGAUCAACCUUCUUCCUCAACUAUGGUGCAACUCCCAACCGAAGAUGACGAACAGGUACCUCAAGUGGAGGCGCUUGAUCAAGGGGGAGCACAAGGUGAUCAAGUGAUGGAGGAAGAAGCGCUACCGGCACCUCCAACCCAAGUUCGAGCGAUGAUUCAAAGGGAUCAUCCCGUCGACCAAAUUCUGGGUGACAUUAGCAAGGGAGUAACUACUCGAUCUCGAUUAGUUAAUUUUUGUGAGCAUUACUCCUUUGUCUCUUCUAUUGAGCCUUUCAGGGUAGAGGAGGCCUUGCUAGAUCCGGACUGGGUAUUGGCCAUGCAGGAGGAGCUCAACAACUUUAAGAGAAAUGAAGUUUGGACGCUGGUGCCUCGUCCGAAGCAAAAUGUUGUGGGAACCAAGUGGGUGUUCCGCAACAAACAGGAUGAACACGGGGUGGUGACAAGAAACAAGGCUCGACUUGUGGCAAAAGGUUAUGCCCAAGUCGCAGGUUUGGACUUUGAGGAGACUUUCGCUCCUGUGGCUAGGCUAGAGUCAAUUCGUAUCUUGCUAGCAUAUGCCGCUCACCAUUCUUUCAGGUUGUACCAAAUGGAUGUGAAGAGCGCUUUCCUCAACGGGCCAAUCAAGAAGGAAGUGUACGUAGAGCAACCCCCUGGCUUCGAGGAUGAACGGUACCCCGACCACGUGUGUAAGCUCUCUAAGGCGCUCUAUGGACUUAAGCAAGCCCCAAGAGCAUGGUAUGAAUGCCUCAGAGACUUUUUAAUUGCUAAUGCUUUCAAGGUUGGGAAAGCCGAUCCAACUCUUUUUACAAAGACAUGUGAUGGUGAUUUGUUUGUGUGCCAAAUUUAUGUCGAUGACAUAAUAUUUGGUUCUACUAACCAAAAGUCUUGUGAAGAGUUUAGCAGGGUGAUGACGCAGAAAUUCGAGAUGUCGAUGAUGGGCGAGUUGAACUACUUCCUUGGGUUCCAAGUGAAGCAACUCAAGGACGGCACCUUCAUCUCCCAAACGAAGUACACGCAAGAUCUGCUAAAGCGGUUUGGGAUGAAGGACGCCAAGCCCGCAAAGACUCCGAUGGGGACCGACGGACACACCGACCUCAACAAAGGAGGUAAGUCCGUUGAUCAAAAAGCAUACCGGUCAAUGAUAGGUUCUUUGCUUUACUUAUGUGCUAGUAGACCGGAUAUUAUGCUUAGCGUAUGCAUGUGUGCUAGAUUUCAAUCCGAUCCUAAGGAGUGUCACUUAGUGGCGGUGAAGCGAAUUCUUAGAUAUUUGGUUGCUACGCCUUGCUUCGGGCUCUGGUAUCCAAAGGGGUCUACCUUUGACUUAGUUGGAUACUCAGAUUCCGACUAUGCUGGAUGUAAGGUCGAUAGGAAGAGUACAUCGGGGACGUGCCAAUUCUUAGGAAGGUCCCUGGUGUCAUGGAACUCUAAGAAACAAACAUCCGUUGCCCUAUCCACCGCUGAGGCCGAGUACGUUGCCGCAGGUCAAUGUUGCGCGCAACUACUUUGGAUGAGGCAAACCCUUCGGGACUUUGGCUACAAUCUGAGCAAAGUCCCACUCCUAUGUGACAAUGAGAGUGCUAUCCGCAUGGCGGAGAAUCCUGUUGAGCACAGCCGCACAAAGCACAUAGACAUCCGGCAUCACUUUUUGAGAGACCACCAGCAAAAGGGAGAUAUCGAAGUGUUUCAUGUUAGCACCGAGAACCAGCUAGCCGAUAUCUUCACUAAGCCUCUAGAUGAGAAGACCUUUUGCAGGUUGCGUAGUGAGCUAAAUGUCAUAGAUUCGCGGAACCUGGAUUGAAUUGUAGCAUACAUGUACUUAUGCUUUUGAUCAUGUUCCUUUUUGCAUUUUGUUGCUUAUUAUGGUGCUCAAGUUGUACAAACACUCCAUGGACCUCACAAGUCCGUUGCAAAGUGAUGCACAUGUUUAGGGGGAGAUGUGUUACAACUUGACCCUUUGAGACUAACCAUGUGCUUGAGUUUGAUAAUUUAGUCUCGAAGGAGGAUUGAAAGGGAAAAGGUGGACUUGGACCAUGAAAGACUUCCACUGCACUCCGAUGAGAGGGUAACUAAUUCCAAGUUCAUCUCAUGAAAUCUUAUUGCCAUUUGCUCUUAAUUGAAGACUUUGGUGAGGCAAUGGGGUUAAAAGGCCAAAAUUGAUCCCGUUUUGGUGCUUGAUGCCAAAGGGGGAGAAAAUAAAGGCCAAAGUAAUAAAUGGAUCAGCUACCACUUGAGAGAUUUUGAAAAUAGUAGAAUAAAGUUUAUGUGAGUUUUUGUUUUGUCAAAAGCUUUUAUUGUCUCUUAUUGUCUCUAUUGUCAAAAGUUGGCUUCUUGUGGGGAGAAGUGUUGAUUAUGGGAAAUAGGGGGAGUUUUUGAAAUCCUUGAUCAAUCUCUUUUGGAAUGACUCUCUUUAUGCCUCAACAUGUGUGUUUGACAUAGAAAUAGAGAUUUGAGUUUGAUUUGCAAAAACAAACCAAGUGGUGGCAAAGGAUGAUCCAUAUAUGCCAAAAUUGAAUCAAAACCAAUUUGAGUUUUUAUUUGAAGUGAUUUUGCACUUGUUCUAGUUGCUUUAUGUUGUGUUGGCAUAAAUCACCAAAAAGGGGGAGAUUGAAAGGGAAAUGUGCCCUUGGGCCAUUUCUAAGUAUUUUGGUGAUUAAGUGUCAACACAAGUGCUUAGCUGUGAACCAAUGCCCAUGAAUGAACAAAGUGCAAAUCUACAACAAAGGUAUGUUUCUAAGUCUUAGUACAUUGGUUUUGUGUACUAAUAUAUUUGUCUAAGUGUUAGAAAUAGAUAGAAGAAGAUAAGAGAAGACUUGGCUGUGUACAGCCAAGGGACUGUUUCGGUCUGGGGCACCGGACUGUCCGGUGGUGCACCGGACAGUGUCCGGUGGUGCACCGGACAGUGUCCGGUGCGCCAGGCUCCCUCGGCCGAAGAGCCCGCUCUCGGGAAUUUGCUGACGGCGUACGGCUAAAAUUCACCGGACUGUCCGGUGAGUCAACGGUCGGCCGAGCCAACGGUCGGCCGCGGAAUCUGCGCGCGACACGUGGUCUGGCCAACGGUCGGAAGGAAGCACCGGACUGUCCGGUGUGCACCGGACUGUCCGGUGCGCCAGAUCUGCAACGGUCGGCAACGGUCGGCUGUGCUGUUUAAGGAAAUAAAUCGGGCACCGGACAGUGUCCGGUGUGCACCGGACUGUCCGGUGCGCCCGACGACAGAAGGCAAAGAUGGCCUUCCAGAUUUGUUCUCAACGGCUCCUAGCUGCCUUGGGGCUAUAAAAGGGACCCCUAGGCGCAUGGAGGAGAACACUAAGCAACUCUUGAGCAUACUUGAUCAUCCACACUCAGUCUUUGCGCAUCCGUUUGUGAUUCUAAGUGAUUCGAGCUCUGUUCUUGUGAGAAACUGUGAGAUAGUCUUUGAGCUCGAAUUUUGGCUGUGUGUGUGCGCGUUUCGCUGUGGAUUUGUGUGUGUUGCUUCCCUCCCUUACUCCGUGCUUCUUUGUGAAUCUUAAGUGUAAGGGCGAGAGACUCCAAUUUGUGGAGAUUCCUCGCAAGUGGGAUAAAGAUAAGCAAGGCAAAAUACUGUGGUAUUCAAGUGGGUCUUUGGACCGCUUGAGAGGGGUUGAUUGCAACCCUCGUCCGUUGGGACGCCACAACGUGGAGUAGGCAAGUUUUGUACUUGGCCGAACCACGGGAUAAAUCACCGUGUCUCCUCUGUGUUGAAUUCUCUGUGAUUGUCGUAUUGUGCAAGAUCUUCUCUUUAGCCACUUGGCAAUUAUUGUGCUAACCUCUAACAAGUUUUUGUGGCUAUAAGUUAAGUUUUUACAGGAUCACCUAUUCACCCCCCCCCUCUAGGUGCUCUCACCUGGCCGGCCCGCACACGGCGCAACCGACACCUGUGCGGCAGACGGGCAGCCACGCUCCGCCCCAGUGGUAGGAGGCGGCACCGGAAGCAGCACCAGAGCCGCUCAGGCCGGGGAGCCAGACACGCGACAGCUGACAGCGCCACAGACGGCGAACGCCCUUCUCCCCCGAACAUUGAGGGAAGGAGAGGGCCGCUGCCCAAGCAGAGGCGGGACCCAACUCGGCGCGCCCUCCUCCCCAGCUCGGAUGAUGAACAUCCUUGAAGCUGAGGGCAGGGGGGAGGCCACGGCCCGGCUCGCUCUUCCCCACCACGAGGCCUACAGUCAUCAUCCUGGGUGACCGCCGGCGGGGACUGCAGCCGGGCUGCAUGAUAAAAAUCCUUGAAGCCGAGCGAUGACUGAAGAGCGCCAACCCCCACGAGGUUGCGGCCCUCCAACAGCAGCAAGAAGAGGGCAACACAGGUGCACCCCAUCUAGGGGCUCGGAAGGUGGAAAGCCGCGAUGGAUGCGAGGAGUGUGAAGGCAUGGCUACCGCCCGGGGGGUCGAUCCUUUUUAAAGGCAGUCCUCCUCACUCGCACCCCCAAGCGUCACGGGCAAAGUCUCCACCGACGUGCUCUAGGGUUCCCACCCUAUGACACGGGGGCUGGGUCCCACACGUCAUGCGAGCUGACCCGAAACGCGAAGAAGGCAAACCACCACGCAAGAAGCAUGCAAUCGCACCACGGUUGUGCACCCUUUUGGCUUCGUCGCAUCCGGCGGUCCAGCAUGGAGGCCCGGGCCCACAUGUCAUGUAACCGACGCGCCGGUUACUACGUGCAAGGAAACCGGGCCUUCGGCUUCUGAAGGUCCUCAAAAACAUGAUUUGACAAUGUCUCUGGAGUAUAAUGUGUAAACAGGUACCUUCGGACUUAGAUCAAAACCACAACGUGAAGAUGCAUAAAGAAUAUGAAGGAUGGCAUAGAGCCGAAGCUAUGAGCAGGGGAGCUUCGGCGUGACAGCAGAAAAAGAAACCGACCUAAAGGGGAAAAGGCUAUUCAGACCCCAAUGGAUUACUAUAGAGUUAUUAGUAAAUGUAAAGGGCAUGGUUGUAAUUUUACAUGGGCUGCGUCCCGUACCUAUAAAUAGAUGAACAGUACCCCCGUACUGUUCACGCUGACUUGACAUUUGCUUUUGCGUCACGCUUGUACCCUUGUUUUCCUUCGAGCCGAAGGUACAUUUAUAAUUUGUUAUUGUUAAUAUAGUAACGUAAAUAAGAGUAAAUUAACAAUAAUGUUUAAAGCGUUUAUGUUAUUUUUUGUAUCUUGCAUAUGAACCCUUCUUCAUUAUUUAUUGUGCUCAUGAAGGUUUGUCCUUCACAACCUUCGUCCUCCGAAAAUCAUUAUAUCCGAGGGGAGAUAAUGCUUCGAAGGACGAAGGACUUUAGCAUUUAACACUUUUUAUGUUGCCUUGUUCUUAACUCUUAGCAUUUGAGAACAAGACCUCAACAUUGGCGCCCACCUCCGGUGAACUCACUUCCACUUUUUUCAGUUUCGAACAUCUUCGGCAAGCAUACCUUAGUCAUGCCGCCAAAGAAAGCUUUAGCAACAGGGGUUGUAGCUCUGCAGCCGCUGGACCCCAACCAGGAGACACUCUCUCUUCGGGAGGCCCGAAGCCAGAAGAUGGAUGAAUAUAUCCGAGCUGACAAUGACUUUCGAUAGAGAAGGGAGGAAGCUUACAGGUUCUCCGAAAUAGCCAGGGGCUUCGGAGGAAGAAUUCAUCCUAGACAUGUCAGAUCGAUUCAUUCCACUCAGAAUGAUGACAGGGGAAGCCAGCAGUAGAGGCCACAAUAUUCCUCCUAGGCUUCGGGGCAGCAGCAGAGUUAUCCUUGGCCUCCAGCUCCAAGGGGCAGAGGUGCCAGGGGCUUCGGAGGAAGAUUUGGGGAUUAGCCGAGGAAAAUUUAUUGCCUAUUCUGUGGUGAGGACAAGGGCCACACCACCAGGAUGUGCCAUGUCACCAUCCAGAAACAAAAGGAAAUAGCAGAAGCUAUAGCCCAACAGACCCAGCCGAAGCAAGUCAUGCAUACUGCUUCGUACCACUCGCCUUAUAUCCCAGAGUAUGUGGGCAACCACCCUGCAGCUUCUGUUGCUUCGGCAAGUCAAUCUCACGCAUCUUGGCAACAGCCUCCACCUCCACCACCAAUGCAACGAGGCCAGCAGCCAGAAGGGAGUCAACAUACUCAACACCAACGAGACUUCAGAGAAGAGUCCGAAGCUCGCACAGUCAAUAGUACUGUGCCAGAAUCGAAGCACAUUUACUAGCGAAUAUCCUACCUAGGCAGCAGUUUUUGCAUUCAGUAUCAUUUUCUUUUUAAUAAGGAACAAUUAUUGAAAGCUUAAGUGUUUUUUGUCGUUUUCAAUUUCUUGUAAUAACUUCGCCUUUGCUGUAAUACAGAUAUACUUUCUCCACAGAAUAACGGAGUCCAAAAAGUUGCCGAAGCAUAAGAACUUAUGGUUACGGGGAGAACCUCCGAAAUAACAAAAAGUCGUUCCUAAGGGAGCGCAGCAUAAGUUUUCUGCUCAAAAGUCGUUCCGAAGGGAAUGCAGAGCUUACAGCAAAAAAUAAACGCUGAUUCCGCUGAAAGUAAAAGGCGAAGAAGCUCCUAAGGGAGGCUUACAGCGAAAAAUAAACGUUGAUUCCGCUGAAAGUAAAAGGUGAAGAAGCUCCUAAGGGAGGCUUACAGCGAAAAAUAAACGCUGAUUCCGCUGAAGUAAAAGGCGAAGAAGCUCCUAAGGGAGGCUUACAGUGAAAAAUAAACGUCGAUCUUCGGCAAAUAUCAUUUUGCAUAACAUCACAUCAUCACAUCAUUUGCAUAGCAUAACAUCAUGCAUCAUAUUGCAUCAAUAACGCAAGAAGGGAGUUCAAUGUUGAUAUUCGAAGAUUGUUUCGAAGAAACAGUGCCAAGGCACAAGAAUAAUUAUUGAAAAAGCAUACCUUUGUCAAACUCCGAAAUGAAAAGAUCUAUUGGUUACUGAUUCUACGACGAUUGGAUGUUUUUAUGAAAAUACGGAUAUUAUUUACGAAGCAUGAAAAGAAGGGAAGGUGUUUUUUUGCCGAAGGCUCAAAAAACGGUAUGUAUGUAAAGUUUCAUGCAUCGUAAAGAAUUGAACCAUAAAUAGCUUAUAUAUUACAUUCAAAGUUACAAAAUAUUACACAUGUUGUUCAACAAAUAUUACAUUCCAAAUAUUUUUACAAUAACAUCUAAUCUUCCCUCAGAACUACUUCUGCAGCUUCGUUUAGUAGUUGAUCAACAACUUUAUCCAUGAUAGCUUCGGCCAUUUUUCUAAUCUCGUCGUCCCCCUUCGCGUGGGGGACCGCUGAUGGCUCGGCAGGCUCUGAGGGAGGAGAAAGUGCGGCUGCGUUACAAAGUGUAAACAAGUUCGAAAUCAAAAAAAUACAACAAAGAGCCAAAAACUACUAGUCAAUACCUAUUUGCCCUUCGAGAUCCGCACUUUUCUCAGCGGCCUCUGCUACCUUUCUAGCGUCAUGAAUACCUUUCUCGCUUUUUCGUAUAAUUUCUUGGGCCAUCUCCCGGCCACCAUUGUCCCAGAUGUCGGUGAAAAAUUUUCCACCGACCAGGCUUGCUUCGGCCGAGGGGUCUUUUAUAUCUUCAGAAGAUAGGGUGGCUUCGGAUUGUGCCAAGGAUUUCACAUGGUCACAGUCGUUCCUCUCCAAAAUAGUGGCAAUCCCCCUGGCACCCGAAAAGGCACAUAUGUCUCCGCGGCUAUUCAAAACUUCUUCAAAAGCUUUAGCUUCAUGGCUGAUCCAUCUAAUUGGGCCUUCGGGGUCACCCCUUAUGAAGUUUUCCUCACUUGAGAAUGCGCCAACGCUGGCGAAGCUGCUUCUUAUUUUCUUGACACAUUCUAUAGAUUUUUCAUAACACCUUUUCUUGGAUGCACGAAGCUCUUCAACAUUUUUUUCUAAAUGAUUUGCCCAUUGUUCACUAAUUUCUCGUUUUGCUUCUUCAAGUGUGCAUUCUUCUUUAGCUUUGGCUAGCUGUUUCCGAAGAUCCUCAAUUUCGUGCUUCUGAGCCUCAGCUUGAGUUUUGAAAGUAGCUUCGUCUUCUUUUAUUCUAUUCACCAACGAAUGUAAUAUUUUAUCUUUUUCGAGACCUUUGUUCCUUAGUUCAAUUACUUCAGAAUGAAGGUUGCUCAAGGCCAUAAUACACCCUUCGUCUUCGGCAUCUUUUUGUGCCCUGAGGGCAUUGCUAAGUAUAAGGCCCUGCAAGAAAAAAAAUGUGGGUCAAUAAGUUUAAGCAAAUCAAAAAUUUUGGUUUCAAGAAAUAAUACAAAGAUCUCAUUUUUCACCUUUAAACUAUUGUACACUAAGCUGUCGGCCAACUCGUUUUUUGACAACACACAGAGCCCAUCUUCUAAUGUUGGGAAUCCUAAGCUCUUGCUUAUCUCCGGACAGACAGAAAUCUCCUUGCUGUCAGGGAGACAAUACAAGAAAUCUUCUUCUCCGCUGUUGUUGAUUAUCAGCGCCCCUUUUGGAUAUUUCAAUUUUUGCGCGUAGAACUGAGCCUCUCUUUUUUCUUUUUCGCUUAGAAUUUUACCCGAAGCAUGACGAAAUAUAUAGUCAGAAGCUUCGGAAAAUGCUUCGGGGGCGGCAGUGCCAGUUUCUUCAGCCAAAAUUUGUUCUGCUGCUUCUGUUUCUUUGGUUUCCAAGGAUUUCACCUUGGCAGGCUCUGAAGGCCCAGCUUCAGACUCAGCUUGGUGCUUUGUAGCUUCGGCACCAAAGGCUUCAAUUUGCACUUCGGAAGUUUCAGCAAUUUUCUUCGGCGUAGUGCUUGAAGACUUUAUUGUCUCCAAUACAUCCAAUACAUUAACCAUCCUUUUUCUUUUGGGGGUCAUUGCUGGACCUUUUUGGCUUGUUGGUACUUCAACUACUUUUGCUGAAGGACUUAAAGUUUCAGAUGUCCUUGUUUCUUUGGCCUUCGGUUCUUCUAUUUUCUCCAUCUCCGGCAUUAUGACCGGCUCUUCAAUAUUUGGCAGGGGAGUCGGCUCUUUGGCUUCAGUGGCCGAAGAGGUUUCACCGACAAACUCGGGCACUGUGGCCGGUUCAAUAUAGCGCGGCCGGUGCGUAAGAACCUUCAUCUUUUUCCUAUUUGGCGAUGGCUCAUUAAGAGCAACUGAAGCAGCUUCCUUCACAGAAGCCGUAUCUUUCCUUUUUUACCCCGUGUUGAGUAACGCUAGUCAGGAUAGACGAACCCAAUGGCAUCAAAUACUCGAUUGAGUCUUUUCUUCUUCCGGCCUCCGAAGGCCGCAGACAGUGCAGUAUCUUCUGCCUUCGAGUAUGGCCCAAGCAGUUCAUCGCUUGUGGCCUCAAUACAUUUCAGCCAGUCAUCAUCUGGCUCGACAAACUGAUCUCCAUAUCUGAAGGUAUAUUUUAGCCUAACUAGUCCACCUUCGUCAGGUUUGCUGAUGGUUUCCUUUGGAGUUUCCCAUUUUUCCACAAGUGGCCAUACUCUGAAGGCAAUAUGCUCCUGGAUCAAAUCCCUCGUCCCGAUGAAAGAACAAACCACGCCGAAGGCCCUCUGGCAUUCUUCGGCUGCUUCAUCCAUUUCCACCUUUGGCUUCCAGAGGUCGAAGCGUUGCCAAAUAGGACGCAUGAUGAUAUCUUUAAUAUCUUCUCGUACCUUCAAAUCAUUUUUUACAUAGAACCAUUCCUUCAUCCAGUCCCCGGGCCAUCUCUUACGAAAGGUCGGAACGGGACAGCUUGACCCAGAGCGGGCGCCAAAGCUAUAACAGCCAAAAUUGUUAUGAUAUUGCUCUUUUCCCCAGGGCUUCGUCUCAUAUACUAGCUCAUGUAAAUUACAAAAGCUUUUUGCAUUUGGCUCCAAGCCCUGGCUCCUCACGGCCCAGACAAAGAUUCCCAUUCUUAUGAUUGCUUCAGGCGUAAUUUGAUGCAGGUAGACUUGAUAAAUCUUCAAAACCUCAACCACAAAUUUGCUUAAUGGAAACCGAAGCCCAGCCUUAAAAAAGCUUCGAAACAUCACAACUUCAUUCUCUUCGGGAGUAGGCACGGUCCUCUCUCCGUCAUCAGCCCUUACAAUAGACAUGUCCCGAAAAUAUCUUCCCCUCAUAUUAUCAAGAUGACCCUGUUUAAUAGUUUAUUUUCCAAAAACUGUAUGGCUUGGUCGCCAGGGUCGAUCUUCGGAGUCUUCUCCACCACUUUCCACAUCAUAACUGUCGCUAUCACCAGUAUCUUCAGACAAGCCUUCCAAAAUCUCCCUGGUAAUCUUCUCUGUAUUUGUCUUUGCUAUUGAUUCAAGGAAGCCAAGAUUCUUCUCUUUAGAAAGGCUCAGCUUCGACUCAGCGACAUCUUUCUUAUCUUCAGACAUCUUCGAAAAUGCUGAGAAAGUGCUCUCGAAACCGAAGCUUAAAAAUUUAAAACCCAAGCAGGUGUUGGUGUGCAAGAGCUAAAAAUUGAGUAAGCAAGAGCAGAUGGCAAGAAAGCGUGCCAAAUGAACUCGUAGUGAGCUCUUAUUUAUACGCCUAGUGCGUUGAAAACUGGAGGGUCCCGCUUGUCAAUGACUAUUGCUAUUCUAGCAAAGGGAAGGUGUUUUUUUGGACCUUUGGCUUAAGGCCUUCGUCCAUGUCGCAAUCUGAAUUUAUCGCUCUAACAAAUUAAUAUUGCGAGGGGCUACUGUUGGGGGCCUUCGGCUUCCGAAGGUCCUCAAAAACAUGAUUUAACAAUGUCUCUGGAGUAUAAUGUGUAAACAGGUACCUUCGGACUUAGAUCAAAACCACAGCGUGAAGAUGCAUAAAGAAUAUGAAGGAUGGCGUAGAGCCGAAGCUAUGCGCAGGGGAGCUUCGGCGUGACAGCAGAAAAAGAAACCGACCUAAAGGGGAAAAGGCUAUUCAGACCCCAAUGGAUUACUAUAGAGUUAUUAGUAAAUGUAAAGGGCAUGGUUGUAAUUUUACAUGGGCUGCGUCCCGUACCUAUAAAUAGAUGAACAGUACCCCCAUACUGUUCACGCUGACUUGGCAUUUGCUUUUGCGUCACGCUUGUACCCUUGCUUUCCUUCGAGCCGAAGGUACAUUUAUAAUUUGUUAUUGUUAAUAUAGUAACGUAAAUAAGAGUAAAUUAACAAUAAUGUUUAAAGCGUUUAUGUUAUUUUUUGUAUCUUGCAUAUGAACCCUUCUUCAUUAUUUAUUGUGCUCAUGAAGGUUUGUCCUUCACAACCUUCGUCCUCCGAAAAUCAUUAUAUCUGAGGGGAGAUAAUGCUUCGAAGGACGAAGGACUUUAGCAUUUAACACUUUUUAUGUUGCCUUGUUCUUAACUCUUAGCAUUUGAGAACAAGACCUCAACAGCGCCAAUGCCGCGCCUUCUCAACUGCAGAACCAGUGCAGCGAUUCGAGGUAGCCCCACGCAUGAACCAACAGUGCCAAUUAAGUGCGACGAUCACGGGUCAGUCAGCCGCAGGGAUAGGCGCGACAGUUGAUAUGGCCAAAAGCGGACCGGCAGUAAUUGCAGCAACAGACGUGCGGAAGCGGUGGUCCAAUCACCUACAGGCUCGCAUCCUCUCCCGAAGCGGCAGGGGAGCCCUCUCCCACGGCAUAAAGAUGACGCACCCGUGUUCCGUUCCUCGAACGACUCGUGCACGCGCAACAGACGCCCCGCGAAUCGCCCAUCCCAUCGCAUUAACUCCCUGGCAGGGCAAGCGACACCUCCGGCAGGCAAAGCGGGCGCCGUUUCGCCUCCGUCAUGAUGACCGCGUCAAAAAAGGUGCGCCACAUUAUUUAAAUUUAUAUCCUUUUCCUUUUCCUCUCUCUCUCUUGCCAUAGGGACCGGGAAAGGGGAUAUUUCGAAAAGGAUCCUUCUCAGCGAAGGAAACGGGCCCCGAGCCCUCCUACUGAUCAGGGGUUCGAAGGUUGCGCCCUCCGGGGUUCGGCAACCGCCCCAGAGCACUCGGGCUCCGAGCCCUUUACUGAUCAGGGGUUCGAAGGCUGGCCCCUCGGAAGGGUUCGACAGUCGCCCCUGAGCACGCAGAGUCAGGGAUGACCCUGGGUACGUCCGUUACAUGGCCGAGGCUCGGGCUACGCUUCCGAGGUACCCUAGGACAUUUCCGAGACCAGUGGGAACGAUUUGUAAUGGAAUCCCACCGGAGGGAGGCACCGAGCCCUUGGACCCUAUCAAAUGGGACCGGGUCCAGCAAAUCACUUGCAGGUACUUUUGGAGCGCACCUCUAGGCCACUAGCCGACCCUUAUCGAACAGGGCUCGGGCAUCCACUUGGAUCACCCGCUAGCAACUCACUGGAAACACCAUGUUCGGUGCCCUCCGAGGGUAACAUGGCGCUUUCCCCCCUUCCUUCUUGCGGAGAGGCGACAAAGGGGUGUACAAUAAAAGUCGAGACGGUCCUUGAUCGUCCUCUCGCUCCGUGCAGAGGCUCGGGGGCUGCUCUCGCACCAGGAUACAGCCAAACUGUUGACCACAUCAACAAACCAGCUUAAAAACUCAGAGCCUGACCGUGCACCCGGGCUACGGCCUGGCCGCAUGAGGGAACAACAAGGCUGACCGAGGCAUCACAAAAAGAAUUAAGACCUCAGAGGAGUGAAACCACUCCUCUGAGGCCUCGGGGGCUACACCCGACGGGUGCGCUCGCGCGCACCCAUCGGGACAAAAUAUAACCAAGAAAGGCUGAUCCCCUUGCUAAAACUCCGACAGAACCUCCAAGAAAGUACCUACACUCCCUUCGAGGCUCGGGGGCUACUGUCGGGGACCGUAAUUAGGGGUACCCCAAUGCUCCUUAACCUGGCUGGAAAACAUCUUCAGAACAAACUACAAAGACUGAUAAGCACAGUUCAAGUCAAGGCCUCGUCUACCAAGGGACGCGACCUCGCCUCGCCCGAGCCCGGCCUCGGGCGGGAAUAGUAGUCUCGGACGGAUUCACGCCUCGCCCGAGGGCCUCCUCAGGCAGUGGGCGUGCCCUUGGCUUGCCCGAAGCCAAGCUUGGGCAAACUUUGUCGUGUAGCGACCUCGGCCAAAUCGCCUUACCAACCGACCGUAUCGCAUGCGCAUUAAAUGCGGGGAUCGCCUCACACCUUAUCCUGUCACACACGCCUCAGUCGGCAAGGUCGAAGUGACCGCAGUCACUUCGUGUGACGGAACCUCCCAAGUAACUAGGCCCACCUACAGUUGUCCUUGUCUAACAGACAUCAGACACCCUGUAGAUGUUCCUAAAUCACUUGACAAGUUCAGUAUCUUUCCUUACCUUUCCAGGAACGUUUCACCCGUCUUGCAGACAUUACAGAACAUCGGAGAUGAAGAAAUGCGGAAGCGAUUACAUAACUUACAUUUAUUAAAAAGUAAGCUCAAGUUGUUUAUUACAGACCAGAAUAUAAGCGAGUGCAGAGUAGUAUUAUUACAUAACUAAGGGAGGCAAAAACUCCUCCCGAUAAGUUUUUCACAAAAGUUUUCUUAUGGAGGACCAAGUCCUCCCGCAUCUUCACUCUUGUUUCUCCUCCUUAGGAACCACCUUGGUACAGAAGCAAUAGAAAUCUGCUACUUCCUCACCUAAAAACAACGAAGGGAUAAACCCUAAGUAUGGAAUUACUCAGCAAGUCUUACCCGACUAAAGAAAAGACUCUCAAGGGUUUGCUGGUUUAAGGGAGUCAAGGUAAGGCUUCUCAAUAAUCAAAGACUCUGUUUUGCAGAAAUGCUUACUAAAGUGGAUCCUUAAAAAUCCAGUUUUAUUUGUCAAGUUAAGUAAACUUACUUAUCUCUAGAGUUCUCUCUAACCUAGUUCAAACACUUAUCCUGAACUAGCCAAGUUCUUAAUUCUUCCUUCAUCUUCACUGGAUUGCUACGUGUAGGGCAGUGACCAAGUCUUCAUAACCGCGAAGGUACGGCGAUCCGAAUCGAUUAUACUCAGCUGAGGAUCUCCAAUCACACGACAUAUGUAGCACUUAACCCUUGCAUAUGUCAACCCGCCACCGGGUUUCUUAAGACCAGAUCAGGUUCACGCAAACCGAGAGCACAGAUACACCACCGUCCAGCCUCUUGCCACGGAGGGUACACGCUACUCUCGCCACCGCUCCACGCCCAUUUCGUGUUAUCUUAUUCUGGCCUUAGUCUGCCCGAGGCAAGGCUUACCCAUGACGAGGCAUGUGACCAGUUAAAGGGUCCUCGAUCAUCAAGCCUACAUCGACAAGGUCCUUAAUCGACUCAGACGGAGACACUAUACCGAGACUCUCUUCUCGUGCAAUUCACCCGCCCGGUCUCAGCUUAAUCUUUUCAACCCAAAAACUUGGUACCUGGCAGAGGUACAUCUUUUCCGAUGUUGAAUCCAUCACGGCCGUGAUGGAUUCAACAUCAAUUUUUAUUUUUGAAAACAACCCUCCCACUUUGCUAAGCAUCUUUUGUAAAACAAAUCCUUUUGUUUUUCUAAAGCAGUACUAUGCAUAGAAAAACAUUUUUGUAAAAUCAGGGUUUCAAGGAAGGUAAUCAAGUUCAAGGAAGGUAAUGCAGGAAUUGUUUAAUCAAUCAACUCCUAUCACCUAAUGCAGCAAGCAAGUGAGAAAGAUUUUUAAAAACAUCAAGGGAGGUGGCAAAUGCACCGGGGCUUGCCUUCGUUCGUAGGUGAGUCUGGCUCGGAUCCACAAAUAUCAAAGUAGAAGCAGUUUCCUGCCUGAGGAUCCGAGGGUGGUGGUGUCUUUUCUUCAGUGACUUCCACUUCUUCUUCACGUUCUAACAUAACCAUAUAUAUACAUAUAUAAGAAUGAAUGCCAUGUAAUGCUCAUGAGAGUGCGAAGAUAAUAAAGAUUUAUUAUCUAAGUCUUGAAUACAACUUUCCUUCACGGAACUCCGAGAACUUAGGGUUUCUGGAGUAUGUAAAGGAGUUCAUAGAGUAGGUGGGGUUUUGGGUUCUAGUUAUCAAACAUGGUCCAAAUCAAUUCAAACUCUACCCAAGGCUUCUAACUAAUGUGGGGAGUUCAUAUAAAAAUUUUGAACAUUUUUGGCAUUACUAUUAAUUCUCUAAAAUUCCAGAACUAUUUCUUUAAGCUAUUUUAAAUGCCCUAAAAUUCCCUGUUUAAACUAAAAAUCAUGAAACUAUUUUUAUUAAAUUCUAGGGAAAAUAAUAAGCCUAGGAAAAUUGGUUUCACAAUUUUAGGAUUUUUCUACAAUUUAUAACAAAUUUCCCAAGUUCUUCUGAAAAAGAAAAAGGAAAAUAUUUCAACAUGACUGGGGCGGAUUCAGCCCAGGCGGCCCAAUCCAGAGGGAAAGCGCGCCCGCGCCCGCGAGCGCGCACUGGCAACUUUGCGGAAACGCCCUCGGGUUUUCAUUAAAUGAGGAUAGGUCCUUUCACUGUUUCUCUGUAUCACUGACAGUUUACACGGGGGUCCUCCAAGUUCUAUUUCUUCGCAGUGUAAAGUCCACGACGGCGACGCGCGCGGACGAGCUCCGGCGACCACCAAGACCGGCCGGACGGGGUAACUACUGGCGCUUAGCUUAGGCCUAAAUCAAAUUCACUACCUGGAGAAUAUUUCUCCUAACUUAAUUGCACGAAUGAUCAAGUGUUUUGCUCUGGCCACGGUGACCGUGAGCAGAGCGGCAAGAUCGUCGUGUUCCCGGCGACCAGAGAGCUCCUAGCGCAAUUACGUGGGUCGGCAAGCAUCGUGGAGUUACGAGAAAGCUCAAACGAGAGAGAGAGAAGGAUGAGCUGACCGGAAAGGGGCUGGCCGCGGUGAAGCCGGUUUCACGGUGUUCUUCGACUGGUUUGGGGGAAAUCUUAAAUUCUAGCUCACUGGUGGAUGAUGGCUAACGAUUCUUCGUAGCUGGGUGAGUAAUGACCUAACACAGCCGGCCCGGCCUUCAAUUUAUAGGAGGAGCGAGUGGUGGUCGUGAAUUUGGACGAGACACACGGCGGCUGGAGGAAAGGAAACUUUACUGGCGCAAGGGAUUCGUGGCCUCUACCGUGGCGGUCAUUCCGGUGAUCAACGGAGAGGCUAGAGGAAGUCAUGGCGAUGCGGUGGCGCGGUUGAGACACGCGGUGGACAAUGGCGAUGGCACGACGACGGUGAACAGCUUUACCCGCGGGCGGUGAGCCAGGGGAGGGGUAUCGCAGCUGGCCGGGGUGGAGUCCAGUUCACCGGCGGCGAGGAUUUUUACUGGGCUGUGAUUAUCUGAUGUCCACGGCGCAUGAAUCGCGGCGAGCAACGAUCAACGGCGGCAACACGAAUCUAUGAGCAGGGAGGUCACCAGCGACGAGCGAGCAGUGCUGGCAGUCUGAUCCACAAUAGCCACUGUACCAUGGGACUUCCUCAUUCAGUUGACCUGAUAGAGCACUUUGGAGCACCAUUUUCUCCCAAAUUUCUAUGGCAACAUCUCCGAGUCUCUGCAUCAAAGUUGUAGUGCUACAUACCAGCUACAAAUCGACUAUAGGGAUUAAACUUAUUUGAGCACUGGAUCAAGGUUUAAUUCAACCCCAAAGAUGGCUCUGCUACACUAAAAACCUGAACUUCAGAGUGAAACCAGCCUGACAGCCAAACUUUAGGCUAUAUUAUCUCCAAUAUUUUCUUAACAACAAUGCUCACACUCUUAAGCAAAGUUGUUCACCUAUAAUUGGGCUACAAUUUUGAUGUGGUGACCUAGGGCAAAAACCCGAUAAUUUGAAAGUUACAAGGGCUUCAAGUUGAGUCAAUCAUACUGAAAUGCAGACUUAACCAAAAAGGGUCAAGUAUGGCUCUUUUGCACUUAAGUCCAAAUCUCAUGUUUUGGAUUGCAAAUCCACCUUCUUGUGAACCAUAUGACUUAAGAUACCCUAUUAACCUGGUUUUUGCACUUUAGCCCAAAAGUGGACUAAUUUUGCACAUAGGUCCCUAGGGUUUGGUUUUAGGGUUUUCCAGGGUUUCAAUUAGGGUUUUUGGCAUCCCAGGGGUAUAAAUAUGAUUUAACUUUAUUUUUGGGAACAUUUUAUACUAUUUCCCCUAAAUCUUUUAGGUUUUCUCAACUUGGGUUAGGUCUUACCCCUUUAAUCCCCAUUUAGGGUUAAGUCCCCUAUCCAGGGUUCUAUUUGCAAAGUGCUAUAACAAUACAACUUGUUUGAAAUUUUUGCCUAGUGAAUGCACUCUAGGUGUGUCAAACAUAUGCAAUGCCAAUGCUUAUGAUGCCAUGCUCAAGUUUUAGUUACAGUAACACCAGGGGUGUUACAUCCUUCCCCCCAUAAAAGAAUCUCGUCCCGAGAUUAAAAGUCCUAGGGUAAGUAAUGGAAAAGGAAACGCGGCAUACUUUUAUUUCCUUAUUUCUGGUACAAGACAGGGGUGGUUUGGGAAUUUACUCCUUUACUACAACAGCUAUACAGGCUUUACAAUUUACAAGAGGCUAAAAAGCUUGGUAAAUUCUUAUCUAAAAAGUCUUGAGUUUCCCAUGUAGCCUCUUCUUCAGAAUGUUGGUUCCACUGUAUCUUAAAGAACUUGAGAGUUUUUCUCCGGGUAACCCUGUCCUUUUGAUCCAAUACUCGAAUAGGGUGCUUAGAGUAUGUCAAGUCCGGUUCAAGGACAACAUCUGUUACUUCGAUGGUUCGAUCGGGAACCCGAAGACACUUCUUCAAUUGUGACACGUGGAACACGUUAUGUACAUCAGACAAUGUUUCGGGGAGCUGCAGUCGAUACGCCAUUGGUCCACAUUGCUCAAGUACCAGGAAUGGACCAAUGUACCUAGGUGCGAGCUUUCCUUUAACCCCGAAACGGGAUACCCCCUUCAUUGGUGAAACUUUCAGGUAGACAUAGUCCCCUUCAUGAAAAUACAAGGGCAUUCGCCGUUUGUCUGCAUAACCCUUCUGACGAGCUUGUGCUCUCUUCAUAUUAUGAAUAAUUUUUUGAACCUUUUCCUCGGCCUCCUUCACCAUAUCAGGCCUAAAGAAGUACCUUUCCCCAGGUUCAGACCAAUUUAGCGGAGUACGACACCGUCGUCCAUAUAAAGCUUCAAAGGGUGCCAUCUUGAUACUUUCUUGAUAGCUAUUAUUAUAUGAAAACUCCGCCAAGGGCAAACAUUCAUCCCAUUUCUGUGAGAAGUCCAGAACACAUGCCCGCAGGAUAUCUUCAAGUAUCUGGUUCACUCUCUUAGUCUGUCCACUAGUUUGAGGAUGAUAGGCCGAACUGUGGAGCAACUUAGUACCCAGGGACUUAUGAAGUUCUUCCCAAAAUUUGGAUACAAAUUGGGAUCCACGAUCUGACACUAUAGUCUUUGGAACACCAUGCAAACUGAGAAUACGGGCAAUGUAUAACUCCGCAUAGGUAAUGACAGGAUAUUUUACUUUGACAGGGAGGAAGUGGGCGAUCUUGAUAAGUCGAUCAAUGAUAACCCAAAUAGAGUCAUACCCUUUUGCGGUCCUGGGCAAUCCCACAAUGAAGUCCAUACUUAUGUCUUCCCAUUUCCAUGUCGGUAUUGGUAGUGACUGUAAUGGACCAGCAGCUUUCAAAUGUAUGGCUUUGACACGUCUGCAGGUGUCACAUCUCGCCACAUAGCGUGCAAUUUCGAUCUUCAUCUUUGUCCACCAGUAAUGUUGCUUCAAGUCUUGGUACAUCUUAGUGCUUCCGGGAUGAAUAGAAUAGCGGCUAAGAUGUGCUUCAUCAAGAAUUUGCUGGCGGAUCUCUUCAUUCUUUGGCACCACUAUGCGGUUAUUAAACCAUACAAUGCCUUGAUCAUCUUCUUCGAAACAUUUGGCUUUUCCAGCCCUUAACUUCUCACGAAUGUGUUUCAUACCCUCAUUAUCCUUUUGGGAAUCAAUUAUCCUUUGCAAGAGGAUUGACUCAAGCUUUAGCUGAUUCAAAGUUCCUUGUUGGACCAUUCCUAGGUUUAGCUUCUCCAUCUCUUGACAUAAAGUGUUGUCAGAAGUCUUCACCGUAAGACAAUGACAGGAAACCUUACGGCUUAGUGCAUCUGCCACAACAUUGGCUUUGCCUGGGUGAUAAUGAAUUUCUAGUUCAUAGUCCUUAAUAAGCUCAAGCCAUCGCCUCUGUCUCAUAUUCAAUUCUGACUGGGUGAAGAUGUAUUUCAAACUUUUAUGGUCUGUAUAAAUAUGACAGACAUUUCCCAGCAGAUAGUGACGCCAAAUUUUCAGGGCAUGAACCACAGCAGCUAGCUCCAGAUCAUGAGUUGGGUAAUGCUCCUCAUGUCGGCGCAACUGCCUUGAAGCAUAUGCAAUUACUCGGCCUUCUUGCAUUAGCACGCAGCCGAGUCCACUGCCUGAUGCAUCACAAUAUACAUCAAAAGGUUUGGUGAUGUCCGGUUGAGCCAAUACCGGAGCAGUGGUUAAUAAUGUCUUCAAUUGUUCAAAGGCUUCAUCACACUUCGAAGGCCAAUUGAAUUUAACAUCAUUCUUCAAUAAACUUGUGAUUGGCUUCACAAGCUUAGAAAAGUCUGGUAUAAAUCUGCGGUAAUAUCCAGCCAGUCCAAGGAAACUUUGGAGCUGAUGAACAGUGGUCGGGGGUUUCCACUCCAAAAUGUCCUUGACUUUGCUGGGGUCUACCGCAAUCCCUCUGGCAGAUAGAACAUGUCCCAGAAAUUGAAUUUCCUCUAGCCAAAACGCGCAUUUGCUGAACUUGGCAUAUAACUGAUGUUCCCUCAGGCGCGUUAACACGAUCCGUAAAUGUUGGGCGUGCUCCUCUUCAUUCUUGGAAUAUAUCAAAAUGUCAUCAAUGAAGACCACCACAAACUUGUCUAGCUCGGGCAUGAACACCGAGUUCAUCAAAUAUGUGAAGUGGGCCGGAGCAUUUGUUAACCCGAAAGACAUUACCAGAUAUUCAAACAACCCAUACCGCGUAGUGAAUGCGGUUUUUGGUAUAUCUUCGGGCCAAAUAUGGAUCUGGUGAUAGCCCGAUCGGAGAUCAAUCUUUGAAAAUACCCUUGCUCCAGUCAGUUGAUCAAAUAGAAUAUCAAUCCUUGGAAGAGGGUACUUGUUUUUGAUGGUGACCUCAUUCAGGGGCCGAUAAUCCACACACAUCCGUAAAGUUUGAUCCUUCUUUUUGACGAAUAUGGCUGGACAACCCCAUGGUGACGAGCUUGGCCGGAUGAAUCCUUUCUCUAGGAGAUCUUGUAAUUGAAUCUUCAAUUGUGCCAACUCAUUCGGAGACAUACAGUACGAUCUUCUAGAUAUUGGAGUCGUACCGGGCUUCAACUCUAUUACAAACUCUACCUCCCGUUCAGGUGGCAAUCCCGGCAAAUCCUCGGGAAAGACAUCGGGAAACUCGCAUACUACCGGAAUAUCCUUAAUUUCCGGUACUAUGACUUCAUAAAUUCUGCCAGUAAUUUUGUUUAGAAUAGGGAUGGGCAAAAGAAUUUCUUCUUGAUUAUGACUCAACCUGAUGGUUCUUUGAUCAGUGUUGAGGGUUGCUUUAUGCUUGGCCAACCAAUUCAUACCCAAAAUAACAUCUAUGUCUUGGCCUUUCAGAACGAUCAUAUUGGUAGGAAAGUCCCGUCCGGCCAAUAAUACGGGCACUUGAUAGGCCACUUCUCUAGUAAAGAUUUGUCCCCCAGGUGAGUGUAUUUUAAAUCCCUCUUUUAAUUCAUGGCAUGCAAUGUGAUGUUGCUCCACAAAUUUCUUGCUAAUGAACGUAUGCGAAGCACCAGAAUCAAAAAGAAUGACUGCAGGAUGAUUGGCCACGAGGAACAUACCCAUCAUUACCGGCUCUCCGUCCGGUGUAGUGGCCACUUGUGUAUAGUAUACGCGUCCCGUCUUCUUGAAAUUUUUGCCCUUAACAUUUCCCUUGCCUUGAGAUGAAUUCCCCGAUCCUUGCUGAUUAUUCAACUGGUUCUGCUUGGGAUAGAGGCAAUCUUUGAUGAAAUGCCUAGACUUGCCACAAUUGAAACAUCCGGUUGAAGAACUGGGCAAAGCAGGGAAUCGAGUGCCUGGGGCACCCGGCUGACUUGGGGCAGUAGGGGCAUUAUUGGGACGAAUAAUUAUUGGCAGCUUGAAAGGGAAGUAUGGUGCACGUGGAUAAUUCUGGUUAGAAGGCCGGAGAAUAAACUGUUGCCUCUUUACCGGGCCCUGACUAGGCCUGUUUUCUCCACCCCCCUUGAUCUUUCCAGAACUUGCAUAUUUCGCUUCUACUGCCAGUGCUGUACUGACAGCUCUUCCAUAAGUCAAGUCAAUGCAAGUAGCCAUUUUUCUCUGCAGUCGAUCAUUUAAUCCUCUCAUAAAGCAAUUUUUCUUCUUCAGAUCAGUGUUCACCUGAUCGAUUGCAUAUUGUGAUAGAUGAUUGAACUUAUUGAGAUACUGGUUAACAGUAUCCCCUCCUUGUUUCAGCUUCAUGAAUUCUUCUUGCUUCAUAUGCAGAACACCUUCGGGUAUAUAAUGCUCGCGGAAGGCCACUUUGAAUUCUUCUCAGGUUAUUUGAUGAUUGGCUGGUUGAACGGCCACAAAAUUACCCCACCAAGUGCUGGCAGGUCCGUGCAGUUGCUGGGCUGCGAAUAAAGGCUUAUGAAUUUCUGAACAGCGCAGCAGUCCAAAUUUUUGUUCAAUCACUCGAAGCCAUUCAUCGGCUUCCAACGGAUCUUCAGCUUUCACUAACAAAGGCGGACAUGUCUCCGAGAAGUCCAGAUAAGAAGUUUCGCGGGGGCCCUGUUGGUAGCCCCGCCCACCCUGCUGCUGGAACUGUUGGCCCACCAUUUCUCUCAGAAAGCGGUUAUUGUCAGCAGUUGCGUUCACUAAGGCGGCAAUCGCCUCAGCCAGUGUGGGAGGAGCAGGCGGUGGAUUUGGUGUAGAUUCCCUCCCCCGGGAGGUACCAGCUCCGUCCUGAGCUCGAGUCUUGGAAGGCAUCUGUGGCAACAACAUUUGAAAACAAUAUGAUAUGCCAAAGAAAAAGCCAUCCCUUUUACAUUACCAAAAGUAAUGUUACAGACUCAAGACUCUUACAACAGGAUACAAUACCUAGUAUACAAUAGCACUACCUAUUAUACACUAGUACAACCUACAAUACACUACACUACUUCUACUAUACAACUAGUCCUGCUUCCCAUUGCUUUUAGCGGCCUCGUCGUCGGGUGUGGGAGACCAUUCGUCGACCAGCCUCAUGGAAGGAGGGGGCUGAAAAAGGUCUAACUCAUCACCAAGCACGUGUCCUGCAACAUGCGAGGGUCCGGCUUCCGACUCAACAGGGUACGCAGGUGCACUAGGGUGUAAUUGCGAAUACAGUACAUGGACUUCCUCAUGUAAAGUAUUGCAAUAGACCUGCAGGUUGUCGAUAGCUGAGCUAAGUUCCUUGACUCGGACUUGAGCCCUUGCUUCCGUAGCACAAGCCAGCAAACGGGACUGAACUGCCCAGUCGAGCGCCAAGUCCCGAUCAGCAAGCUGAUCCCGCAGGUGGCGGAUGUCCCUUCUUAAUUCAUUUAUUCUAUCUCCAUCCGCAACCCAUAUGUUGGUCCUGUGUUGCAAUUCCGCUUGAAGUUGAUUUACUCGUGCUUCAAGAUCCCCUAUUGGAUCAUUACUCCCGCUGCUACUGUCCUCAUGUCGAGGGGCCAGUUGAUGCCAGGGCACACCGAUUGGGCCAGUUGACUUGCGCGACGUUUUCCUUGUGCGCGGCGGCAUCUUUCUAAGGGGGAAAAUUUUAUUAGUAUAAUUCUUAGCAUGAUGCAUGUGUAAGUACAGAAUCAACCUUAGUUGAUUUAACCUUCUAUACAUUGCACUCUUCCUAUCUGGUCUUUAAGAUAGACUCUUCAGAAUACUUAGGUAAGAAGAGAAGAGAGUUUCUAGGUAAGACUUUUAGAAAAUCCUUUUGAAGAUGUCUCAUAAUAUCUGCAAAGAAGGGCUACGCUCCGAUACCAACUGUGACGGAACCUCCCAAGUAACUAGGCCCACCUACAGUUGUCCUUGUCUAACAGACAUCAGACACCCUAUAGAUGUUCCUAAAUCACUUGACAAGUUCGGUAUCUUUCCUUACCUUUCCAGGAACGUUUCACCCGUCUUGCAGACAUUACAGAACAUUGGAGAUGAAGAAAUGCGGAAGCGAUUACAUAACUUGCAUUUAUUAAAAAGUAAGCUAAAGUUGUUUAUUACAGACCAGAAUAUAAGCGAGUGCAGAGUAGUAUUAUUACAUAACUAAGGGAAGCAAAAACUCCUCCCAAUAAGUUUUUCACAAAAGUUUUCUUAUGGAGGACCAAGUCCUCCCGCAUCUUCACUCUUGUUUCUCCUCCUUAGGAACCACCUUGCUACAGAAGCAACAGAAAUAUGCUACUUCCUCACCUAAAAACAACGAAGGGAUAAACCCUGAGUAUGGAAUUACUCAACAAGUCUUACCCGACUAAAGAAAAGACUCUCAAGGGUAUGCUGGUUUAAGGGAGUCAAGGUAAGGCUUCUCAAUAAUCAAAGACUCUGUUUUGCCGAAAUGCUUACUAAAGUGGAUCCUUAAAAAUCCAGUUUUAUUUGUCAAGUUAAGUAAACAUACUUAUCUCUAGAGUUCUCUCUAACCUAGUUCAAACACUUAUCCUGAACAAGCCAAGUUCUUAAUUCUUCCUUCAUCUUCACUAGAUUGCUACGUGUAGGGCAGUGACCAAGUCUUCAUAACCGCGAAGGUACGGCGAUCCGAAUCGAUUAUACUCAGCUGAGGAUCUCCAAUCACACGACAUAUGUAGCACUUAACCCUUGCAUAUGUCAACCCACCACCGGGUUUCUUAAGACCAGAUCAGGUUCACGCAAACCGAGAGCACAGAUACACCAUCGUCCAGCCUCUUGCCACGGAGGGUACACGCUACUCUCGCCACCGCUCCACGCCCAUUUCGUGUUAUCUUAUUCUGGCCUUAGUCUGCCCGAGGCAAGGCUUACCCAUGACGAGGCAUGUGACCUGUUAAAGGGUCCUCGAUCAUCAAGCCUACAUCGACAAGGUCCUUAAUCGACUCAGACGGAGACACUACACCGAGACUCUCUUCUCGUGCAAGUCACCCGCCCGGUCUCAGCUUAAUCUUUUCAACCCAAAAACUUGGUACCUGGCAGAGGUACAUCUUUUUCGAUGUUGAAUCCAUCACGGCCGUGAUGGAUUCACCAUCAAGUUUUAUUUUUGAAAACAACCCUCCCACUUUGCCAAGCAUCUUUUGUAAAACAAAUCCUUUUGUUUUUCUAAAGCAGUACUAAGCAUAGAAAAACCUUUUUGUAAAAUCAGGGUUUCAAGGAAGGUAAUCAAGUUCAAGGAAGGUAAUGCAGGAAUUGUUUAAUCAAUCAACUCCUAUCACCUAAUGCAGCAAGCAAGUGAGAAAGAUUUUUAAAAACAUCAAGGGAGGUGGCAAAUGCAUCGGAGCUUGCCUUCGUUCGUAGGUGAGUCUGGCUCGGAUCCACAAAUAUCAAAGUAGAAGCAGUUUCCUGCCUGAGGAUCCGAGGGUGGUGGUGUCUUUUCUUUAGUGACUUCCACUUCUUCUUCACGUUCUAACAUAACCAUAUAUAUACAUAUAUAAGAAUGAAUGCCAUGUAAUGCUCAUGAGAGUGCGAAGAUAAUAAAGAUUUAUUAUCUAAGUCUUGAAUACAACUUUCCUUCACGGAACUCCGAGAACUUAGGGUUUCUGGAGUCUGUAAAGGAGUUCAUAGAGUAGGGGGGUUUUGGGUUCUAGUUACCAAACAUGGUCCAAAUCAAUUCAAACUCUACCCAAGGCUUCUAAAUAAUGUGGGGAGUUCAUAUAAAAAUUUUGAACAUUUUUGGCAUUACUAUUAAUUCUCUAAAAUUCCAGAACUAUUUCUUUAAGCUAUUUUAAAUGCCCUAAAAUUCCCUGUUUAAACUAAAAAUCAUGAAACUAUUUUUAUUAAAUUCUAGGGAAAAUAAUAAGCCUAGGAAAAUUGGUCUCACAAUUUUAGGAUUUUUCUACAAUUUAUAACAAAUUUCCCAAGUUCUUCUAAAAACGAAAAAGGAAAAGAUUUCAACAGGACUGGGCCGGAUUCAGCCCAGGUGGCCCAAUCCAGAGGGAAAGCGCGCCCGCGCCCGCGCGCUUGCGCUGGCGCUUUGCGGAAAUGCCCUCGGGUUUUCAUUAAAUGAGGAUAGGUCCUUUCACUGUUUCUCUGUAUCACUGACAGUUUACACGGGGGUCCUCCAAGUUCUAUUUCUUCGCAUUGUAAAGUCCACGACGGCGACGCGCGCGGCCGAGCUCCGGCGAGCACCAAGACCGGCUGGACGGGGUAACUACUGGUGCUUAGCUUAGGCCUAAAUCAAAUUCACUACCUGGAGAAUAUUUCUCCUAACUUAAUUGCACGAAUGAUCAAGUGUUUUGCUCUGGCCACGGUGACCGUGAGCAGAGCGGCAAGAUCAUCGUGUUCCCGGCGACCAGAGAGCUCCUAGCGCAAUUACAUGGGUCGGCAAGCAUCAUGGAGUUACGAGAAAGCUCAAACGAGAGAGAGAGAAGGAUGAGCUGACCGGAAAGGGGCUGGCCGCGAUGAAGCCGGUUUCACGGUGUUCUUCGACUGGUUUGGGGGAAAUCUUAAAUUCUAGCUCAUUGGUGGAUGAUGGCUAACGAUUCUUCGUAGCUGGGUGAGUAAUGACCUAACGUAGCCGGCCCGGCCUUCAAUUUAUAGGAGGAGCGAGCGGUGGUCGUGAAUUUGGACGAGACACACGGCGGCUGGAGGAAAGGAAACUUUACUGGCACAAGGGAUUCGUGGCCUCUACCGUGGCAGUCAUUCCAAUGAUCAACGGAGAGGCUAUAGGAAGUCAUGGCGAUGCGGUGGCGUGGUUGAGACACGCGGUGGACAACGGCGAUGGCACGACGACGGUGAACAGCUUUACCCGCGGGCGGUGAGCCAUGGGAGGGGUAUCGCGGCUGGCCGGGGUGGAGUCCAGUUCACCGGCGGCGAGGAUUUUUACUGGGCUGUGAUUAUCUGAUGUCCACGGCGCACGAAUCGCGGCGAGCAACGAUCAACGGCGGCAACACGAAUCUAUGCACAGGGAGGUCACUGGCGACGAGCGAGCAGCGCUGGCAGUCUGAUCCACAAUAGCCACUGUACCAUGGGACUUCCUCAUUCAGUUGACCUGACAAAACACUUUGGAGCACCAUUUUCUCCCAAAUUUCUAUGGCAACAUCCCCGAGUCUCUGCAUCAAAGUUGUAGUGCUACAUACCAGCUACAAAUCGACUAUAGGGAUUAAAGUUAUUUGAGCACUGGAUCAAGGUUUAAUUCAACCCCAAAGAUGGCUCUGCUACACUGAAAACCUGAACUUCAGAGUGAAACCAGCCUGACAGUCAAACUUUAGGCUAUAUUAUCUCCAAUAUUUUCUUAACAACAAUGCUCACACUCUUAAGCAAAGUUGUUCACCUAUAAUUGGGCUACAAUUUUGAUGUGGUGACCUAGGGCAAAAACCCCAUAAUUUGAAAGUUACAAGGGCUUCAAGUUGAGUCAAUCAUACUGAAAUGCAGACUUAACCAAAAAGGGUCAAGUAUGGCUCUUUUGCACUUAAUUCCAAAUCUCAAGUUUUGGAUUGCAAAUCCACCUUCUGGUGAACCAUAUGACUUAGGAUACCCUAUUAACCUGGUUUUUGCACUUUAGCCCAAAAGUGGACUAAUUUUGCACAUAGGUCCCUAGGGUUUGGUUUUAGGGUUUUCCAGGGUUCCAAUUAGGGUUUUUGGCAUCCCAGGGGUAUAAAUAUGAUUUAACUUUAUUUUUGGGAACAUUUUAUACUAUUUCCCCUAAAGUUUUUAGGUUUUCUCAACUUGGGUUAGGUCUUACCCCUUUAAUCCCCAUUUAGGGUUAAGUCCCCUAUCCAGGGUUCUAUUUGCAAAGUGCUAUAACAAUACAACUUGUUUGAAAUUUUUGCCUAGUGAAUGCACUCUAGGUGUGUCAAACAUAUGCAAUGCAAAUGCUUAUGAUGCCAUGCUCAAGUUUUAGUUACAGUAACACCAGGGGUGUUACACUUCGCCCCUUUACUGACCGUUCUGACAGGAAAACAACGCUAUUCACCCCGUUCCGACUACUGUGCCAACCACCAGGGCAAAACUGAGUCACAACCCCUUCCGAGUUCGGCCUCGGGCACAACAGGGAGCUCCGCCUCGCCCGACCUCAGUCCUCGGCCUCAGCCUCGGCCUCGGGAGAAGGUCUCCGCCUUGCCCGACCCCAGGCCUCGACCUUAGCCUCGACUUCAUGAGAAGUCUCCGCCUCGCCCGACCUCGGGCUCGGACUGACCGCGCCGCAGGGGAUACAUCAUUACCCUACCCCUAGCUAGGUGCCUCAGGUUACAAAGGAAUAAGACCGGUGUCCCAUCUAGAUUACUCCGGUAACAGGUAAUGAUGGUUCCCCACGUGCGCCCAUGACGUCGGUUGCUCUCAACCCCCUACGGAAGCAAGGAAACGUCAGCAGGAUCCAUGCCGCACCGCCAUCUAUGCUUCUACAGGGCCAAAGCACUUCUCCGAUGGCCACGUUAGCACACGUACAGGGCUCAAGGCACUUCUCCGCCAGCCACGUUAGCACAUAGGUACACCCCCAUUGUAUAGGUGGGCCAUCUCCUUGUAUCUAUAAAAGGGGAUGUCCAGGGCCUUCCUAAGGCAGGGACAAGGGAUGGGAGAAGAGCGGAGGCAGGCAGAGUAGGAGAGACGCGGUGGAGGCCAACUCAGACACCUCACCUCAAGACCGAACCCUCUCCCUCUCUCUCUCUCUCUCUCGCUCGCUCUCGCGACGCUUGUAACCCCUACUACGAGCACCCCAGUGCAAGAUAACAUAAACCUCAUUCCCCUCUUGUGUUCCAUCUUGCAUCAACCCAUCUGGGCAGGGACACGCAACGACAAAUUCACUGGUCGGUUGAGGGUCCUCGCGGGUCCGAAACGCCGACACUGUGUGACAACUUUCACGAAACCUAAGUGGCCUACACAUGAAAUCAUAGAGUUUCAAUGUAGACUGGCUAGGUUUCUACACAUAGUGCGUUACAAAUUUCUCGAAACAUUCUCAAAUUUUUAUCACAGACUGUACAUAUGAUAUCAUGACAUGUGGACAAGUGUAACACCCUGAAUUUGGGGGUAUAAAAUUUCUUUCUUAUUAUCAUCCAAAUUCAGGUGUUACUCUUCUCUCUCUCACUCUAGUUUCUAUCUCUCUCUAGAUUCUAUCUCUCUUUUUCCUUUUGAGUAGAUUUAGCUUAAGUAAGGAAGGAUUAAUUAUUUAUUUUUUUACCAAAACAUUAUGAGUCAUGAAAUGUUGCAUCAUGUUGAGCUUAUUCCUUGAAUUGUUGCACAUGUUUGAAUUAGUUUGAAUUUGAAACUUGGUUUGAGUUUGAAUUGAAAACCCUAGAGAAAAAGAAAUGGAAAAGCAAUUAGAAAUUUCAGGGAAAUAGAAAAAGCCAAAGAAGCCCAACCUGCCUAGCUCGGCCCAGCCAGGCCGCGUGCCCGCGCCGCUUGACAGGUGGGUUCCACCUGUCAGCGGCGGUUUCCUUCCCCGCGCGCUCUCUCUUCCCCUCUCUACCUAGUGGGGCCGGGUUGUCGGCACCAGUUUCCCUCGCUCGCGCGCCCUUUUCUGUCUCUGCCUCGCGGGCCCGCUUCGUUAGCCCAGCCGAGCCGUUCCCUCCACGCGCCCGCUCCCUCUCGCUGUGCCGUGGGACCGCCCUGUUAGCUCCGCCUUCCCUGCGCCUAGUGUGUGACAACUUUUACGAAACCUAAGUGGCCUACACAUGAAAUCAUAGAGUUUCAAUGUAGACUGGCUAGGUUUCUACACAUAGUGCAUUACCAUUUUUUUCAAAACAUUCUCAAAUUUUUAUCACAGUCUCUACAUAUGAUAUCAUGACAUGUGGACAAGUUUCAUGAUUUUCUGACUUUGUAUUUUAUACGAUUUUUAAACAACUUGAUGGCAAGUUCACGAUUAUGUUUAGUGAACAUGGUGCUCAAAGAUUGUGGUCUGCUCCUAAAAUCGGUCGUAACUUGUGCUAAAUAACAUGGAUAUCAUUUUUGCAUGCACAGUUUUCCAUGUUUUGAGUGACUUGCAGUUCAAAUCUGAAUUAUCCGAGGAAAUUCAAUUAAACGAACUAAAUCUAAUGGUUAUAGAAAACACUUUUAUAUUUGCGCCAAAAUGGUACAUAUAGGUCUACAUAGUGUAGCAACAUACCACAAAAAGUUUGGUUGGGAAAGAAAAAAUAAAAAUAUACUUUGCCAAGUGUCCAGGAAUGGCACUCGGCAAAGCAUUCUUUGCCGAGUGUCAGACGUGGGACACUCGACAAAGAUUUUUUUAAAAUACUAAACUAUUCUUUGCCGAGUGCUUGUUAGUGGGUGUCGGAUCCAGGGCACUCGGCAAAGUGUAUUUUUAAAUUAAAAAAAAUCUUUGCCGAGUGCCACAUCGCGGGCACUCGGCAAAGUCUCUUUACAUAGACAGAAACCUGCUUUCUUCUUCACUUCAUUUUUCCUUCUGCUCUCCACGCACGCCUUAGCCAACCACCGCCGCCGUCGUAGGAGCGUCACCACCAACCCCGCCGCUGCCGGAGCACCGCCACCCGCCCUCCCGACCAACCCCGCCAGGGCGACCCUACCCGCGAGUGUAGGUUUGUCAACAAAAUAACAAUCCAUAUUUUUUAUUCAUGGCAUUGGCCGCUACCAUGAACAUGCGCCUUGAUCAUAUUGUCUUUUAUAGUACAUAGACUGAAGUACUAUGAGUGGAUGUACACGGGUCGUGUAGAAAGAAACGAUGUCACCUCUGAAUGGAUUAGAAAGACUGAUGCUUUCGUGGAACGGGCAUUUGGCGGAGCUGCUAAAGGAGCGAGUCUAGUCUCAUGCCCGUGCAGCAAAUGUGCCAACCGGAAAAGAAAAUCAAAGAAGGUCAUGGUAGAACAUAUUUGGAAGAAUGGAUUUAUGCCGGACUAUACUCGGUGGAUCUUCCAUGGUGAAGCGCAUCAUAUGAGAGAGGAGGUGGUGAGACAAUGUGUCGAGGAUUAUGAUGCCGAUGCCGGGGUCGCGGAUAUGUUGAACGACUAUCACGAGGCAUAGUUCGCCGGAGGAUGUACGGAGGACGAGCCAGAGCCGACCACAAAGGCAUUCUACGACAUGUUUGACAUGGCACAGAAGCCCCUUCAUGGCCAGACAAAGGUUUCUCAACUGGAUGUCAUUGGGCGUGUAAUGGCGUUCAAGUCACAGUACAACAUGAGUCGAGAUGCAUUCGAUGGCUUGUUGACGGUUAUUGGCAGCCUGCUUUCGAAGGAUCACAUUCUGCCAAAGUGCAUGUACGAGGCACAAAAACUCCUUCUUGCACUCAAGAUGACGUAUGAGGAGAUACAUUCUUGCACUCAUGAAAGAAUAUGCAGAUGCAAAGUACUGUCCGAAGUGUAAAUCAUCUAGGUUCAUGGAGGUACAAUCUGGUGAUGGAUAGAAGAGGCAGCUCGACAUCCCCAUGAGAAUCCUACGCCACCUUCUGUUCAUACCGAGGAUCUAGUGUCUAUACAUGACCGAGGAAUCCACGAAACAGAUGUCAUGGCACAAAAAUAGGAAACGAAACAAUCCUGACAAGAUGGCGCACGCAUCCGAUGGUGAAGCAUGGAAACACUUUGAUGCCAUUCACCGUGAGAAAGCCGAAGAGGCUCGUAAUGUAUGUGUUGCGCUGGCCACAGAUGGGUUCAAUCCCUAUGAAAGGAGCACAGCCCCAUACACAUGUUGGCCAUGUUUGUUAUCCCAAUCAAUCUCCUCCCGGUGUGUGCUUUCAAAGGCAGAACAUAUUCGUGUCGUUGAUAUAUCCCAGACACCCGGUGAAUAAAAUGGGAGUGUACAUGGAGCCUUUGAUUGAUGAAUUGGUACAUGCUUGGGAGGAAGGAGUAUGGACGUAUGACCGAGCUACGAAAACAAACUUCAAAAUGCAUGUUUGCUACCAGUACUCCAUGCAUGACUUACCGGCGUAUGGGCUAUUCUGCGCCUGGUGUGUUAUGGUAAGUUCCCAUGCCCAGUUUGCAAGGAAGCUCUUAGGUUCAUUUGGUUGAAAAAGGGUGGCAAAUAUUCGCCGUUUGAUAAACAUCGACAAUUUCUCCCUCCUGACCAUCCAUUCCACCUAGACAUCAAGAACUUUAUGAAAGGUGUCGUAGUGACAGAUCGCCCACCUGCAACGAUGACUGGUGCCAAAAUUCAUCAACAAAUAGAUGGGCUCGUGGCCAAUCUAGAAGGUGGUUUUGUGGGAUAUGGUGAGCAACAUAUGUGGACACAUAAGUUGGGCUUGACUCGGCUCCCCUAUUAUGACGACCUGCUCCUUCCACACAACAUUGACAUGAUGCACACUGAAAAGAAUGUUGUCGAGGCACUUUGGGUAACAAUUAUGGACAUUCCUGAUAAGUCAAAGGAUAACGUAAAGGCAAGAGUGGAUCUGGCAGCGUUAUGUGAUAGAUGUAACACCCCAGGUGUUUACCUCCCGCUUGACAACGAUUGUGGGCUUAAGUACGAGUUAUUAACGAGAACAACAAUAUCUAUAUAUUAAUUAUCUGCACCCAUAAUGAUUUCGAUAUCGUCUGCCUUCGUCUAUCGGUACUGUCCAAAAUAUUUCACGAAGUUCGGACUUUAGUAACCGUCAAAAAUGCCGAGUCCGGUGCUGUUCAGAUUGGUCGAGAGCGUGAAUGCGAUUUCGGAAAUAGUUCGAGUUUAUAAUUUCAACCGCGUUUAUGUCCAAGAAAUAUAAGGCGUAGAGUUAUUAAUCGAAUUGCUCUCUAGUCGAAUGUUCAGAUAGCGGGCAAAAUUCGUCUAAAUUUAACCGAAAUGAAUGGAAAUUAAAAUUAUUCCAUUAUUGCGAAUUGGAAAAGUCUACCAAGUAAUUUAAUCUUGUCCGAAUGGUUUUAUGGACUUUGUAGCAAAACUCAUUAAUCGUGUGUAGUUAAAUAAACCAAACCCAAACUAACUUAAACCAGAUUAAUUGCUUGCUGAUUCAGUUUCCUAUUUCAAAGUUAGAGAAAAUCAUGCCUGGGGUUAGUAAAUGGAAUUGUUCCUCUCAGCAUGUUAUUUUUGGCGUCAGAUCAAAUGAUCGAUAUCGGGUAAAAUUCAACUUAACCCAACUGGGAUCAACUGUAGUCCAAAAGUAUCGAAACCGAAAUUGUUUUAAUCUGGUCCGUUUACAUCUUACCCAGAAUAAUCAUAAAAGUAAUCCAAACGAAAUUUAACCAGGACCGUAUGAACUGUUAUUACUAUGAUUCUCCGUUUCAUGAUUGGGAAAAUGAAAUGUGUAGCUCGUAUAGCGCGUCGACCCAUUGUUGGGGGUAUGCUUCGUAGCCGAAGAUCCUAAAGAAAGAGAACACCUUCGGAAGAUCCUCUCAGGAGCAAGCGCCGAAGCUAUUACCUAUAGAGCUUCGGCAUAAUGACAGAUCUCAAGACGAAGGGCCGAACCGACUUAAAGAUGGAUUGACUUAUGAUGUUUUGUGUCAUUAUUGUAGUCGAUUGUAAAGGACAUAAAUGUAAUUUUACACAGGCUGCACCCUGUGCCUAUAAAUAGUGGAACAGUAUCCCGGCACUGUUCACACAAUCCUGUAAUCGCUAACUCAUUACGCUGGAAUUAUUUUCUGUCAGAGGCGAAGGUAUAAACGUACCUAAAUAUUAUGUUUUGACAUUUAAGUUCAUAUUAUGAAAUAUAUGAAUAAUGUAAUUUGUUUUUCCUAUAAUGUUUAAUAUUUUAUAUUUUAUUUCGCAUUGAUGAAUGUUUGACCACGAAGGUAUGACCUUCGUGGUAUUCUGUCUGUGGCCUUCGUUCGAAGUUCAUUAAAUCCAUGGGAAAAUAAUGCUUCAGCGAACGAAGGGCAUUAUUAUUUAACAUUUUCUGUGUUGCCUUGUUCCUAAUUCAUAGCAUUUGAGAACAAGUCCCCAACAUUGGCGCUCACCUCCGGUGAACUCACUUCCACUUUUUUGAGCUGAUGGCUUCGUUCAACAACCAAGCUGGAGCUGCUUCGGCUCCGAAGCUGGUACUCCCGAUAACAGGUGGUUCAUGUUCAGAGCUAGCUAACAAGAAGCAGAAGAAGGAGGCACAGAGAAGGGUACAACAUGUCGGGGGUGCAAGGACCCUUCAUCAAGUCAAGAUGGUCCCACAUCCCAAUUACCUUCUCUCAAGAGGACCUUCAGCUCAAGGAUUACCCUCACAAUGAUGCUAUGGUUAUUUCUUGUGUCAUCAAAGGAUUUCUGGUCCACAAUGUUCUGGUUGACAUAGGCAGUGCAACGGAUAUUAUAUUUGCUAAGGCCUUCAGACAAAUGCAAGAGCCCGAAGAUAAGAUCCAUGAUGCUACACAUCCCCUUUGUGGCUUCGGAGGAAGGCAGAUUGUAGCACUCGGCAAGAUCACGAUGCCAGUGACCUUCGGAUUUAUCAACAAUACAAGGACUGAACAAGUUGUGUUUGAUAUUGUUGACAUGGAAUACCCUUACAACGCAAUCAUUGGUCGUGGGACACUCAAUGCUUUUGAAGCAAUUCUUCACCCAGUAUAUCUUUGCAUGAAGAUACCUUCGGAUCAAGGGCCUAUUGCUAUUCAUGGAAGUCAAGAAGCUGCCAGAAAGGCCGAAGGAAACUGGACAGAUUCAAAAGCAAUACAUAAUAUAGAUGGAGUUGAAGCUUAUGAGCAAUACAAGUACAGAAGGGAGAAGGCUGCUUCGGCUGAUCAGCCGAAGCCCAUGCUUUUAUGUGAAGAUAUAGCAGAGUAGAAGGUGUUGCUGGGGUCUCAAUUGUCUGAGGAGCAGGAGAAAACCUUGACAAGGUUUCUGUUCAACAAUAAAGAUGUCUUCGCAUGGUCGGCCAAUGAUCUCUGUGGUGUGAACAGGGAUGUCAUUGAGCACUCGCUCAAUGUUGAUCCAUCCUUCAGACCCAGAAAGCAUAGACUUCGGAAGAUGUCUGAUGACAAAGCCGAAGGUGCUCGGAACGAAGUGAAAAGACUUCUUAGUGCUGGCAUCAUUAGAGAAGUAAAGUACCCAGAAUGGUUAGCCAACACUGUUAUGGUGAAGAAGGCCAAUGGUAAAUGGAGAAUGUGCAUUGACUUUACUGAUCUUAAUAAGGCUUGUCCGAAGGAUGAAUUUCCAUUACCAAGAAUAGAUUCUCUAGUAGACGCAGCAGCUUCGUCAGAGCUCAUGAGUCUACUAGAUUGUUAUUCAGGCUACCAUCAAAUUUGGAUGAAGAAAGAAGAUGAGCCAAAAACCAGCUUCAUAACCCCUAGUGGUACAUAUUGUUAUCUUCGGAUGCCUGAGGGGCUCAAUAACGCUGGACGAAGCUUCAAUAGAAUGACAGCGAAGGUCCUUCAUUCUCAGAUAGGCAGAAACGUGCUAACAUAUGUUGAUGAUAUCAUAGUAAAAAGCACGAAACAAGAAAAUCACAUUGCUGAUCUGCAGGAGACAUUCGCUAAUUUUAGGCAAGCUGGUCUGAAGCUGAAUCCAGAAAAAUGUGUCUUCAGAGUAAAGAAGGGGAAAUUCCUUGGUUGUUUGGUUUCAACAAAAGGGAUCCAAGCUAAUCCAAAUAAAAUCGAAGCUAUCCUUCGGAUGGAACCGCCAAGCACAAAGAAAGGGGCUCAACGGCUAACAGGAAGACUGGCAUCUUUGAAUCGAUUUAUAUCCAGAUCAGCAGAGAGAAAUUUACCAUUCUUUGAAGUGCUGAAGUCAGCCGAAGUUUUUCAAUGGGGAUCAGGUCAGCAAAAAGCCUUCGAAGAGCUGAAGCAAUAUCUGAUAGAUUUAACAACCUUAACUCCACCAGCGCCAGGGGCUCCUCUGCUGCUGUAUGUGGCAGCUUCGCACUCUGCAGUAAGUGCGGCGCUUGUCCAGGAGAAGCUUGAAGGACAAUUGAAAAAGCAGGCUCUAGUAUACUUCGUCUCCAAAGUUCUUAGUUUAUCAAAGAAAAACUAUACAGAAUUGGAGAAAGUGUUAUAUGCUGUCUUUAUGGCCUCCAGGAAGCUUCGACAUUAUUUUCAAGCAUACCAUAUAAUUGUUCCUUCAUCACAGCCUUUGAAGGAUAUUAUGAGAAACAGAGAAGCUACUCGAAGGAUUGGAAAGUGGGCUGCGGAACUUAACGAGUUCAGCAUUGAUUAUGUGCAUAGAUCUUCGAUUCAGUCUCAGGCGCUAGCAGACUUCAUCGCUGGCUGGACGCUAAGGGCUCAGGAGGAAGAAGCAAGUAAAGAUGCCGAAGCUUGGACAGUGUUCGAUGAUGGUUCCUGGGGAACCAUCGGGGCAGGUGCAGCUGCCGUUUUAAUUGCACCUUCCAAAGUCAGAACAUGCUACACAGUGAAACUUGAUUUCAGCUGCACAAAUAAUAUUGCUGAAUACGAAGCUUUGCUUUUGGAGCUUCGGAAGUUGAAGGCAAUGGGGAUAAGAAGGGCGGUUCUCAAAACCGAUUCCCAAGUUAUUUCUGGUCAUAUUGAUAAGAGUUGUAAAGCAAAAGAUCCAAAGCUCGAGAAAUAUUUGGAUACAGUUCGAAGGCUUGAAGCUUCCUUCGAAGGGUUUUCUGUCAAGAAUAUUCCACGAGGAGAAAAUGAGCACGCUGAUCUGCUAGCCAAGUCAGCGGCACAGGGGCUGUCUUUACCUUCGGAAGUAUUUUUUGAAACAAUAAAAGCACCUUCGAUCGACCUUCUUGAAAGAGCAGUGCUCAAUAUAUCUCCUGUUUAUAGCAAAGAUUGGAGAAUUGAGAUCAUAUCUUUUCUCUAGGGCAAUUUCUUUUCAGAUGACGAAGCUUAUAAUAAGAGAAUAGCAGCAAGAGCCCAUCCAUAUGUAAUAAUAGAAGGGGAGUUAUACAAGCAUGGAGUCUGUUCUCCAUUACUCAAAUGUUUAUCUAGAGCUAAAGGUAUAGAGCUGAUGAAAGAAAUACAUGCAGGCCUAUGUGGAUCUCACAUCAGAUCUAGGCCCUUGCUGGGUAAAGUUUUUCGUCAAGGAUUUUAUUGGCCGAAGGCAGCUUCGGAUGUAGCAGAAUUAGUCCAAAAAUGCGAAGGUUGUCAAAAAUGUGCAAGAGAUCAAAAACAACCUUCGUCUCUAACUCAAUUAAUACAGCCUACUUGGCCGUUGCAAAGAUGGGGCCUUGAUUUGCUAGGCCCACUUCCACCAGCACAAGGAAAUUUAAAAUAUGUUGUGGUGGCAGUAGAAUAUUUUUCUAAGUGGAUUGAGGCGAAACCUUUAGCCAUAAUAACUUCUGUCACUGUCCAAUAAUUUUUUUGGCAAAAUAUUGUCUAUCGCUUCAGAGUGUCGAAGGCUAUUACUUUGGACAAUGGAACACAGUUUGAUGCCGAAGCUUUCAAAGAGUUUUGUGAACAAAUUGGCACGAAGAUCCAUUUUGCAUCGGUUAUGCAUCCGGAGUCAAAUGGACUUGUCGAAAGAGCUAAUGGCAUUAUAAUGACAGGAAUAAUGAAGUUAAUCUUCAACCAGCCCAGGGGGAAGUUGCCAGACAAAUUAAUCAAAGUGGUGUGGAGCCACAACACAACAAUGUCAAGGUCAACAUGUUUUACACCAUUCAAAUUGCUGUUUGGUGACGAAGCAAUAACCCCAGAAGAAGCUAAAGCGGGAUCAAUAAGAAUAGUGGCUUCGGCAGAGGACGAAGCUAAUUAUUCUGUGGCAAAAGAUGCUAUAGAAGGGAUCAGGCUUCAGGCUGUGGAGAAUAUCAAUAAAUAUCAAGCCGAAACAAUAAAAUGGCGUGACAGAAAAGUUCGGUUAAAAAAUAUUAAGCCAGGACACUUGGUACUUCGGAGAGUUGCCAACCCAGUUAUAGUAGGCAAGCUACAGUUGAAGUGGGAAGGACCUUUUCUGGUAGUAUCUUCGUCAAGACCCGGUUCCUACAGGUUGAAGGAUAUGGACGACAACGACAUUCCUAGAUCUUGGAAUGCGGGUGAGCUUCGGCGGUAUUAUGUGUAGCCUGAUGUAAUCUUUUUUAUUAUUUCCUAUGACACCAUUUUCCUUUCCAAAGGGGGAGAAAGGUUUUUAAUGGGGCCAUAGCAUGUAAUUUCUCUUUUUCUUAUAUCAGCUCUAUAAGAGCAAUAUCCCCCGAAGAUGUAAAUGUAAAAACUGAGCAUGCACCAUCGAGUGCAAAGAGAAAAGGAAAAACAGGGAGAAGCUCGAAAGACGUCCCUAAGGGGAUGUAGAGCACAACGAAGCUACAAAAAGCCAUUCCUAAGGGAGCGCAGCGUAAGUUUUCUGCUCAAAAGUUGUUCCUAAGGGAAUGCAGAGCUUACAGCGAAAAGUCAACGCUGAUUCCGCCGAAGUAUAAGGCGAAGCACGAAAAGUCAACGCGAUACCGCCGAAAGUAAAAGGCGAAGAAGUUCAAAAGACGUUCCUAAGGGAAUGCAGAACUUAUAGCGAAAAGUCAGCGCUGAUACACCGAAAAAUAAGCGGUGAAGCCGAAAAAUAAACGGCAAAGAUUUGUUAUUCCUAAGGGCCCGUUUGUUUUGUUGGAAUUGAAUUCCAUUUUAAUAAUUUUAAUUUAGACAAAACUAAUUAAGUUUAUAUAUUUAUAUAUGCAAUAUAUUUGUAUAUUAUCCUAAAUCAUAUGAGAGAGAUAGUUAUAUAGUACAUUUAUGUUAUAAAGGCGUAAGUAGAAGAGUGUGCUAUAAGUUGUACAUCGGAAAAUUAGCAUAUAAAUCUAUAGAAUCAAUUUCCAUCUCUCACCCCAUGAAUUUGAGAUAGGCUUAUAUGAUAACUUUGGAAAGUGGUGGAAUGUCAUAUUCUAAAAAAAUAGCCUAUUCCAUUAGUAAGAUUCCAAUUCCUCGAAAUGAAAGAAAACAAACGGGGCCUAAGGGAAUAAGAGUUUUGAUUGUGGUUUCGUAUGUGUCUUUGAACAUUCAUUUGCACGGUACAUUAAAUCAUACAUUUGCUUUCAUAAACAUUCACUUAGACAUACAUAGGAUCAUCAUCAUCAUAACAUACACACUUGCUUCGGCUCUAAAAGAGAAGGCUUCGGAAAAAAGGGAAAAUAGGCAAUUUUAUGCUUCGCUGUGUACGAAAAGAAGGGAAGGUGUUUUUCGCCUUCGACACAAAAAUAUUAAUUUCGUCCACACCAAAGCACUUUAUACAUUGACGGAAAGGUAAGACUAUAUUACAAGGUAUGGAAAAAGUCCACGAAGUGAAAUUUAAUUACAUCAUACUUUAUACAAGUUGUUACAGGAGUUUUUUGAGCUAUUUCUACAGACUACUUGAGCUUCGUUAGCAUUCAUGGAGCUUCGUCUUUUUACUCCGUAGCUUCAGCUUCGGCUUCGUCAUCCUGUAUGUAAGUAUUAUAAGCAAAAUUCAAAUUCAAAGGAAAAGGUAAGCAUAAGGUAUGAUUUUGUUACCGGCUUAAGGUAGCUUCAAGCUUCGUCACCAGCUUUGCUUCGUCCACCCUUUGUCCAUACUAAUUUUAUAAAUCUAUUCGCAAUACUUCAGGCAAGGUUGGGAAUGUUAUCUAAGUCUGCUGGUGAUAAGCUGAAGUUGGGUCUAUUGAUAACCUUUCCGUGUUCACAGCCAGACUUCAGAAAGGCAACAACUGUGCCCCGAGAAGCUACCAGGGCACAGAAGUCACCAUGUCCGGCUAUAACUUCGUCAAGAUCAUCAAUUUCACCUUCAAUAUGCUCGAAGGCACCAGGAAGGUCUUCAGCCGAAGGAGUAAAUUUCUCGCUGCUGGCUCCAACAAAAUAGAACACCUGCUUCAGUCGUUGAACGCAUUGAUUGCUGAACUCUAGACAUCUAUUCUAAAGGCUUGUCAAUGAUUUUUUAGCUCUCAACUUUUUUGGACUUCGGCCUCGAGUUUUACAUUAAGCUUCAGCUUUUCUUUUUUGAAGUUUUCUGGUUGAGAGAGAAGCUUCGAAUUUAAUUCUGUUAUUUUAGCUUCAGCCUCCGCUAAUAAGCCUUUGGUUGUUUGAAGCUCGAAGUCUUUCUUUUCAGUAGCAACUGAUUGCUCUUUUAUCUUGCUCUCUAAAUUCUCAAUUAUAACUCCGUGCUUUUUAUCUUCUAAGUCCUGCUGCAUUUUUAAAGCUUUGCUCAGCAGCAUACUCUGCGAACAAAUAACCUUCAUUAGAAAACAUCUAUGUUAUUAAAAACAAUAAAAGUUAGAGAAAAGUUGUUUACCUUGAAAUUGGAAUAAAAUAGACUACCGACAAUGUGUUGUCGUCGGUAGCGGCUGAUAUCUGCUUCGAGCUUCAGGAAACCGAUACUCUUUGAUAGAGUACUGAUAACUUUCAAGCCGGUCUGAUCUCGUAUGCAGCCCAACCUUUCGUCAUCAAUGCCACCGAAGAGAAGCGCUCCCGGCCGAUACCCGCAAGAUAUAUCAUAUUCUUUUAGUUCUUCUUUUUCAACUUUUGUCAGCUCUUGGCCAACUAAGUUUUGAAAGUUAAAAGCUUCAUCUUCCGAAGUAUCUUCGGUCAUUUCUUCCUUCUCGGGUUUUGUGGUCAUAGUCUCUUCGGUGACUGCGUCAGCCUCUUCUGUGGCAGCUUCUUCCGCGGCCAUGUUUAGUAGUAAUUUAUCUAUAUCAGCAAUCAUGCUCUCUAAAUUAAUAUUGUCGGCGUUUCGACCCCGGGGGGUCCAUGGACCGACGAGUAAAUUGUCGCUGCGUGUCCCAGCCCAGAUGGGUCGGCGCGAGACGGAACACAAGGGGGAAAACAGUAAGGGGAAACCGCGGCCACGUGUUGUCCUGCGCCCAAGGCGGAUGUGCUUGUAGUAGGGGGUUACAAGCGUUCGCGAGGGAGAGAGAGAGAGAGAGUAUGAGCCUGUGCGUCAGCCCGUUCUCCCGCGCGACCACCUUCUCGUACGAGAGCCCUGGACCUUCCUUUUAUAGAUGUAAGGAGAGGGCCCAGGUGUACAAUGGGGGGUGUAGCAAUGUGCUAACGUGUCUAGCAAAGGGGAGCCAGAGCCCUAUGUACAUGCCGUCGUGGCUGACGGAGAGGUGUUGCUGCCCUGUUCAUGUGAUGUCGUGGCCGUCGGAGGAGCGCUUGAGCCCUGUGGAAGUACAGCUAUCGUGGUUGUCGGAUCCUUGCUGACGUCUCCUUGCUUCCGUAAGGGGCUAAGAACCGCCGUCGUCAUGGAGCACGCGGGGUGCCAUCAUUACCUGUUUCACCGGGGCGAGCCAGAUGGGACGCCGGUCUUGUUCCCUGUAGCCUGAGCUAGCUAGGGGUAGGGUACUGAUGGGCCCCCCUGUGACGUGGUCGGUCCGAGCCCGAGGUCAGGCAAGGCAGUGACUCCUCCGAGGUCUAGGCUGAGUCCGAGCCCUGGGGUCGAGCGAGGUGGAGACCAUCUUCUGGAGUCGAGGUUGAGUCCGAGCCCUAGGGUCAGGCGAGGUGGAGUCCGUCUUCCGAGGUCGAGGCUGAGUCCGAGCCCUGGGGUCGGGCGAGGAGGAGACCAUCUUCCGAGGUCGAGGUGGAGUCCGAGCCCUGGGGUCGGGCGAGGCGGAGUUCGUCGUCCGAGGUCGAGGUUGAGUCCGAGCCCUGGGGUCGGGCGAGGCGGAGACCGUCUUCCGAGGUCGAGGUUGAGUCCGAGCCCUAGGGUCGGGCGAGGCAGAGACCAUCUUCCGAGGUCGAGGUUGAGUCCGAGCCCUGGGGUCGGGCGAGGUGGAGACCGUCUUUCGAGGUCGAGGUUGAGUCCGAGCCCUAGGGUCGAGCGAGGCGGAGACCGUCUUCCGAGGUCGAGGUUGAGUCUGAGCCCUGGGGUCAGGCGAGGCGGAGACCGUCUUCCGAGGUCAAGGUUGAGUCUGGACCCUAGGGUCGGGCGAGGCGGAGACCAUCUUCCGAGGUCGAGGUUGAGUCCGAGCCCUGGGGUCGGGCGAGGCAGAGACCAUCUUCCGCGGUCGAGGUUGAGUCCGAGCCCUAGGGUCGGGCGAGGCGAAGACCGUCUUCCGAGGCCGAGACGGGGGUUGAGCCCUGGGGUCGGGCGAGGCGGAGCUUCCUAUGGCGCCCGAGGCUGGACUUUGCUGCUGUCGGCCUCACUCUGGAGAGUGGCACAGUAGUCGGAGCAGGGCAGGCGACGCUGUUUUCCUGUCAGGUCAGUCAGUGGAGCGGCGAAGUGACUACGGUCACUUCGGCCUUGUCGACUGAGGAGCGUGCGUCAGGAUAAGGUGUCAGGCGAUCCUUGCAUUGAAUGCUCCUGCGAUACGGUCGGUUGGCAUGGCGAUCUGGCCAAGGUUGCUUCUCCGCGAAGCCUGCCCGAGCUGGGCCUCGGGCGAGUCGAAAGUGCGCCCGUUGCUUGAGGAGACCCUCGGGCGAGGCGUGAAUCUGCCUUGGUCUACUGUUCCUGCCCGAGGCUGGGCUCGGGCGAGGCGAGAUCGUGUCCCUUGAGUGGACGGAGCCUUGACCGGAAUCGCGCCCAUCAGGCCUUUGCAGCUUUAUGCUGAUGGCGGUUACCAGCUGAGAUUAGGAGUCUUGGGGGUACCCCUAAUUAUGGUCCCCGACAGUAGCCCCCGAGCCUCGAAGGGAGUGUUAGUACUCGCUUGGAGGCUUUUGUCACACUUUUUUGCAAGGGGACCGGCCUUUCUCGGUUGCAUUUCGUUCCGGUGGGUGCGCGCGAGGGCACCCGUCGGGUGUAGCCCCCGAGGCCUCGGAGGAGUGGUUUGACUCCUUCGAGGUCUUAAUGCCUUUCGUGAUGCCUCGGCCGGUCUGGUUGUUCCCUCAUGCGAACUGGUCGUUGCCCGGGUGCAUAGUCAGGUUCUAAGUUCUCGAGCUGGUAUGUUGACGCUGUCAACGGUUUGGCCGGAGCCGAGUUUGCGACAGUAGCCCCCGAGCCUCCGCACAGAGCGAGAGGACGGUCAAGGACUGACUCAGCUUUUUUCAUAUGCCCCUUCGUCGCCUUUCCGCAAGGAGGAGGGGGGAAAAGCGCCAUGUUGCCCUCGGAGGGCGCCGAACAUGGUGUCUCCAGUGAGUUGCUAACGGGUGAUCCGAGUGGACGCUCGUGCCCCGUUCGAUAAGGGUCGGCUAGUGGCCCAGAGGCGCGCUCCAAAAGUACCUGCAGGUGAUUUGCUAGACCCGGUCCCAUUUGAUAGGGUCCGAGGGCUCGAUGCCUCCCUCUGAUGGGAUUCCGUUACAGAAUCGCUCCUGCUGGUCUCGGAAAUGUCCUAGGGUACCUCGGGAGCGUAGCCCGAGCCUCGGCCAUGUAUCGGACGUACCCAGAGUCAUCCCUUGCUCUGCGUGCUCUGAGGCGGCUGUCGAACCCUUCGGGGGCCAGCCUACGAACCCCUGAUCAGUAGUGGGCGUGGAGCCCGAGUGGCCUGAGGCGGCUAUCGAACCCUUCCGAGGGGCCAGCCUUCGAACCUCUGACCAGUAGUGGGCGCAGAGCUCGAGUGCUCUGAGGCGGCUGUCGAUCCCUUCCGAGGGGCCAGCCUUCGAACCUCUGAUCAGUAGGAGGGCUCGGGGCCCACUUCCUUCGCGGAGAAGGAUUCCUUUCGGAGUAUCCCCUUUCCCGGUCCCUGUAGCAAGAGAGAGAAAGGGGAAGAGAAAAAGGGGUAUGAAAUUGAACGACGUGGCGCACCUUUUUUGACGCGGUCAUCAUGGCGGAGGUGAAGCAUCACCCGCUUCACCUGCUAAUGGUGUUGCCUACCCUGCCGCAGAGUUAAUGCGACGGAACGAGUGGUUCGCGGGGCAGCCGUUGUGCGUGCGCGAGCCAUUCGAGGAACGGAACACGGGCGCGUCGUCUUCACGCCAUGGGAGAGGGUUCUCUCGCUAUCCCAGGAGAGGACGUGAGCCUGCAGACGAUUUGACUGCUGCUUCCGCCCGCCUGCCGCCGCCAUUACUGCCAGCCCACUUUUGGUCAUAUCGACCGUCGCGUCUUCUCCCGCGGCGGACUGACCCGUGACCGAUGUGCUCGGUUGGCACUGUUAGGCCAUGCGCAGGGUUGCCUCGAGUCGCGGCACCGAUUCCGCAGUCGAGAAGGCGCGGUACUGGCGCAAGUGGCGGUGCAGUUUCUCGCACGUAGUAACCGGCGCGCCGGUUACAAGACAUGUGGGCCUGGGCCUCCAUGCUGGACGCGUCGAAGUCGAAAGGAUGCACCCCCUUGGUGCGGUUGCAUGCCGCCUGCAUGGCGGUCCGCCCUUUCACCCGCUGGUCUGGGUGAAAGUGGAGGAGUGCUUGUAACCGCUGGGCAGUUACACGCUCCGCGCGCGGCGGUUUGGCUCCUUCUGUCCUGGGCCAGCUUGCAUGACGCGUGGGACCCAGCCCCCGUGUCAUAUGGGGAGGACCUUGGAGCGUGUUGGUGAAGACUCAGUCCGCGACGGCUGAGGACGCAAGUGGGGAGAGUCGCCUUUAAAAAGGGGGCAACCCCCUUGGAUGGCAGCCAUGCCUUCGCACUCCCCUCAUGCACUGCGCCCUUCCACCUUCCGAGCCCCCGGAUGGGGAGCGCCCGCGUUGCUUUCGUCUUGCUGCUGUUGGAGGAGCGCAACUUCGCGAAAGUUGGCACCUUUCAGCCAUCGCUCGGCUUCAAGGAUUUUCAUCAGGCAGCCCGGCUGCAUCCCCUCACCGAUGGUCACCCAAGACGGUGACCACCAGUUCGAUGGUGGGGAGAAGCAAACCGGGCUGCGGCCUCUGCCCCACCCUCAGCUUCAAGGAUCUUCAUCAUCCUUGCUGGGGAGGAGGGCGAGGCGAGCCGGGGCCUGCCUUUGCGUGGGCUGGUGUCCCGCUUCUUCCUCUAGCUUCUGGGGGUGGAAACCAUCCUCCAGCUCUACGGAGGAGGCGCCCUCCAGCCAUGCCAGGGAAGGUGAACUGUUGCUGCCCAGCCAGGGUGCAACAUUCCAUCCUUUGUCCGAGCGACGGUGGACAGCCGCACCGGGGGGUCUCCCAACACGUCGUACGCCGCGAGGGCGGCACUCGUGUUCUGGGAUGGUCCCAUUCUCGUUUUCGUGGCGAGGACGGGAGUGAGGACCUGCCGGUGCGCUUUGGGGCGGCCGGCGCCCGCUGGUGCGGUGUUGGUGGACAGGUGGACGCCGCCGUCGGCGCUGAGGUGGUGGUAGCUGGAGAAAGCUUCUCCGCCGACGAGACCGUCAGCGCCACCCGCGGACCGACCUCUGGCUCUUUGGCUUUAAUAUCUGGUUCUCAUCCCUUGAGUGGGGACGCGAACAAGAGUCUUCUGGCGGCAGCGUCCGUCCUGGGACCAUCGCUGCUGCUGCAGAGGUCGCUGGCAAGUCGCCCGGAGUUUGUCGUCCCGCAGGCUGUCCGAUGUGGAGGUUGUUCAUACCCGCGGGAGUGGAACCGGAGUUCCAUUUGUAAUGGCACCUUGAGUGCCGGUGUCUGUUCAUUGUGGCUGUCGGGGCCUGAACAUGUGUGUUUUUGGGCAUAAAGUCGUGUUUCUUCCUCCUUUCGAGCACCAGACUCGCCUGUCGGCUAGCUGGACCGCUUAACCAAGUGUGAGUUGCCUCGUGCGGAAGGUGACGAGUGAGGUAUCUGUAUCCCAGAGGCGUAGGAGUCCCUCGGCUCGGUCGGCCUUGCCGCCCGAGGCUUCUCUUGCUCAGUGAAGGAAACCCUCGGCUGCUCUGCGAUGAGCCGAAGCCGGAGGCAGCGGUGUCAGUAUGGACAGAGGCAGAGUCGGCUGGAGAAGAAACUUCGUCGGCCCAGGAGCAGGGGACUUCUUAGGCCGAGGAGGCGUAGCAGCGGUGGUCGGAGCUUGGCCGGGUUCUUGGAGGAGGCCCUCGCGGCGAUGACUCAGGCGCGGUGCUGACAUUUUCCUUCGGGGUGGAGAUCCUCCGAUCGUGUCGCCGUCCGAGGCUGGGUCGGAUUCCGCCGAAGGUGGAGUCGACACCGAGGGUGCUGCUGCUCCCCUUACUGAUGUCUGAUCCUGCAGGAAUAGUUUAUCUGUAGUGUGCAUAUGUUUUUUGCGGCCGCCGAGGCCCAAACAUACUGUCGUGGUGUUGUAAAGUUGCGUUUCUUUCCCCUUGUUUCGAAUAUCAGGACUUGUUCGUCGGUAACAGAAUUGUUUAUCCGAGUGAGAGUUACUUAUUGCGGAAGGUGAUGAGUGAGGUAUCCGUAUCCCGGAGGCAUAGGAGUUCCUUGGCUCGGUCGGCCUUGCCGCUUACGUGUACUCUUACUCGUCCGUAGGAUUUUGUUAUCGUUAUAGUCGAGAAGGCACGAAAAAUCGUUUUGGCAGAAAAGUUUUCGAGCGUUAAGACUUGUUCGGUCAGCGAAAUCGCUUAUCCGAGCGUGAGUUACUUAUCGCAGAAGGUGAUGAGUGAGGUUUCCGUAUCCCGGAGGCGUAGGAGUCCCUUGGCUCGGUCGACCUUGCCGCUUACGUGCACUCCGUCGUUUUCAGGAUCCCACUAUCGAAGUAGUCGAAAAGCACGAAAGAUGUUCUGGCAGAAAGACUUUUUCCGAGGAAAAUUUUGACGCAGAGGGGGUUCCCCCCUUCUAGCCCCCGAGGGAGGGUCGGGCUUUGCCAAGGCAAGGCUGACACUUCCUUGAUGGUUAGACUUUAUUUGCAUAUGUAAACGAGGUAUAUGAAUGACUUGAAAACAUCUUAAGGGUAGAAGCGACGCACCUGUCGGAUGUUCCAAGCGUUGCUGUAGACCUCGCCUUGACUGUUGGCCAGCUUGUACGUUCCGGGCUUCAAAAUCUUGGCGAUGAUGAACGGCCCUUCCCAGGGAGGCGUGAGCUUGUGGCGGCCUCGGGCGUCUUGUCGUAGCCGAAGCACCAAGUUGCCCACCUGGAGGUCUCGGGACCGAAUCCCUCGGGCGUGGUAGCGUCGCAGGGACUGCUGAUACCGCGCCGAGUGUAGUAAGGCCAUGUCCCGAGCCUCUUCUAGCUGGUCCAGUGAGUCUUCUCGGUUGGUCCGGUUGCUUCGGUCGUCGUACACCCUCGUCCUCGGGGAUCCGUAUUCUAAGUCUGUGGGCAAGAUAGCCUUGACCCCAUAGACUAGAAAGAACAGCGUGAAGCCCGUGGUUCGGCUUAGCGUCGUCCUCAGACUCCAGACCAUCGAGGGGAGUUCCUUCAUCCAUCACCUACCGAACUUGUUGAGGUCGUUGUAGAUCCGUGGCUUGAGUCCUCGCAGAAUCAUGCCGUUGGCACGCUCUACCUGCCCAUUCGUCAUGGGGUGAGCUACGGCGGCCCAGUCCACCCGGAUGUGGUGGUCCUCGCAGAAGUCCAGGAACUUUCUGCUAGUGAACUGGGUGCCGAUGUCGGUGAUGAUGGAGUUCGGGACCCCGAAGCGAUGGAUGAUGUUGGUGAAGAACGCCACCGCAUGUUCGGACCUGAUGCUGUUUAGGGGUCGGACCUCAAUCCACUUGGAGAAUUUGUUGAUAGCGACCAGCAGGUGCGUGAAGCCCCCGGGUGCCUUCUGCAAGGGACCGACGAGGUCCAGACCCCACACAGCAAACGACCAGGUGAUGGGUAUUGUUUGCAGAGCUUGAGCGGGUAGGUGCGUCUGCCUUGCGUAGAAUUGACACCCUUGGCAGGUGCGUACAAUCCUAGUGGCAUCGGCCACCGCGGUUGGCCCAUAGAAACCCUGUCAGAAAGCGUUUCCAACGAGGGCCCGAGCUGCUGCGUGGUGACCGCAAGCCCCCGAGUGUAUUUCUUGCAAUAGUUCCUGACCUUCGGCGAUGGAUAUGCAUCGCUGGAGGAUGCCUGAGGGGCUGCGGUGGUAGAGCUCCUUUCCGUCACCCAACAAGACGAACGACUUGGCGUGCCGCGCCAAUCACCGAGCCUCGGUUCUGUCGAGGGGUAGCUCUCCUCGGUGGAGAUAAUGCAGGUACGGGGACUGCCAGUUUCGAUUAGGCGGGACCCCAUUCCGCUCUUCCUCGACGCGCAGUGCCUCACCCUCGGGGGCCGAGGGUGCCUUGGGCCGAGUCGAGGGUGCCUCGGGCUGAGCCGAGGGUGCCUCGGGCUGAGCCGAAACCUUCUCAGGCUCAGGCGUGUCGUCGAUCUUGACUGAGGGUUGAUGUAGGUCUCAAGAGAAGACAUCCAGAGGAACCGUUGUCCGCCCCGAGGCUAUCUUAGCCAGCUCGUCCGCAGUCUCGUUGUAUUGUCGAGCGAUGUGGUUGAGCUCGAGCCCGUAGAACUUGUCCUCCAGGCGCCGAACCUCAUCGCAGUAGGCUUCCAUCUUUGGGUCGCGGCAAUGGGAGUUCUUCAUGACUUUGUCGAUGACAAGCUGCGAGUCGCCACGAGCGUCGAGGCGCUGAACCCCUAACUCGAUGGUGAUGUGCAACCCGUUAACCAGAGCCUCGUACUCGGCCACGUUGUUGGACGCCAAGAAAUGGAGGCGCAGCACAUAGCGGAGGUGCUUCCCGAGGGGUGAGAUGAAGAGCAGGCCCGCGCCCGCUCCUGUCUUCAUCAGCGACCCGUCGAAAAACAUGGUCCAGAGUUCCGGUUGGAUCGGAGCUGCUGGAAGCUGGGUGUCAACCCAUUCAGCCAUAAAGUUCGCCAAGACUUGGGACUUGAUGGCCUUCCGAGGAGCAAACGAGAUUGUCUCGCCCAUGAUCUCCACCGCCCACUUUGCAAUCCUACCCGAGGCCUCUCGGCACUGGAUGAUCUCUCCCAGGGGGAAGGAUCACACCACAGUCACCGGAUGAGACUCGAAGUAGUGUCGCAACUUUCGCCGCGCCAGAAUUACCGCGUACAGUAGCUUCUGGAUUUGCGGAUAGCGGAUUUUGGUCUCGGACAGUACCUCACUGAUGAAGUAGACCGGCCUCUGGACGGGCAAUGCGUGCCCCCUCUUCUCGUCUCUCGACCACGAUCGCGGCGCUGACCACCUGAGUGGUAGCGGCGACGUAGAUCAAGAGGGCUUCUCCGACAGCGGGGGGCACCAAGAUGGGCACGCUUGUAAGGAGCGCCUUUAGGUUCCCGAGGGCUUCCUCGGCCUCGGGGGUCCAAGUGAAGCGCUCGGUCUUCCUUAAGAGGCGGUAUAGAGGUAGGCCUCUGAAAGGGAAUUAGGCUUACACCUAUUUCCUAAAUGAUUUUGGUGGUUGAAUUGCCCAACACAAAUAAUUGGACUAACUAGUUUGCUCUAGUCUAUAAGUUACACAGGUGCCAAAGGUUCACAAAAAGCCAAUAAAAAGACAAAGAAAAGGGUUCAACAAAAAGAGCAAGGGAUAACCGAAGUGUGCCCUGGUCUGGCGCACCGGACUGUCCGGUGUGCCACCGGACAGUGUCCGGUGCACCAGGGAACUCUAAGCUGAACUCAUCACCUUCGGGAAUUCUCAGAGGCGCUACACUAUAAUUCACCGGACUGUCCGGUGCUACACCGGACAGUGUCCGGUGCCCCAAGGAAGAGCGACUCUGAACUCGCCAGCUUCGGAUUUCCGCUCCGCUAAAAUUCAUCGGACAUGUCCGGUGCACACCGGACUGUCCGGUGAGCCAGCGGAGCAACGACUACUUCACGCGCAACGGUCGACUGCAACGCAUUAAAUGCGCGCCUGCGCACGUAGAGGAGCAGUGCACGCGCGGGUGGCACACCGGACAGUCUACAGGACUUGUCCGGUGCGCCACCGGACAGCCAGGCGGGCCCACAGUCAGAGCUCCAACGGUCAGAACCCAACGACCUAGUGACGUGGCUGGCGCACCGGACAGUGUCCGGUGGCGCACCGGACUGUCCGGUGCGCCAGUCGACAGCAGCCUUCACCAAACGGCUAGUUUGGUGGUUGGGGCUAUAAAUACCCCAACCACCCCACAUUCAAGUUAUCCAAGUUUUCCACCUUCCAACUACUUACAAGAGCUCUAGCAUUCAAUUCUAGACACACCCAAGUGAUCAAAUCCUCUCCCAAUUCCACACAAAGCUUUAGUGAUUAGUGAGAGAGAUUUGUUGUGUUCUUUUGAGCUCUUGCGCUUGGAUUGCUUCUUUCUUUCGUUCUUUCUUGCGAACAACUCAAUUGUAAUAGAGGCAAGAGACACCAAUUGUGUGGUGGUCCUUGCGGGGAAGUUUGUUCCCGUUUGAUUGAGAAGAAGAAGCUCACUCGGUCCGAGGGUCCGUUUGAGAGAGGGAAAGGGUUGAAAGAGACACGAUCUUUGUGACCACCUCAACGGGGAGUAGGUUUGCAAGAAACGAACCUCGGUAAAACAAAUCAUCGUGUCUCGCUCUUUAUUCGCUCACGAUUUGUUUUGCGCCCUCUCUCUCGGACUCAUUUCUAUUUCUAACGCUAACCCGGCUUGUAGUUGUGAUUAAGUUGUUAAAUUUCAGAUUCGCCCUAUUCACCCCCCCUCUAGGCGACUUUCAAUUGGUAUUAGAGCCGGUGCUUCAUUAGAGCCUAACUGCUCGAAGUGAUGUCGGGAGAUCACGCCAAGAAGAAAAUGGUGACCGGCGAGAAGCCCGCUACAAGCCACGGGUAGGCUCCAUCGGGAGAGUCCCACAACAAAGGGAAGGGGAAGGAGAAGGAAUCCCCUUCACACAAGUCGCGUCGUAGCGGUGACAAGAAGAAGAAGAUGAGGAAUGUGGUCUACUACGAGACCGACACCUCAUCGCCAUCCACCUCCGGCUCCUACCUGGCGCGCCAACUGUCGGCGUUUCGACCCCGGGGGGUCCCUGGACCGACGAGUAAAUUGUCGCUGCGUGUCCCAGCCCAGAUGGGUCGGCGCGAGACGGAACACAAGGGGGAAAACAGUAAGGGGAAACCGCGGCCUCGUGUUAUCCUGCGCCCAGGGCGGAUGCGCUUGCAGUAGGGGGUUACAAGCGUUCGCGAGGGAGAGAGAGAGAGAGAGCGUGAGCCUGUGCGUCAGUCCGUUCUCCCGCGCGGCCACCUUCUCGUACGAGAGCCCUGGACCUUCCUUUUAUAUAUGUAAGGAGAGGGCCCAGGUGUACAAUGGGGGGGGUGUAGCAAUGUGCUAACGUGUCUAGCAAAGGAGAGCCAGAGCCCUAUGUACAUGUCGUCGUGGCUGUCGGAGAGGUGUUUCUGCCCUGUUCAUGUGAUGUCGUGGCCGUCGGAGAGCGCUUGAGCCCUGUGGAUGUACAACUGUCAGGGCUGUCGGAUCCUUGCCGACGUCUCCUUGCUUCCGUAAGGGGCUGAGAACCGCCGUCGUCAUGGAGCACACGGGGUGCCAUCAUUACCUGUUUUACCGGGGCAAGCCAGAUGGGACGCCGGUCUUGUUCCCCGUAGCCUGAGCUAGCUAGGGGUAGGGUAAUGAUGGGCCCCCCUAUGACGUGGUCGGUCCGAGCCCGAGGUCGGGCGAGGCGGUGACUCCUCCGAUGUCGAGGCUGAGUCCGAGCCCUGGGGUCGGGCGAGGUGGAGACCGUCUUCCGGAAUCGAGGUUGAGUCCGAGCCCUAGGGUCGGGCGAGGCGGAGUCCGUCUUCCGAGGUCGAGGCUGAGUCCGAGCCCUGGGGUCAGGCGAGGCGGUGACCAUCUUCCGAGGUCGAGGUGGAGUCCGAGCCCUGGGGUCGGGCGAGGCGGAGUUCAUCGUCUGAGGUCGAGGUUGAGUCCGAGCCCUGGGGUCGGGUGAGGCGGAGACCGUCUUCCGAGGUCGAGGUUGAGUCCGAGCCCUGGGGUCGGGCGAGGCGGAGACUGUCUUCCGAGGUCGAGGUUGAGUCCGAGCCCUGGGGUCGGGCAAGGCGGAGACCGUCUUCCGAGGUCGAGGUUGAGUCCGAGCCCUGGGGUCGGGCGAGGCGGAGACCGUCUUCCGUGGUCGAGGUUGAGUCCGAGCCCUAGGGUCGGGCGAGGCGGAGACCGUCUUCUGAGGUCGAGGUUGAGUCCGAGACCGACUCCUAACGCUAUCGUUAGGCUUAGCGUUUACAUUUGGGCUCUCCAAAGCCAAGGGGUGGAACCGUUUGCCGAAGGUUUCUGCCGAGUGCAUGAGCUGCAUUACCAAACCAAGGCUAGAGGAGAUGGGUUACAUGAAAACUUCGACUGCUACAAUUUUGCCUACCGCAAGACUACAAAAUUUCCCGUGAUCAGUUACCGAAGCAAGUGGCCAGCUGGUUGGAAAUCUGAAUGGUCCUACGUCAAAGUUUACGAUGAUAAGGAGAAGCUGGUCCAGAGUCCGUUAGAGCUGAUCUUCGGAGAGACCAGACCCCCGUGCAAUAUGACACCAGAGGGUCCAACCCAAAUUGCGCUGGCUGAAUUUAGAGUUAUCGCGGAGCACAUCGGCACUAGAGACUUAGUGCCGGAAUUCUUAGCUUUCAAAGUGUUUCCAACUAUGAAAGAGUGGACCAUGCCGAAGUUUGAAGGAAAAAAGAAGGAAGGAGAACUUAUCCGGUUGCCUUAUCAUUACAAAUUCAAGAGACAUUUCAAAGUGCCUUGCCAAGAAUGGCUGGACAUAAUCGAAGUAAUGUGCAAUGAAAUACUUGGAAAUUAUUCUAAAAAAGAGGACCAAUUGAUGACUGCGGCCUUCGGCACCCGUCCGAAACGAAGGCUAAAUCGAGUGAUGGAUGCUAUAGGUUUUGAAUAUUCUGACUACGAGCGGCUAGACAAGGGUGCCGAAGGCCAAAAAAGGAAGAGAGUAGCUAGUGCUCUAAAUAAAGGCGAUGAAGAUCAACCGAAGAAGAAAAAACAAGAGUCUGAGGCGAAAACAAUUGUUCUGAAGAAAAGAAAGGCUUCUACUCCGAAGCAAAAACCAACUGAUGCCAGGAAAAGAUGAAGUAGUAGUUUUUAAAAGUUUCUUCAAAGCUCUUUCUUUUCUUCAUUAAAAUAGCCCAAUUUCAACAUCUUAGGUAGGUCACCUGCGGAGAUGGUGGAUUUUCCGAAAUCCAAAUGGCUGGGUUUGCUCGGCACCGCGCUGCUAUAAUCAUCUUCAGACUCGGUCUCCUCAACAUCAGCUUGCUCUGCUUCAGCGGCAGGGACGUCCUCCGAUGUUACCAGCCCAGACCGCUUUAUUGCUUCGGAAAUCGUAACAGUCUCAGUAGCUUCGGUCUCAUCUCCCUCACGAUCAACCCUAGCAGUGGAGCGAACUCUGGCCAUUUGAUUAUGACUUUCUUGAAAUUUUUGUUGUUGACUUUUUUGAUUUUCCCGAAGCUCUUCCUCUUGUGACAAAGCAGAAUCAAAAGCGAAGUUUUGUCUGAGCACGAUGAUUAAGCUUCGACUAUGACUAAAAUUUUGGCAGCAAAACAAUGCAAUAGCAAUGAAUGUUGUGGUAACUUCACACUUACCUGUCUGUUUAUAUAGUGCCGCAGGUGGGAAGGUGAAUCGUCAAGGUCUCCCGCACCGAACAAACAGUCACCCGCACUCGCUGAACGGUGGGCCACAGGGUCCGAGAAGGUGAAUCGCUGGGGCGCUCAUAACUGCUGCAAGAUGGGGCCACCGCGCGCGCGAUGAUUAUUUUAAUCGUUUCUCGCCAACGAGCUCAGGGAAGGUGUUUUCGGAUCUUCGGCGUCCCGAAGCCUAGAAGAUUUUUUCACGGAUCAAGCUCGUUACGGAAAACGAUCUAGCACCGUGAAGGGGCUACUGUUGGGGGUAUGCUUCGUAGCCGAAGAUCCUAAAUAAAGAGAACACCUUCGGAAUAUCCUCUCAGGAGCUAGCGUCGAAGCUAUUACCUAUAGAGCUUCGGCAUAAUGACAGAUCUCAAGACGAAGGGCCGAACCGACUUAAAGAUGAAUUGACUUAAAGACCCAUGAUGUUUUGUGUCAUUAUUGUAGUCAAUUGUAAAGGACAUAAAUGUAAUUUUACACAGGCUGCACCCUGUGCCUAUAAAUAGGUGAACAGUGCCCCGGCACUGUUCACGCAAUCCUAUAAUCGCUAAUGCAUUACGCUGGAAUUAUUUUCUGUCAGUGUCAGAGGCGAAGGUAUAAACGUACCUAAAUAUUAUGUUUUGACAUUUAAGUUCAUAUUAUGAAAUAUAUGAAUAAUGUAAUUUGUUUUUCCUAUAAUAUUUAAUAUUUUAUAUUUUAUUUCGUAUUGAUGAAUGUUUGACCACGAAGGUAUGACCUUCGUGGUAUUCUGUUUGUGGCCUUCGUUCGAAGUUCAUUAAAUCCAUAGGGAAAUAAUGCUUCAGCGAACGAAGGACAUUAUUAUUUAAUAUUUUCUGUGUUGUCUUUUUCUUAAUUUAUAGUAUUUGAGAACAAGUCCCCAACACCCAUUAUACAUCGCUAAAAUCCUAAUUAGGAAAUCUUGCAAUGUAUUUAUAUUUUGUCUUAAAAAAAGUGAAGAAAUCAAAAUUUUGCCUUAAACCACGGUACUACUCCUUUGUCUGGAUUGUAAAUUACAAUUACUGCCCACGGUCCUUAUCUCCACACCAUUUCUUAGUUGAGAAGCCACUCAACUCUCUGAAAACGUGUCCACGCACUCGUUCUCUGGAAAAUUCACACCGCUCACCAGGUUCUCAGUCUUAUCUCCAUUUCUAGCUUUAUACCAUCGCUGUAAAGGCUCCAAUCUUAUCUCAUGUACGGCGUAUUCAUCUCCAGAAGGUGUCGGCUCCCUGUGAUUUUUUUGAAGCCGCUUUGCAGGUCCUUAUUUCCCCACCGCUCAAAACUCUCCCCUGAUCUUUUCAUCGUGUGUGACUGUAGAGGCACUAUCUCUUCACCAGUGCCUAGCCAUAGUGCUGCUAGAGCUCGUCAGCGCACUCUGCUCCCCUGGCGCUGCUCUAGGUUCAGUCGGCGUCUUCCUCACGUUGCUGGUCGGCAGAGCUCGCCUGGCUUCAACCUCCGCCCUGCCCUGCUUGACCCCACUCGCCCAUCCCUGUUCCCGACGCCCGAGCUCACCUCAGCUCCGUUGUGCCCCUGUGUUCAGCCUCCUUCCUCCAUCAGCGGACGUGCUCGGUCUCAGCCGCGCCCCUGCACCCACCCUUGCCGGUGACGGCUGCUGCGAGCGCCCCUUCAUUCUCCCCAGCCUCGCUGUGGCCAGCAACUUCAAAUCCAUGGGUGAGCCAGCCUCUUCACCUUGCCGCGCGCUGGGAGCCUCUCUCUGCUCGACCCGGUGUGGUGCUCUGGCCGUGCGUCCACUCCACUACGACGUCGAGCCUCCCUGCUGCCCGCAACUAUCACAUUAGCCAUCGUGGCGUCAUUAUUUCCUGCUGCGCCGCGACAUCGUCAAGCUCCGGUGCUUAGCGUCGAAGUCGCUGCGCCCUUGUCGCUCUGGCUUCCUUUGUCUUCACGUGGUGUGUGGCGGUCGUGUCCAAAUCCAUGGCAUCAAUGUCUGCAUCCCUAGCAUCGUCGUCAUUUCAGCAGCUUGUUGCACCUUGCGUUCACGCCGGAAGAUGAAAGGAAAGCGCCAGUGCAACGCUCGUCAAGUAUAAAUGCGUCGUCGAUUUCGUGGUUUCAAAUUGGAUUUAGCUUUGGUAAGCUAAUUUAUUAUUUUUGUUAGCCGGUUUGAUGAAUGGCUUGGCUAGGUGUAUUAGUCGUGAUGAUCUUGUGACUAUAUUUAGUGUUGUUCAACCACAUCGUUUCAUGCAGUGAGGUGAUUGUGAGGUGGUCGCGUUAGGUGUUGAAGUCUAGAUUUUAAAUAUAGAUUUACGCAAAGAAUAUUAGUAGAUAUAUAUGCGAUAUGAUUGUGUUAACGUUUGUGACAUAUUUGCGUCGUAUGAAAUAUAGGUUUAAGAUUCCAUCUAUGGAAAGAGUGCUUCAUUGGGUAUAUAUAUAAGCCACGUAUAUUUAACUAGGUUUUAUAUGCGUGAUAAGUGGUGAUAUUAAGUAUUUGUGAAAUACUUUGUUCAUGUAGUAAUGUGAUAGAAUCCAAUAUUGUUAAAUCGAUGCCUCGUGUCAUGUGUCCAGUAUACUGCUUCCUUGAUGCUUGCGCAAAGCUUUGUUGGUUAAGAAAUUAAUUAACUUGUUGCCAUCCUUAUCCUGAUUAUUUGGUGUCUGAAGUUAGUAAGUCGAGAUAUUAUAAUUAGUUGGUAGGAUAGGCAAGCGAGUCUGGAAAAGAAGUUUAGACACUUAAUUAAAUUGAUUCUAUCCAUCAUAUGAAUGUUUGGUGUCCAAAAAUGGCGAGUCUACAUUUGUUAGCCCUUUGGUGUAUACUCUAGGCGGUAAAGAAAAUAUAGAGAUCAUACAUAGUUGUGGUUUCUUGUUUGAAUUAGGUUCAGUUGAGCAAGAAGAAUGUGAGUGUUGUACUUAGUAUGUCUAGUUUAUUAUUCCUUGAUAUUUGUGUUAGAUCCGGGUUAAGCUCGAGGAACGUGAUUGUUAUCCUUAGUAAGUUAUAGAAUCCUAGUGUUUACUUGUGAUUAUUUCAAUGUCAUGGCAUUAGGUGUUUAACUUGUUACUGUGUGUAAUUGUUUAGUCUUUUCUUAUUUAGUCUUUUCUUAUUCAUCCUUAUAUCCAUUCAGUUGCACCAUGCAUCUCAUUAGGUACGCUAGCUGAGAAUCGUACGAAGCAAAGGACAUGGACCAAAGCAGACCACAAGACGAUGUCGGCCGGUGAAUUGGAAAAAAUGGACAGACUGAACGAGUGCCAAGACAAAGGAUGAUCGUCAAGUGAUCGUCAUCUAACAAACACUAACCUAGUGUUAUUCUAGACAAGCCCCGGUGCAUUCACCUCUUUCCUUAUUGUUUACAAUAUUUUAUCACCUUGAAUGAUGCAUUAGGUGAUAGGAGUUGUGUGAUCAAACAGUUGAUGCAUUUCCUUCCUUAAUUAAACAACCCUAAUAACUGUUUUAUGAAAAUUUAGUGAUGCUUAGCCCUGCUUAUUAAUUUAGGAUUGUUUUUAAAAGAUGAUGUGUAACACGGGAUAUGAGAGUUUGUGAAAUAAAAGGGCUUGUGAUGAUGAAGCCAUUGCGGCCGCGAUGAUUUCAUCAUUCAAUUAGGGUACCUCUCUCAGGUAUCAAGUUUUGGGAAAUAAUAUGAAAUGUAGACCAGACGUUGAGCAGGAAAGUUCACCCGUCUGUGUCGAUUAAAUACCGUUCAAUGUAAGCCUGUUGUGGUGGAGACUUUGCAACUAGCCACAUGCUCCGGUAAGCUUGAACUCUGCUAUUUCAAACGUGAAAAGACAACCGCGCACUAGGCGUGAGAGAUGGUGGGAGUAGCGUGUACCCCUUGGCAAGAGGCUGGAUGGCGGAGUAUUGUGCUCCCGGGUAGCGCGGGCCGGUUCACGUUUGUCACACUCGGAAUUAAGGGACAAAGCCGGGUGCAACUCAUAUAUGCACCAAGGAAGACAACACAUAUAAUAAUAGAGUAUAUAGAGAUAAAUGUCACAAUAUAAUCAGAGUACUUAUUACAUAGCGGAAGUCUUACAAAAUAAAAGAUAAGUAUAAAACGAACUAAAGUCCAUCCUUGGCGCCAUAGAGUCAACUGGGAGACGGCACCUAGAUAAAGUCAAACUCCUCGUUGUCUGGCUCCUCUUGAACCUCCUGUUCUUCUCCUGUGGGGGGUGUGAGACAGCAAGGGUGAGCUCACACAUGUUCAUCGCUCAACAAGUUGUGGGGAAUAAUGUGUAUGAACUCACCAAAGGUGGGAGUUCAUGUGAGGUGUAAGGCUGAUCAAUAAUAGGGGUUAAAGCUGAGCAUUGAUUUUAAUAAGUUGGUGAAAUUUUCUUAGCAGUUACUAAAUGUAGGUAAAUACCAAACCAUAAUAAGAAUAGAACAAAAUUAAUUAAUAAUCACAUGCAAUGCAAAUGACAGAUUGAAUUUAGUUCCAUAGUUUAAUCAUGCGAGAGUCCUGAGCUGCUCUUGACCAUGAGCUCGGCUAGUAUACCAGUUUUACACUCUACAGAGGUUGUACCCUGUACCCACAAGUUAUGUUACCCAUCUGCCAAGGGGUCAUGAAUCCCAUACACCUCUACCAAGGAAGUGAGGCAGGGUAACACUACGAGGCCUUUACAAAGUUCCACUAGCUUCCGAAAACCCGCUACUGUUUCUGGGAAGAGCAAUUGCAAGAAUCCCUCCUCUGACCACCAUCGCAGCAAAAUCAACCCGAGAACCUCCCUGCAUGCCUACUCCCCUACUGCCCUUGCCCAUUUCGGGUAAUGUGGCGGAACUGCCCGAAUUAUUCCAACUUAAGUGUCCAAAUCCCGCCUUAGAGGCUAGACCACACUUAAAUGGGAAUAACCCGUCAAUCCCUCGGAUCUAGUCCGACACGGCCACUGACAGGAUCAAGUACCACAAUCUCACUCGAAGGUGAGUCACAGAGCAAAUACAAUAAAGCAUAAAACCAUACAUGCCACAAUGUUAAAUUAUUACAUCACCAUCAUCAUCAUCGGAGUUUUUGCAAAAGUAUCCAUCAUUGUUCGAAGUGCAGCGGAAUAAAACUAACGGUCAUUAAACAGAGAGAUGGGGAAGCCUGUCCCAUCACUCCUCAUGCUCCUCCUCAGCCGAGGCAGGGUCCCACUCAACAGUCCAACCCGGUGGCAAGGUGGACGGCCAAGUUACCCCAGCAACCAUCUCCUCCAGAGAACCUGUAAAAAUUAUGCCACAAGCAAGGCUGAGUAUACUAAUACUCAGCUAGACUUACCCGGUGUGAGGAGUCUACUCCUCUACCUCUAGACAUGCAGCUGUUUGGCUGUGGGGUUUGGUUGCCAAAAGCACUAGCUGAGUUUCUAAAUCAAGAUUUUAAUUUAGUCAAAGUUAAGUGUGACUCUCUUAAGGCUAAAAGUGGACUAUCUACUCAUACAUGGUAGCAAGCAUUAUUAAAAAUCAACAUCUUAUAUCAACUCAUCAUACUUCCACUUAUUACUCAAUGUAGCAGCAUGGAUCAAGCAGUCUCAUUAGCUGCGAGAAGCAGACGAUUCGAAUCGAGUUUUUAAACCUUGCAAGGUAAACCUAAACACACGACAUGCAGGGGCACUCCGUCCCCACACAUAUCAACCGUCCCCAUCGAUUCCCCGCCAGCAGAGAGGGGCUCACCGCCUUGGCGUACAAUGCCUCACUGACCCCGACUGGCCGUCGUGCAAUGACCGCACUUAUACCCACCAUAACCGGAAUGGGAGACCUCGUCUCAGGUCGCGUGAGGAGGGCAAUCUGCUGCCAGGUUCAAUCAGGUACUAGGCUUACCGAUUUACCAUAUUUCUCGGCAUGUGCUUAGUACGUUCAAACGCUUGACUCACGGUACCACACCUUAAUCCUUAUUCAAAUUUUUAUCCCGUAGACAACCAAUCCCCAUGGAUUGUUGUCCACAACCCAACAUCAUUAUGAUACGAAAGUGGAUACAAUCAAUUUCCUGACCUCGCGCGAGUGCUAGAAAAAUCACUCGACUUCUACCGAGAUUCCUGAUUAAUAAAGCAGCUACUCGACUUAGCAUACUAGUAUUCAUCUCAAUGGGAUUCCUGAGAUCAUGCAACUAGGGUUUCAGUCAACUCCUACACCUAAGUGCACAAUCAAUCCUACAAUCAUUAAGUAUAGUAAAAUAGCAUAAAUAACAGGUUAUGCAUAAAACCGGGGCUUGCCUUCCAAAGCAGUGGCAGGCAGGUCCUCUGGUGCAGGCUCGGGUGCUGGAUCUGGGGCUACCUCCUGAGCAGCUCCUUGCUCCGGCACGAGGAUGUACUCUCCGUCAGCAAGAUUACAGUCUAUCGAAAUGCAAUGAACAUGCAUGUCAUGAUUAUGCAGGAUUUAAGAACAAUAAGCUAAAGAAACUAAGUUAAGAAGUAACCUAGGGUUUUCUUAGUCAUGCUGGGCUGCUAGUGGUAUAUAUAUAGAUACAUAGACUUAUGACCUUUUAAGCUUAGGUUUUCUUUUAGGAUAACAUAGUGGGUUGGUAUUGUCUUUAUAAAUUUCAGUGGACAAAUUAACAAAGGUCUUAGGAUGACAUUAAUUUCCAUUAUUCAUUUUCCUUUCCUUAAUUUCCAUUUAGGGUUUCUAGGGUAGGGUUGAACUACAACAGGGUUUUAAUAAUUUCCAAAAAUUCUGUAAAAAUUCCAGUGGGUCAUCACUGGCUAUUCUAGCUUGUUUUAAGAAUUUGAGGCUUAAAGUAUAAAAGUUAGGCUUUAAACAAAAAUAACAAAAGUUAGGCAAAAUGGGCCACUUCACACUACACCUCUUAGUUAGGGGUAGGUUCUGCCCUAAAGGUUAUUUUUGUUGGCAUCCUAUGGUAAUAAUAGGUUUCUAUGCUAAAAAUCACAGAAAACUAAGGGGUGGUUAUUUAGUUAUGAUUUUCUUAAGUUUAAUGCCAAAAAGGCACUUUCUACUACAUUAUUAUUUGAAAAAUGUCAAACAGCAGAUUUCAUAUUUUUCCUAAGUUCUCUCUAAUAAAACAAUAGUCAUCCCAAGGGUGGGGGUGUUUUUACCUUGGGGUCAUUUUUGUAGGGUUUUUCUAAGUUAUCCUUGUUUUAUUAAAACAAAAGAUAUCCUACUUAAUUUGUACUAAACCAGGGUAUGAUAUAUUUUUCCAGUGAACUAUAUUGAAUAAGUAACCUAACAAAAAUAGAAGUACUCUCUGGUUCAUUAAUUAAGUUGCAUUUUCUAUUUUCCUUAUCCUUAAGCAUAUUAUAGAAUAAAGGGUAAAACUAACUUAAAUGGAGUGGACAGAGGGGUUUAACAUUUUUACUUGGUCUAGUAGGUAGAUAUAAGCUUCUCAAAAUUUUUCUAACCCUGGUCAAACAAUAUUCCUAUUUUUCCUCCUAAUAUUGGGUUUUGAGUGGUUUUCUUAUUUAAUUCUAAACUUCAGAAAGAAAUACAGAAGCUAUGGGUUCUAUUAUUUUUCUCUGAUAGCUCAUAAAUUCCUGAAUCUAGCAAAAUUGGUUUGAACAUUUUUGGAUGAUUAUUCUGCAAGUUAUGCAUUUACUUAGCUAUCUGUUAUAACAAAAGAAAAGAAAUUCGAAAAUGGAAAAAGAAAACAUGUUUACGCCGAGGCCCCUGGGGUUUUUCCUUUUCUUUUCUCACAGAACAGCCCUUGGUCCACUAUUGGCUUGAGUCACUAACAUUGCGCAAAGCCCCCUGGACUUAACUAAAAUCUAACCCGCGCUCCCUGACCGGCUCAAACAGUGCCCGCGGUACAGUUUACGGCGGUGGGGCUUACCGGCGGCAGUAGAGCUCCGGCGGGGUGGUCAGUGACGUCCGGGAGGUCGCGACGGUCACGCCGAUGUGCGGGUCGGUGUCGGAGGUGGUCGGAGCUACCCUGGCCACGAGCACAGGCGGCGGGGGUCGUCGGCGGCUCCUGCUCCGGCCAAACCACGGCGGCAUAGAUCAAUUAGGGUGCACGAGGAGCUUCACGGGGUGACACAGAGGCCAUACGCGCAAGGAAUUGGAAAACGGUGCAGGGGCUUACCCGGUCCACGCGCGCCGGCGGGUUCUUGAACUCCGGUGAGCACGAUUGGGCUAUUCCGGUGACGCGGGUCCCUGGGUCAAGCUUGAGCAAGACUCACGGCUUCACCAGGAAGCUCUCUGAGGGCUUGGAUCGAACGGAGGAGGACGGGAGAGGGGCUGGCCACGGUGGUUGCUCUCGGGCGGCACUGGCGGGUCGCGGGGAGGUCGCCAGAGUUAAUGGCUGGCUCGGGCGAGUCCGGCGAGGUACGGAGGAGGUAACGGGGAAGGCAGCCAAGCACUGGGGUGGGCUUUAUAGCCGUGGCGCGGGCGUGGUCACGGGCGGCCGCGGGUGCGCGGGGGUUCACACACGGGCGUGCUCUAAGCGCGCCCCCGGAUGCCAGCUUGCGUCGAACACGUGGAAGAUCGCUUCUGCCAUGGUUCAACGGCCGAUUAGAGUGCCAUAGCGUGCGCAUCUUGGCAAAGUCACUGUGUACGGUCGCUUCUCUGCUCCAAAUCCUAUCUUUUCGCUGUGAGUUCCAAGUCGAGAUAUGGUCGGGGUAGGGAGAUAGAGAGGGGAGAAGUUUGCUGUGUCAGCCAAGCCCGAAUCGAGACAAAAGGGGUGACAAGUCGUGUCUAGCACCCUAGGGUAGGUGUCAUCUCUUUCCAGGGUGUUCUAGGGUUAAUUUGGCGCCAUUUUGUCAAUUGGGUCGAAGGGUUUUGAAAAGGGGAUUAAGGUGAACAUGUGGAGUCUUUGUGCAAGGGUUAGUUUUUGUACUUAGGCAAAAACUGAAUUUUUUCCCUUGUGCUAAAUCAUAGGUGAACUGUUUAGGGCUUUUCUGCAAACUUUUUGGGGGUACUUCCUUACUAUGAAUUGUAGGUUAUCAAGUGUUUUACAACUUUUAUAUUUGGCCCAAACCAUGAUCAUAAGGUUUACAUGAUCUUUUGAUCAUGGCUUCAAUUAGGGUUCCCAUUGCCUAUGGGGGUUUUGCUUUAGGGUUUUGGGAGAUCCCCACUUAGAUGUGCAUGGUAAGCUAGGGCAUGACAUCCAAGGUGGAUUACACUUGCUUAGGACCUAGAAUUCUAAGUUUGGUAUACUUUGCCCAAAUCAAUCUUCAUGUGAUAAUGGGUAAAAGGGGGGUAACCCUGGGAUGGACACCCUGAGUAACACCUGGGGUGUUACAGCCCUCCCCCCUUAAAGGAAUCUCGUCCCGAGAUUUAGGUAGAGUCCCUUGGAGGGGUGCUUGAAGGUGUGAUGGGGGUGUUUUUCCUUUACACUUAAGUUUCUCUUGUUAACUGCUCUUCGAAUGUCAUCCUCUUUGCAACUUCAGAAGGAAGCCCUUCUUAAGUUAAAUCCACAACUUAGACUAUCCUUGUUAUCUAAGUUUUUCUUAUAAUUGGAUUCAAAGGGCAGGUGGGGGUGGGGUUCGGGGGUUACGUACCGACUCCUUUGGGUAGAAAGUCGGGGAAGCGAGAGCGUAGAAAAUCCUCAGUCUCCCAUGUAGCUUCUUCUGCUGAAUGGUGACUCCAUUGAAUCUUAUACAUUCUGACCGACCUUGCCCGAGUUGAUCUUUCCUUUUGAUCUAGCACCUUGACGGGGUACUCUUGGUAGGAUAAAUCUGGUUCUAUCUCAAUGUCUCGUUCCGGGAGUACUUCAGUGGGUAGACGAACGCAUUUCCACAGCUGAGAUACAUGGAACACAUUAUGAACUGCUGACAUGUGAGGUGGUAAUUCCACUUGAUAAGCUACGGGUCCACAAGCCUCCUUGAUCUCGUAGGGUCCAAUAUAGCGAGGAGCUAACUUGCCCUUGAUCCCGAAUCUCUGAACACCCUUGGUGGGUGAUACCUUAAGAUAGACAUGAUCUCCCACCUCAAACUGUAGAGGCUUCCGCCUCUUAUCAUGAUAGCUCCUUUGCCUGGCCUGAGCAGCUUCUAAGUUCUUGGUAAUGACCCUGACCUUUGCCUCUGCCUCGAGUACCAAGUCUGGCCCAAAAAUUUCCCUUUCUCCUGCUUGAGACCAAUUUAGUGGGGUCCUACACCUUCUCCCAUAUAAUGCCUCAAAAGGUGCCAUCUUCAGACUGGAUUGAUAGCUGUUACUGUAAGAAAACUCUGCCAAAGACAGACACUUGUCCCAAUCCUUCCCAUAAUGUAGUGCACAUGCUCACAACAUGUCUUCCAAAAUCUGAUUCACCCUUUCUGUUUGGCCGUCUGUUUGAGGGUGAUAUGCUGAGCUUCGGAUGACAUGGGUCCCAAGUGACUCUUGCAAUUUCUCCCAAAAUCGUGCCACAAAUGGUGCUCCUCUGUCAGAUAUAAUGGUCUUGGGAAUACCAUGCAACCUUACUAUUUGAUCAACAUAAAUUUCAGCGUACUUCUCUGCCCUGUGGGUGGUAUGCACUGGCAAGAAAUGAGCAGUCUUGGUCAACCUGUCCACGAUAACCCAAAUUGAAUCAUGGUGCCUGGAGGUAUUGGGUAAUCCUACUAUGAAGUCCAUGCAAAUGUCCUCCCAUUUCCAAGAUGGUAUGGGAAGGGGUUGCAAAGGGCCUGCUGCCUUCAAGUGACUGGCCUUUAUCCUCUGGCAAGUAUCACACUCGGAUAUGUACUUGGCAAUUUCCCUUUUCAUUCUAGUCCACCAAUAUAGAGAUCUGAGAUCAUGAUACAUCUUGUUGCUACCAGGGUGCAUGGAGAAUUUUGAAAGGUGAGCUUCAUCUAGUAUCUUCUUUCUAAACUCAGGGUCCUUGGGAACAACCAAUCGAUCUCCAAACCAUAGAAUUCCCUUGCUAUCCUGUCGGAAACACUUGUAUUUUUCUGCUUUUUGCUUGAUCAUUUCUUUGAUAACCUGAACACCCUUAUCCUCAACCUGUGCCCUGAUUAUCUGUUCUUGCAAUGUGGGUUCCACCGAGAUAUAGCUUAGGUUACCUGAAGAAACAACUUCCAGGUUCAGCUUGCACAACUCAUCACACAGGGUGGUCACUCCCACAUCCAUGCUCAUACAAUUACACUGGGCCUUUCUGCUUAAGGCAUCUGCCACAACAUUGGCCUUCCCUGGGUGGUAAUGCACUUCCAGAUCAUAGUCCUUGAUUAACUCCAACCAUCUCCUUUGCCUCAUGUUCAGAUCUGCCUGAGUGAAAAUGUAUUUGAGACUCUUGUGAUCAGUGUAGAUGUUAAAGUGAGCUCCCAUCAAGUAGUGUCUCCAUAUCUUCAGAGCAUGAACUACAGCUGCCAAUUCCAGAUCAUGUGUAGGGUAGUUCUGCUCAUGGGGCCUGAGUGCCCGGGAAGCAUAAGCAAUCACUCUGUUCUCUUGCAUCAAGACACAUCCCAAACCAGUACCAGAAGCAUCACAAUAAACUUCAAACGGCUUGGUGUUGUCAGGUUGGGCCAGCACUGGGGCUAUUGUCAAAUGCUGUCUCAAGGUAUGAAAGGCAUCUUCACACUUUUGGCUCCACUCAAAUUUGACUCCCUUCUUCAACAGUUCAGUCAUUGGCUUGGCAAUUCUGGAGAAGUCCGGAAUAAAUCGUCGAUAAUACCCUGCCAAUCCCAGAAAACUCCGAAUCUGCUUCACUGUAGUCGGGGGUUUCCAUUCCAUUACCUCUUGUACUUUCUCAGGAUCCACUGAUAUCCCAUCCUGAGAAAUUGUGUGACCCAAGAAUUUAAUCUCCUUCAGCCAAAACUCACACUUAGACAACUUAGCAUAAAGAUGAUGAUCGCGCAGCCGCUGAAGCACGAUGUGCAGGUGCUCAAUAUGUUCGUCUUCAUUCUUGGAAUAGAUCAGAAUAUCGUCAAUGAAAACGACCACGAACUUAUCUAAUUCUGGCAUGAACACUGAAUUCAUCAGGUACAUGAAAUAAGCCGGGGCAUUGGUCAGCCCAAAAGACAUCACCAGAAACUCAUACAGCCCAUAUCUGGUAGAGAAAGCCGUCUUGGGAAUAUCGCUGGCACGGAUCUUUAUUUGAUGGUAUCAUGAGCGAAGGUCUAUUUUGGAGAAUACCUUGGCUCCUACCAACUGAUCAAACAGAACAUCAAUGCGGGGCAGUGGGUAUUUGUUCUUGAUAGUCACCGCAUUGAGAGGGCGGUAAUCAACACACAUCCUCAAACUCUCAUCCUUUUUCUUCACAAAUAAUGCUGGACAUCCCCAUGGUGAAGUGCUGGGACGAAUAAACCCCUUGUCCAACAACUCUUGCAAUUGCUUCUUCAAUUCUGCCAAUUCCGCGGGAGGCAUCCUAUAGGGUCUCUUGGAGAUCGGAGCAGUCCCGGGUUGCAACUCAAUUGCGAACUCAAUGUCUCGGUCAGGUGGCAUCCCUGGUAAUUCUUCCGGAAACACAUCCGGGUAGUCACAGACUACUGGGAUCUCUUUCACUGGGGACUCUAACAUAACAAAGGCACAAGAUCGGGUACAACCCUGGUUGGGUAAAUACAAAACAGUCUCGCCAUAAGCAGGGGAAUGGAUUUCAAUGGCUCUGGCUGCAAUGUCCAAUACUGCCUGAUGCCUGGUCAACCAGUCAGCUCCCAAAAUAAUAUCCACGCUAUCCAAUCCUAAGAUGAGAAGGGUGGUUCUAAUCACCAGACUACCAAAUUUUAUAGGCACUUGCCUGUUGAUUUGAUAAGUGGCAACUCUGCCUCCUGGUGUUGAAAUUGUAAUGCCCCCAUCGGUAUGGUGAAAGGGCAACUGGCAUUUGGCACUAAACUUGGCACUGAUAAAACUAUGCGAUGCACCCGAAUCAAAUAAAACAAUAGCAGGAUAAUUCAAUACUGUAAAGAUACCAUUCAUGACGGGUGCUCCCUCUGGAAUGUCAGCCAUGGUGGUGAAGUUCAGCCUGCCUUGCCUUACUUGCACCUUCUGCCUCUUCCCCUGGUUCUGAGUAGCAUUCUGCCCCUGCCUCUACUGGUUCCUGGGGCAAUUCUUGGCAUAAUGCCUAGUGUUGCCACAAGUGAAGCACCUGUUGUCGUUCGCCUGGCGGUACUGCUGCUGCUGAUUAUUCCUCUGAGCUGGAAACUGGUUGCGGUUGGGUGCCUGCUGCUGCUGCUGCUGCUGAGGUCGGAUUACCCAUCGCCCUUGCUGCUGCUGGGGUCCCCUGCCCUGGGUGUCGGACACAAUUCUGAAGCGCUGUGGCUGAGCUGAAGGUCCUGCCACAGGGGUCUUCCUCUUCUUCUCUGCCUGCCUAGCUGUAAUGCAGUCCUCUUGGGAGAUAGCCAUGUAGACCAACUCAUUGUAGCUGUUGGCCCUGACGGUGUUGAGACGAUCCCGGAGCUUAGUGCUGAGCCCCCUUCUGAAUCUGUCCCUCUUCUUCUCAUCUGUAUCUGCAUGAUAUCCCGCGUACUGGCACAAGUCAUUAAAGGCCUGGGCAUACUGCAACACUGUCCUGUUGCCCUGAGUGAGUGCCAAGAACUCAUUGAGCUUCCUGUCCAUGAUCCCGGCUGGUAUAUGGUGUCCUCUAAAAGCUGCCUUGAACUCCCUCCACUCCACCUCUCGGUCCUCUGGCUGCAUAGCAAGAAAAUGAUCCCACCAAGUCCUUGCAGGUCCGCGAAGCUGCUGGGUGGCGAACCUGACUUUGGUGACUUCUGAGCAAACUCCAUGGAGCAGUGGGAAUUUGGAUUCCACCACUCGCAGCCACACAUCUGCGUCAAGUGGGUCCUCUGCCCUUGUGAACAGUGGAGGCUGGGUGCUGAGGAAUUCCUGAUAGGUGGCCGCCGCGGGGUGACGCUGGUGGUCUCCACCACCAUAAUGCUGGGGUGGUGGCUGACGUUGAGCCAGCUGCCUCAGGAUCUCAUUCUGCUGAGCCAUGAGCUCCUGCAGAGUGGGAGGUGGGGGCGGCGGUGGAACGUGCUCGUUCUGGCCACGACGCUGCCUCCCGGCCAUCUGAAAAACCACAUACAUACUUAACACCACAGUUCCGAAUUUCAAGAUUUUUAUCACGGGGACAAAGUUAAAACAGCAUGAUAAUUUCCGACUUCAACAAAAGGGAUUUUAAGAGGCAUAAAUUCUUCCUUCCAAAUUUAAACUGAUAAAAGCAUCCAUCAACCAAGCUCCCAAGAAAGUUUAACACGAUUACAUCAAAUUGUUCCAAAAUGACUCAACUCUACCUAGCCUAGUACCCCAAGGGUGCAAAAGCUAAGCUAGCUGCGAGGAGUCCGACUAUCCAACUUCUAAGCCUAUCCUGAACACCUAGUGAGCGAACGAAGCGACACUCGACUCGGGGGAAGGUGGUCUUCCCGAGCCAGCAGUGUCCACACUGGAGGCAGGAUCAUCUCCUCCCUCAAUGUCAACGUCCUCGUUGGCCUCCUAGUCCUGGAUCUCCUGGUGAUGCAUGUCCAGGUGCUCGUUAGCCUCAGCAAGCUGUUGCUGAGUGUUAAUGAGCUGAUCCUCUAGGACCUCGAUGGUGUUCUCCCUGGUGCCCACCAGCUCCUCCAACUCCUGAAUAUCAGUGGAUAGCUGCUCCACCUGCAAGUCCUUCUCCACCAUCUCUUGAGACAAGUCAACCACGAGCUCCUCUCUGUUAUCCAGCGUGAUCUUUGUUGCCUCUAGCAGUGCCAUCAGAUGGGACAUUGCUUCACCGCGCAUCACUUGCAGACGGUACAGAGCAUUCAUGCACCGUACUGUCAAGUGCGCAGUCUGACCUGGGUAGAUGGCCCAGAUAUCCUUGGCAUGCUCCACCCGAUCCUUCCAUAUUGGGUCGUCCUCCUUCUCAGCGGGGAACAAGCCAAUGGGGUGGGUAGCCAGCUCCAAGGGAUGGAAUCCGCAGAAGGUAGUCAAUCCAUGCAGAGCGAUCGCCUCGAUCGUGUCCUCUGCCCGGUACCCGAAAGACUCUGAGUCCAAGGAGCGCCAGCCUGGCUGCAGGGGAUGAGGCUCCAAAGUCAUCCUCACCCUACAGCGGGGCACCCGGUGCUUCUCGAACUGCUGCACCGCGUACUGAGGGGGUGUCGUGUAUCCAGCCCCCUGAAGUACCUCCCACAAAAUGCGGGGAAAACCCUCUCGUGCAAGCCCGUCAGUGUGGGUCAGUGCAUCCCCGUUAUCGGAGGAUCCGUGGGAAGUCAUCUGUGUACGGUUAAGCGUAAGUAAAAGGAAAAAGAAUUAUAAAAAAAAUAAGGAAAAGUAAAACUCAGCCUGUCUCUAGUUAAGUAGAAAGGCACUAGGGACCUAAUUGGUUGUUAUCUUAUUUUUAAGUCCUUUACUCAGUUAUCCAUUUGCUUAAUUAUGAAUGCAUGCAUGCUCAUCCUGAACGGCCUCACAACAAGAUAAAAGGAAUAGGGAGGAACUCCCAUCCUGUAAAAGUGGCCUGUAGGGCCUAGUUACUUAGCCACCUAGCUACCCUUCUCUUAUCCUAAGGCUUCACGUCCUAGGUCUAUCCUGCUCGCCCUACUAUCUAUCCAACCUUGUUUCUAUCCAGUUUUUAUUUAGAAAAUUGAUGGUAUUUACAUUUUAUUGAUUCCUCUGUGGUGGUACAAGCUCCGAUACCAGCUGUGGCGGAAUUGCCCGAAUUAUUCCAACUUAAGUGUCCAAAUCCCGCCUUAGAGGCUAGACCACACUUAAAUGGGAAUAACCCGUCAAUCCCUCGGAUCUAGUCCGACACGGCCACUGACAGGAUCAAGUACCACAAUCUCACUCGAAGGUGAGUCACAGAGCAAAUACAAUAAAGCAUAAAACCAUACAUGCCACAAUGUUAAAUUAUUACAUCACCAUCAUCAUCAUCGGAGUUUUUGCAAAAGUAUCCAUCAUUGUUCGAAGUGCAGCGGAAUAAAACUAACGGUCAUUAAACAGAGAGAUGGGGAAGCCUGUCCCAUCACUCCUCAUGCUCCUCCUCAGCCGAGGCAGGGUCCCACUCAACAGCCCAACCUGGUGGCAAGGUGGACGGCCAAGUUACCCCAGCAACCAUCUCCUCCAGAGAACCUGUAAAAAUUAUGCCACAAGCAAGGCUGAGUAUACUAAUACUCAGCUAGACUUACCCGGUGUGAGGAGUCUACUCCUCUACCUCUAGACAUGCAGCUGUUUGGCUGUGGGGUUUGGUUGCCAAAAGCACUAGCUGAGUUUCUAAAUCAAGAUUUUAAUUUAGUCAAAGUUAAGUGUGACUCUCUUAAGGCUAAAAGUGGACUAUCUACUCAUACAUGGUAGCAAGCAUUAUUAAAAAUCAACAUCUUAUAUCAACUCAUCAUACUUCCACUUAUUACUCAAUGUAGCAGCAUGGAUCAAGCAGUCUCAUUAGCUGCGAGAAGCAGACGAUUCGAAUCGAGUUUUUAAACCUUGCAAGGUAAACCUAAACACACGACAUGCAGGGGCACUCCGUCCCCACACAUAUCAACCGUCCCCAUCGAUUCCCUGCCAGCAGAGAGGGGCUCACCGCCUUGGCGUACAAUGCCUCACUGACCCCGACUGGCCGUCGUGCAAUGACCGCACUUGUACCCACCAUAACCGGAAUGGGAGACCUCGUCUCAGGUCGCGUGAGGAGGGCAAUCUGCUGCCAGGUUCAAUCAGGUACUAGGCUUACCGAUUUACCAUAUUUCUCGGCAUGUGCUUAGUACGUUCAAACGCUUGACUUACAGUACCACACCUUAAUCCUUAUUCAAAUUUUUAUCCCGUAGACAACAGAUCCCCAUGGAUUGUUGUCCACAACCCAACAUCAUUAUGAUACGAAAGUGGAUACAAUCAAUUUCCUGACCUCGCGCGAGUGCUAGAAAAAUCACUCGACUUCUACCGAGAUUCCUGAUUAAUAAAGCAGCUACUCGACUUAGCAUACUAGUAUUCAUCUCAAUAGGAUUCCUGAGAUCAUGCAACUAGGGUUUCAGUCAACUCCUACACCUAAGUGAACAAUCAAUCCUACAAUCAUUAAGUAUAGUAAAAUAGCAUAAAUAACAGGUUAUGCAUAAAACCGGGGCUUGCCUUCCAAAGCAGUGGCAGGCAGGUCCUCUGGUGCAGGCUCGGGUGCUGGAUCUGGGCUACCUCUUGAGCAGCUCCUUGCUCCGGCACGAGGAUGUACUCUCCAUCAGCAAGAUUACAGUCUAUCAAAAUGCAAUGAACAUGCAUGUCAUGAUUAUGCAGGAUUUAAGAACAAUAAGCUAAAGAAACUAAGUUAAGAAGUAACCUAGGGUUUUCUUAGUCAUGCUGGGCUGCUAGUGGUAUAUAUAUAGAUACAUAGACUUAUGACCUUUUAAGCUUAGGUUUUCUUUUAGGAUAACAUAGUGGGUUGGUAUUGUCUUUAUAGAUUUCAGUGGACAAAUUAACAAAGGUCUUAGGAUGACAUUAAUUUCCAUUAUUCAUUUUCCUUUCCUUAAUUUCCAUUUAGGGUUUCUAGGGUAGGGUUGAACUACAACAGGGUUUUAAUAAUUUCCAAAAAUUCUGUAAAAAUUCCAGUGGGUCAUCACUGGCUAUUCUAGCUUGUUUUAAGAAUUUGAGGCUUAAAGUAUAAAAGUUAGGCUUUAAACAAAAAUAACAAAAGUUAGGCAAAAUGGGCCACUUCACACUACACCUCUUAGUUAGGGGUAGGUUCUGCCCUAAAGGUUAUUUUUGUUGGCAUCCUAUGGUAAUAAUAGGUUUCUGUGCUAAAAAUCACAGAAAACUAAGGGGUGGUUAUUUAGUUAUGAUUUUCUUAAGUUUAAUGCCAAAAAGGCACUUUCUACUACAUUAUUAUUUGAAAAUGUCAAACAGCAGAUUUUAUAUUUUUCCUAAGUUCUCUCUAAUAAAACAAUAGUCAUCCCAAGGGUGGGGGUGUUUUUACCUUGGGGUCAUUUUUGUAGGGUUUUUCUAAGUUAUCCUUGUUUUAUUAAAACAAAAGAUAUCCUACUUAAUUUGUACUAAACCAUGGUAUGAUAUAUUUUUCCAGUGAACUAUAUUGAAUAAGUAACCUAACAAAAAUAGAAGUACUCUCUGGUUCAUUAAUUAAGUUGCAUUUUCUAUUUUCCUUAUCCUUAAGCAUAUUAUAGAAUAAAGGGUAAAACUAACUUAAAUGGAGUGGACAGAGGGGUUUAACAUUUUUACUUGGUCUAGUAGGUAGAUAUAAGCUUCUCAAAAUUUUUCUAACCCUGGUCAAACAAUAUUCCUAUUUUCCUCCUAAUAUUGGGUUUUGAGUGGUUUUCUUAUUUAAUUCUAAACUUCAGAAAGAAAUACAGAAGCUAUGGGUUCUAUUAUUUUUCUCUGAUAGCUCAUAAAUUCCUGAAUCUAGCAAAAUUGGUUUGAACAUUUUUGGAUGAUUAUUCUGCAAGUUAUGCAUUUACUUAGCUAUCUGUUAUAACAAAAGAAAAGAAAUUCGAAAAUGGAAAAAGAAAACAUGUUUACGCCGAGGCCCCUGGGGUUUUUCCUUUUCUUUUCUCACAGAACAGCCCUUGGUCCACUAUUGGCUUGAGUCACUGACAUUGCGCAAAGCCCCCUGGACUUAACUAAAAUCUAACCCGCGCUCCCUGACCGGCUCAAACAGUGCCCGCGGUACAGUUUGCGGCGGUGGGGCUUACCGGCGGCAGUAGAGCUCCGGCGGGGUGGUCAGUGACGUCCGGGAGGUCGCGACGGUCACGCCGAUGUGCGGGUCGGUGUCGGAGGUGGUCGGAGCUACCCUGGCCACGAGCACAGGCGGCGGGGGUCGUCGGCGGCUCCUGCUCCGGCCAAACCACGGCGGCAUAGAUCAAUUAGGGUGCACGAGGAGCUUCACGGGGUGACACAGAGGCCAUACGCGCAAGGAAUUGGAAAACGGUGCAGGGGCUUACCCGGUCCACGCGCGCCGGCGGGUUCUUGAACUCCGGUGAGCACGAUUGGGCUAUUCCGGUGACGCGGGUCCCUGGGUCAAGCUUGAGCAAGACUCACGGCUUCACCAGGAAGCUCUCUGAGGGCUUGGAUCGAAUGGAGGAGGACGGGAGAGGGGCUGGCCACGGUGGUUGCUCUCGGGCGGCACUGGCGGGUCGCGGGGAGGUCGCCGGAGUUAAUGGCUGGCUCGGGCGAGUCCGGCGAGGUACGGAGGAGGUAACGGGGAAGGCAGCCAAGCACUGGGGCGGGCUUUAUAGCCGUGGCACGGGCGUGGUAACGGGCGGCCGCGGGUGCGCGGGGGUUCCCGCACGGGCGUGCUCUGAGCGCGCCCCCGGAUGCCAGCUUGCGUCGAACACGUGGAAGAUCGCUUCUGCCAUGGUUCAACGGCCGAUUAGAGUGCCAUAGCGUGCGCAUCUUGGCAAAGUCACUGUGUACGGUCGCUUCUCUGCUCCAAAUCCUAUCUUUUCGCUGUGAGUUCCAAGUCGAGAUAUGGUCGGGGUAGGGAGAUAGAGAGGGGAGAAGUUUGCUGUGUCAGCCAAGCCCGAAUCGAGACAAAAGGGGUGACAAGUCGUGUCUAGCGCCCUAGGGUAGGUGUCAUCUCUUUCCAGGGUGUUCUAGGGUUAAUUUGGCGCCAUUUUGUCAAUUGGGUCGAAGGGUUUUGAAAAGGGGAUUAAGGUGAACAUGUGGAGUCUUUGUGCAAGGGUUAGUUUUUGUACUUAGGCAAAAACUGAAUUUUUUCCCUUGUGCUAAAUCAUAGGUGAACUGUUUAGGGCUUUUCUGCAAACUUUUUGGGGGUACUUCCUUACUAUGAAUUGUAGGUUAUCAAGUGUUUUACAACUUUUAUAUUUGGCCCAAACCAUGAUCAUAAGGUUUACAUGAUCUUUUGAUCAUGGCUUCAAUUAGGGUUCCCAUUGCCUAUGGGGGUUUUGCUUUAGGGUUUUGGGAGAUCCCCACUUAGAUGUGCAUGGUAAGCUAGGGCAUGACAUCCAAGGUGGAUUACACUUGCUUAGGACCUAGAAUUCCCAAGUUUGGUAUACUUUGCCCAAAUCAAUCUUCAUGUGAUAAUGGGUAAAAGGGGGGUAACCCUGGGAUGGACACCCUGAGUAACACCUGGGGUGUUACAGGUAAGGUAGUCUUCCACUAGCUUUCCUAAUUAGUCAGCCAAGGGCGUCGCAUUCCAUCCUUGUGGUGGCACGUGUUUCUCAAGUUAAGCUCCAUGUUCCAAUUAAAGAUAAUGAUCUUGACAUGAACAUUAAUAAAAUAAUAAAACAAUUGGAACAUGGAUAUAAUUAAAUAUUAACCCAAAACCAUAUAAAGCAAUAGCAAACUACCCAAAUGAUUCAGGGGUAAACAAGGUAAAAGAUAAUAAGACUAGGGCAACUUAUUGGGUCCCAUCAAAAUUAAACCUAUGCAUGAUUACAUGAUUAUAAAGAAAAUUAUUGGGUAAUAAAUGUGGUCUAGGGCACAACUUGCCUUCAAUGAGCUCCUGCUCAGCAACUUCUACCUGCUGAACACCGGGAUCCUUAGCCAUUGGCUCUUCUACUCGCCAUAAUACAAACAAGCAUAGUAUAAAAGAGAAAUUAACAUCACACCAAAGAUGUAAACAAAAUACAUAUUAAUAAUCUACACAUUAAAAUAAGACUAUAGGAAAAAGAAUCAUUAAAAUUGGAGUUAUGGAUUUUAAGUUAUGAAUUUUUGAAGGUUUUAUAUAUUUGAUACAAGAUUAAUUAGGAGAUCAAUUUUUAUGUGGCUUUCAUGUCAAAAUAGUGGCACUAAUUGAUAAACAAAAAUAUUACAAAAUUAUAGGAACUAGAAUGGAUCAAUUUGGACUUAAUAUGAAUUUUCUAUGAAUUAAACAAGUUCUAGUGAUUAUUUUUACAUUAAAAAUCAUUUUUGUUAUUAAUUAUCAAAUUCCUCUGGUCUCUGGACUGCGCCUCAAAAACUGAGAAGUGCAGGUGCCCUAGCGCAAUAAAUUGCAAUACUCAGAAUGACUCUGUCAUGGACCGCGGGUUGUUUACUAAUAAGUUCAGGGUCUAUUUAGUAAGGUGGCCUGCCGAAGGGGUAUCGUGGAUUUACGACUGUCCGAUUCUAAACCAACGGAUUAGAUUUGAUCGUCGCGAUAUAUAACGUGUAACCCACCUCGAUCGUUCGAUCCCGCAUCAACGACAGAGAGGCGGCCAAGCUCUGACUGGACCAGAGCCGCACAUCACCGAAUCAACGUCUCUGAUCAAAUCUCGUGAAGGGGGGGUAUGCGGCACAACAUCUCUACCGCCGGUCAUCGAUCCAACGACCUUGCGCUAUCGCUCUCCCCCGACGCCGCCCAACGGUGGCGCCACCAACUCAAGCGGUGGCGUGCUCGCUGGCGCGAGUGAAUCCAGUGCCCGAGUCACAAUCCCGGGCCCCCGCGACUUCCACGCGAUGCCCAAACCCACCCGAACGCACUGGCCUAACAAUCACCGGGAUUCGCGCAACACCGGCGCACACCCACGGCGAGCAGCGGCCGUCGCCGGCGAGUCGUUGCUACCCUCAAUCCAGCGCGCGUUCUCAAGCGUAAUUUAAUAUCUACACGUCGAUCAUAUAACGGGGAUCGGUAGGGGAGUCCUCACCGGGGUUUGACUACGCUGAUGGCAACACCACGGCGGAUUGCGGCUCCGAGUAGGUGUCCUACGACGGCGAGCAAUCGUCGAUCACCCAACUCCGAUUCUGCACGACACUGUGGCUCACCCGAACGGUGAAGACUCCGCAGCUUCCCUUCCGGUCACCCACUGGAAACGAGGAGCCACACACAGCUGACCGUUGGCGGCGGUGGCGCGGCUUGAUUUCGUUCCCUCCCUGACGGCGCCUGGCGCGAGGUUGCGGAAGAAGGAAGAAGAGGAAGAGGUAAGGAACGGCGGACGCUGGGUCUUAUACCCAGGAAGGAUAGGUUUUGCACAAGGUUCGCAGUGAUCGUGGCACCGCAAGCUCCGUCGAGGUCUUCGCGAGGAAGUUGAGGAUGGAACUGACGGGGAGGGUCCACCCAACAGCGAGCGUACGAUGAGGCAGUCAUAGGUAAGUGGGUCCGGCGCAUCAGUCAAAGGUUGCGCACAACGAGCGAUUGACCGGGAUGGUCCACCAGUCAACGAAACGGGGAGUAAGAAGUGCGCGCGGAGUGGCUGUCGCGGUGGUCCCACGUGGUCAGCGCGCGCGGGCGUGAGUUGGUGGGCCGGGAGCUACACUUUGGGCCCAAGGUCGAUCUGCAGGUCUGUUCUCCUUUAUUCUUUUUCUGGUUUUUCUUUCUCGUUUUAUUUUAAAUUUCCAAUUUAAACUUCAAAUAUACAUGUGAAUUUUGUACUCAAUUAAAGGUAGAUUUUAAUCUUAUCAGUAUGGAUAGAGUUUAUAUUUUUAUAAAUUUUGUUUUGUAUUUUAUAGUAUUUCUUUUCUUCCUUCCUCCACAUUUUAAUUUCCUAAUUUAGGUUUAAAUACCUAUUUCACCAUUUGUAUAUUCCUAGUAUCAAUAUUUUAUUUUUAAUGCACAAUCAAAUAAACUCCAACAUGAUGCAUUAGGUAUAUAUUUAUUCUAAUUAAUUUAUUUGUUUGAGAAAUGUUUGAAAUAUGAAGCUCUCUCAUAUUGUUCCUUUCUUUUUAGAAAAAUAGUAUUUUGAUUGUGGGAUAGGAAUUGAAGUUACUUCAAAAUUAAAUAUUCAUGUAAAUGAUUGCUUAUGGUGCAUCAUUUAAUGAAAUGCAUAAGCAUUUAGUUGAAUAGAAAAAUUUUCUAUUACUCCUUUUCUAAAAUAAUUCUUGGUUUCCAAAAUUGAGUCCUCAAUUUUCAACACUCAAGUAUAAUUUGAGAUAUCUAAAUUUACUAUUUUAUUUCUUCUUGUUUUUAUUUUAUUAUUAUUAUUAUUAUAUACAAAUUUUGGGUCUUACAAAUCCUACCCCCUUAAUAGAAAUCUCGUCCUCGAGAUUUGUAAGAAAAGGGUGUAUAACCAUGUUACCUCAGAACAUAUGCACAAACAAAAUCUCAGCAUGAUGCAUAAUUUAUUAGCAACACAUAGGGUCAAUUAGACUUUAUUAUUCCUCCUAAAAUAGUAUCAUACCAACUACUAACUAAAGUAACACUAAGAUCUUACAAAUAGUAAUAUAUAUAUAUAUAUAUAUAUAUAUAUAUAUAUAUAUAUAUAUAUAUAGCUUGGUGGAGCUGGUGGUGGUGGCGGAGGUAGUGGUUGUUGUUGUUGUUGUCUUUCCAACCACGCUUGCCUCAUUUCUUGACGCAUCUCCAGCCGGUCCUGACGUAUUUCCUAGCAUUCUUGCCUUAUCUGAUUUUGCAUUUCGUUAAUCAUGUUUGUCAUUUGUUGUAGCACCAGCAUUUGGGCGGCAACCACUGGAUCUAUUCCACCUGGUGGAGGAUUUGGAGGAUUCAUUUCUAUUUGUUGUUCCUUAUAAUCCUCCCUUCCUGGUAUUGACCAUCAGAGUUAGAAGCAUAUGGUAAAAUAGUUUUUGCAAGGGAAAUUAUUUGGUAGGCAAAACGAAUAGGCUAGUAGCUGGUUAUGAACUGAAGAUUCUUUGGCGGGGCUUAAUCUGUUGUUUUAUGUCAAAGUUGGGAUAGCUAGUUGUAUAAGGUGAAUGCCCAAUUGUAAGAUAGAAUCUGCCAAGAUGAGAUAGACAUGGGUGAGAUAGACUACAUGAUGUAGGUCAAAAUCUUGUUUGAUGUUAGGUGGGGAUAGUCAGAUUAUGCAAUUCAUCAUGACUCUACUGGUUGAGUUAAAUCUUUUUGCUCUUGGUUGAGUUGGUCUAAUGUGCUAAGUUAAGUUAACACCUGGCUAGUAGGGUCUAAUCUGUUCUACCAGUCUCACUAAUCUGUUUAAGUAGAUCACAUUAGAUUAGAUCACAUUAGAUUAGAUCACACUAGAUUCUAUAAUCCUAUUUAAGGAUACCAUUUAGUUGAGCAUAUCAAGCUGACUUUAUCUUCAUGAAAUUCUACUAUCCUUUCUUUAUCUAAGUGGAACUUCCAAUUAGUAUUUUUUAUAUACCUAAAAUUUUCAUGUCGAUAGUAGGUGUGGCAUAGAAAACAGGGGUAUAUCAGGUUUUAGCUAUUAGGUGAGUGUAGAGAAGAUUUGGGGGUAAAAUAAAGUUGAGUAAUGAAGAUUUUUUUAUUCCGGGUGGUGGAUCUUGAUUCAUCUGAAGAUCUGUUUCUAUCUCAUAUCCUUCGUUGUCGAGGUUUAGCUACUUCUUGAUUUAGUGACCAUCGAUUGUGGUGUUAGAUGCCAUUAUCCGAGUUCGGAUAUCAAUUGCGAGUAUAUGGGGUAGGUAGGUUAAACAAAGUUUUACUUUGCUUUUGAGAUAAAUGGGUUGGGCAACCUAUCACAUAGGCUAGGUCGUGGUUUCACGGACGAGUUGGUCUAAGACACCAAUUUAGGUUUAAAACCCAUUUAUAGGAAUAUGGUCUAAUCUAUAUUACCAGUGUUGACUGACUUGUUUAAGUAAUUCCCUUUAGAUUAGAUCAUAUUAGAUUAGGUAGGGUCUAGAUUAGACUGGAUAUACCUAGAUUAGACUAGUUUAAGUUAGAUAGAUCUACCAGGGUAGAAUAUAUAUUAUUAGGAUAUGUUAGAAUCUUUUGAGAUAUGGUGGCUUAUAUGGUGCAGGUAGGUCAGAAUCUUUGUUAGGUUAAAAUAGAGGGGUUAUGCAACCAUCGGUUGGUUAAGGUAGUUGUCUAAGGCCGAGUUGGUCGGUCAUUCUUAACUUAGUGCAGAGUGAAUUAAGUUAAAACAUAUUUUAUAGGAGUAGAGACUAAUCCAUAUUAUCAGUAUUAACUUUCAUGUUAAGCAACCUACAUUAGAUCAGCUCAACUUGAGGUUAGCCUUCGUUAUGUUAGAUUAAUCUAUCACAUUAGAUCAGAUUCAAGUAUGACUAGCUUCGAUUAGACAAGAUCCAAUUAAUUUGGGUUAGAUCAUGAUCAUGGUGGGAUAAAUCAUGUGGUUUUAGUCACACAAAUAUAACUUAGAUCUGAUAUCAUUAUUUUGGAUUAGAUCCUGGUUGUACUUUAGGAUGAGAUAAGUAAAGUGGUUAGGAUAAGAUGAUUCCUUCAAGAUAAGAUGAAUCUAUUAAGAUAAGAGAGAAACUUUUAAGAUAAAAUUGAUCUAUUAAACUAGAUAUAUUUUUUAAUGGGGAAUAUUCUGUGUUGUCUAUUUUAUAAAUAUUUUCCCUUAUGUCUAGGUGUAUAUGCAGAUGCAAUUGUGGACAUUACUCCACAAUCCAUCACACUCAAUCAAAGAUCCAAAUCAGACAUGUAUCACAAGAACAAAAAUUCAAGCAUACAAAUGUUUACGAAAAUAGUUUUGAAUUUGUUCCUAAGAGUAGAUCUCCUAUUCCUAAAGGUCACUUUAGGUAUGGGAUUUCGAAGUGUGAAAUCCACAUCUGUCUUUAGAAGGAAAAGGUAAGAAUAAUCAGAGUAAAGCGGAAAUAGAUGAGAAAAGAUUAAGAAAAGUUUAGAAAGAAUCAGAGUAGCAAAGAUAAGUAAGUAUUGGUUAUCCAGUUCUAUCUAGGUUUCGUCCUACAGUCAACAUUCCUCUGAUACCACUUCUGUCACACCCGGAUUUAAGGGACAAAGCCGAGUGCAUCUCAUAUAUGCGCCAAGGAAGACAACACAUAUAAUAACAGAGUUUAUAGAGAUAAUUGUCACAAUAUAAUCAGAGUACUUAUUACAUAUCGGAAGUCUUACAAAAUAAAAGAUAAGUAUAAAACAAACUAAAUCCAUCCUUGGUGCCAUAGAGUCAACUGGGAGACGCCACCUAGAUCAAGUCAAACUCCUCGUUGUGUGGCUCCUCUUGAACCACCUGUUCUUCUCCUGUGGGGGGGUGUGUGAGAUAGCAAGGGUGAGCUCACAGGUGUUCAUCGCUCAACAAGUUGUGGGGAAUAAUGUGUAUGAACUCACCAAAGGUGGGAGUUCAUGUGAGGUGUAAGGCUGAUCAAUAAUAGGGGUUAAAGCUGAGCAUUGCUUUUAAUAAGUUGGUCAAAUUUUAUUAGCAGUUACUACAUGUAAGUAAAUACCAAUCCAUAAUAAGAAUAGAAAAAAAAAUAAUAAAUAAUCCCAUGCAAUGCAAUUGACAAAUUGAAUUUAGUUCCAUAGUUUAAUCAUGCGAGUGUCCUGAGCUGCUCUUGACCAUGAGCUCGGCUAGUAUACCAGUUUUACACUCUACAGAGGUUGUACCCUGUACCCACAAGUCAUGUUACCCAUCUGCCAAGGGGUCAUGAAUCCCAUACACCUCUACCAAGGAAGCGAGGCAGGGUAACACUGCGAGGCCUUUACAAAGUUCCACUAGCUUCUGAAAACCUGCUACUGUUUCUGGGAAGAGCAAUUGCAAGAAACCCUCGACUGACCGCCAUCUCAGCAAAAUCAACCCGAGAACCUCCCUGCCUGCCUACUCCCCUACUGCCCUUGCCCCUUUAGGGUAAGGUAGUCUUCCACUAGCUUUCCUAAUUAGUCAGCCAAGGGCGUCCCAUUUCACCCUUGUGGUGGCACGUGUUUCUCAAGUUAAGCUCCAUGUUCCAAUUAAAGAUAAUUAUCUUGACAUGAACAUAAAUAAAAUAACAAAAUAAUUGGAACAUGGAUAUAAUAAAAUAUUAACCCAAAACCAUAUAAAGCAAUAGCAAACUACCCAAAUGAUUCAGGGGUAAACAAGGUAAAAGAUAAUUAGACUAGGGCAACCUAUUGGGUCCCAUCAAAAUUAAACAUAUGCAUGAAUACAUGAUUAUAAAGAACAUUAUUGGGUAAUAAAUGUGGUCAAGGACACAACUUGCCUUCAAUGAGCUCCUGCUCAGCAACUUCUACCUGCUGAACACCGGGAUCCUCAGCCACUGGAUCUUCUACUCGCCACAAUACAAACAAGCAUAGUAUAAAGGAGAAAUUAACAUCACACUAAACAUGUAAACAAAAUACAUAUUAAUAAUCUACACAUUAAAAUAAGACUAUAGAAAAAGAAUCAUUAAAUUUGGAGUUAUGGAUUUUAAGUUAUGAAUUUCUGAAGGUUUUAAAUAUUUGAUACAAGAUUAAUUAGGGGGUCAAUUUUAAUGUGGCUUUCAUGUCAAAAUAGUGGCACUAAUUGAUAAACAAUAAUAUUACAAAAUUAGAGGAACAGGAAUGGAUCAAUUUGGACUUAAUAUGAAUUUUCUAUGAAUUAAACAAGUUCUAGUGAUUAUUUUUACAUUAAAAAUCAAUAUCUGUUAUUAAUUAUCAAAUUCCUCUGGUCUCUGGACUGUGCCUCAAAAACUGAGAAGUGCAGGGGCCUAAGCGUGAUAAAUCCCAAGACUCAGGAUGACUCUGUCAUGGACCAUGGGUUGUUUACUAAUAAGUUCAGGGUCUAUUUAGUAAGGUGGCCUGCCGAAUGGGGUAUCGUGGAUUUACGGUCGUCCGAUUCUAAACGAACGGAUCAGAUUAGAUCGUCGCGAUAUAUAACGUGUAACCCGCCCUGAUCGUCCGAUACCGCAUCAACGGCGGAGAGGCGGCCACACUCUGACCAGACCAGAACCGCACAUCACCGAAUCAAUGUCUCUGAUCAAAUCUCGUGAAGGGGGGGGUAUGCGGCACAACAUAUCUACCGUCGGUCAUCGAUCCAACGACCCUGCGCUAUCACUCUCCCCCGACGCAGCCCGCCGGUGGCACCACCAACCCAGACGGUGGCGAGCUCGCCGGCGCGAGUAAAUCCGGCGCCCGAGACACAAUCCCGGGCCCCCGUGACUUCCGUACGAUGCCCAAACCCACCCGAACGCACUGGCCUAACAAUCACCGGGAUCGCGCAACACCGGCGCACACCCACGGCGAGCAGCGGCCGUCGCCAGUGAGCCGUUGCUACCUUCGAUCCAGUGCGCGUUUUCAAGCGUAAUUUAAUAUCUACACUUGGAUCAUAUAACGGGGAUCGGUAGGGGUGUCCUCACCGGGGUUUGACCACGCCGAUGGGGACACCACGGCGGAUUGGGGCUCCGAGAAGGUGUCCUACGACGACGAGCAAUCGCCGAUCACCCAACUCUGAUUCUGCACGACACUGUGGCUCACACGAAUGGUGAAGACUCCACGGCUUCCCUUUCGGUCGCCCACUGGAAACGAGGAGGCACACACAGCUGACCAUUGGCGGCGGCGGCGCAGCUUGAUUUCAUUCCCUCCCUGACGGCGCCUCGCGCGAGGUUGGGGAAGAAGGAAGAAGAGGAAGAGGUAAGGAACAUCGGACGCUGGGUCUUAUACCCAGGAAGGAUAGGUUUUGCACAAGGUUCGCAUUGAUCGUGGCACUGCAAGGUCCACAGAGGUCUUCGCGAGGUAGUUGAGGAUGGAACUGACGGGUAGGGUCCACUCAACAGCUAGCGUACGACGAGGCAGUCACAGGUAAGUGGGUCCGGCGUGUCAGUCAAAGUUUGUGCACGGCGAGCGACUGACCGGGACGGUCCACCAGUCAACGAAACGGGGAGAAAGAAGCGCGCGCGGAGUGGCUGUCGUGGUGGUCCCGCAUGGUCAGCGCGCGCGGGCGUGAGUUUAUGGGCCGGGAGCUACACUUUGGGCCCAAGGUCGAUCUGCAGGUCUGAUCUCCUUUAUUCUUUUUCUGGUUUUUCUUUCUCCUUUUAUUUUAAAUUUCCAAUUUAAACUCCAAAUAUACAUGUGAAUUUUGUACUCAAUUAAAGGCAGAUUUUAAUCUUAUCAGUAUGGAUAGAGUUUACAUUUUUAUAAAUUUUGUUUUGUAUUUUAUAGUAUUUCUUUUCUUCCUUCCUCCACAUUUUAAUUUCCCAGUUUAGGUUUAAAUACCUAUUUCACCAUUUGUAUAUUCCUAGUAUCAAUAUUUUCUUUUUAAUGCACAAUCAAAUAAACUCCAACAUGAUGCAUUAGGUAUAUAUUUAUUCUAAUUAAUUUAUUUGUUUGAUAAAUGUUUGAAAUAUGAAGCUCUCUCAUAUUGUUCCUUUCUUUUUAGAAAAAUAGUAUUUUGAUUGUGGGAUAGGAAUUGAAGUUACUUCAAAAUUAAAUAUUCAUGUAAAUGAUUGCUUAUGGUGCAUCAUUUAAUGAAAUGCAUAAUCAUUUAGUUGAAUAGAAAAUUUUUCUAUUACUCCUUUUCUAAAAUAAUUCUUGAUUUUCAAAAUUGCGUCCACAAUUUUCAACACUCAAGUAUAAUUUGAGAUAUCUAAAUUUACUAUUUUAUUUCUUCUUGUAUUUAUUUUAUUAUUAUUAUUUUUUAUGUACAAAUUUUGGGCCUUACAACGUUGUGGAGGAUCUGUGGGAACGGUUGACAUAUGCAAGGGUUAAGUGCUACAUAUGUCGUGUGGUUAGGGAUCCCCAGCUGGGUAUAAUCGACUCGAAUCAUCGUUGCUCCUCGGUCAUGGAGACUCUAGCCUUCGACCACUCAUCAUAGUUAAUAAGUAAAAUAAGAAUUUGGUAAAAGAAAGCUAGACUAGAACAAGUGAAUGCUCUAGAUUAGGCAAAUCUAGAUUCAGGAAAAGUACUUAACUUGUGAAGUACAUUUUUGGCAUAAGGAUCCACUACUAGUAAACUUUUCUGCAAAAGAGUCUUUGAAUCUUGAUAAGCUUUACCUUGAUUCCCAAAAGCCAGCAUAUCCUUGAGAUUAUUUUUCCUUAGACGGGUAAGACUUGCGAAAGUACACUUCGUACUCAGGGUUUUCGAACCCAUGUUGUUGUAGGUACUAGAUUUAUGCUACUGUUGAUGGUGUUAAGUGCCGGUGGGCUCGGCCUUCUUAUAGGUUAAAGUAGCUCUUCUAUAUUGCUUAUUAAGGAUUGUCAUUGAGCUAGCAUAUAUUUCAAACUAACAAAUAAUUUAUAACAUCUCAAAGUACAUUUCUUUGAAUCACUUUUGUAAUCACUCCGAUAAAUAUAAUGUAAACUUGUUGUAACUCGUAACAUGUUGUAAUAAAGAAUUUCCGCUGCAAAUGUUUGUAUGUGAGUUGUGUUUACUUAAUCUUGUGAUCCUGGUUAUAAGUGGUUUAUCCAGGGUCCUUGGGACACUCGAACGGUUCCUGUUAAGUUAUCCGGUGCACAUGCAUAGCCGUCUGAGGUCUUUGAGACGAGGACAGGUGCAUGUGGGCCCAAUAACUUGGGAGGUUCUGCCACAUCUGGUAUCGGAGCUGGAUUAAGUAUAAUACGUUCACAAAUGUAUUUUCAAAACAAAGUUUUGGUUUUGGAAAACCUAUUUUCUACUAAACACAUUGUUUGGUUUUGAAAAAAAUAGAUUUGAAAAACUAUAAUGCUAGUGACAUCCUCUAUUAAGCCCUAAAUUAAGGACUAUCAGGUGGCUUAGAUCAAAACACUAACCUACAACUGGGUGAUAAUGCAUACAUGUGUAAUGUUAUUUUUUAGGCCAUUUUGUCUUGAAUGGAUCAACACUUAGGUAAGGUGAGAUGUGAGAGCAUGACCGAACAAACGUCAGUCUAGGGGAGAGCAUAAUUGAAGCGCUUGACUAUAUACAUGUUCUACAUAUGUAUAUAUGAAGGUUGCGAUGUAGAGUAUUUACUUUUCUGGGAUUCGGUACCCCAUGUGUGUGUAUGGGUGUACAUGCAUGGGAAUACUGAGAAGUGUAAUGUACUUGUAAUGACGCACCUACACUAAGGUAAGAAGGUGAGCUACCAUAAUGGGCUGCCCUGUGGUUAAAGUGUGGCAGCGGCGCCUAUGCGUGGCUCGGCGCUUAAUGAGGAGCUGACCUCCAUAUAGAAAUAUAUGGAGUAUAAACUGUCAUGUGUGGAUCUUGCAUCAUGGGAAACAGGGCUGUGAUGGAUUUUUUUUCUGCAGGUACACUAACCUCGAAAACAUAUGCUUAGUUGACAAUUAGCAAAAUACCGAGAGAGUCAUAAGUAUGCCACCGAUUUAGAACACUAUUGCCACAAUGGAUUGGCAAAAACUUGUGAGGACGAAUAAGACGAGCAUGCAUCCUGAUUGUUGCAUCAUGUUUGUCACCUAUACAUCCAAAAUGCUUCUCUCAUCUUUAUUCCAGUAACCAGUGAUUGUAGAUAAUGUGGUGUAAGGUUGUAUUAUGAACUCCAAUGAAUUAGUUGUCCUCCAUUCUUUAGGUAAUCUGUUUAGGUAUUAUAUGUGUUAGCUCUUGUUUUUGAUGUGCCGAUAGAAUGUCGAUGACUUGUUUGCCUAAACCCAAAGCCAGGCCAUGUGCUCAUUUAUGACCCAAAUUUGUAUUAAUCUCUAAAUUAUUUAUCCUAGGUCUCAUCUUGUGUGAUGGUAAUUAUUUUCACAAGAUACUUGGUAAGUUUGUAGUUAGACAAAGCCAUAUCCUCAUCAUCUCCAUCCUUGAUGUAAUAUACGAUCUAAUCCAUAGUUUUCUCAUUCUUCCAAAAUUUUCCUCCAAGUCUUCAAGUGUGGAGGGAUUUGAAUUUUCCGUUGUCGCUUCAGGACCAAGCUCAUUUAAAUAGGUGUUUAGGUAAUCUCCUCAUAGACAAUAAAUGCACAUGAGCUUAAGACAAGGAUCUCGAGUACUCGUCAUUUAAUUCGUGAAUCUUCAGUGGUCAUGGCUUCCUCCUAAGCUCCGCCUUGUUUUGGUUGGUGCAAGCUGCUAUUCAUAUUCCAGUUUGCCUCUUCUUGAGGAUCACAUCGUUGCUUUAUCAACCUAACCUAAAAAACAUGCCCAAUCAUUUUCUUGAGUUUGAUGCCUUUGGUUUCCUUAUAUCUAUUGAAGGCAUACCAAUUUAAUCUUAUGAUUGUUUUCUCUCGGUAUCUAAUCAUAUACUAAUCCUUGACAUUGUAAUCUCUGCAAUGGGCAUAGAAAUAUGCUUGGGGCUGAAUUAACAGUCUCUCAUUGUACUCCCUUAUUCAAGUUUAGGUUUUGGCCAUAUCUUGUUCAUUUCAUUGGGCCAUGAUCUAUUUGGCUCUCUACUUGUAACUGUUCUUACAAGUGGAGUAUCUUUUGUAUAUUGUCAUCCUGGCUGAGUCUAUCUGUGCUGCAUGAGAUUUCUUAUUAGUUAUGUCUGGUAAUGGUGUUAUGACUAAAACCGAUGGUGCCGCUACGAAACCGAGGGCCUCCUGUGCCAUCAACACAUGUUUGCACUACUUGGCACGCGCUGGUAUCACAGUUAGUAGUCAUAAUCCAUUUUGAGACUAUAUCGAUAUGUUAUCUCUGCACAAAUUGUUCUUACCACGUGAGAUUCAUUGAUGGUGGCAGUUCGGUAAUGGUGUCACGAUUAAUGACUUAUGGUGCCGCCGUGAAACUGAGAGCCCCUUGUGAAUGUACACACAAGGUUAUGCUUCUUGGCACAUGUUGGUAUCGAGGUCUCUAAUCAUGAUCCAUUAUGGAACUACACUGAUAUGUUAUCUUCCGUAAACCUUUCCCUUGAAAUAAUUUCUAUGUUGUUUGUGAAAUGGUCAAGCAACAUGUGUCAUCUCUAUUGAAUCAUGGAGCAUACUUCUUUAAUGUGCUCUUUAACGAAUUCACUACCAAUUUAGAAAUCACCAAAAAAUCAAAUCAGAACUCAUAUGUGUCUAAUCGUGUGAUAAAAAAACUACCCCUUUUCAUGUGUGGUCUCUUUUCUCUUGACCUUGGUGGUAACUGCACAUCCUUUCGCAUCAUUUGUUGUAAAGGUGAAGCCUUGGCACUUUUUAAGGUUGAGAUACAACUAAUUAGUCCUCAUAAUAAAGAUCAACUCCCCAACUGAAAUGCAGGAGUUUAUUCAUUCGCUUCCUUAUUGGAUUCAUAGAUCUUUUAUGCAUGUUAGUUUGUCUCACGUGGAGGAGAUGGAUGAACAACCUGAUCAAAUGUAUCUUUAUCCAAAUACACGACCUCCUACUCACAAAUGUGAACUCUCAACCUCUGGUUUGCCAAUGGGUAAUAAGAGAACUUGCUCAACAUCAAGAGUAGUUCAACGAGUUGGUUUUACAAACUUGAAACUACAUUGCGAUCAAAGGUUGAGUUUAGAUAUCAUUUUGUCAAGUCAGCUAAACUCAUUCUUAAUUUAAUCGCCUUGAGGAAGCGUUUACAAGAGGUCAAGUCGACGGGUAACCACCUAGUCAUCAUACUAGUCGUGCCUCGAUCACCUUUCAUGUGAUUUUUCCAACAUGUGUGGUUCAGCAGAGUCACACUAGUGCUUAAUGAAGUUGAAUCAUUGUGAAGUCAAUGUUUGUUGAUCACCUUCACUACUGUAUUCGUCGAAUUUCUACCAUCUUUCAUGGACUUGGAUUUUCUAGCUAGCCAUGGGUCAACUGCGAUGUUGUUCGACAUCCACACCUGUUUCGUGUGUUAUGGACAUCCAAGGACGAUUUAUCGACGAAUUUCUUUCGCUGUGCUUUACCCAAGAGGUUGUAUCAAACUUGACUUGGAUAAUUACCAUCCACCUAUCCACUGCUCUUUCCGCGGACUUAGAUAAUAUAGUGUUAUCAGAGGAAUAGAACUGCGUACAUGGAAUCUUACAAGGAUAGUGUGGUACAUGCUGCACCCACUAGAGAAAUAAACAUCUUGAAGUAGUGACCUUUGCUUGGAACUGCCUUAUGUGAUCGCUGAUAUGGACAGGAGUUACAUGCUUCUUUACUCUUAAAAGUCUUUCGCCCCAAAUCUCAGGACGAGAUUCUUUUAAUGGGGAGGGCUGUAACGCCCCAGGUGUUUACCUCCUGCUUGACAACGAUUAUGGGCUUAAGUACGAGUUAUCAACGAGAACAACAGUCUCUAUAUAUUAAUCAUCUUCACCCAUGUCACACCCAGUUUUAGAAGGCAAACCAAAUGUGAACCAUGUACGUGCCAGGAUCAGCAAUUCACGUACACAACAGUUACAUAACCGGACAUCAUCACACAGUGCUCAAAUAAUAACAUAAAAGAGGGUAAUAGUUGAUUACAUCAUGAUGUCCGAGACAUCCACAUAGUCAUUACCAAAUAUCAAAGUGCGAAAAUGAAAUGUAGAUAAACACGGCCUUCACAGGCAGCCGACUGGGGGUUUGCCGCUAACCCACGCCUAGAACUCAUCGUACUCUUGGAUGUCCUGGAGGUCCUCCACCACGACUUCAUCUUCUCCUGAGCAGUGGUUGCAACGUGGACAACCUGGGGGGUUGGUGUGUAAAUCAAGGGUGAGUACACAUCAACAUACUCAGCACUUGUCCUGUUUGGUUGUAGUGGACUAGCUUUAUGUGGGGUUAAGGUUAAGCAAUUGCUUUUAGUUGGUCAGGUAAUUAUUACUAGUAGAGAGCCAGGUUUUAGCAUUAACCCAAGUUGUUAACCCAAAAGUACCCUUUCCAAACGGAAAGAAUACCAGAAACCAUAAUCAAAAUCACAAUAGAAACCAACAUUAUCCUCAUCAUCAUCUGUAAACAAAACAUCUCUUAUCAAUGUGUCUCUAAUCAAUGGAGCUCCCUUGGCCGCUCAUAACCGCGAGCAUAGCUGAUAUAUCAGUUUCAUAACACUCUGCAGAAGUUGCGCACUUUACCCACAAGUCGUGAUUCCCUUUUGCCUCGGGCCGAUCAAACCCUUAAACACUACCAAUGUGAAUAGGCAAGGUUUCACUACGUAGCCUUUACAAAGAUUCCCUGAGGCUAUAGCCACCCGUUAGGUUUCCUAAAUGUACAGCACUCCUCCCCAAGGGGGAAUCCACCCUCGACAGAGCUGGCCGCAUACACCGAGCCCCAUUGACGGCAUGACGGCAAAGCGAACUACACCCCAGUUCCUCUAAUUAUUCAGCUAAGGGCGUCCCAUACCACCCUUAUGGUUGCACUGUUUUCUUGGGCAGUCAUCCAACGAACCAGUCCUUACGGAGAGGCACUCGAGAAACCGCUCGAGUCCCCUUAAAUGUCACAAUAUCAUCAUCAUAAUCAAAAGGGAAAACAACAUAUCAUAAAUAAUCUCAUCAUGUUCAUUGAUUAGUGUGAAGCUCUAGCAUCAAGCUAAACCAAAAUAACCCAACCCACAUAGGUAAACAAGGACAAGAUAAACAAAGCUAGUCAAUCCUUAGGUAUAAAUUGUGUAAACGCGGGGAGUGAAUUAUAAAAUGAGUAGGACAUAGAUGGGUCAAGGGACACUUGCCUUCACCAACCAGCUGCUGCUCAGGGUCUUCACCUGCAACUCUUUCGGACUCCGCCAACUGACCGUUAUCUAUACGAGUUCAAACAUAUAUUCCACAAAUUUAAUAUAAAAAGAACAGUACACCACACAGUAGACUAUAACAAAUAAGCAGACGCUUGGCGCAGGGCUCGCACCUACGACAAAACGAGAAAGAGAAAACAACGGUCGAGGCUACGGUCGAAAGGCGAUUAUGUUAAGCAGUUAUGGAAUAAAGUACUUGUCUAAACAUAACCAUAUUAAUUUUGACAAUCGCGCUAUGCAUAAAAUCAAGUUAAGCUACGCGUUUAAUUAUUAUAAACAAUUCAAGAUAAUUUAAAAGGAAUGUCGCGCGGCGAAACGCACGACGGCACACGCGAACUAAACUGAAAAAUUGGGACAAGUUGCCGUGCGACGAGGCACGCGACAGCACACACGAACUAAGCUGAAAAAUAAAAUGAAUCGUCGCGCGGCGAAGCGCGCGACACAACACUUAGACUAAACUAAAAUUAAACGAAAUGUCGCGAGACGAAGCGCUCAAUGGAACACUUAAAUUAAAUAUGAAAAUAACGUAAAUCGUCACGUGACGAAGCGCACGACGGCAUACAUCACUUAAAAACUGAAUUUAGAAUAAAUUGUCACGCCGACGAAACACGCGACGCAACAUAUUAAAUAAUCUAAAAUUAAAAUGAAUUGUCGCGCGAUGAAGCGCGCGACGCAACAUAUAAAUAAUCUGAAAUUAAAAUCAAUCGUCGCGCGAUGAAGCGCGUGACGCAACUCAUAAAUUAAACUAAAACUAAAACUAAUCAAACUGGAUUUUAAACAUUACACGCUAGGGCUACGCGCGCGGGAACGGGACUGCGCGCACGGAGCGGGGGAGGGCACCAGGGGCACGCGCGGCCAGGGACGCGGCCAGGGGCACGGCCAGGGGCCAGCAGGGGCGCGCUGGGAAGGGAGGAGGAGGGAGAGGAGAGGGGAAGACAGAGGGAGGUGGGAGCUCACCUCGGGGCUCGAGAUCGCGACAACCGCCCACCGGAUCACACCUAGGGAAAAGGAGGUGGAAAAGAGGUGGGAGAGAGGGAGAGGAAGUUGCUGCGCGGGAAAAGAAAAUGAGAGGGAGUGAGAGGGGGCGCGCAUGGGGGGUGGGGGCGCCAGGGGCUGGGCCGGGCCGAAAACCCACUGCACGCACAACCACUAAUCAGAAUCAAAUCACGAAUCAAAAACUGAAACGAGACGGACGCGCGAUUAAACACAACAUCAGACAAAUAAAUAUGCUUCGGCAUGAUGCAACACCCAUGUCAACUUAGGUUUUUGUUUACACGUGAUACGGACACCAGUCACUAUACUGCUUUGAAAUUUGGAAGAAGGGGCAAAACGGGAAGAGAAAAGAGAGUAACACCUGAAUUUGGUGAGUAUCGGAGAAGAAAAAAUUUACCCCUCAAAUUCAGGGCGUUACAAACCAUCAUGAUUUCAAUGUCGUCUGCCUUCGUCUAUCGGGACUGUCCAAAAUAUUUCUCGAAGUUCGGAUUUUAGUAACCUUCAAAAAUGCCGAGUCCGGUGCUGUUCAGAUUGGUCGAGAGCGUGAAUGCGAUUUCAAAAAUAGUUCGAGUUUAUAAUUUCGACCGCGUUAAUGUCCAAGAAAUAUAAGGCGUAGAGUUAUUAAUCGAAUUGCUUUCUAGUCGAAUGUUCGGAUGGCGAGUAAAAAUUGUCUAAAUUUAACCGAGAUGAAUGCAAAUUAAAAUUAAUCGAUUAAUGCGAAUUGGAAAAGUCGACUAAGUAGUUUAAUCUUGUCUGAACGGUUUUAUGGACUUUGUAGCAAAACUCAUUAAUCGUAGGUUGUUAAAUAAACCAAACCCAAACUAACUUAAACUAGAUUAAUUGCUUGCUGAUUCAGUUUCCUAUUUCAAAGUUAGAGAAAAUCAUGCCUGGGGUUAGUAAUUGGAAUUGUUUCUCCUAGCAUGUUAUCCUUGGUGUCAGAUCAAAUGAUCGAUAUCGGGUAAAAUAAAACUGAACCCAACUGGAAUCAACUGUAGUUCAAAAGUAUCGAAACCAAAAUUGUUUUAAUCUGGUCCGUUUACAUCUUGCCCAGAAUAAUCAUAAAAGUUAUCCAAACGAAAUUUAACUAAGACCGUAUGAACCGUUAUUACUCUUAUUCUUCGUUUCAUGAUUGGGAAAAUGAAAUGUGUAGCCCGUAUAGCGCAUCGAUCCAUUAUACAUCGCUAAAAUCCUAAUUCGGAAACCUUGCAAAAGGUGAAGAAAUCAAUUUUUUGCCUUCAACCACUGUACUACUCCUUUGUCUAGAUUAUCCCUUGUAAAUUACAAUUACUGCCCACGGUCCUUAUCUCCACACCAUUUCUUAGUUGAGAAGCCAGUCAGCUCUCUGAAAGCGUGUCCACGCACUCGUUCUCUGGAAAAUUCACAUCGCUUACCAGGUUCUCAGUCUUAUCUCUAUUUCUUGCUUUAUACCAUCGUUGUAAAGGCUCCAAUCUUAUCUCAUGUACGGUGUUUUCAUCUCUAGAAGGUGUUGGCUCCCUGUGAUUUUUUUGAAGCCGCUUUCAGGUCCUUAUUUCCCCACCGCUCAAAACUGAUCUUUUCAUCGUGCGUGACCGUGUGGAGGCACUGUCUCUUCACCAGUGCCUAGCCAUAGUGCUGCUAGAGCUCGUCAGCGCACUCUGCUCCCCUGGCGCUGCUCUAGGUUCAGUCGGCGUCUUCCUCACGUUGCUGGUCAGCAGAGCUCGCCCGACUUUGACCUCUGCCUUGCCCUUGACCCCACUUGCCCGUCCCUGUUCUCGACGCUCGAGCUCACCUCAGCUCCGCUGUGCCCCUAUCAGCGGACGUGCUCGGUCUCGGCCACGUCCCUGCACCCUGUGUUCAGCCUCCUUCCUGCAUCAGCGGACGUGACGGCUGCUGCGAGCACCCCUUCCUUCUCCCCAGCCUCACCGUGGCCAACAGCUUCAAAUCCAUGGGCGAGCCACCCUCUUCACCUUGCUGCGCGCCGGAAGCCUCUCUCUGCUCGAAUCGGUGUGGUGCUCUGGCCAUGCGUCCACUCUACUCGGACCUCGAGUCUCCCUGCUGCCCACAACUGUCACACUAGCCAUCGUGGCGUCGUUAUUUCCUGCUGCGCCGCGACAUCGUCAAGCUCCGGUGCUUAGUGUCGAAGUCGAUGCGCCGUUGUCGCUCUGGCUUCCUUUGUCGUCGCGCGGUGUGUGGCGGUCGUGUCCACCUCCAUGGCAUCAACAUCUGCAUCCCCGGCAUCGUCGUCGUUUUAGCAGCUUGUUGCACCUUGCGUUCGCGCCAGAAGACAAAAGGGAAGCGAGUAUAGGUGCAUCGUCGAUUUCAUGGUUUCAAGUUGGAUUUAGCUUUGGUGAGUUGAUUUAUUAUUUUUGUUAGCUGGUUUGAUGAAUGGCUUGGCUAGGUGUGUUAGUCGUGAUGAUCUUGUGACUAUACUUAGUGUUGUUCAACCAAUCGUUUCAUGCAGUGAGGUGAUUGUGAAGUGGUCGCGUUAGGUGUUGAAGUCUAGAUUUUAAAUAUAGAUUUAUGCAAAGAAUAUUAGUAGAUAUAUAUAUAUGCGAUAUGAUUGUGUUAACGUUUGUGACAUAUUUGCGUCAUAUGAAAUAUAGGUUUAAGAUUCCAUUUAUGGGAAGAGUGCUUCAUUGGGUAUAUAUAUAAUCCGCGUAUAUUUAACUAGAUUUUAUAUGCGUGACAAGUGGUGAUAGUAAGUAUUUGUGAAAUACUUUGUUCAUGUAGUAAUGUGAUAGAAUCCAAUAUUGUUAAAUCGAUGCCUCGUAUCAUGUGUCUAGUAAAUUGCUUCCUUGAUGCUUGCCCAAAGCCUUGUUGGUUAAGAAAUUAAUUAACUUGUUGUCAUCCUUAUUGUAACACCCCGGGAUCCACAAACACCCCAGAAUGCUACUAAACUACACUUCUAACAUUCGUAUAUAAAAUUUCGACAGCAUCUCCUUUGAAAAAUUGCAUAAACGGGAAAGCAACAAAUUAUAAAUAGACAUCAUGAUAAGAAAACAUAAUCGACAUUAAUAAUCAGCUAGCAAUGGGAAGACAAUCAUAACGGCAUGAACUAAAUUAACUAGUGCGCACAACUAGUUAGAAACAAACAUCCUUUGACAUGAAGCUUCUAAUUAAAUCAUGACUGCACCUAAGCAGCGUUAUUAUGAGAGUGAAGGUGGAUGUGCUGCUACUUCCCACUUCUCUGGAUGAGCAACAAGCACCUGCAUUGAGUAAUACAAGAGUGAGAUGAAACAUCUCAGCAAGCAAAUUGUUUUGACGAGAUAUUUAAACCACAAAUUGAAUUAAUCAACAUUUUAAAAGAAUCACAAUUAAGAUCAGAAAUACUUGUAGAUAUAGAACUCAGUAGUCCCAAUAUAACCAAUACCAUCUCAUUUCCUCGAACAACCACAAUAGGUUCAAUAACACUUCCCCGCGUCAACAAAACCUACAAAUAUCACUUCAAUGUAUUCAUAGGAGUGCAAAGUGUAGGUACUCUGUCUUCAUACCUCUGAGGGUAUAAAACCACAUCAUCUGCAAAUAUCACUUCAAUGAAUGCAUAUGAAUGCAAUGCAUAUAUCCUCUGCCUUCAUACCUAUAAGGGUAUGAAGCCGCAUCGUACCCCUCCUCAGGCAACGUACGAUGCUAAGUUGUACCGGUAUGGUCGAACCAUAGGUCACGACCCAACUUCAGAUGCAAGUGAAUCGUGCAAUAUAUAUGGCAUGCUGCAUUUAUCAAUAUACUCCACUUCCUUCACAAGAUCAGUCAGUUAUCUUACUGCCACGGAAAGAUAAUUAUAAAUAUAUAUGGCCACGGAAAGAUCUACAAAUUAUCUACGAUUCAUAUAUAGACUUUUUAUUUUUUUAAGGCCACUAAGACCACGGAAAACUGGCAUGAACAGAAACUGUCGAAUCCGCCAUUCAGCAGAAAUUAAAUUUGAGAUCAAAACCUAACCCCACAUCUAAUCCAACCUCUAAUCCUUCAAUCCACAUGAUCCACAACCUCCAAAAGCACAUAAUUAUAUGGAGGAACAAGGAUCCCAUCCUUACCUAGGGUUUCCCCAAGAAAAUCUGCAAGAGAUGGGGGUAGAACAUCUCCUUGAUCCUCUCUUCCUCUUCAAUCCAUCUUGCUCCUGCUCUUCUCGAUCCUUGCUGCGUGGGGGAAGAUCUAGAGGGAGGAGGAAGCAGUGGAGGGCGGCUGCAAAGGGGAAGGGGGAGGGGCGGCCAAGGGUGGGGAAAGGGGGGGGGGGUUGGCGGCCAAUAAAAGGGAAAAAGGGGGGGCGACCACUAGGGUUUUGUGGAAGAAAGAAACGACGCCUCAGAUGUCUCCUGACUUUGCAUCCAACGGCCCACAACUCUUUCCCUCAUCCACACACCGAAGAUCAACUUUUGGUCAACAUUUUUUUGGGAUAUUACGCUUAUCCUGAUUAUUUGGUGUCUCAAGUUAGUAUGUCAAGAUAUUAUAAUUAGUUGGUAGGAUAUGCAAGUGAGUCUGGAAAAGAAGUUUUGACACUUAAUUAAAUUGCUUCUAUCCAUCAUAUGAAUGUUUGGUGUCCAAAAAUGGCGAGUCUAUGUUUGUUAACCCUUUGGUGUAUAUUCUAGGUAAAGAAAAUAUAGAGAUUAUACAUAGUUGUGGUUUCUUGUUCGAAUUAGGUUCAGUUGAGCAAGAAGAAUGUGAGUGUUGUACUUAGUAUGUCUAGUUUAUUAUUCCUUGAUAUUUGUGUUAGAUCCGGGUUAAGCUGGAGGAACGUGAUUGUUAUCCUUAGUAAGUUAUAGAUUCCUAGUGUUUACUUGUGAUUAUUUCAAUGUCAUGGCAUUAGGUGUUUAACUUGUUACUGUGUGUCAUUGUUUAGUCUUAUCUUUUCAUACUUAUGUCCAUUCUUAUGCACCAUGCAUCUCAUUAGGUAAACUAUCUGAGAAUCGUACGAAGCAAAGGACAUGGACCAAAGCAGACCACAAGACGAUGUCGGCCGGUGAAUUGGAAAAAAAUGGACAGACUGAAUGAGUGCCAAGACAAAGGAUGGUCUUCAAGUGAUUAUCGUCUAACAAACACUAACCUAGUGUUAUUCCAGGCAAGCCCCGGUGCAUUCACCUCUUUCCUUGUUGUUUAAAAAAUUUUAUCACCUUGAAUGAUGCAUUAGGUGAUAGGAGUUGUGUGAUCAAACAGUUGAUGCAUUUCCUUCCUUGAUUAAACAACCCUAAUAACUUUUUUAUGAAAAUUUAGUGAUGCUUAGCCCUGCUUAUUAAUUUAGGAUUGUUUUUAAAAGAUGAUGUGUAACACGGGAUAUGAGAGUUUGUGAAAUAAUAAAAGGGCUUGUGAUGAUGAAGCCAUUGCGGUCGUGAUGAUUUCAUCAUUCAAGUAGGGUACCUCUCUCAGGUAUCAAGUUUUGGGAAAUAAUAUUAAAUGUAGACCAGAUGUUGAGCAGGAAAGUUCGCCUCUCUGUGUUGAUUAUGGACCGUUCAAUGUAGGCCUGUUGUGGUGGAGACUUUGCAACUAGCCACAUGCUCCGGUAAUCCUAAACUCGGCUAUUCCAUACAUGAAAAGACAACCGCGCACUGGGCGUGGGAGAUGGUGGGAGUAGCGUGUACCCCCCGGGCAAGAGGCUGGAUGGGGGAGUACUGUGCUCCCAGGUAGCGCGGACCGGUUCAUGUUGUGGAGGAUCUGUGGGAACGGUUGACAUAUGCAAGGGUUAAGUGCUACAUAUGUCGUGUGGCUAGGGAUCCCCAGCUGGGUAUAAUCGGUUCGAAUCGUCAUUGCUCCUCGGUCAUGGAGACUCUACCCUCCGACCACUCAUCGUAGUUAAUAAGUAAAAUAAGAAUUUCGUAAAAGAAAGCUAGACCAGCACAAGUGAAUGCUCUAGAUUGGGCAAAUCUAGAUUCAGGAGAAAUACUUAACUUGGAAGUAAAAUUUUGUCAUAAGGAUCCACUACUAGUAAGCUUUUCUGCAAAAAGAGUCUUUGAAUCUUGAUAAGCUUAACCUUGAUUCCCAAAAGCCAGCAUAUCCUUGAGAGUAUUUUUCCUUAGACAGGUAAGACUUGCGAAAGUACACUUCGUACUCAUGGUUUUCGAACCCAUGUUGUUCCAGGUACUAGAUUUGUGCUACUGUUGAUGGUGUUAAGUGCCAGUGGGCUCGGCCUUCUUAUAGGUUAAAGUAGCUCUUCUAUACUGCUUAUUGAGGAAUGACAUUGAGCUAGCAUGUAUUUCAAACUUACAAAUAAUUUAUAACAUUUUAAAGUACAUUUCUUUGAACCACUUUUGUAAUCACUCCAAUAAAUAUAAUGUAAACUUGUUGUAACUUGUAACAUGUUGUAAUAAAGAAUUUCCGCUACAAAUGUUUGUAUGUGGGUUGUGUUUACUUAAUCUUGUGAUCCUGGUUAUAAGUGGUUUAUCUGGGGUCCUUGCGACACUCGGACGGCUCUUGUUAAGUUAUCUGGUGCACAUGCAUAGCCGUCUGAGGUCUUUGAGACGAGGACAUGUGCAUGUGAGCCCAAUAACUUGGGAGGUUCUAUGACAAUAGACCAAACCAAAAGAUGAAGCCGCCUAUUGGUGGAAAAGACAUGGAGAAGUCCUAAGGCCGAUUUCGUCCUAUGCAGGGCCCAGAGGAAGGAAGUACUUCAGUGGAUCAAGAUAUUGAUGUUUGUUGGAACUUGCUCUCCGGUGCAUGUUGAUCCAACGGGGGAGUGUAGCAACGCAAACAGGGUUUUUGCACGAGAUGGCAAUAGCUCUGUUAAUCUAGCCUCUCAAGGGCACUAUGCGGGGGUAUUUAUAGGUAUCUGAGUGCCCAGCGUCCAGUGUUAAGGACGCAUGUGCCCUCAGGCGCCUAGGUUAUCCCCGGAAUAUUCCCAUAAAGCAGGGUUACAGACCGUAAUUAUAGGGAGGCUUUUACAUAAUAGGCCCGUAACGCGCAGCGGCCACGCAGGGCCUGUUACAAUGGGCCGGAUCACACGUGGGCCUCCAUGCCGGACGAGGUCGCGAGAUGGGAUGACCUCGUCAUAGGUCUUCGUCCGGCGCCGUGUCGAGCGAAGGGUAAGUCUGUCCGUCGUCUUGUCUCCGUCGAUCCAGCGAGGUCGGCGAAGGCAUCGAGCGAAGGGUGGCGUCUUCGCCUUCGCCCCAACAUUUGCCCUCCGAGGGGCCAGUUCGACUGAGUCAUCUGGUGCCGAAGACGUCGCUAGAUGGUGGAGACGCUGCCCUCGCUCGAAGUGGUCCCGCGGGGGUUUUUGACAUGACCGUUGAUUGACGCGGUACUGUUGGAUUGCGGGUCUCCCGAAGCGCCGCGCCCUGUGUAUAAAAGGGGGCGGGGGGCGGCGCGUUUUGAACUUUAUCUUUCCGCGCUCCGCGAAAAUCCUAACCACCUUCUUGAAUCGCUCGUUGCUUGUCUGCCCUCCUUGCUCUUGCUCGUCGGAGAUCUGGCCCGUGUGAAGCAGACCGCCCUCCGCCGUCGACGGUACGUAGCGAUGCCGUCCUCUUCCUCUUCUGCUGCCGCUACACCGCCGGCCGGCGCGUCGUCCGAGGAGACGCUGAGCACUGUGGCGGCGGAGGAGUUGCGCGCCGGUGACAUAGUUGAGUUCGGCGUGUCGCGGAUGUCCUCGGUCCGCGUGCAAGACAUGCAACAACUUGGUUAUUUCGGUGGCGGAGUGGCACGUGUCCCGGGGACGGAGGAGGUCCCCGAGCCAGAAGGCGAAUUGGUUGUGUUCGAGGCUUUUUUCGCUGCCGGACUUCGUCUUCCCGCACAUCGGUUUGUGGGAGAAGUUCUGCGAAGGUUCAACGUCCAGGUCCACCAGUUGACGCCCAAUGCCGUGGUGGCUCUGGCGAAAUACGUCUGGGCAACGACUUCUUACGGCGGGUAGCCCUCGGUCGAAGUCUUCGCAAAGUAUUAUUGUUUGCACGGCAGAAAAGGAAAGUUGGAAAUAAGAUUGCUCAAUUUGGAUCUUGUACGUUUACGCCAUAGACGGGCAAGACUUCGAUGGAGGUCGUUGAGUUGGUUCCUUGUGCCCGCAAUAAAUGGGGCAACUAGUGGGACUUUUGGUUUUAUGUCGCCGAGGGCACAGUCGAAGACCAGCCGGGGCUUCCCGUGGCCGAGAUGUGUUCGCAUUGUUACUCUGCGUACCCGCAGUUUGAAGUAGCGGAGGAGGAUGCAGACGAAGGGGCCCUGCGGUGCGCGGCCGGCCUAAGUAGCGGGCCCGAUCUGGUUGAGGAGUUCGUCGCAUAUGGGGUGUGGCCCUUGGCGCGUGGCUGGGCGCUGGGCGAAGUAUGCCCUCGCCAGAUGCCUUCCCGUGGUGGGAUGCUGGUGCGAAGUCCCGCCUUCGCACUGGAUUUGCAUAGCCGCGAUCCCGCCGCAUUCGUGCGUGAGGCGGAGGAUGGGGCAGUGCGGAUUGUUGGUCGGUAUGUGCCAAGGACGAAGGGCCAGCGUAGUUGGGAUAUUCGCGGGUCCAACGAUCGCUUGAACAGGGUCUUCGAGUUGAACCGUCUGCCGUAUGGCGGUUAUCCCGGGCAGGACGAUGUCGACCGUCGCGGGAAGAAACCGGCGGCAGAGACCGGAGAUGACCCCGCGUCGGCGGCCGCCCCAUCCUCUAAGAAGAGGAAGCUAGGUACUGCUAUGGGAGGACUGGGGGUCUCCGAUAGCUUUGCUAUGGAGUUGAUGGGGACGUGCGGCCCCCGGGGGAAGGAUGUCUUCGCCUGAGCUCCGGGAGUCUUCGGCGCGGAUGCUGAAGGUUACCGGGGGUUGGUGGCCUAAGAACGUUCUGAUCCCCCGCGCGGCCGGCGAAGACUUUUUUACAUCUCGCAUGGUUCGUGAAUUCAGAGUGUUUCCUUAUGGAUGGAAUAUUGCUGUUGUUGUGUCAGCAGUGAUGGAUAAGGAUCGUCAGGAAGCUGUGCAAAAGCGCCAGGCGGUCGUCAGGCUGCCCGAGGCUAGGUCGAAGAGGGUGCGGGGGACCGCGAAGGCUGCCGCCCCCGGCGGUAGCCAGCCGACGCUGGCGGCGAAGUCGGCCGGCCCUAGGUCCAGCAAGGUGUCGGAUGUCGGGAAGGCAGCUGGCGCCGGCGGAGCCAAGUCUACCUCGGCCGAAGCCGCGAAGGCCCGAGAAUUGCCUCCGCCGGGAAAGCGCAUUGCCGAUUUCGGCACUGAUAUUAGUGUAGAUGAUUAUCUCACUGGUAAGUCGUUGGCCCCCUUUUUUUUGACUGUUGAUGUGUCGCAGGAUCGGGCGAGGGGCAACUGGUUGUUGUUCCGCCUGCGACGGCGACAACGGUGUCUGCCACAGUGCCUGUGGCGAAGGGUGGCGCUCUCAGCGUUGGCGGUGAGAUUUCGGCGCUCGCUGCCGUCAAGGACGAGGCGGGCGCUGUGUCCCGCUGGCUGAAGGAGGCGUCGUAGCGGCUAAGUCAGGUAAGUUGAGCUAGACUUCGGUUUUUACCGGUUUCGUUGGGAUUUUUGUCUUAUGUGUGUCUUUUAGGUGGCUGACUUCGCCGACCGCGUGGCGUCGGGGGCCCUCACGGCAGUUGUGUCUGCCGAAGUCGAGAGACUUCGGGCGCAACAUGUUGAGGCCGUCUGGGAAAAGUCGGCCGCCGAUAGCAAGUGUCGCAAACUGGCGGAGAAGGUGGCCGUGCUGGAGGGCGAGAGGACUGAGCUCCGGCGCCAGCUGGCGGAGGAGAGGAGGGAAGCUAAUCAGGCCCUCGCCAAGGCGCAGUCUGCGCAGGCGGAGGCCAAUGUGGCGCGGGUGGAGGGUAGCCUCGCCAGGCAACGCGCCGAGGAAUUGGAGGAGCGGUUCAACGCUCUGCAGGCCCGCGUGGAGAGGGCCGAGGCUUCGACGCGCUUGGAGGCUGAGCGGACGUGCAAGCAGCUUAUGGACUCAUACCACGAGCUGGGCGCGUGGACCGCUGACUUCGAAGUGCCUGACCGAGAGUCAGGCCUUCGUUGCCUCGAGUGGCUGCAAGAGGAGUUGUUGGCGCUCCUGACCAUUGUGGAGGGAUUUAUGUCCUAUGCCUCCUUGGUCACCUGCGAAGGGGCGAUGAACGCGCUGUCCCGCGAAGGGUGCCGUCACUAUGAGGUCUGCGACCGAUCUGAUGAGGAUUUCAAACGUGAGAUUUACAAGGUUGAGGACCCUGUGGUGAAGGAAUCCGCGGGAGCCCUCUUUGACCGGAUGUGGGGCCCCCACAGUCGGGAGGUGGUCAGGGAGCGGUCCGACACGGCGAGGGGUCAGGUAAUGUUUGAUUUUUGUCUGGUGUUGUUGAAUGUGGGUUAUAUGUGGGCUUGCUGAAUCUGUGUGCUGUGUUUCAGGCGGCGCGUGACGAGAAAUUGGAUGACUUCGGGGCUUUGAACAGCGCGUGGCCUGAGGCGGAGUCGAACCCGGUGGCGGCUGGGCCCGAGGUCGCUCCGGCGCCGCCCCCAGAAACCGUCGAAGGCUCCCCUGAUGCCCCCGCAGCCACUGCGGCCUGCGGUGGCUCGUUGCCAACUGUUGCGCCAACGGCUGAGGAUCCCCCGAAGAUGGCGGCGGAGCCGGCAGCGGAGGAUCCUGCGGCGGCUGGGUCUUUGCAGAUGGCUUAGUGGGUGUGGGUAGUUAGCGAAUUUUGUAUAUGUUGCUGAACCUUGGUUGCUGCGCAGGUUCAAGAUUUUGGGCCUGCGCACGCAACCGCUACUGCUAAUUUUUUGGCGGCUUCGACCGUGGAUGAUGGGAAUGAAUCGGAUGAGUCUGCGUCUAAGUUUUCUGGUUUUGGUGACUCUGGGAGUUCGGUUGAGUGGAAGGAAGAGUCGUCGGAUGAGGACUUGGAUUACUUUGCGGCCUUGGAUGUGGCGGCGGCGGAGGCUUCGCCGCGUGCUGCGGAUGCUGAAGUUGUGCCUGGUCCAAGUGCUAGGCGUAGGUGGCGAAUGGCGGUAGCGAAGCGUAGAGUGAGUGAGGCGGACGGCGGUCGGCUUCGUGUGGGCAGGGCUGGCAGGCAGGAACUGUUGUCCUUGCCGGCCGUUGCGAGUGUAGGUGAGGGGGAGCUGCGAAGUCUUUUUGAGGGUGAGGAGCUGAGGAUAAUGCUAUUUAACUAUAGGGAGAUGGGAAUCAUUCCGAAGGUUGAACCGAUGUAAAGUGUGAUGCCCUCGCUGUACAUAUGUAAUGGCUUGUAUGAUGAGGUUGUGUGCCUUCGCACAUUCGGCUAUGCUCACGAAGGCGUUGCGCACUCGGUCUGGUGUAUUUGUUAUGUCGGUCUGGCGCGCAUGUAGUUGGUCUUUGCGCGGACAGUUUGGUGUAGUCUUUUUUGCACUUGUUGUGCUUGGUCCGGUUGCACCCUUAGGCGACUUUUGCACGGAUAGUCUUUUUGAGGAAGACUUUGAUUUUUCGCACUUGUUGUGCUAGUCCGGCUGCACCCUUAGGUGACUUUUGCACGGAUAGUCUUUUUGAGGAAGACUUCGAUUUUUCGCACUUGUUGUGCUAGUCCGGCUGCACCCUUAGGCGACUUUUGCACGGAUAGUCUUUUUGAGGAAGACUUCGGUUUUUCGCACUUGUUGUGCUAGUCCGGUUGCACCCUUAGGCGACUUUUGCAUGGAUAGUCUUUUUAAGGAAGACUUCGAUUUUUCGCACUUGUUGUGCUAGUCCGGCUGCACCCUUAGGCGACUUUUGCACGGAUAGUCUUUUUGAGGAAGACUUCGAUUUUUCGCACUUGUUGUGCUAGUCCGGCUGCACCCUUAGGCGACUUUUGCGCGGAGUGUCGCACGCGAGGGUAGCUAGCGCUGGGCCUCGCGGUGACUUUGUAUUGGUCAAAUGUCGAAGACCGUCGGCGCGGUCUUUUUUUGACGUAGAUUUUUGCGGGGGAUUUUUCACUUGUAUAUUACAUGACUCCGCCUCGUUAAAAACCUCACCCCCGGGAGGAAAAGAGUGCGGGCCAGAAUAAAAUUGUUUUUGCGAAUUACAAGGGCGAGCUGGCCCUGAUGAGUCAAACAAAAAAUUUGCGGAGAUUAUCGAUGUUCCAGGAAUGUUCCAAGUCUUCGCCGUUUGGCGUUGCGAGCCUGUAUGCGCUGGGGGAUGCCUUCGUCUUGACAAUGAAAGGGCCCUCCCACUUGGGCUCCAGCUUGCCCCUGGACUCUGUCCGAGCUGUUCGGACGAGUACGAUGUCCCCUUCGCUGAAUUCCCUCGGGAUGACUGCGUGGUCGCGCCAUGCUUUUGUCUGGGCUUGGUAUUUAUUUAGAGCCUGUAGAGCGAAGACGCGGUCUCCGUCGAUAAGAUCUUUCGAAGUGGGUUCGUCCAUGUCGGGGACAGCUGACGAAACUGUCUGCGGGGACCCAUGUUUUAUUUCUUGCGGGGUCAUGGCCUCCGAUCCAUAUAGAAGGCGGAAAGGGGUGAACCCAGUCGCCCUGCACUCAGUCGUGUUUAGUGCCCAGACCGCUUCAGGUAACAAAUCGGCCCACCUGCCCUUUUUUCGUUGAGGAGCAUCUUCUUGACAGCUGUGAAAAUUUUUCUAUUGGCGCGUUCCACAACUCCGUUGGACUGCGGGUGGUAUACUGAGGCGAAGGCAAGCUUGGUGCCAAUGGAGAAGCAGAAAUCCUUGAAGUCUUGGCUGUCAAACUGCUUGCCGUUGUCAACUGUGAGUUCGGACGGUACUCCGAAGCGGCAAACAAUGUUUUGCCAGAAAAAUUUAUGUGCAGUCUUUGAUGUUAUUGUGGAAACAGCCCUCGCCUCGAUCCAUUUGGUAAAAUACUCGACAGCGACGAAGGUGAACUUGAGGUUCCCCUGAGCCGUGGGCAGGGGCCCGACAAUGUCCAAGCCCCAGCGCUGGAGAGGCCAUGUGUGGGCGAUCAGUUUUGUGAAUUGCAAAAGGCUGCCUGAUCGAGGAGAAAACUUCUGGCAGGCUUCGCAGGACCUUGUGACCCGAUUUGCGGCACAGAUCAUUGCGGACCAGUAGAAACCUUGACAGAUCACCUUUGCGGCUAGGGCCCUUGGCCCUGCGUGAGAGCCGCAAGUACCGCUGUGGACUUCGCGCAGGAUUUGGACGCAUUCGAUCUCGGUGACACAUUUAAGCAUUGGCUGACUGACCCCUUCUUGUAAAGCUGGCCCUCAAUCAGUGCGAAGUCCCGACUUCGAUGUUUGAGGCGCUUGGCCUCGUUGAUGUCGGUUGGGUGGUAGUACCCCUGUAAGAAAAGGGUUAUUGGUGCCCGCCAGUCUUCGGUCAUAAUAAGGUUGACUAUGCGGUGGCCCUCGCUGUCAUUGGUUAUUUGGAGCCCUUCGGGCCUCCGGACGGCUAGCGUGCCGAUAACAUGGUAGAAAACGUCGGAGGGCAGGGACUCGCCUCUGGCGGCAGCCUUGGCCAAUGCGUCGACUUCUUCAUUCUUGGCCCGGUCCACAUGUUGCAAGGUGAAUCCCUUGAAUUGUCUCUCGAGACUUCGGAUGGCCGUGAGGUAUUGCAUAAGUGCGGGGUCCUUUGCUACAUAGUCUUUCUGGACUUGGCCGGCUACUACCUUGGAGUCUGUUCUGACAAUGCAGGUGGUGACACCAAGGGCCCUUAGCUUGCGGAGGCCGAGGAUGACAGCUUCGUAUUCUGCUAUGUUGUUUGUGCAUCUGUCAGAUUCCAGAGCGAAGCUUAAGCGUGCCGCGUAUCUGUGCUUGACCCCGGCGGGCGAGGUGAUGACUGCAGCAGCGCCUGCCCCCGCAUGGCACCAUGCGCCGUCGCAGUGGAUUGUCCAAACUUUCUCUGCGGACGGGUCCGGGUGUGUUAUUGGCCCGGUCCAGUCGAUGACGAAGUCUGCUAGAACUUGUGACUUGAUGGCUGUCCUGGGCUCGAAAGUGAUGUGGUAGCCGGAGAGUUCGGCCGCCCAUUUGGCGAUCCGUACCGAUGCCUCCGGGUUUCUGAACAAUUCGCCGAGUCCCCUAUCUGAGGUGACUCGGACCUUGAAUGCUUCAAAAUAGUGGCGCAAUUUGCGCGAAGACAUAACAACUGCAUAGGCAAUGUUUUCCAGUUCCGUCAUGUUACAUUUUGAUGGUGUGAGCACUUCGGAGAAGUAAUAAACUGGACACUGCCUGAUCACGCCCUCUACUGUCUGCUCUUGAACCAGUGCCGCGCUGACCGCGUGCGGCGAGGCCGCAACAUAAAGCAACAGGGGUAGCGAAGAGUCGGGGCUUGAAAGAACCGCCAAUUUCGACAGGUACUAUUUCAAUGAGGCGAAGGCCGCCACCUACUCUGGUCCCCAAGCGAAGUCUUUUGCGCCGCGGAGAGUUUUGAGGAAGGGGAGACUUCGCACUGCAGAUUUGGAGAUGAAACUGUUGAGGGCAGCCAAUCUGCCCGUCAGGCGCUGGACGUCUCUGGCUGACUAUGGGGGCGUCAUGUUGAUGAUGGCCUGAAUUUUGGUUGGGUUGGCCUCGAUGCCGCGGUGUGAUACCAGGUAGUCCAAUAUUUUCCCCUGGCGAACGCCGAAGACGCACUUUUUGGGGUUUAGGCGAAGUCGUGCGUCCCACAUGUUCGCAAAUGUCUCGGCGAGGUCAGCAAGGUGGUCCUCCUUGCUCCUGCUGGCGACGACGAUGUCGUCCACAUAUGUGAAUAUAUUUCUGCCGACUUGCCCCUCGAGCACCGUUUUGGUAAGCCGGGAGAAAGUGGACCCGGCGUUCUUGAGUCCCUCCGGCAUUCUGAUGAAGCAAUAUGUGCCGAAGGGUGUUAUGAAGCUGGUGCUGGCCUUGUCCUCCUCCUUCAUAUAUAUUUGAUGGUAACCGGAGAAGCAGUCGAGGAGUGACAUGACUUUGCACCCGGCCGCGCUAUCGACUAUUUUGUCGAUCCGAGGCAGCGGGAAGUUGUCCUUUGGGCAGGCCUUGUUGAGACUGGUGAAGUCGAUGCACAUCCGCCACUUGCCGCUUUUUUUCUGCACCAUCACAACGUUGGCGAGCCACGUGGGGUAAGCCACUGGCUCGAUAAAUUUGGCCUCCAGGAGGUGAUGUACCUCAGCCUUGGCGGCUUCUGUCUUCUCGUCAGAGAUUUUGCGGAGCCGCUGUUUUUUCGGUCUCACCGAAGGGUCGAUUCCCAAGCUAUGCUCAAUUAUGGAUCGGCUGACCCCGACCAGGUCGAGGGCGGACCAGGCGAAGACGUCUUUGUUCUUGGACAAGCAGCAGAGGAGUUUCUCCUCGUCAUGCGAAGUGAGGUCUUCGCUGAUGGUGACUGCCUGCUUGGGCGUGGCCUGGUCGAGGGGAACAGUCUUGGUCCCGUCGUUGCUCUGUAGCUAUGCUUUGUCGUGUUCUUUGUCAGUUGGGCUGGCGGACGCAGGGACCUCGCGCUGGGCCGUGAGGCAGUGCACGUUUCUUUGCCCAGGGACGAAGUCCCGCUCUAUGUUGUGUGUCGUCUGCUGGUUGCCGUAGACCGUGAUGGCGCCUAACGGACCUGGUAUCUUCAUGCAGAGGUAAAGUCCGUGAAUGGUUGCCUCAAACUUGUUGAUGGAGCCCCGACCCAUAAUGGUGUUGUACGGAUACACCAUAUCGACGAUAUCGAAGGUCACUUGCUCACUUCGGGCAUUGGGUGCUACACCGAAGGAGAGAGGCAACUCUAUUUUGUCGACGGGAAAUGUGCCCUUGCCGCCGAAACCAUACAACGGGUUGUCCGAAGGCUUGAGCAGGCUGUGGCUUAUGCCCAUGCGGUCGAAGGCAUGGAGGAAAAUGAUGUCUGCUUGACUGCCAUUGUCGACUAGGACUUUGUGCAGGUCCCAGCCUACUACGCUGCAGUUGAUAACCAUGGCGUCGAUGUGGGGGGCGCUGCGCAGAUCAACGUCUCGGGCGUCGAAGGUUAGUGGCACAUGGGACCACUUCGUCUGCACGACCGGACCAGUGAUGGCGACGUGGUUGAUGCUGCGGUAGUGGUCCUGCUUCUGCCGCUUCGUGUCGAAGUCGAUGCUGGACCCCCCAGUGAUCAUAUGAAUGACUCCGCGAUACAGCUGAUCGGCGAAGUCCUCUUGUUUUGGGGCAUGGGGGUGGUGGAUGUUUUGUUGUUGCUGAUGUGGAGGUGGGGGUGGGGGAGGUACGAUUUGUACUUCCUGGUGGUGUUGGUAUGCGUGGUGCGGUGGAUGCGGAGCGGGGGCGUGGAUGCAUGGUUGAGGGGGCUGCUGAUAUGUGUGUGCGACGACUCUAGGGUUCUCGGCUGGUUGCGCCCGUGCCAUCCUGUCUCUGGUGGCCUUCGUCUCUGGGCAGUCUCUGGUUUGGUGGGCGCAGUCUUCGCCGUGAAACAGGCAGUAAAAUCGGCGCGGCGGUUGCGCACGUCCCCGGCCCCAUCCGCGAGUUCCGUUUCCGCGGCCCUGGGGGGAUAUUCCUGGCGGCGAGGGGCCUCACCAGCGGGGUGCUGGUUGGCGAUGUUGUGCACCUGCUGCUGAUUGCGGCCGUCCUGACCGGAGUCUGGCUGCGGAGUCCUCGUCCACGUGCGGCUGGACUGAGGAGCAUCUUUGGGUUUCCUCUGAGACUCAAUUUUGCGCUGGUGGAGUUCUUCAGAUUUGGCAUAUUUCUCAAAUAGUUGAUACAACUCCUGGAGGUUCUUGGGCGGAUCCCUGAUGCAGUGGCUGUAGAGGACGCCGGCCCGAAGGCCACUGAUGGCGUAGUGGAUGGCGAUUUGGUCAUCGACCGAGGGUAGCUGUGACUUGAGUGUCAAAAACUUGCGGUAGUACUCCCGCAGAGUCUCCUUUUCCAACUGCUUGCAGAGUGAGAGUUCGGUCAGGGCGUCGGUGUCUGGGCGGUACCCUUGGAAGUUGAGCAGGAAUUUGUCCUAGAGGCUUCUCCAGGAGUCAAUGGACAACGGGGGCAAUCUGGUGAACCAGGUGAGAGCUGGGCCCUCGAGGGCGAUGAUGAAAGACUUGGCCAUCGUGGUGUCGUCCCCUCCGGAAGAUGCAACGGCGACCUGAUAACUCAUGAUGUACUGUGCUGGGUCAGUACUGCCAUUGUACUUGGGAUAGGUCCCUGCCCGGAAAUUGGCAGGCCAGGGUGUCACUUGCAGGUGUGGCGCCAGGGGACUUCGCUCGUCGAGGUAGUUGACACCUUGGAAUGCCGCGGCGUGUGGGAUGGCGUGAUCGCGGUGGGGAAAGUGCAGGUCUUCGACUUGUGCGCGCUGUUGCAGGGGUGGACCGUGUUGCAGGCCGAAGUGGCCUUCGCGCUGCAUUAGCGCGAUCUCUUGCUCGAGCUCCUGGGCCUUCUGCUCUUCGUCUCGUAUCAUUUGCCGCACCUUGGCUUGUGCAGACACACGUUGGCGUUUGGCCUCAAGUAUCUCUUUUUGCUUCUGGAGAUUGCGGUUCUUGAUGCGCAGGGCGCGCAGCUGUAGUUGUUCUUCUGCUGAGACACCGAUGACUUCGCCGUCCUCGGUGAAGUCCGUGCCCUCUGGUGGAGCGAAGCCUGGGGGAGGUUGCGGCUGUCCUUCAGGGCCGCAGGUGCGGAGAGCGUCGUCUUCGCAGGUGCGGAGAACGUCGUCUUCAGUGGCCUCUUGGUGGGUGGAGUGGGUGAGGGCGAGGGCCUUGCCCUUUUUUGCGGCCAGCAGUGCUGCCUUCGCAGCCUCGUCAGCCUUCGAGCUAGCUUUCUUGGGUGCCAUCGCGGGUUGUUUUUUCGUAGCACGAACGAUGGGCGCCAAAUGUUGGAACUUGCUCUCCGGUGCAAAUUGAUACAACGGGGGAGUGUAGCAACGCAAACAGGGGUUUUGCACGAGAUGGCAAUAGCUCUGUUAAUCUAGCCUCUCAAGGGCACUAUGCGGGGGUAUUUAUAGGUAUCUGAGUGCCCAGCGUCCAGUGUUAAGGACGCAUGUGCCCUCAGGCGCCUAGGUUAUCCCCGGAAUAUUCCCAUAAAGCAGGGUUACAGACCGUAAUUACAGGGAGGCUUUUACAUAAUAGGCCCUUAACGCGCAGCGGCCACGCAGGGCCUGUUACAAUGGGCCGGAUCACACGUGGGCCUCCAUGCAGGACGAGGUCGCGAGAUGGGAUGACCUCGUCAUAGGUCUUCGUCCGGCGCCGUGUCGGGCGAAGGGUAAGUCUGUCCGUCGUCUUGUCUCCGUCGAUCCAGCGAGGUCGGCGAAGGCAUCGAGCGAAGGGUGGCGUCUUCGCCUUCGCCCCAACAAUGUUCCCUAGUGGGUAUGCAGCUAACCUGAGUAGGGGGUGAACUUAUCUACUCUGCGGGUCUUAGGGAUGAAGAGUCAUGACUGGAUUGAACGAAUUCUUCUUGCGAUGGUUCGAGGCUAUGUCCCUAAGCAUGUCUGGCUAGCGCUUUCAGAGUUGAGCUAUUUCUUCCGCCAGCUUUGUGCAAAAGAGUUAUCUCGGAUCAUGAUUGCAGACUUGGAAAGAUUGACACUCGUGUUACUGUGUAAGCUUGAGAAGAUAUUUCCACCCGACUUCUUCAAUCCAAUGCAGCAUUUGAUUCUUCAUCUCCCCUAUGAGGCACAAAUGGGGGCCUGUUGGGGGCCUUCAUCCUUCGAAGGUCCUCAAAAACAUGAUUUAACAUGUUUUCCAAGUGUAACAUAUGAACAGGUACCUUCAGUCUUGGAUUAAAGGCAUAUACGGUAUGGAAAGCAGGAUUGGAAAGAAGGGUCGAACCAGCGCCAAAGCUGCGCGCGAGAAAGCUUCGGCUCAAUAACAGAAAGAGAAACCGACUUAAGAAGGAAAAUGCUAUCUAGUCCUCGACAGUUUGUUCUUUAGUCAAUAGUGAAUAUGAAGGGCAUUAAUGUAAUUUCACACAGGCUGCGUCCUGUGCCUAUAAAUAGAUGAACAGUACUCACGCUGACUUGUACUCGCUUGUGCAUCAUGCUUGUACUCUUUUCUUCUGUCAAGCCGAAGGUACAAAAGUAACUUUGUAUUAUUUCUGUUUAUUCAUAAUAAUAUGAUAGAAGAUGAAUUAAUAAUGUUAUAUAAUCGUUCAUGUUAUCUUCUGUGUUUUACAUGUUUAUCCUUUCGUUAGUAUAAACUGCAAUCAUGAAGGUAUGUCCUUCAUGACCUUUGUCUGAAGAUCAUUAUGUCCUAAAGAAAAUAAUGUUUCGAAGGACGAAGGACUUUAACCUUUAACAUUUUGUGUUGCCUUGUUCUUAAUUCAUAGCAUUUGAGAACAAGUCCCCAACAUUGGCGCCCACCUCCGGUGAACUCUUUCGACCACCUUCGGCAAGCACUAACCUUCGUCAUGCCGCCGAAGAAAGCUUCAGCGCCAGGGACUGCUGCACUGCAGCCACUGGACCCAAACCAGAAAACUCUUUCUCUCCGAGAGGCUCGAAGCCAGAAGAGGAAGGCCACCAGUACACCACUCCAAGAGGAGGAGUUGGACCAAGAGAUCAGGGACAUAGAAAUAAUUCAUCAGCAAGUACAAAGGAAGAAGGAGAAGAUGGCACGGUUGGUUGAUCUUCAAAGGAAGAUCGAUGAAGCUACUGAGCGCCACCUUGCUCAAGAUGAACAAGAUCGAAGGCCCCAACAUAGGGAGCUUCGUCAAGAAGGCUUGUUCAACGAAGAUGGAUGGUAUGAUGAUUUUAAUCAUGAUACCUUUACUUUUGAUGAUGCUUCUCCCUUGGCAGCAGAACUGCAGGCUACCCCCAUGGCCCCCGUCAUACAAGCCACCUCAGCUUCCCAUGUAUGAUGGGCACUCAGAUCCAAAGCAGUUUAUGAUGAGCUACGAAGCAACUAUAUCUUCGUAUAGAGGCAAUACCGCAAUUAUGGCGAAGUCCUUCAUCAUGGCAGUCUAGAAUGUAGCCCAAACAUGGUAUUCUUCUCUUUGGCCAGGGACUAUCACGUCGUGGCAGAAGCUUAAGGACAAGCUGGUUACCAGUUUCCAAGGCUUUCAAACGAAGCCGGUCACAGCUCAGGCUCUGUUCCAAUGCAUGCAAGACCACGAAGAAUACAUUUAGGCACAUGUACGAAGGUUCUUGCGACUGAGGGCACAAGCACCUAAUGUGCCCAAUGAAAUUAUCAUCGAGGCCAUGAUCAAGGGACUUAGGCCAGGACCUACUGCUCAAUAUUUUGCUAGGAAGCCCCCACAAACUCUGGUGAAGCUGCUUCAAAAGAUGGAUGAGUACAUCCGGGCUGACAACGACUUCCGUCAAAGAAGGGAGGAAGCUUACAGAUUCUCGGAAAUGACUAGGGGCUUCAGAGGAAGAAUCCACUCGAGGCAUGUCAGGUCAAUCCAUAAUUCCACUCAGAGUGACGACAAAGGAAGUCAGCCUCAGAGGUCACAAUACACCUCACAAUCUUCGGGGCAACAACAAAGCUCUUUCAGGCCACCAGCUCCAAGAGGCAGAGGCGCUAGGGGCUUCGGGGGAAGAUUUGGGGAUCAGCCUAGAAAGAUCUACUGCUUAUUCUGUGGUGAGGACAAGGGCCAUACUAUAAGAAUGUGCCAAAUCACCAUUCAGAAGCAAAAGGAGAUAGCAGAAGCCGAAGCUUGGCAGAACCAGCCGAAGCAGGUCUUGCACACUGCUUUGUGCCACUCUCCCUAUAUAUUAGAGUAUGUGGGCAAUCAUCCCACAGCUUCUGCUGCUUCGGCUAGUCACUCACAGGCUUCCUGGCCACAACUCCCACCCCCACCACCACUACAGCCGACCUACUCUCGAAGCCAGCCAGAAGGGCGCCAGUAUUCUCAGCAGCAACGUGAAGUCAGGGAGGAAUCCGAAGCUCGCACCGUCAAUAGUACUGUGCCAGAAUUAAAGCACAUUUAUUGAGCGAUAUCCUACCCCUGAAGUACUUUUAUACGUCAUUUUGUUUUUCAAUAAGGAACAAACAAUGCAGAACUAGUUUUAAUUUCUUAUAAUAGUUUCACUUUUAUCAGAAUGAAAUAUAUCUUCUUCAAAUAUUUACUAAGCUCAAAAAUUGCUGAAGCUCAAAGGUCGUUCCUAAGGCAAUGCAGAGCUAAAAAUCGCAGCCAAAGUUUCGCCGAAGCUACAAAAAUCUGUUCCUAUGGAGCGCAGCGUAAGUUUCGCCGAAGCUACAAAAAGCCGUUCCUAAGGAGCGCAGCGUAAGUUUUGCCGAAGCCACAAAAAGUCGUUCCUAAGGGAGAGCAGUGUAAGUUGUCUGCUCAAAAGUCAUUCCAAAGGGAAUACAGAGCAAAAUACCGCCGAAAUAUAAGGCGAAGAAGUUCAAAAGACGUUCCUAAGGGGAUGCAGAACUUACACCGAAAAGUUAACGGUGAUACCGCCGAAAUAGAAGGCGAAGAAGUUCAACAGACGUUCCUAAGGGGAUGCAGAACUUACACCGAAAAAAUAAGCGGUGAAGCCGAAAAAUAAACGGCAAAGAGACUUCGAUCGUUCCUAAGGGGACGCAGAGAUGGUGUGUUCCAGUGUGGGCGUGUGGGUGCGUAUCUUCAGCAUUAGCAUCAUCCUUCGCAUCAUAUCAUCACAUCAUCCCGCAUAGCAUCACAUCAUACAUCAUAUUGCACCAAUGACACGAAUUGAAUAUGAAGUCGACCUUUGGAGACUGCUUUAUAAAAAAUGAAAAUGUGCUAAGGCACAAAGUUAGCUGAGAAAUACAGCUUCAUCAGCUCUAUUGCAAAAGAAGGGAUCCUUUGUUUACAAAGCUGGGAUGUUUUUACGAAGCAUAGAUAUUUUCACGAAGCAUGGAUUUUCUUCUUCACGAAGCAUGAAAGGAAGGGAAGAUGUUUUUUCGCCGAAGGCUCAAAAACGGUAUGUAUAUAAAGUUUCAUGCAUCACAAAGAACUAAAUUACAAAUAAUUUACAUAUUAGAUUCAAAAAUAUGCACGUUGAAUGUUACAGUCUUGAUACAGCAAAGCUACAUUGAUCAUCUAAAAAUGUUUUUACAAUAAGUAUCAGUCCUCUUUCAUGACCUUUUCCGCAAUUUCAUUUAACAACUUGUUAACAACUCUGUUAAUGAUAGAUUCAGCUAUAUUGAUGAUCUCUAUUGCUUUCUUCGUUUCUGGGUCGGCCAGGGGGUCGAACGGUUCCGGUGGAGGAGAUAGUUCAGCUGCAGUAGAAAAAAUUAAUCAGUUCGAAGUCACGAAAACAAACGACGAAGCUAAAGGUCACAAAACAAUACCUAUUCGUCUCUCUCGUUCUGCAGCUUCCUCAGCUUUUUUCGCUUCUUAUCGAGCGUCAUGAAUAUCUUUUUCACUUUUCUUCAUUAUUUCGUGAGUCAUUUCUCGGCCGCCAUUUGCCCAGAUGUCAGUGUAAAAUUUUCCGCCCAUUAAACUUGCUUCGGCUGAGGGAUCCUUUGUGUCAUCCACGAAGAAGGCAGCUUCGGCCUGGGCCAGGGCUUUGACAUGAUCGCAACCCGCCUUCUCCAAGAUGGCUGAAAUUCCUCUUGCACCUGAGAACGCGCAGACAUCCCCGCGAUCACUUAAAAUUUCUUCAAAAGCUUCAGCCUCUCCGCUUAUCCAUUCGAUAACGCCUUCAGGGUCGCCUCGUAUAAAGUUAUCUUCAUUGGAAUAGGCGCCCACGUUGGCGAAGCUAGCCUUUAUCUUCUCCAUGCAGCCCAGGGAUUUUUCGAAGCAUCUUUCUUUGGAUGUGCGAAGUUCUGCAACUAUUUUUUCUAAAUAAUUUCUCCAAUAUUCACUAAUAUCUCGGUUGGCCUCUGCGAGACCACAUUUUUCUUUGGCUUCGGCCAGCUGUUUUCGAAGGUCUUCAACCUCAUUCUUUUGAAUUUCAGCUUGAGCCUUGAAAUUAGCUUCAUCUUCUUUUACUUUGUCCACCAAUGAAAGUAGAAUUUUGUCUUUUUCCGUGGCUUCGUUUCUCAGCCUGAUAACCUCUGUUCGAAGGUUGUUGAGAGCUAUAGUGCAGCAUUCGUCUUCAGCAUUCUUUUGCGCCCUUAGGGCGUUGCUAGGUAUUAAGCCCUGCAAGAAAGAAUAAAAAGGAUUAACAUGAGAAUAAAAGGCUUCAUUUCAGAAUUCAUAAGCUUCAAAAUUCACAAUUUCGGUACCUUCAGACUGUUGUAUGCAAGACUAUCUACGAGAUCGGCCUUCGUCAUGGCGCAAAGGACAGCUUCGAGCUUCGGGAAGCCCAUACUUCUGGCCAUCUCCCGGCAGACGGAUAAUUCUUUGUUGUCAGGGAGGCAGUAUAAAAAGUCAUCUUCGGUUGUACCAUUCAAUACUAGGGCUCCCCUCGGAUACUGCAAUUCCCGAGCAUAAUGUUUGGCUUCAGAAAUUUCUUCUUCGGAUAGUCUUUUUCCUGAAGCAUGUCUAACGAUAUAAUCAAAAUCUUCGGAGAGUGCUUCAGGAGUAAGGGAUUCGGCUUCGUUGGCCAUACUUUUCUCAAAAGCUAUAUUAGUAUCUGGAGUUAUUCCUUUGGCCCCCUGCUCGGUUGGGGCAAGCUUUGUCUCAACAGGCACUGAGGGCCCCGCCUCGGUUUCAGCCAGGGUUAUUGUAGCUUCAACAUCUAUUUUCUUAGUAUCAGCUUUGGGUUGCGUUUUGUCAGCUUCGGCAACCUUCCCUUUGGGAGCGAGACUUAUGGAGUCGGUUGUUUCCAGUACAUCUAAUACAUUUACCAUCCUCCUUCUUCUAGGAGUUAUGGCAGAACUUUUUUGUGCUUUCAGCGCUGUUGCUUCUGUUGAAGGACUUAAAAUCCCUGGCAUCUUUGUUACUUCUUCAGUUUUUGACCUUUCAGCUUUAUCUUUGUUAACCUUCGUUUCAACUAGCUCAACCGAAGGUGCCUUCGGCAUUAUAGCCGGCUCUUCAACCCUCUGCAUGGGAGGAACAGUUUCUCUUGAUUCAGCAGCUGAAGAAACCUCCCCGUCAAACUCGGGCACCACAGCCGGUUCAAUGUAACGCGGUCGGUGGGUAAGUACCUUCAUAUUUUUGCCCGCAGCCUUCGGCACAGACUCAGCUGGGCGGCCAAAGCAGCAGCUUUCCUCUUCUUCCCUUGCCCCCGCAGCGGAUAGCGAUAGUUGGGGUAGACAAAGCCAAUAGCAUCAAAAACUCUGUUCAAUCUCUUCUUUCCCCGACUCCCGAAGGCUGUGGAUAGUGCAUUAUCUUCUGCCUUGGAAUAUGAUCCAAGCAGUUCAUCACUUGUAACUUCGAUGCAUUUCAGCCAGUCAUCGUUUGGCUCAUCAAAUUUAUCCCCAUACCAGAAUGUAUAUUUCAGCCGGACCAGUUCACCUUCGCUAGACUUGGUGAUGGCCUCUUUCGGCAUUUCCCAGUUUUCUACAAGCGGCCAUCCUCUGAAUGCUAUAUGCUCUUGAAUUAAAUCUCUUGUACCAAUGAAGAAGUAGACAGUACCAAACGCCUUCUGACACUCUUUGGCGGCGUCAUCAAUUCCAACCUUUGGCUUUCGGAGACCGAAGCGGGACCAUAUGGGGCGCAUAAUAACCUCCUUGAUGUCCUCCCUCGCUGUCAAGUCGUUCUUCACAUAAAACCAUUCUUCCAUCCAAUUUCCGGGCCAUCUCUUCCGAAAUGUUGGCACUGGGUGCCUGGCAUUGGGACGGGCGAUAAAUCCAUAACAACCGAAGUUGUUGUGAUACUGUUCCUUACCCAUGGCCUUCGUCUCAUACAGAAGUUCGUGCAUGCUGCAGAAGCACUUCGCGCUUGGCUCUAUCCCUUAGCUUCUUACUGCCCAGACGAAGACUCCCAUCCUCAAUAUGGCUUCGGGGGUCAACUGAUGAAGGAAAAUUUGGUAGGUUUUCAACACUUCAACUACAAACUUGCUCAACGGGAACUGAAGACCAGCUUUGAAGAAGCUUCGGAAAAUCACAACUUCGUUCUCCUCAGGAGCAGGAACGUUGUUAUCUCUGCCAGGCCUCACAAUAGACAUAUCUCGAAAGUACCUUCCCCUCAUGUUUUCGAGGUGACUUUGCUUGAUGGUCGAUUUUCCGAAAAUUGCAUGACUUGGUCUCCAGGGUUGAUCCUCGGAAUCUUUGCCCCCACUUUCCGCAUCAUAACUGUCACUGUCACCAGUAUCUUCAGACAGGCCUUCCAGUAUCUCCUUAGUAAUCUUCUCUGUAUUUGUUUUUGCCAUUGACUCGAUAAAUCCAGCAAUGUAAGGAUUCACAUCCUUCUUCUCCUCAAAAAGCUUCUCCUCUUCAGUUAGCUUCAUCUCAGCAGUAGUCUUCUUGUCUUGAGACAUUUCUUCUUCAGAGAUGGCGAAAAUGCGUCUUUUUAACCGAAGCUCACAAGCUUGUGAAACUAGGAAGCGUUAGUGAGCAAGAGCUAUGAAAUUGAGAAAAUAAAGCAAAUAGCACAAGCAGCGUAUCAAAUAUGGUUGGUGCGAGUUCUUAUUUAUACGCUCAGCAUGCUCCAAAUUGGGGGGCCCAUCUGUCAUUGAUCGUUGCUAUUCUAGCAAAGGGAAGGUGUUUUUUCGGACCUUCGGCGUAAGGCCUUCGCCCAUGUCGCAGUCUGAAUUUGUUAUCUUAAACAAAUUAAUACUGCGAGGGGCUACUGUUGGGGGCCUUCGUCCUUCAAAGGUCCUCAAAAACAUAAUUUAACAAUGUUUUCCAAGUGUAACAUAUGAACAGGUACCUUCUGUCUUGGAUUAAAGGCAUAUACAGUAUGGAAAGCAGGAUUGGAACGAAGGGUCGAACCAGCGUCGAAGCUGCGCGUGAGAAAGCUUCGACUCAAUAACAGAAAGAGAAACCGACUUAAGAAGGAAAAGGCUAUCUAGUCCUCGACAGUUUGUUCUUAAGUCAAUAGUGAAUAUGAAGGGCAUUAAUGUAAUUUCACACAGGCUGCGUCCUGUGCCUAUAAAUUAGAUGAACAGUACUCCCGUACUGUUCACGCUGAUUUGUACUCGCUUGUGCAUCACGCUUGUACUCUUUUCUUCUGUCAAGCCGAAGGUACAAAAGUAACUUUGUAUUAUUUCUAUUUAUUCAUAAUAAUAUGAUAGAAGAUGAAUUAAUAAUGUUAUAUAAUCGUUCAUGUUAUCUUCUGUGUUUUACAUGGUUAUCCUUUCGUUAGUAUAAACUGCAAUCAUGAAGGUAUGUUCUUUUAUGACCUUCGUCUGAAGAUCAUUAUGUCCUAAAGGAAAUAAUGUUUCGAAGGACAAAGGACUUUAACCAUUAACAUUUUGUGUUGCCUUGUUCUUAAUUCACAGCAUUUGAGAACAAGUCCCCAACAGGGCCCAUGCAAGGACGUUGGUGCUAUCCAAUCGAGAGAUGUCUAAAGACUAUUCGAAAGAAAUGUAGAAAUAAAUUCUAGAGGAGGUGUCAAACUUCACAACAACUUACUAUGGUGACAAAUUGCCGAGCAUGCAUAAUCCACCCCCUCGUUACAAUGAUGGCGACAAUAAAUCGAACCUCAACAUAUUUUGAGGCCAACUUGGAAGUGCAAGUGGUUCGACCACCAAGACCCUAACACAUGAAGAGUGGCGCCAUAUCAUGCUAUAUGUAUUGACCAACCUUGAAGAGGUGACGCCAUAAAUGGAACAAUUUGUUCAUGCAUUCUGGCGUCGAUCAAGGGACCCAACUCCACAGGAAUAUGAUACCCUUCUUAUAAAGGGUGCGAGAAAUGGAUUGCUCGAUUUCAUUUCCUGGUUCAAACAUAAGGUACGUGCUUAGUUUGUUAAAGAGAUCCGUCUAUGAACUCAAUUUAGCGUCUUUUAACUUGUGAAUACUUGCAGGACCAAAGAGGAUGUCUAUGAGUGCCGAGUUGAGACAAGUAGCCAACGACUUUGCUUAUAGGGUCAAGAAAUAUUCUGGGUAUGACGUCAAUGGAUACCAUUUUCGCACAACAUGCUACGACCAAAGUCAACCCAAUCGAAAAACAACGUGUUCUAGAGUCUUUACGCCCAGCCUUGACGAGGUCGAUUAUUUUGGACGAAUCGAAGAAAUAUAUGAACUCAAUUUUCAUGGUUCCAAACCUCUUACUCCAAUGAUAUUCAAAUGUCAUUGGUUUGACCCUCAAGUGAUGAGACGAACACAUUCUAAUCUUGGGAUAGUCGAAAUUCGACAAGGUUCCACCUUACCAGGAGACGAUGUCUAUAUCGUGGCCCAAUAGGCCACACAAGUGUAUUAUAUCCCAUAUGAGUGCCAAAUGAAAGAACAUCUUUAGGGUUGGGAUGUUGUGCAUAAGGUAUCGCCGCACGGUAAAUUACCUCUUCCUAAUGAUGAAGAUUAUAACUUAGACCUAGACACAUAUGAUGUAGAGUUCUUACAAGAAGAUGGGUUAGAAGGGUGAUUUGAGAUAGACUUAACCAUAGCUAUCAGAAUGGAAGUAGAUAUUGAAAUGGUUGUUGAUGAGGAGGAUGAUGAUGUGCAAAAUCAGAAUGACUUAGUAAUAUUUGAAGGCAAUGACAUUAAUGAUGAACUUGCGCCUUCGGAUGGUGUUGACUAUCAAAUGGUUGAUAGUGAUGAUGAGAGUUAUGGUCCGGCUAAACCCGACCCAUAUGAAGAUUAUUUUUAAUUGAUGUAAUGCUAUAUUUUUUUUAUUUCGCACCUGUUUCUAAAUACAUCUUUUUAUAUGUGCUUAUUUGUUUACUCUUAAUUGCAGGUUGUUGGAAAAAGAUGGUGGGCCGUUGGCCGAGGACAAGGAGGGGGAGGAGGAGCACCCGUAGGACGGUGGAGGAGGCAUAGCAGGACGACGACGUCCAGCAGCAGGCCGAUGUCGAUGCGGUGCAAUAGGAUGACGACGACGCUCAGUAGGACGCCUCAGGUUCUGGCGCCUUAGGUUCGAGGAACGUCUACUUGCAAGGUCCCGCGAGUCUCCCUCAUCGUCCCAUACUUCGAGACAGACAGCCGCUGAUUCGGCCGGAUGGGGAGAGGCAUGUAACUUUAUGUUCUCCAUGCUUGUUCAUAUUAUGUGUUCAAAUUCAUAAUAUAAACUAAUACUUUUUAUUUAUCACUUGGACAGGUCUUGGAUGCUUGGAUGGUUGUGGAGAAUGCUGGGGGUCACGGCCGCAACCCCAAUGGCAUCCUCGACCUACUGUGCAGGGAACAUUUCCAUUAGACUGGUUGAGUAUGUCGGAGUGACGGACCCAGCCUAAACCUUCGAUCACUACGCCGUCGCCCCCGAUGCAGUACAUCGGGACGACAGGGCAACAACAUGGUGGAGCGGGUGAAGUAAGAGCUGUAGGUAAGUCUUACUAUAAUGUAAAAUAUGUUGCAUACGUUGCACAUUCUUAAAAUAAUGUAUGGAUACAUCGUCUUUGUAUGCAGGAUUUCUUCAUAUGCGAGGCUGGAUACGAGUCUAGGGCAAAUGUGGUGGCCACCACGAGCUGUAAGAAGCUUGUCGUGGACAUGCACUACGAGGCACGAAUCCAAACCAUCAUCAGCUACCACGGCUCCAUCCUUGGGGAGAAGGUGACCAAGCAGCAAGCCCGAACCAUGUCGUUGAACAGGGACUAGUACUUGCAGGUAAAUACAACACUUUAAUAUCUGUGACAAUAUUUUUCCUUAAUUUUAUUUUCUGAUAUGCAGUGUACAUGUUUACUUUGUAGAUGAUUUCUUAUUGGUACGCCACACAUCCUCAGUGCUGGGAGCAUAUGGUGGAUAGGUGGUGCUCGAUUGAGUGGGAGGAGGCGCAUAACACUAGCAGGGAAUGACGUCUGAUGAUGCAAGGUCCCUCCCACCACCAAGGCAGCUCGAGGCAUAUAGCAACCCCACCGUCUACAGCCGCCUUCAUGAUUACACCACCAUGGCACAAUAGGUCCAUGGACCAGAUUACGAUCCAAGGACCGAGGACAUCGACCCCGAUGUCCUCAUGAGGGUCGGAGGAGGCAAGAGACAUGGGCGGUAUUGGAUUGCCGACGGGGAAAUCGACUCGUAGUCCACUCCCACUCUGUCUCAGGUGCGAGCAAGGAGCACGAGCUCGAGCCCAGCCAUACGACCUCGGCAGGACAUCUCACAUCAUCACAUACAACAACUCGAGGUUAGUGCUUCUGUAACUCGUCAUUCUUUGAGUUAUAUACCUUCUCUUUGAGUCACUAUAACAUUGGCUUGGAAUAUUAUAGACCCAGCUAGAAACAGAGAGGAGGAACAUCAGGAGAUGGAGGCGAGGAUGGCGAAGAUGUUCCAGUACAUACAGAGCCUUGGUGCCGCACAGGGUUUUGCUCCACCACCUUCGUUGUUCCCUACAGUUGACCCUGCUGAGUUCCAUACUCCUGUGAGUAUCAAAAUUCUAGUUCCGCAUGAUAUAUAUUUAUCUGGUAUAACACAUGUAAUCUCUUCUCUGUGCAGGGACAAUCUGGGGCAGCAUCCAACAACCCUCAUGGAUCGCCUAGCCCAUCGCCGCACCAGUCCAGGUGCCCACCUCUUUAGCUAAGUUAUGAUACUUAUGUUGGUGAAACUUGGUAAGAACAUAGACAUGUUUGUGAAAAACAUGUUAGAUUUGUGAAAUAUGUGGUCUCUAUUAUGUAUGUGAUGAUUAUGUGAUAUCUGUGAUGUAUAUGUGAUAUAUCUUUUAUUUAUAUGGAGGGAAUAGAAAAAACAAAUAAAAAGGGGUAUACUGGUCACUUUGUCGAGUGUAACACUCGGCAAAGAGGUGCUUUGCCGAGUGUUAAGGCCAUAGCACUCGGCAAAGAAGGAACACCUGGUCACUGGGAAAGCUUCUUUGCCGAGUGCUACGGCCCUGGCACUCGGCAAAGAAGCAAGCUUUGCUGAGUGUCUCCUAGCGCACUCGACAAAGAAACUAACAAAGGGGCCCACUGGUGGCCUCGUUGCCGAGUGCUGGUCUGGCAAACACUCGGCAAAGAGGGAAACUAUUUGUCGAGUGUCACCUAAUACACUCGGCAAAUGGAUACUCUUUGCCGAGUGUCACCUAACGCACUCAGCAAAGGCUCCGUCACCGUUACAAAGUCGUCCUGACGGCGGUUUUUCUUUGCCGAGUACCGAGUGACACUCGGCAAUGUCUUUGUCGAGUGCUUGAUAAAAAGUACUCGAAAAAGAAACCGUUGUCGAUGUACAGUUCGACGAGCUCUCUUUGCCGAGUGUGAUUUCCAGCCUUCGCCGAGUGCUUCAUACACUCGGCAAAGACACCGAUUCUGAUAGUGAUUUUAUGUGAAGGCCAGAUAUGUUUCUACACAUAGCGUGUGACAGCUUUCACUAAACAUUUUAAAUUUUUCAUCAGAGUCUCCACAUAUGAUAUCAUGACAUCUUGACAAGUUUCAUGAUUUUCUGGCUUUAUUUGUGUCCUAUACAAUCUUAAAACCACUGGAUCGCAAGUUCGUGGUCUUGUUUCGUGAGCAUGGUGUUCGACAAUUCCGGUAUAAUUUUGAAAUAGGCCUUAACUUGUACUAAAUAACAUGAAUAUCAUUUUUGCAUUUUUUGUUUUCCAUUUUUCAUGAGCUAGGUACAUACUCGGCAAAGAGCCGAAUUCCAACAAAGAGCCGAAUUCCGAUAGUUGUUUAUGGUCGAUGAAAAAAACACUAUUCAUGUAUUGUUUGUUGUAGUGUUUGUUGGCUGGAGCGUGAAAAUUAUUGAUGUGCUUGUGCUCAUCUUAUUUUGCUUCGUAUUUUGGUUGGCUGAGCGUCAUUCGUGUUUAUCAAUAUUGCCAUUAAUUGGAGGGGAAUAAUAAAAGAAAUAAGUAUAGUUUAUUGAUAGUCAUAUAUAUUACGAAUACAUCUUAUCAUCAUUUUCAUCAGCAACUGGUCGGCCAGCUAAUAAUACAUCGGAUAUAUAUAUAGCCCUGGCCGGGGUGGGUCCGCAGGCGCGAGCGACGGGUCGGGUGGCGGGGGUGCCACGCGGGUUCACCGGUGUCGUGGUGGGGUCGCACGUGGGAGUUUGCCACAUUUAUGCAUGCUUCUUUUGAUGGCAACGGUUGCAUAAAUCGUCAUAGCGGCACGGUCGAGUCGUGGUCGGGUUGUGGUUCGGGGUUUAUGCUUGUAUAAAUUGACGAUAACAACUGCAUAUCCAUCUGACGCACAAUGUUUACGAUUCUUUACACAACUAUUUAUGCUGCAUAUGAACACGUCGUACACACAACAAUUUAUACAACGUGCGAGGUGUGUUUCGGGGUUAAUGCUUGUAUAAACACACAGUGUUUACGAUCCUUUACACAACAAUUUAUGCUACAUAUGAACACGACGUACACACACUAACCAACCGAUCGUGUGCACACUACGGGUCCCCGCAGUCCCGCGUCGUUCCCCGCUAGCCAACCGAACCAAUGUGGUCAACGUCGAAGACACACCCGUACGACCAAAAUCAACCCACACGUCGCGGCCCCACCGAAACCCUAAUAAAAUCCGUGCCUCGCCGUCGCCAUCACCCGCUCCUAUGACCGCCAACGCCGAGCGCCCCCUCCGCCCCCAGUCGCCCUAAUCUCCGUCCUUGAUCGUUUGCCCUCUAUCGUUCUCCGCCCUAGUUCGUUUUCCCCUCUCCUUCUUCGUUCCAUUUCCCAACAUUCUUUCGCAUAAUCCAGCAAUUGUUUACAAUAUGAAUCAGUGUUUUUCACCGUCCCGGCACCCCCAACUCCUGCAUAUUACCGUCGGCAUCAGGUUCACCACGCCCCAUCCUCAUCCGUCCCAUUUACGCGUUAAUUUCGCAUAAUCCACCAGUUGUAUCGCAUUAUCUAUCACUGUGUGUAGUACUGCCACAUUGAUAAGGGAAAGCGCACCGAUCUUUGAACUGUAUUGAAUAGCAUUCGGAAACACAGGUAAUUUUUUGUAGGAUAUGCUAAGGGCUUCUAAUUUUACAAUUGCAUAAUUGUUUCAUACUGUUGCUUUUUUAUAUAGGUAUUGAAUGUUGUUUAUAAAGGAAUUUUAUAAUUUUAUAAUAGCAAUCAAUAAAUUAGUGAUGUUCUCUUACUGGAAAUGCCCAUCCCAUGUGUUCUUAUUGUUGUUUCCAAGAGUUAUAAUACACCAUUUUAUGUGUGCAGAUGAUGUCGUUAUGUUUUUUUGCCAAAUUUGUUGGUACACACUAUGCACUGCUUUAUUUUGUGCAGAUUACUAUAUAUAAAUGUGUUUUUCACAUCUCUGUUGUUAUGCAUUCCUUUUUUAGAUAUAGUUUACGACAUAUAAAGGUUUUGUAGCCUACAUCCGUUGUUCUGCACAUUAUGCACACUAUACAUAACCUAGCAGUGUCCUAAGAGUAUAGGUAUAUAUGCCUUUUUUAUGCUAUAAUAUUCUUACCUGAAGUAAUCUUUAUUUUACGAAGGGUGUCCUAUCGCAACAUGAAGUCUGUGGAUCAUCCUUUGGCUAAUCCUAAACGUAUAACCAUCGAGUCAAGCUAAGAGUUCUUUAGUGUUGAGAUACCGCAUUUGGCGUCAACUGGAGACCCUCCCAACACAAAUCAUGACGGUCAUCGUCCUGCACCCACCGAGAGACCAUAUGUUAUUCAUGAAGCCACUGACCAAACUAGAACUGGUGAUGACGACGACGAUUUUAUGACACCUAUGAAGAAGCGUAAUGCUACUAGAAUUCCUAACAAAAUCUUACAGAAGACAUGCACAAAGAGGAUGAAAGUAGUCGAAACUUCACGACAGGUUAUAUGUUAUACAUAUUUUUUUAUAUAUUAAAUACUAAUUAGUAUACACUAAGCAUGCGCUGAUACACCAUAUUAAAUACUAAUUAGUAUACACUAAAGAUGAAAGUAGUCGAAACUUCACGACAGGUUACAUGCGAUGAACUGCAGUUACAAUAUCAUAUUGAGUUUGCAACAUUUUGCCACCAUUUUUUUUAUUGUGUACAGACAUGACAUGUAUUAUUUAUCUAGCAAUUAUGUUAUAUUAGUUGCAAACUCAUACAUUCUGUGUGCUAAUUUGAUGGCUGAUACACCAUUUAUUACAAUUUUUCAUACAUUUUUUCAGAAGCUCAACGUGAGAUGCAACCCACGGGAUGUUAUUAUAACCAUUAAGAUAUUGAAUGAGAGGCAAUGACAAGCCGUUGCGAGAAAAUGGUUUUCCAAUAUCCGCGACAUGACAUUUGAUGCACUGGACAACCAAUCUCAUCUUCGGUGGUUGAUGGAUACGUUGGACCACAAGGACAUGACAAUUCAUCCCGGUCAAGGCAAGGAACUAAAGAAUACAAAAGAAACUGUCCACCUAAUCCUUGGCCUACCGAAUGUCGGUGGUGGUAAGCCACUAGGCAUCGAUGAAGCAGUGGCGGGCAAUAACCUGAGGGCUGAACUUGGUUUGUCUAAAGAUGAAUUCGUUGUUGCAUCACUUCAGGACCGUUUGAGAAAAGGAGACGACGAUGACCUCUCCAUUAGAUGCUUCUUUUUUAUAUUAUUCAAUAGGUUGUUUCCCCACGUCCAGCUGGGGCAUAUCUAACCAUGAGGUGUUACUGACGGAAGAAAUGGAUCGCUUCCAUGAGACAGACUUGUGCCACUUAAUUUUCAACGACCUUUGCGAAGCUGCUCAUAAGUGGCAUACAAGAAGCACUACUAACAUGUCCACGACGAUAUAUGGAUGUUCAAUUGUCAUACUAGUAAGUAAAUAAUAUUAGACUGUUCAUUUUUUGGCAAUUCGCAUGGAAUCUAAUUUAUGGUAUACUCAUUAAUAAGUUGUGUUACUUUUUUUAGUUACGCAGUUACCACCCAUGAUUGUAUAAAUUCAUUUUUGAUUUUUGUAGUUGUAUUAUUUGGACCACUUGCAUGACGCUGCAGCCCCCACAACAAAUGUGGCACACCUCGCAUAAAAUUCUUCGAUAAAAACAUUAGCCAAGCACUGACAAAAACUGAUAAGAGGAAGCCAUGCCAAAGCGGGGAACCAUUCGGCCAUUGUGUGGUAUGUCAUUUGUACAAAAAAUAUGAAGCUAUUACUCGGAAUAAAUAUGCAUUUCACUUAUUAUGGGCAUGUGGUAUAUCUGUAGCAUCACUAUUAGUUUUUGUACCAGUCCGCAUAAACUCGCAAUAGACAUCAUAUACGUCAUUUGUUUCACACCACUCAAUAUACUUAUGUGUAUAUUUUAUGCAUUUACAUAUAUUACAAAAAAAUCAGUUCCGAAGCAGCUCAGAAACUUGCUAUUCUGCUGUCCCUACUGUCCAUGUACAAUCCGAGGUUAGUUUAUGACAAAACAGACAUGACAUCCAUGUGCACAACUAACUACUGGGCAUUACAAAUGUUUUAUGUAUAAUUAUAUCCAUAAGUUCUACAUAUUAAUUAUGACUUAUGCAUUAUCAUAUAUUAUUUCACAGCAAAGGGGCAGGACAAACAUUUUUGAUGUCCCUCGUCCCGACCCUUCUGGUCAUCAUACCAUUCAUAUCCAACAUCCAUUAAUCAAGGAUAUGCUUUCAAGUAAGAUCAAGCAGCUCCAAGCACGUGACCGGCCGAAAUUCAUAGAAAAGUUGGUUGAGUACGAUUCCGAAGUUGGCAAAGCGUGUUCCACCAUAAAAAAUACUCUUACCAAGAUGGUUGUGAAGCAGUAUGAAUUAGCGGACACAUUUGCUGAGAUGAUCGAUGAUGCCCAUCGCGCGGAGUCUGUUGAUACAGACAAUGAAGCGGAAGCGCCUCAACCAGCAAAACCAUCAGAUACAUCUCAUCAUCUAUCAUCAGGUGACCUUCCCACAUUGUAACUUUUUUCAAUUUAUGUAGUUUAGUUCACCAUUUUCAGUUGUUUCUGUUCAAUUACUAAAACCUUUUCCUUACAGAGGCAUGCAUACAUUAAUAACUAUGUUUGGAAAUACCCUACAUAGUGCAACUGGCAUUGUUGGGUCUUGAUCUGUAAUCAUAAAUUUACACAACAUUAUGCAACACAUUAAUAACUAUGUUUGCAUUCAAUCCAACGAUAGUAAAUCGUAAUUAUUGAGAAGCUUAUUAAUCUUACCUAUCAGUAUUACUCGUGGUCCUUCAGGCCCCAUGCACAUUUUGAAUGCAUUGAAAACCCACUCGGAUGUGUCUACAGUUUUGUCUCCAAACAACGUGAAACCAAAUACGGUGCACUGCAGAUGGUGGUUACAACCAACAAACAUUCCCAGGGGUUUAUCAUAAAGAUUUGUCUUAUGAGUUGUAUCAAAGGUAACUGCAUCACCAAAGUCAAUGUAAUCUGCCUGCUGGCUAGCAUGGGACCAAAAAAUGCUCAAAAUCUUUCCUUCUUUGUCCAGCUGGAAGUCAGAGAAAAAUUGUGGGUUAUCUUUUUUACACAAUGCAAAAAAGAGAGGAUCUUAGUCACAUCAUUGGCAUUUCUUUCUCUUUGUCGUGCUUUCUUCUUGUCAACAUUAAACAAUAUAUCAUACGUCAAUACGUUCAAAACGUCAUUAUGUAAUAACUAGGUGAGUGCCCGUGCGUUGCAACGGGAACAUAUAAUACCAUUAUAACUUAUAUAUAAAUAUACCCUUCCGUUGCUACGAAAUCAAUAUAUGAUAAAAUACAUUGAUAUGCAAAAACAUUAAUUGUUAUUUAAUACAAAACAACAAUACCCUAAUUAAAUGCAAUGAUUCUUGUGCACACAACAUUACUGUCACUCCUUUAUUAUACUUUUUUUGUCUAGAAUCAGAUGCUAGGAUUAUUUUAGACUCACACAUCAAAACGACGAGCUUUAUGGGACAAAUGCUUCGAGGACGAUAGCUUUUUCGGGACAAAGGGAGUGGUAGGUAAAAAUAGAAAUGAUCUGGUUUGAGUUUUGUAUUGAAUAAAAGAGCUUUUGAUCUAAAACAAUUGUUAAUUUUUUAUCGCUUUCAUUGACUUUUGCCUUUCAUAAUACAAAAACAAGUUCGAAAGCCGAAAAAGUGUCAAAUGCUCAGGCUCCCGACCAGCCUAUAAGAGAGUCUUGCCAGCCCACGGCCACGAGGGAGGCCCAGCAAAACCAACCCUAGUCGCCGUGUGAACGGACCGAGCGCGCCGCCAGCCCUCUUGUUCCGACUUGACGAAGAGUUGAUGCAGAUCUGAUCUCACAGUAACGUCGAGAUAGAGCGUGCUGAUAACGUGUUGAGAACUACGUCACCACGGAUCACCAGAUCCGUCCUCUUCUCUCCCGUCAACAGUAGAGGCGUAAGAAGCUGUAGAAGACCUGUCUCCCUUCCCAUAAGCACGACAGAAGAAACACACGAGACACAAGGUAUAGGGUUGGGCCUCUGGCCUCUUUCUCUUCUCUGUAUUAUGAGGGGGUGUACAGGUUCCUUAUAUAGAGAUGUGAGACCCCUCAGAGGCAAAGCAGGUCUUUGCCCACAUAACCCUAACUAGGGUUACUUAACAAUUCCGUCCAUUGGUCUACCCGCUAGGUGCUAGUGCCGGUAGCUCGCCACUCCUCCGCUCGCCCGGGUCCUGAUGCUCUCAUCCAUUGUAGUCGCUGGAAGCUUGUUGUAGCUCGCUAGCUAAAUGGUUAGAGCUACUGCACUGAGUCGAGAUGUCUCCGUACCCACGCUUACUCCUAUCCUUCAAAAUCACGACGCCACUAAUCUAAAGCCCUAAACCCAUGAUGCAGUUGCCGCACCACCUCCCUCUCCAUCGCCAGUACCCCAGCCUCGCCUCCGUCGCCUAUGGGGCAACAGCCUAAGUCGCCCGCGUCCCCAUCCCCACUGCCAUGCUCGCCCUCGGACUCAGACCCGGACCCAGGCAGCGGCUUCGACCCCAUCGAGGAGUGGUUCGUGGACUUUGACUCGGCCAUGUCGAGUGAGCUAGAGGCCAAGGGCCCCGAACUCGCUGAGCAAGCGGCGGCGGUUCCGCACACGCUGGAGACGGCAGCGCAAAAGAGCUUCGAGCUCGAGUUUGGUGUGAAGGUCUAGAAUGUCAAGGUGGUGAGCAGCGAAUUGGACGGGUUGCUUGCCCCAGAUCACCUUCUUGUGUCUGGGAUCGGCGAUUUGGCCGUGAGAGAGGAUAUUCUAGAGGAAGCAGUUGCUAUGAAGAUGGCUGCCACACCGCUUGCAUCUGCUGAUACUGAGAUGAAUGCCACGGUAUCCGUUGAAGUGGAAUCGGAAGGUGGCAAAGAAGGGCAGGAGGCACUGGCCGCACCUGCUGAUGAUGAGAUGAUGAAUACCAUGGUGUCCGUGGAAGUGGAAGCUCAAGGUGGCAAGGAAGACCAGGAGAGCAGCGAUGAAGAGUCGGAAUCAGAGAGUAGCGAGGAUGAUGACGAGUUGUCAUCCAGCGAGGACGAGAAAGAGCAGGGGGUCAACAAGGAUGAGGAAUCAAGUGAAGCCUCAAGCAGCAAAGAGGAAGGGCGGGAACUUAGGAGGCAUGGUGGUAAGGCUGAUAACCCUCCGACGUGAUGAAGUUGAUCACCUUCCCCUGGGAGUCGUCGAGCACACGGAGGAUGGUGACGUCCUCGGACACCUCAGCGACCAUGGCUCCCUUCGCCGUCCCCUUGAUCCACUCGCUGAGCGCAGGGAACAAGGCCACCACUCUCUUCGUGAAGGUCCAACGGGUGAUGAAGUCCAGCCAUGGCGACCUCAGCUGCAUGCAUUUUGGACACCGGAAACGGAAAUCAGAACCGUCGUGUGACUCUCUCUGUCAGUGAUAGGACGGUACUAUGGCCGAUGGGCCGGGGAGCCGGCGGAAGGCUGUGACCUGGAGGACGGCAAUCCAGAAGUGACCGUCUGACCCGAGACGAAUGUUGUCCGGCGGAAGGCUGUGACCUGAAGGUCGACGAAUGUCUCUGCCUCACCGGCCUUAUCCCCUUUUAGCCAAACUUUUGAUGCACCUGAACCUGCAGCAUGCGAGCAGUCUAUGAUGACGAUCUAAACUCUGAGUGGUUCGUUCGUUCAGUUCACCUCAUGCUCGUAGACGGCGACGAAGGCCUCGUCCCUCGACAGCGCAACGCCAUUGGCGAAGCCGAGUCGGUCGAGCACGACGGACGUCUCGCCGCUGCGGGUCGUACCAGAGUAGGCGGCCGGUGGAGCUGAACUCUAGGACGUCGUGGAACCACCAUCGAAGCCUAACUUGGUGCUAGCGUCGCUGAAGUAGACCGUGCUGUUAGAGGCCUCGAUCGCUGCAUCCACGAACCUGGUGGCGAACGGCCGACUGGCGGCGCUGAUGCAGCUGGGGUUUGGGGGGAUGGGGUGCGUCGGAUGGGGCUGGUAGUGGCGGUGUAGAUUUAUGGAAGGCAGAACCAGGGGAGGCAGGCUACUCCCUUACAGCCUUAAUAUAGUAGUAUAUAUAUCAGUGUAAAUAACAAUUUGAGGCUAGAUGAAGCCUGCUAGAUGUAGCUUUUUUGGUGAUGAAGCUUCUAUAAUAUUCAGUAGUAUGCUAAAAGCAAAUGGUUAGUCGUGCUUUUGAGGACCUUCGGAAGAGGAAGGCCCCCAACAUCUACCUCCAUGAACCUAGACGAUUUACACUUCGGACAAUACUUUGCCUCUGUCUAUUCUUCCCUAAAUAGCACACAGUCCUUCGGACAAGCAUGUAUCUGCUCAUACGUCAUCUUGAGUGCACGAAGGAGUUUCUGUGCCUCGUACAUGCUCUUUGGCAGAACGUGAUCCUUCGGAAGCAGGCUGCCAAUAACUGUCAUCAAACCAUCGAAUGUGUCUCGACUCAUGUUGUACUGCGACUUGAACGCCAUUACACGCACAAUGGCAUCCAGUUCAGAAACAUUUGUCUAGCCAUGAAGUGGCUUCUGUACCACAUCAAACAUGUCUUAGAAUGCCUUUGCGGUCAGCUUUGGCUCGUCCUCCGUACGUUCUCCGACGAACUGUGCCUCGUGAUAGUCGUUCAACAUUAUCGGUACCCCAGCAUCAACACCAUAAUCCUCGACACGUUGUCUCACCACCUACUCUCUCAUACAAUGCGCUUCACCAUGGAAGAUCUACCGAGUAUAGUCUGGUGUAAAUCCAUUCUUCUAAAUAUUUUCUGCCAUGGCUGUCACACCCGGUUUUGGAAGGUAAACCGAAUGCGAACCAUAUACGUGCCAGGAUCAGAACUCACGUACACAACGAUUACAUAAAUGGCUCAUCAUAGCACAAUGCUUCGAAUAAUAAUAAAGAGUAAGUAAUAAUAUUAUAGACUAGAGCCAUUUACAUAAUAUGGAUCAAAGUGCACAUAAUAGAAACGUAGCCAACGUAAACAAACCAACCACAGGCAGCUGACUGGGGGAGGUUGCUAGCCUAAUCCUCAAACUCGUCGAAGUCCUGGAACUCCUGGAGAUCCGCCUCGACACCUUCUUUACCUGAGCAUAGAUUGCACCAAAGGCAACCUGAUGUUUUGUGAAAGCAAGGGUGAGUAACAUCAACGUACUCAACAAAUGUCUCGUUUGGCUGAGGCAGACUAGCUUUAUGUGGAGUUAGGUCAAAGCAAUUGCUUUUAGUUGGUCAGAUAAUUAUUAUUAGUGGGAGCCAAGUUUUAGCAAUAACCAAGUUAUUAACCCAAAAGUACUCUUUCCAAACGGAAAGAAUACCAAAAACCAUAAUCAUAAUCAUAAUCACAAUAGAAACCAACAUUAUCCUAAUCAUCAUCUGUAAACAAAGUAGCCCUGAUUCAAUGUGUCUCUAAUCAAUGGAGUUCCCAAGGCCGCUCAUAACCGCGAGCACUUUACCCACAAGCCGUGAUUCCCUUUCUAGCCCGGGCUUGCAAGACCUUUAUUCACUCCCGAGGUGAAUGGCCAAGGAUUCACUAUGAAGCCUUUACAAAGAUUCCCUGAGGCUGUAGCCGCCCGUUAGGUCUCCUAAAUGUACUGCACUCCUCCCCAAGGGGCAAUCCACCCUCGGCAGAACGAGCCGCAUACACCGAGCCCCAUUGACGGCACGACGACGAAGCGAGCUUUGGCAGAACCACCCGGAUUAUUCAAGCUUAAGUGCCCAAGUCGCACCCUUAAAGGCAGCAACACACUUAAAUCGGAAUAACCCGUCAGUCCCUCGAAUCUAGUUCGAUAAAGCCACUUAUCCAUGAUCGAAUACCACUAGCUCACUCGAAGGUGAGGCACAGAGAAAUACAAUAAAGCAUAAUACCACAAAUUUAAUAAGUAUCAGUAGUAAUUACAUUAUCAGAGUUUCAGAAAUAGUAACAAUAGUUUUUAAUGCAGCGGAAAUAACUAACGGAGAAAACCGAGUAACAUGGCGAAGCCUGGCCACGCUACUACUCCCGGUCCUCUCCUGCAGAAGCAGUAAACCACUCGACCGUCUAUCCCGGUGGCAGGGAUGGAGGCCAAGUCACACCAUCAACCAAAACAAGGAGGUACCUACAAAAAUUAUGCCACAAGCAAGGCUGAGUAUACUAAUACUCGGCUAGACUUACCCGGUGUGAGGAGUCUACUCCUCUACCUCUAGACCAUGCAGCUGUUUGGCUGAGGGGUUUGGUUUGCCAAAAGCACUAGCUGAGUCUAAAAACAAGUUUUAGCUUUUCCAAUUCUAGUAUCAUUAGUUUAGCUAAGUUUGCUCUUUCUAAGCAUACAUGAUAACAAUCAUUAUAUCAAUCAACAUCUUUUGCCAGUAUCUCAUUUCCACUUAUUACUCAAUGCAGUACAAUGGAUCAAGCAGUCUCAAUAGCUGCGAGAAGCAGACGAUUCGAAUCGAGUUUUAACCUUGCAAGGUAAACCUAAACACACGACAUGUCAGGGCACUCCAUCCCCCACACACGUCAAUCGUCCCCAUCGAUUCCCCUUUCGCGGCCAGGCCUCACCACCUUGCAGUGGCCGCACUUGUAUCCACCAUAUCUAGAAUGGGAGACCCAGUCUCAAAACAAGUGAGGGGUAAAGUCCGCGCCCGGCUUCACUCAGGUACUAGGCUUACCGGUAACCAUAUUUCUCGAUAUGUGUUUAGUACGUUCAAACGCUUGACACAGGUAUCCGCACGUUAAUCCUUAUUCCAAUUUCGUCUCGUAGACAGCGCAUCCCCAUGGAUCCGAGUCCACAGACCAUCAUCAUUCUGUUAUCAAAAUGGAUACAACCAAUUUCAGACCUCGUGCGAGUGCUAGAAAAAUCACUCGACUUCUACCGAGAUCCUGAUUUAGCAUAGCAGCUACUCGACCUAGCAUACUAGUAUCCAUCUCAAAAGGAAUCCUGAGUUCAUGCAAUUAGGGUUUCAGGCAACUCCUACACUUAAGUGCACGGUACAAGCCUACAAACAUUAAGUGCAGUAAAAUAGCAUAUAUAACGGUUAUGCAUAAAACCGGGGCUUGCCUGGAAUUCAAUUCUCAGAUAGUGUCUGCUAGAUGACACUCGCUUGGCGAGCAUCCACUAGUUAAGUCCAUCAGUCUUCAGGUCUUCCACCAACUGCAUCUUGUGGUUGGUACCAUAUCACUUGCAUGAUCAUCAUCUCUCGGUCCUAAAUGAGAUGCAAGAUGCAUAUGUAUGAAUAUAAUGAAAAAUAUCACAAGACAUUCAAAUACCUGGUAGCGAACUAACACUAAUUAGUAAGAUACUGCAACGACUAUACGCAAGCGCUAGCUAGUCGUACGUUAUCGGCGUUCAUCAUUAACACUAUUAUAAAGACGACAACAUUUUAGAUACUUACGCAACAUAAAUACGAUAUCACAAUCAACUAGAGAAAGAAACAUAUAAAUCGGGACACAUAUGUUAUCUCAAACUUAGCCAUGACAAGUCUACAUUAAUUAAGAGCUAACCAAACAUUUUUAGCAAAAAGGGUGAGCUAAACAAUCAAAUGCCCGCAUACAGAUUUUUAGGACAGCAGCACAGCAAUUACUUGUUUUAAUUACAAAUCUUCAAUUAUUAAUCCAAAACUAGCAAACUAGGAUUUUCUGGAAAGCUUGAAAAGUGUUCUACAACUUUGGUAUUUUUACCUCAACAUAAUUCAACACUUAGUAAGGUCAAAAAGUGUUAACACAACAGCUCUGUCCAGAUUUGGACAGAUUCAGACUUGCGACUUUAAAAAUCCAUAACUAGAGAUUCAGACAUCCAAAUAACGUGAUCCUAGACUUUCUGGAAAUAUAAUGAAAUUGUCUACAAAUCAUUUAUAAACAUCUCAAGGUGAUUCAAUAUGAAAUUUAGGAGAAAAGACAUUAGAAGGCUUUGUUGUCCAGAACUGGGCAGAUUCAGUCUUUACACUUUAAACACCUAUAUCUUAACCUUCAGACCACCAAAAAGAGUGAUCCAAGACUUUUUGGAAAGCUCAGGAAAAGCACUACAUAACUUUUAUAAUCACCAAGAAGCGAUUAUAUGUUUAACCAAGUCAAACAAUUCAGUUUUCGAAAUCUGUUCUGACAGUGGACAGAACACAGCAACCAGUUUGUAAAAUUCAUAACUCUUAAACUAUCAUUGCUAUGGUGAUGAAAUUUUAACACAAGAAACAUAAGAAAAGCAUCUACAACUUUAUUAUAACGACCAUGAACAGAUUGUAAGAUUAAAUUAAGCAAACAAUGCAGUUUCUGAAAUCUGUACAGAAAGUGGACAGAUUCAGUCACUGAAUUUGUAAACGAUCAGACUUAUGGCUGUCAAAUUUUAACACAAGCAAGAUAAUAAAGUUAUCUACAACUUUUAUAUAUAGCUUUUCUACAGAAAAUAUGAUUUAGUUCACUAAACCUACAGCACGACGAAAACAGUGCGUGCAGCCCAAAACAGCAACUUAUAAAAUUCAGCUCCUAAUUACUUCAAGAAUUGUCGUGUUCUAGAGACUUGAAUUAUUCUAACAUUUUACUAUUUGUUAGAGUUAAAACAAUCAAAUUAGGACCAAAAGUAGACUUACUAAUUUUUACAAGUUAUUUCGCGCGUUAGAAUUACCGUACACAAUCAACAAACACAUUUAAUCAAACCCGGUAUAAAUGUGUAUAUCAAUUGCGCCCUUCACACACUAAUUUGCAUUUUUACUUAGACAUCACAUGAACAUCACUAAUUUUACCCGCGACCAUAACCAUGCACAUUUGGACUACAACAAGCAAUUUAUCUCGAUGACGUGCUUAACCAAACCAUCUGACAGGUCGGCUAACUGGAGCAACGACAUAGCCCGCUAAAUAACAUACACGUCAGUUUGCCUGUCACUACAUACAUUACAACAUUUUUAUAAAUAUACAUAUUCACACGUAUAUUCGCACAUUGACCAAUUUAUACGAACCGUAAACCACUAAUCUACAAUUCGCCAACACCAUGCAUUUACUUCCGUAAAUUAUGAACGCAUACAUGUUUAUCAUACGAGCCGAGCGUUUCAAUAAUUAUCCUAAAACAACUAACUCCAUUGCACACUUGUAUCACAAACCUACUUGACUUACUUGAAGCGUCUACUCGAAAUCGUGAGCAUAAUAACACUAUAUGCGAAGCAUAAUUUAAUGAACGCAUAAUAUGCAUCGUCACGACUCGACUUAUAAAUAUAGAGAAGGCGACGAAUAUUUUGGCAUGUCACCACCUCUCUAUAUAAGUCAAAACAAUUUCUACUAUCGACUAAGAGUUCUAAGUAUUAAACACAUUAUUAUUUCCACGCGCAAAUAAACCUCAGCUUAACAUCAGUGACACCGAUGGAUUUUUACUAAACUCAUCAGGCGCAUAACCUCGUCUCGCAUACAACCAUAUGAUGGCACGCACUCGAGACACUUUGAUCAUCGUAGCGUAACCACUAAUAUAUGAACUCCGACACUCAUGUCUUAACAAUACAUCCUCCACGCAAACUAGCAUUUUCUAAACUACUCGUCACAUCAAUAAAUAUACUCCCUAUAUAAUCAUGAAUCCCAUCACAUUGCAUAAAACAAUUAUACUUUUCACAUAAACACAUAUCGAUACAUUUCCUAAAACAUAAUCCGCAUUUUGUAACUGUUGGGGACUUGUUCUCAAAUGCUAAGAGUUAAGAACAAGGCAACACGAAAAGUGUUAAAUAUUAAAGUCCUUCGUCCUUCGAGACAUUAUUUCCCUUCGGAUAUAAUGAAUUCCGGACGAAGGUUGUGAAGGAAAAACCUUCGUGAGCACAAUGAAUGAUGAGGAAGAAUUCAUAUACGAAAUACGGAAAUAAUGUAAACAUUAUCAUCAACUUAUUUUUAUUUGCAUUACCAUAUCCACAAUAACAAAUUAUAGAUGUACCUUCGGUUUGACGGAAAGCAAGGGUACAGGCGUAAUGCAAAAAGCGAAUGCCAAGUCAGCGUGAACAGUACGGGGAUACUAUUCAUCUAUUUAUAGGCAAGGGACGCAGCCCAUGUAAAAUUACAUUCAUGCCCUUUAUAUUUGCUAAUAACUCUAUAGUAAUUCUUCGAGGUCUAAUUUGCCUUUUCAUCUUUAAGUCGGUUCCCCUUUUCUACUGUUAUGCCGAAGCUUUCCUGCGCACAGCUUCGUGAUCACCUUGUCCUUCGUCAUAAUCAUUUUUUGUCUCGCUCAGGCUUCGUCCUAACCAUGCUCUGUAUGCUCAUGAUCUGAAUCCGAAGAUACCUAUUCACAUAUUUCACUUGGAAAACAUUGUCAAAUCAUGUUUUUGAGGACCUUCGGAAGCCGAAGGCCCCCAACAGUAACUUAGUUUUUCGCAUCAAACAACGCAUCACAUAUUUUUCCUACCAAGAUAUAAAAAUAUCUGAGUUCUUUUCUACUUCAUUUUCUUCUCUACACGUGUCCAUUCAUACAAUUAUACUUUCACGCCCAUAUUCACACCAUCGACUGAAUCGUAAAUAAAACGAAAUCACAAUUUUUCUAAAGCGAACAACCUGGUUGACUCGUGUCGCGCAUGCCUCCACGGUUUAGGUGCUUCACCGAAUCAUGCGUCGUGCGAGGCGCAGCGGCAACAUCUAGCUUCGAUUAACAACACCCAAAGGUUCAAACAUUCUUAUCAAGCACUUGAGAUCCAAAAACAAUGGGAUACUAGCGAGGGGCUCACCAAGGAUUUUGAUGACGAUGCGCAAGCGCUGCGCAAAUCCAGCGAAGCGAGACGCGGAGACGUCGUGGCUGUACGGAUCGACGACAUGGCUGCUCUUGACGAACACUCGCGCAGGUGACACGGCAUGGGUGCAGCAGCGUGCACUGAGGGGCAUUUUGUCGAGCAGACCGAGCGAAGAGGAGAGUGGCUUUGGGCUUGCUAUUGUGGUUAGCAUGGUGAGUAGAGCACCACCAUGGCUACAUAUGGGGGAACUGAUGCACGAGCUACUGCUAGGAUUCAGGUGGGGAGGACAUCGAGGUAGAGCAUGUCGGCAACGGUGCGCAGGUCGCGCCAUGAGGGGAAACAUAGGGGCGCACGUGAUCUAGGCGAGCUCAGCAUCCCAGGCCACAGUCUGCUUGCGGAGGAGGAGCUCGUUGGGUGUCGGCGCCCAGUCGGGCUGAGGUGAGGCGAGCCGAUGUGGGGCUAGGCGAGGGAGGAACACAUGGUCUAGACACUGCAGGAACAAUGGCCGAACCUAUAGGUGAGCUCGCUGGUGCGAACCCAAGGUCCGGGGCGAGGCCUAGCAUUUCUCUGUUGACAGAUCUUGCCAUGACAUCGAUGAAGGAGCAUAUGGCGCGAAAUCUGGAUGGAGCAAGGUCCGGCGAUCUGCAGGUGCGCAGGGAAAAAGACGCAGGUGGAAGCCAGCUGGAGGCCGACGCGGAGAGCGCGGGGCCGAGCGCUAUGGGCAGUUGAGGGAGCUCGGGCAUCAGUUGGGGAGAGGAUACGAGGCUGUGUGCUAGUGGAAGAAGUGGCUGGAGCAGGGAGGAGGAUGGCGUUCAAAGAGCUAGGCGCCAUGGGGAGAGGGAAGAGAUCCCUGCUGCUGGCGCCCAUGGGAGGAGGGGUUGUGCAUCCCUGGAGGUCGAGCACCAAGGAGGGAGGAGCCCGGUGUGCUGGUGAAGAUUUGCAGGGGCUUGCCUGCCGCCAUGCCACGUGGAGGAGAUGACGCUGGGGGAAGGCGCUGACUUGGGGAGAUCACGAGCAGGGCGCUGGGAAGGCAGAGGCCGACGGCCUAGGGGAGAGCAGGGGUGAGAGGGCGCCAGGGAGGUGGCCAUGGGAGAAGAAACUCCUGUGCGUUGGGGGAGAAGGGCUCUGCGCUUGGGAGCUUCUGCAGAAAGCUGGGCGUCGAGUGGAGGAAUAGAGCAGAGAAUGGAGUUGGCGCCCUGGCUCCUGUUAUUUACAGGCGACGACCACGUGCGGCAUUGGUGCCUCGGCCGGCUGCUGCUGGUUGGCUGGUGCCAGGCAUUGGCCAAGAGCCUGGUGUCCAACUACUGGCUGAGGAGGGAGGUGGCCAUCCAUUGGCUGAGGGCGCGGCGUCCUGCGAGUGGCCGAGGCUACAGUGCGCACGAAUUUCAUUUGAACAGCUCGCAGCCACGACGAACAAAAAAAGAAAAAAAGGUUGUUGCUGAAUUUCAAAAACUAUGUUGAUGAACAAAAUUUCUAGUGUCGUACUUAGAAAAUAAUUUGACGCACAUUUUAACUAGGUUUUUGAAUUAGAAACCUGUAGCUCAGAUUAGUUCGUGUAAGUUAAAAAAAGGUUACUGACGCUUGUCGCUUCUUACUCAUAUCAGGUACAUGUAUUAACACAUCGAGUUGGGUAUGAUUUAAAUAGAGGCAAACACAUUAAAGAUCCCACUUGAGAAUACAGGUUCGGAUAAAAUUUAUUUCGAAGCUGACACAUUAGAAAUCCCGCUUAAGAAUACGAACCUGGAUAAAAUAUUUGGACAUGGAUGGCUAGUCGAGAAAUCAGGGUUGGACAUAGACCGAAGGUCGAGGAAUUUGAUUCGGACACAGCUCGACUAGCAACUGUCGAGCAUUCGAUUAAAUGAGCUUUGAACGAGAUUUAUAAAUCAAGAAUGAUUUUCGAGUUUGCAUUUGCGCCAAGAAAUAAAAGUUUUAACAGGCUCCAAAACUGGCUGUUUCUCGCGAUCGAAUAAAAUCAGAAAUCCGUGAAACCUUCUCAAGUAACUUGAUAAAUGGAGAUAAACGCGAUCAAGAAAAAGAAAUUUCCACUGAGCAUCCGGGAUUAGGAUAAAUCUCCUGACAUAACACGAAAUAGACACAUGGGGUGUCACAGCCUUCCCCCCUUAAAAGAAUCUCGUCCUGAGAUUCGAAUGAGACUCUUAAGGGUGGAGAAGCAUGUAACUCCGAGACUGAAGAUAGAUGCAACUUCAUGAGAUGGUAUCUGACACGAUACAAAAGAUAGAUUUGGACCGAAUACCGUGACAUAUUGAGACAAAAUGCCACGACCACUUUGAGAGAAUGUCCACAAAAGAUAGCACAUCGGUAUAGUUCCAUAACGGAUCACUACUAUUAUCCGCGAUACCAACGUGUGCCGAGCAGCUCAAACAUGUGUGCCCAUAGGAGGCUCUCGGUUUCGUCGUGGCACCAUCAGUCGUUAGUCAUAAUACCAUUACCAAACGUAACCAACGAUAAAUCCAUGUGACAUAAAUAGAUGGAGCCCAUGAGAGUAUGGCUCAGAAAAUAAGAAUGUGAUCGGAGUUUGUCGGUGUUUUGGGUCCGAUCGCACACCCGGGUUGCCCCUCAAGGUGUUUUUUAGGAGUAGGACGGCAUCGACGACUGUAGCAAAAUGGUUCGUGCUAGUUGCACGAGGGACAGUGGACAAUGUUUACAGGUUCGGGCCGCUUAGAGAUGCGUAACACCCUACGUCCUGGUGAGUAUGCUGGGUGAAUGAGGUUACAAGAGAGCUCUCUGAAUUGAGAAUGCAGAGAGUUGAAGUGGGUGGCUAAGUAAUAAUGUCGAUCGUUCUGAAGGGGUGCCCCCUAGGCCUUAUAUACUCGACCGUGGGGCAAUACACGUGGAUAUGAUAACAAUGUGUAGCUAAAAGAUAGUGAACUGUUUGAGUUUAUCUCCUUGUAGUUCUGGCGACCUAUCCUCGCAUGGCUCCGUUGCAUGGGGGCUCCAGCGCGGGAAAGUCGGAUCUCUGUUGUGGUCGCUCGCUCGACGUUGUGGGCCGUCCGGGUUUGCACCAAUCCGGCCUCGUGUCAACCUGCUUUGCUGAUUGUUCCUCCCCAGGCCCACGAAAGAAUGACCUUACGAUUUAUUGGGCCUUUGGGCCUUUCGUGAGGUCUUUUACUCUUUUAGUGGACCCGGGGGAUAUCUGUCCCCCACAAGCCCCUGAUCUUUGGGUUAAUUUAGAGGUAAUCAGCCCAAAGAUCCCAGGUCCAGCUUGCAGGCGAUUUGAAGAGAACGACUUCUUACUGUCUCCUCCUGCUUUGAUCACUCGUAAACCGAAGCUUUGUUUCGUGCUUGUGCCUUAGAGGUCGGCAUUUCGUUUUGUAGGACCCUGAACUUCAUUGGGUGCACCGGGGUGUAGCCCCCGAGCUUCGAGUAGAUUUUAGAAAAUAAUCUACUCGAAGGUCUUCACCAGAAAUUAUUUCCAUUUUUACUCCUGCGUUUUGGUUGAAAGCCAGCCUUGUCUUUAAUCUUGUCCCAUGCCUUAGAAGUCGGCACUAUCUUGGCUUGGAAUGAUGAUCCAUGGGUGCACCCAAUGGGUGUAGCCCCCGACCUUCAAGUGGAUUUUUGAGGAUAAUCCAUUCGAAGGUCUUCCUUUUGUGUCUUUUUGCUGAAGAUUAUCCUUUUUGCUUGUAAAAAUCGGCAUGAUGCCAUCCGCAUUAUGCUUUGGAGGUCAGCAUUAUGUCAUCAAUAUUAUGCUUCAGAGGUCAGCAUGUAUUUUGUCUUUUGCAGCCGAGUUCGCAAUCCAUCCAUAUCUUGCUAGGUAGUGUAAUUUAUUUGCUCUGCGACUGAUUGGACAUUUGAUGGACAUUCUCUGUCUAGUCUUCACGUCGCUUCUGUCGGCCAUAUUUUGUACUUCACUGGCUAUAUUUGGCUUUCCUCUGAUCCUUACUGAUAUCUCAUUUUUGUCUUGAGGUAUUCACUGCAUGCCCUGCACAGAUGUGACCGUUUUGAAAAAUAUACUGAUAAUUCCUGGGCGUCCCCCCCAAUGGGUGUGGGCAAGGGACGGCUUGGUACGCUGAGUGUUUUAGCCGGCUGCUUCUGAGUAGUAAUGUGAUGUGACGGUGGGUGUAAUCAUAUCCUCCACGCUGUUGACUGGAGUCCCAAUGGGUGUUGUGUUGCGUGAAACGGCGUCAGCUGCCUGACGUGUCUUCAGACGGGUUGAAGUGCUUAUUGAAUGCUUUGCGACUGUUCAGUGACCGCGGUUGGAGGUGAGCGGUUGCCUUCUCCUUCUAUAAAUAAUGCCGUUGUCUCUCCGGCUUUUCCACAUCUCUUGUUGUUCUCUGUUGCUUGUUUUUCUUCUCUCCCUUUCGCUUCCACCAUGGGCAAGAACAACAAGCGCAAGCGUGAGCCAACUCCUCCAUCGGAGGAUUUUGGUGACUCGGAGUACUCAGAGGAGGAGUUCUCCUCUGAGUCUGAGGGGUCUCCGGCUCCCAUCCCCCUGCGUGAGUCGUCUGACGACUCAGACGACUCCCAGGGGCUCGCGGCGGAGGUCUGGACGUACAUCCGGGCCGUCGAGCGCUCCGGGCUCGAGGGCUCGGAUGAGUCGGAGUACUCCUCGGAUGAGGAGGACUCGGACGGUGGCGGCGAGGACGAUGACGACGACGACAAUGACGAAGGCGAUGGCGACGGUGACGGUGACGGCAGCGGCAGGGGCGGCAGCAGCGGCAGCAGGGACGGUGACGGCGGCGGCAGCAGGGGCGGCAGCGGCGGUGGCGGCAGUAGCAGGGGCAGCAACAGGGGCGGCAACAGCGGCGGCAGCAACAGGGCCAGUGGCUAGAUGCCACUGGUCAUUAGAUGUUAGUAUAGUAUAGUUAGAAUAAUGUAGUGGUAUUUAGUAGUGUAGAGUAGUAUAGUGUAGUGUAGCAGUAGUAGUAGUAGGGAAGUAUCAACUCAUAAUGAGUUGAUUUGUAAGUAUGUUAUCUUCCCUUUAAUGAAGAAAUGAUGUUGGUUUCUCUGUGAUGAUUGCUCGUUGAUAUUCAUAACUCAAAGUUCUUGAAUCAUUCCUCUUCCCGCCUUUUUCGUGAAGUUGAUUCCUUGGAAUUAGUAAGUGAAUAACUCGGGCAUCAUACCGAUGCUUUUAGAAGUAGCUGUCGAGCGACUUGUAGAUGAUGUCAGAGUUUUAGAGAUAACUGCCGAGUAACUUGAAGACGACGUCGGCGUCUUAAAGGUAACGCCGAGCGACUGAACGUGAUGUCGGAGUUUUAGAGUCAACUGCCGAGCGACCUGAGGGCGACGUCGGCGUUUUAGAGGUAACACCGAGCGACUGAACACGAUGUCGGAGUUUUAGAGAUAACUGCCGAGUAACUUGAAGACGACGUCGGCGUCUUAGAGGUAACGCCGAGCGACUGAACGCAAUGUCGGAGUUUUAGAGUCAACUGCCAAGCGACCUGAGGGCGACGUCAGCGUUUCAGGGGUAACGCCGAGUGACUUAAAGACGACGCCGGCGUUUUAGAGGUAACACCGAGCGAUAGCAGGCUACGUGGGCCACUUUGAGGAUAAUAGCCGAGUGAUGAUGUGGCGCACCGAUGUUUUGGAAAUAAUUGCCGGGUGAUGACGUGGCACGCCGGUGUUUUGGAAAUAACCGUCGGGUGCUGACUGGGCGCUUUUUGAAACGGUAUCUGGCUCGGGAAUAUCCCAUAAGUGCUGCGCUUUUAGCCGGCUCUGCUUUCCGUGCCCUAGUUCUUGCUUUCUUGCUUCCGAAUCCUCUCCGCAAUUCGCCUCCUACUCUGCUCGCCGGUAGAAUCGAGAUGGCGCCCAAGAGGAAAGCCUCGAGUUCGUCUGCCGUGGUGAUUCCUCUAAUCGACCCCAACAGCCAGUUGCCUUUCGCAGGUAACCACAUGUCUGUCAUCUCUGAGCCCGAACUUCUCCACCUCGUGUCCAUCGGGGUUCUUCCUCCGAGGGAACUCUGCUCUUGGUGGAUUUGCCAUGGGGUUACUGUCCCAACUGAGGAUACCCAUGAGUCCGUGAUUUAUGCUCCUUUCCUUCUCUGCGGCCUUGGCCUUCCCAUUUCUCCCUUUUUCCGCGGCCUCCUUGAUUUCUACCAUCUUAACUUGACCCAUCUGAAUCCCAAUUCUAUCCUGCAAAUCUCCAUUUUCGUUCAUUUAUGCGAAGCCUUUCUUGGCGUGCUGCCACAUUUCGGGUUGUGGAAGUACUUAUAUCACUGUCGCCCUGGGAUGGCCGGGGGACAACAUCAGUUGGUUGGGGGUGCUAGCUUGGAGAUGCGCCACGGGAGGAAGACUGAGUAUCUCGAAAUCCCUCUCAAAGACAGUAUCAAGGGAUGACGCUUGGAGUGGUUCAUAGUUGAGAAUUAUGGAAACUCUCUCCCCCCCCGGUCGGGAAGACAGCCGGAUGUUCGCACCCCAAGCUCGACCGAGUCUCCCACAGAUCAGGAGGUAGCUGAGGCAGGUGCUUUGCUGGCUGAAGUUGGAUUGCUGAAAGAGAGGGGUCUGACUGCUGAAGCUGUGGUUGCUGAUUUUGUCUUCAAGAAUAUUCAGCCGUUGAAAGAUAGGGCAUACCUGGCUUAUCUGUAUCGAGGCCUAGCCGACUCAACUCGGGUUACUAAUAGAAGAAUUCCCUCUAUGGACUUGGUGAGCCGACUUGAGAUGAUACUUAGAGGCAAAGUGUCAAAUGUUGGUGCCCCAGUGGCAUUCUCAGCCUGGAACUUGCCUCCUCCCAGAGCCUUCACUCUUUUUGUGUCGAAUCCUCCUGUCACUGAUGGCAGUUUGGGCCUUAGAGUGCGGCCCUCUGCUGAAGAAGUUAGUGCCUUGGUUGCCUCGCUCGGGGAGAUUCCUGAUGAUGAACGGCAGAUCCAUUUUGAGGUGCCCCUGAACCCUAGUGAUGCAGAGAUAAGCGCUAUGCUUGAUUUGCUGGCUGAGGACUCUUCUGAUGCUGCUCCUGCUGGGGCAUUGGUAGUGGCGCCCCUCCCAGAGGCUGAUACAACUUUGGAUACUCAGAAGCCUGCCAGUACUCGCCCGAGGCGCCCUUGCCGAGCCAAUCAGCCUGAUCCUUCUGCUGAUGAGCAGAAAAAGAAAAGGAGACGCCUCCGGCGAGUAUCCAGUUUGGAUCGGGACGCUUGUACUUCGGUUCCUGCUGCUGAAGAAAUGCCUGUAACUGAAUUUAUUGACACUGACCCCAAUGGGUGUACCCAAUCUGCUGCUGAUCCCAAUGUGAGUGCUCCUUCUGUUGCUGAUCCCAAUGGGUGUGUCCCUUCUGUUGCUGAUCCCAAUGUGGGUGCUCCAUCUGUUGUUGACCCCAAUGGGGGUGCUGCCUGUGUUGCUAAUGUGGACGACAAGGAGGAACAAGAUGAAGUUCCUUUGACUCGGAAAAACAAUCGGCAGUUCAUCGCUAGCGGUGAAAGUAGUGGAGUUCCUUCUCCUGCUUUGUCUGCUCUCAUUGGUCUGCAAGAACUGUCCCUGGCCAACUUUGAUCAGACUCUUGAGGAUAUGGUUCCAGAGGAUUUGUUAUCGGAGCCAGUAGAUGAUGGUGUGAUGGAGGUUUGUCCUGAUGUGCUUGAUGCUGGGUUGAGGUCAUCCCGUGCCUCAUCGACCUUGGAGCGCGAUCUCGAGGGUCGGGAGACUGACUUGGAUCAUCCUGGUCCCAUGGAAGUAACUGAGGGCCCAUCAGCCUUAUAAGUGGCUACCGCAGAGAACUUGGACCCCCAGGGUGGUGUUGACACAUGCCUAGCCCCCGAGGAUGUCGCCGGGGAUGACUUGGUUCGGGUGGGAAGUGUAAGCCACUGCCCAGCCCCCGAGGGUGCUGCCGGGGAUGAUCCGGCUCAAGUGGGCAGUGCAAACUAUGACCCAGCCCCCGAGGGUGUCCGAGCGGGGUCUCCCUCCUGUACUUCCAUGGAUGUUCAUGUGGGAUCGCCUCCACGCUCCGGCUGUAUGGUGGUAGCCCAAGCCUUGGACUAGGGAGUCGCUUUAGAGGGUAGCGUCCCCACUGACCGAGUGUUGGGCUCUGUUGAUGGCACCGAGCUGAUUCCUGCUGGUUCGUUGCAAGCUGCUUCGGGUGGUGGCCUUACGCCCGGUUAUCAAUUGAUCUCUCCUGAUUUGGGGAUCCCUUCGUUCUUUUCCAACCUCCAGGUACUGUGAUGUAUUUUAGCUUGGUUUUUACACUGCAUGAACUGUUGUCAUUACACUCGUCUAUUCUCCUCAUCAGGCUUUGGUGGACGGAAUGGCUAGCCAGCUGCGGUUACAGGGUGCUUCUAUCCCAGAAGUAGCUUCGUAUCUUGCACGUUGGAAUCCAGUGUCACUUCAACAUCGUGUCUCUGAAUUGGAGGCGACCAACGCUGGUUAGUGCUUUUCGCUUCUCUUUUGUCUUCUCUAUUAAACUGCUUUACAUUCUGACCCCCUUUGUUUGGUUGUCUCCUGCUAGUAUGACUCGGCAGAUUUCCACUCUUGAAGAAAAACAUUCUCGAGAUCAGGCUGAAAUGGUCUAGCGGUGCACUGACUUUGAGGAAAAGUACUCUCAAAGUCAGACUGAACUAGCUCAAGUCUCUGCUGCCUUAGAUGACGCCAAUGCACUGAGUUCUUCUCUUCACGCUCAGCUCAAUUCUGAAAAGGUGAUUUAUGAAACUGUGCUUUGCCUUGUUGUGCUCCUAUUACUUGCUUGGUGUUUGAGGGAGUUGACUUUUGUUUGCAGGAAGAAAAACGUAUCCUUGCUGCUUCUCGCGACAGUCUUGACAGAUUGUAUCGUGAUUCUAGCAACUCGCUGACUAUCCUGGAGAGGAGUCAUCGCUUCACCAUGGAAGAGUUAGACAACCAACGCUGUAAGCUGCAGGAAUCCACGGAUGAAGUGACCCGGCUCAAGCAGUUGAUAUCAGCGAAGGAUGCUACUAUCAAAGAACUCCGAGCUUCCAAGAAAUCCAUCGCCCAAGAGUUAGAAACAGCUCGGCUGGCUACCAAGGUUGCCGAAGAAACUUCUGUUACUCUCAGAGCCCAGCGCGAUAGAGCCAUGGACAAGGCUAUUCGGGCGGGGCGAAUCUUGAUGAGGAGACCCGGCGUGGGUGUUCCCGAAGAUAUAAGGGCUGAUGUGAAUGCUGCCCCUGAUUCCUCGAGUCGUCCUUCCUCAUCGAUUGCUCCUGAGAAAAAUAUCACAAAAUAGAGAGACAUUUUGCGUGCUUUGAGCACGCGGUUUGCAUGGACAGACAUUUGUUAGAGGACGUCAUUUCAGUACUUGGACGAUAGUGUUAUUUUCAUAUUGUUUCAGAAUUCAUCAGUUCAUAAAUUUGUAGUAGUAAAAUGAUGUGCGAUGGUUUUGAAAUUUGUUUGCUGGAUAUAGAAGUCAUCCUUAUAUGAGUAAUUGUAAUCACAUCAGAUCGCCUUAAGUCGCUGCUGACUUAAGUUGAUUGCUUCUGUUAAUAGGGCGUAGUGGUCACCCUGAAUUGCGUAGGCGUGAGCAUGUUGCACCGGCUUAAGUCGCUGCUGACUUUAGCCGAUUGCUCCGUUAGCAGGGUAUAGUGGUCACCCCGAGUUAAGUAAGCGUGAGCAUGUUGCACCGCCUUAAGUCGUUGCCGACUUAAGCUGAUUGCUCCGUUAGCAGGGCAUAGUGGUCACCCCGAGUUAAGUAAGCGUGAGCAUGUUGCAUCACCUUAAGUCGUUGCCGACUUAAGCCGAUUGCUCCGUUAGCAGGGUAUAGUGGUCACCCCGAGUUAAGUAAGCGUGAGCAUGUUGCACCGCCUUAAGUUGUUGCCGACUUAAGCCGAUUGCUCCGUUAGCAGGGUAUAGUGGUCACCCCGAGUUAAGUAAGCGUGAGCAUGUUGCACCGCCUUAAGUUGUUGCCGACUUAAGCCGAUUGCUCCGUUAGCAGGGUAUAGUGGUCACCCCGAGUUAAGUAAGCGUGAGCAUGUUGCACCACCUUAAGUCGUUGCCGACUUAAGCCGAUUGCUUCGUUAGCAGGGUAUAGUGGUCACCCUGAGUUAAGUGAGAAUGCAAGUCAAUCGUGAACAAACUGAGUAUCUUUGAAGCCUUUUUUUUAUUGAUGACAUAUUUCCAUUUUACAGAGUACAUCGUCGUCCCGAUAGCUUUUGAGAUAAAGUUAGGGAUAAAACUUCAUGAGGUGUUCUAUGUUCCAGGAGUUCCCGAUUUCUGUGCCAUCCAUCUGAGUGAGACGAUAUGAUCCUGGCCGAGUGACUUCUGCUACUACGAAGGGUCCUUCCCAUAAAGGCGAUAACUUGUGCUGUCCCUCCCCCGUUAGAAUUCGGCGGAGGACGAGAUCUCCUACUGAGAAGGAUCGCUGUCGCACGGCCUUGUCGUGAUAGCGCCUUAUAGUCUGCUGGUACCGUGCUGAUUGGAUUACUGCAUUCAGCCGUUCUUCCUCGAGUAUAUCAAUGUCUUCCAGCCUAGUGGCUUCGACUUCUGCUAUGUUUUCGAAGAUCAACCUUGGCGCCCCGAACUUGAGAUCGGCAGGUAACACUGCCUCCGACCCAUAGACCAUGAAGAAAGGAGUGUUUCCAUGCAGAGCUCGGCUAGGUUGGGUUCUUAGGCUCCAGACGACAUAGGGCAAUUCCCUUAUCCAUUUUUCUGCGAACUUUUCAUUCUUAUCGAAGACCUUUUUCCUGAGUGCCUCCAGUAUCAUCCCGUUGGCUCGCUCAACUUGCCCGUUGGCUCUCGGGUGUGCUACAGAAGCAUACUUGAUCUGAAUGCUUUUUUGCUCGCAGAAGUCGAAGAACUCUGAACUUGUGAAGUUGGAUCCUAGGUCAGUUAUGAGGCUGUUUGGUAUCCCGAAUCUGAAUAUUAUGUCUUGUAUGAAUUCCACGGCCUUAGCUGAGGUCAAAGAGGCAAUGGGCUUGAAUUCUAUCCAUUUAGUGAAUUUGUCGAUUGCUACCAAUACAUGAGUGUAUCCUCCUUGAGCUUUCUUGAAAGGUCCAAUCAUAUCCAGUCCCCAGCAUGAGAAAGGCCAAGUUACUGGUAUGGUCUGCAGUUGCUGUGCUGGUAGAUGUUGUUGUUUUGACAAGUAUUGGCAAGCUUCGCACCUCUGAACUAACUCGGCUGCAUCGCUCUUCGCUGUUGGCCAAUAGAAUCCUGACCUGAAGACCUUCCCGACUAGUGUUCUGGAUGCUGCAUGUAUUCCACAUUGCCCAGCAUGGACCUCCUCCGGAAGUCGCUUCCCAGUAGAUGGGAGAAUGCACUUCAUGAGGACGCCUGAUGCACCCCUUCUGUACAAUGUCUCCCCAAUGAGUGUGUAGUGAGCCGACUGUCUGGCAAUGCGCUCAGCUGAAUUCUUGUCAUCUGGUUCCUCUUCAUUCUUUAUAUACUUAAUGAUUGGCCUUCUCCAGUCAUCAGAGUCUGACUCAGGUUGAUCUAUAAUAUUACACUCUUCCGUUUGAUCCAUUGAGAUGCUCGGCUGUAGUAUUUCUUGCACAAAGACUCUAGGUGGGACCUGAGUUCGACUGGAUCCUAGCUUGGACAUUACAUCGGCUGCUGUGUUCCGAUCUCUUUCUACAUGAUGAAAUUCUAGACCCUCAAAUUUAUCUUCCAGCUUUUGGACGGCAGUGCAGUAUUUUCCCAUUGAAUCGCUUGAACAAUCCCACUCUUUGUUUAUCUGGCUAAUGACUACCAGAGAGCCUCCGUACACCAUCAAUCUCUUGAUGUCCAAUGAUAUGGCGAUGUUCAAUCCAUGGAUCAGAGCUUCAUACUCGGCUGUAUUGUUGGAGGCCGGAAACAGCAACUGGAGGGCAUAUUUGAGGUGCUCGCCUCCAGGUGCGGUGAAGAGAAUUCCUGCUCCUGCUCCCUGCAGCUUCAGCGAGCCAUCAAAAUACAUUCGCCACACUUCUGCAGUCUCUGGGUUAUCUGGUACUUGCUGUUCAGUCCAUUCUGAUACGAAAUCAACUAGUGCUUGAGUUUUGAUGGCAGUGCGAGGUCGGAACUCGAUGUCAUGAGAUCCCAGCUCACAAGCCCACUUGGCUAUUCGGCCAAUGGCUUCCUUGUUGUGAAGAAUAUCCCCUAUCGGAAAACCAGUGACUACUAUGACUUUGUGGUCAUCAAAGUAGUGACGUAGCUUGCGGGCAGUUAGAAGUACUGCAUAUAAUAGCUUCUGAACUUGAGGAUACUUUUUCUUUGAGGGGCCCAGAACUUCACUGAUGAAGUAAACAGGAUGUUGCACUGGGUAGGCAUGUCCUUCUUCUGCUCGCUCGACUACCAACGCGGUGCUUACCACGUGAGUCGUGCAAGAGAUAUACAGUAGUAGAUCUUCAGCUGGUUGAGUUGACGUAGCUCGUCGUGGUGGCUUCAGUACUGGUGGUGUUGUCAAGAAUUUCUUCAGUGCAUCUAGAGCUUCCUGUGCCUCUGAAGUCCACUGAAACUUAUCCACCUUCUUGAGUAGCUUGUAAAAUGGUAAACCUUUUUCCCCCAGCCUGGAUAUAAAUCUGCUCAGAGCUGCCAUACAUCCAGUAAGUCGCUGAACCUUCUUUUGUGAUCGAGGCGCUUCCAUCUUCAUGAUAACUUCAAUCUUAUCCGGAUUAGCCUCAAUUCCCCGGUGGCUGACAAUAAACCCGAGUAACUUUCCUGCUGGUACCCCGAAAACGCAUUUUUCGGGAUUAAGCUUCCAUCUAUACUGUCUCAAACUGUUGAAAACCAGCUGUAAGUCUUCGAUGAAGUUUUCCGAGUUCUCUGUUUUGAUUACCACGUCAUCUACGUAGGCUUCCACACGCUUGCCCUAGUGAUCGGCUAAGCAUGUUUGAAUAGCUCUCUGAUAAGUCGCUCCAGCGUUUUUGAGGCCGAACGACAUGGAGGUAUAACAGAAAGCACCAAACGGAGUAAUGAACGCUGUUUUUUCUUCGUCUUCCUUUGCCAAACUAAUCUGGUGGUAUCCGGAAUAGCAAUCCAGGAAAGACAGCACAGAACAUCCAGCGGUGGAGUCCACCACUUGAUCUAUCCUCGGGAGCCCGAAGGGAUCCUUCGGACAGUGUUUGUUGAGAUCAGUAUAGUCGACGCACAUGCGCCAAUCCACUUUAUUCUUUUUGAGUACAAGAACAGGGUUGGCUAACCACUCGGGAUGUAACACUUCUCUAAUGAAUCCAGCCGCGACCAAACGGGCUAACUCGGCGCGAAUGGCCUCUCUCUUGUCGGGCGUGAAACGAUGUAGUUUUUGCCGGAUCGGCCUCGCCUGGGGAUAGACCUUCAGUUUGUGCUCGGCCAGUUCUCUUGGGACUCCCGGCAUAUCCGUAGGUUGCCACGCGAAUACGUCUCGGUUAUAUUGCAGAAACUGGACGAGCGUGCUUUCCUAUUUGUCGUCCAGGCUGGAGCUGAUGAUGGUAGUCUUGCGUUCAUCAGCGAACCCCAGGUUGAUCCUUUUAGUUUCUUCAGUCGACCGCAUAGAGGUUGCGGCCUGAGCUUCGUUUGCUGGUACUGCAAGGUCUUCCUCAGGCUUAGAGUUCGCCUGUGUUGAAGAAAUCGUCGAUGACUUGGUGGUGAGGGCUGCUUGGAUGGCCACUCGGAAACACUCUGCAGCGCCUUGGAAGUCGGCGCGCACAGUUAUGAUUCCUUGCGGUCCUGGCAUCUUCAGUAUCAUGUACGUGUAAUGCGGAAUGGCCAUGAAUUUGGCCAAUCCCGGCCUUCCGAUGAUGGUGUUGUACCCGCAGUCGAAGUUCGCCACUUCGAACCUCAGGAACUCGGUUCUAUAGUUCUCCGGAGUUCCGAAGGUGACGGGCAUGUAGAUGUAACACAACGGGUAUUCCCCUUCAGUCGGCACGAUGCCGAAGAAGGGAGUGUCCGACUCGUGGAGCUCUUUGAGGUGAACUCCCAAGCCUUGGAGUGUCCGGGGGAAGGUGACAUUGAUGCUGCUCCCCCCGUCCACUAGUACCUUCUUCACCCGGCUCUCUCGGAUCACCAGAUCGACGAGGAGCGGGUAUUUGCCUGGAUGGUCGAAGUUGAGCCAUUGAUCCUCCUGAGUGAAAGUGAUCGGGUGCUCCGACCACCGGUAUGGGGCGGGAGGACCGGUGGUCGCCACCAGUAUCUGGCGGUCGUUGAGCUUUUGUUGUAUUUUGUUCUCCUGCGACCCGUGUCCGCCGAAGAUGACAUUGACCUCCCUGUCCACGGGCGGGAAAGCUCCUCCUCCUCCCUCCUCCUGCUGAUGGGGUUGUCGUGGUUCAUCUGGUCCUCCCCUCGGUGGAGGAGGAGGUAGAGGUUGGAAGGGUCGGCCGUGCCCGACGGAGUGCUUGAAGUCCCGGCAGUUACGAAGAGUGUGGCGCAUGUCCUUGUGGUACGGGCACUGGGCGUCGAGGAUGUCGUCCAGCGUGCGCUCGCCUCCGCGAGGUCCUCCUCGGGCUCGAGAGGCAGGUGGUCCGGCGGCGUGCACUUCUUCGCGAGGCCUCUUCUCCCAGCGUUUGUCGGGUUGCUGGUUCGCGUCGCGUCGAGGUGCUGCCGGUGCGGGCUUUGCUCCUCCGAUGAGGUCCUGGGCCCGCUCGUCGGCGGUGAUGUAGAGGUCGGCUUCCCGGAACAGCUCCUCGGAGGUAGUCGACGCCUUCUGUAAUAUGGCUCGGACGAAAGCCGAGUCGUUGGAUCCUCUGUAGAAGUCCUCGAUCACGGCCGCCUCCGUGACCUCGGGGAUACGAUUUCUCAUGGUCUGGAACCUUUUGAGGUACGACCGGAGAGUUUCGUCCCCCCGGCGCUUGAUGGAUUUGAGGUCCCAUGGUUGUGCCGGUUUGUCGAAGAGGGACUGGAAAUUGGCGGUGAAGCGUCGACUGAAGUCGCCCCAGUCGUCGAUGCAGUGUCGGGGUAGAUGUCGCAGCCAUUGCAGCGCGUCUUGCCCAAGGACAAUGGGUAAGUACGCGGUCAUCACGUCUUCGGACGCCCCGGCAGCUCGAGCAGCGGUGGUGUAGACGGCUAGCCAACCCCCUGGAUCCUGCUUAGGUUCAUAUUUGUCGACAUUGGAUACCUUGAAGUUGGGAGGCCAUUGGAUGGCCCUAAGGCGCGGAGUAAGAGCAGACACUCCGCAUGUGUCCUCCUGUCGUCGGGGAUGAUGUCUGUCCCGGGGAGGGGAGUAGUUGUUGUGCUUUCUCGACCGACCCCGGGUAGUACCGCCAGUUGAGGCCGUUGCCGACUCAGUUCUGGUGGCCUGGCUCCGAGCUGGGAUGCCAUGAUCCCUGUCGUACUCCUCCCGGCGGCGGAUCUCGUUCUCAUGCCGUCGUUCACGUGAAGCAUUGAUGGAGCUUCGCGCGUCUCGGCGACUGUUGAUGGCGUGUCGUAGAUCGUUCGGCGGGUGAGCAAGCGGUAGAAGAUGGUUGGCUGCCUGGGUGAACAGUCGUCGGUAGCCCUCGGCGUCGGGAGUCCGAGGGAGUCCAUCAGCUAUCCGAGCUAGUACUCCUCCAACUUCGCUCGGCGUGUUCAUGGCUCGGGCGAAGUCGGGGUUCAGGUUGCGCCCGAAGAAUGGAUUCUCCCGGCGUUGCCUUGCAUCUUGCUCGGCUUGUUCCUGAGCCCGGCGGCGAUCACGUCGUCGGGAGUUCCUUCGUUCUCUGAAGACGCGUUCCUCCGGAGUUUCCCCUAUCUCCGAGACCUCGUCUCGCGAGACAGGUUGCUCCGGAUCCCGUUCUCCGGCCGCGUGAUGUCGUCGAACGUUCCUGCGCGCGGUUUCUCCGUCGGCGGGAUUCUCGUUGAGGUGGUUCCUCUCCGGGUGUGGUCGGCUCGUCGUCGGAGACGGUAGGCGACUCCACUCUCCCGAUGAAGAGGACGUCGGGAUAGAAUGGCGCUGCUGUCGUGGCGACCUUCUUUCCGCUCUCCUCUGAGGGCGGAGGAACGGAAAGAACAACUUGCUUCCCCUUGGUCUCCUUCUUCCUCGCGAUCUGUGUCCAUUCUUUUGUCGGGGAAGUAGACAGUGGAGUUCUCCGGGUCAGCGGGCCCUUGGCCCCUGACUUUCCGGAGACGAUCUUUUUCCGGAGAGCUAGAGGUUGCGCUUCUCUGACAUUUUCAGAGUUUGUUGGAGGAGACUUCUUUUCCGGCGGAUCCGCAAUGCGGUGUAGAGUUCCCUCUUCAUCUGCUACGGAUGAGAUUGUUCCGAAGCAGAAUACGGAUCCAGGACGGAGGAUGAUCUUGCUGUGGAAGGUGACGGCCAUUGAGCUAGCUUGGAUCGUCGACACACCCCCUACCUGGCGCGCCAGCUGUCGGUGUUUUGGGUCCGACCGCACACCCGGGGUUGCCCCUCAAGGUGUUUUUAGGAGUAGGACGGUAUCGACGACUGUAGCAAAAUGGUUCGUGCCAGUUGCACGAGGGACAGUGGACAAUGUUUACAGGUCGGGCCGCUUAGAGAUGCGUAACACCCUACGUCCUGGUGAGUAUGCUGGGUGAAUGAGGUUACAAGAGAGCUCUCUGAAUUGAGAAUGCAGAGAGUUGAAGUGGGUGGCUAAGUAAUAAUGUCGAUCGUUCUGAAGGGGUGCCCCCUAGGCCUUAUAUACUCGACCGUGGGGCAAUACACGUGGAUAUGAUAACAAUGUGUAGCUAAAAGAUAGUGAACUGUUUGAGUUUAUCUCCCUGUAGUUCUGCUGACCUAUCCUCGCAUGGCUCCGUUGCAUGGGGGCUCCAGCGCGGGAAAGUCGGAUCUCUGUUGUGGUCGCUCGCUCGACGUUGUGGGCCGUCCGGGUUUGCACCAAUCCGGCCUCGUGUCAACCUGCUUUGCUGAUUGUUCCUCCCCAGGCCCACGAAAGAAUGACCUUACGAUUUAUUGGGCCUUUGAGCCUUUCGUGAGGUCUUUUACUCUUUUAGUGGACCCGGGGGAUAUCUGUCCCCCACAGAGUUGAAGUAGAGAUUGCUGGCAAAAGAGCAUCACAUGAGAAUUUUCUUCAACUUAGAGAAUUAUUUUAUGAUUAACACGGAGAUUAUCAGGUCAGAGAUUUAUACGGGAGUGGAUAUGAGGGGAACCAACCAUGAGAUCAAGAUUGGCAACUUGCUGAGACAUGAGAGAACUAAAGUCAACACCAUAAUCCAUUGAACCAAAUGGAUACACUGCUUAGAGAUAAAAUCGAUAAAACAACGUCACGAUCCUGAGAGAAGGGGGUAUGAGAAUGACCAGAAAUAAGAGAUUUAGGCAAGAUCAACAUCUGAUACUUGAGAACAAGUUAUAGCAGAUAUCUAGAUAAUAGGGCAGGAUCAAUAGGGGAUCCAGAGAUUCGGAUGAUAAGCCACAACAUGAUUCGCAAAGGAAAAGAUUACUAGAUCCAGGUGAAAAGAGAGAUCAUCAACCCAGAUGGCUUCUGGGUUGAGCAGAGGAGAAUUUAAUAAGGAUUUUGGACAAGGUUUCCAAAAAGAAUUUGAAGAAUGACAUGGUUUGCAUGAACAGAUAAUAAACUUUUUUUGACAUAAACAAGUGCACAAGGAAGCUUUGGUUUGGUUAGCGGUCAAGCUAUGGGGGUAUAUAAGCUGCGAAGGUGUAAAUUCAAGGGUGAAACACACAAGGUUAGAAAACACUAACACAAGCAAGAACUUUUUUAAAGAGGUUUCACUUGCCAAACUCAUGGUUGUUUGGACGGGGGGUCUUUUCAUGAGUGAAACAAACAACCUUUUAUAUAUAUAAUUUUUUUGCUGGUUGGGGGAAAAAGGGUUGAACAACUAAAACAUUUCCUAGAUAGCAAGACAAGAGAAGCACAUAACAUGACCUAACAAGGCUUACCAAUCUGACACGAGGUAAGACAUUUCUUAUAGUUCCUAACAUAGCAGUACAUCACAUUAUUCACAAGUUAUUAUUAUUGGAAUAGAGGUGAGAGAAGCAUGUUGGUGCAUAAGAACAAUGAUGCGACAAUCAUGAUGCAUGCUCAUUCUAGACGUCUUUUCAGACCUAACUAGUUUUUCGGAUGUUUCUACAACAUCCUAAUAGUAGCAAUAGUAGCCUUUACGGCCUAUAUAAAUAGCCACCUAGCUACCCAUCUAUUUCCUAAGGCUUCACGUCCUAGGUCUAACCUUACCGUCCUGAUGAUCUAUCCAACUUUAGUUUCUAAGCAAGUUUUACUUUAGAAAAGGUUGGUAAUCAUGACUUAUUGACUUCUCUAUAAUGGUAUUCGCUCCAAAGCAAGCUGUGGCAGAACCACCCGAAUUAUUCUAGCUUAAGUGCCCAAGUCGCACCCUUAAAGGCAGCAACACACUUAAAUCGGAAUAACCCGUCAGUCUCUCGGUUCUAGUCCGAUAAAGCCACUUAUCCAGGAUCGAAUACCACUAGCUCACUCGAAGGUGAGGCACAGAGAAAUACAAUAAAGCAUAAUACCACAAAUUUAAUAAGUAUCAGUAGUAAUUACAUUAUCGGAUUUUCAGAAAUAGUAACAAUAGUUUUUAAUGCAGCGGAAAUAACUAACGGAGAAAACCGAGUAACAUGGCGAAGCCUGGCCACGCUACUCCUCCUGGUCCUCUCCUGCGGAAGCAGUAACCCACUCGACUGUCUAUCCCGGUGGCAUUGAUGGAGGCCAAGUCACACCAUCAACCAAAACAAGGAGGUACCUGCAAAAAUUAUGCCACAAGCAAGGCUGAGUAUACUAAUACUCAGCUAGACUUACCCGGUGUGAGGAGUCUACUCCUCUACCUCUAGACCAUGCAACUGUUUGGCUGAGGGGUUUGGUUUGCCAAAAGCACUAGCUGAGUCUAAAAACAAGUUUUAGCUUUUCCAAUUCUAGUAUCAUUAAUUUAGCUAAGUUUGCUCUUUCUAAGCAUACAUGGUAACAAUCAUUAUAUCAAUCAACAUCUUUUGCCAGUAUCUCAUUUCCACUUAUUACUCAAUGCAGUACAAUGGAUCAAGCAGUCUCAUUAGCUGCGAGAAGCAGACGAUUCGAAUCGAGUUUUAACCUUGCAAGGUAAACCUAAACACAUGACAUGUCAGGGCACUCCGUCCCCACACACGUCAACGGUCCCCAUCGAUUCCCCAUUCGCGGCAAGGCCUCACCGCCUUGGCAUACAACGCUCCACUGACCCCGCCCGCCGCCGUGCAGUGGCCGCACUUGUACCCACCAUAUCUAGAAUGGGAGACCCAGUCUGAGGACAAGUGAGGGGUAAAGUCCACGCCCGGCUUCACUCAGGUACUUGGCUUACCGGUUACCAUAUUUCCCGACAUGUGUUUAGUACGUUCAAACGCUUGACACAGGUAUCCGCACGUUAAUCCUUAUUCCAAUUUCGCUCGUAGACAGCGCAUCCCCAUGGAUCCGUGUCCACAGACCAUCAUCAUUCUGUUAUCAAAAUGGAUACAACCAAUUCUAGACCUCACGCGAGUGCUAGAAAAAUCACUCAACUUCUACCGAGAUCCUGAUUUAGCAUAGCAGCUACUUGACCUAGCAUACUAGUAUCCAUCUCAAAAGGAAUCCUGAGUUCAUGCAACUAGGGUUUCAGGCAACUCCUACACUUAAGUGCACGGUACAAGCCUACAAACAUUAAGUCCAGUAAAAUAGCAUAUAUAACGGUUAUGCAUAAAACCGAGGCUUGCCUGGAAUUCAACACUCAGAUAGUGUCUGCUAGAUGACACUCGCUUGGCGAGCAUCCACUGGUUAAGUCCAUCAGUCUUCAGGUCGUCCACCAACUGCAUCUUGUGGUUGGCACCAUAUCACUUGCACGAUCAUCAUCUCUCGGUCCUAAAUGAGAUGCAAGAUGCAUAUGUAUGAAUAUAAUAAAAAAUAUCACAAGACAUUCAAAUACUUGGUAGCGAACUAACACUAAUUAGUAAGAUACUGCAAUGGCUAUACGCAAGCGCUAGCUAGUCGUACGUUAUCGGCGUUCAUCAUUAACACCAUUAAAAAGGCGACAACAUUUUAGAUACUUACGCAACACAAAUACGACAUCACAAUCAACUAGAGAAAGAAACAUAUAAAACGGGACACAUAUGUUAUCUCAAACUUAUCCAUGGCAAGUCUACAUUAAUUAAGAGCUAACCAAACAUUUUUAGCAAAAAGGGUGAGCUAAACAAUCAAAUGCGCGCAUACAGAUUUUUAGGACAGCAGCACGGCAAUUAUUUGUUUUAAUCAUAACUCUUCAAUUAUUAAUCCAAAACUAGCAAACUAGGAUUUUCUGGAAAGUUUAAAAAGUGUUCUACAACUUUGGUAUUUUUACCUCAACAUGAUUCAACACUUAGCAAGGUCAAAAAGUGUUAACACAACCGCUACGUCCAGAUUUGGACAUAUUCAGACUUGCGACUUUAAAAAUCCAUAACUAGAGAUUCAGGCAUCCAAAUAAAGUGAUCCUAGACUUUCUGGAAAGAUAAUGAAAUUGUCUAAAAAUCAUUUAUAAACAUAUCAAGGUGAUUCAAUAUGCAAUUUAGGAGAAAAGAUAUUAGAAGGCUUUGCUGUUCAGAACUGUGCAGAUUCAGUCUUCACACUUUAAACACCUAUAACUUAACCUUCAGACCACCAAAAAGAGUGAUCCAAGACUUUUUGGAAAGCUCAGAAAAAUCACUACAUAACUUUUAUAAUCACCAAAAAUCAAUUAUAUGUUUAACCAAGUCAAACAAUUCAGUUUUUGAAAUCUGUUCUGACAGUGGACAGAACACAGCAACCAGUUUGUAAAAUUCAUAACUCUGAAACUAUCGGGCCUGUGUUGAUGAAAUUUUAACACAAGAAAGAUAAGAAAAGCAUCUACAACUUUAUUAUAAUGACCAUGAACAGAUUGUAACAUUAAAUUAAGCAAAAAAUGCAGUUUCUUAAAUCUGUACAGAAAGUGGAUAGAUUCAGUCACUGAAUUUGUAAAAAGCAUAACUCGUAAACGGUCAGACUUAUGGCUGUCAAAUUUUAACAUAAGUAAUAUAAUAAAGUUAUCUACAACUUUUCUAUAAAGCUUUUCUACAGAAAACAUGAUUUAGUUCAUUAAACCUACAGCACGACGAAAACAGUGCGUGCAGCCCAAAACAACUAAUAAAAUUCAGCUCCUAAUUACUUCAAGAAUUGUCGCGUUCUAGAGACUUGAAUUAUUCUAACACUUUACCAUUUGUUAGAGUUAAAACAAUCAAAUUAGGACCAAUAAGUAGACUUACUAAUUUUAUACAAGUUAUUUCGCGCGUUAGAAUUACCAUACACAAUCAACAAACACAUUCACCACAAUAAUCAAACCCUGUAUAAAUGUGUAUAUCGAUUGCGCCAUUCACACACUAAUUUGUAUUUUUACUUAGACAUCACAUGAACACCACUAAUUUUACCCGCGACCAUAACCAUGCGCAUUUGGACUACAACAAGCAAUUUAUCUCGAUGACGUGCUUAACCAAACCAUCUGACAGGUCGACUAACUGGAGCAACGACAUAGCCCGCUAAAUAACAUACAUGUCAGUUUGCCUGUCACUACAUACAUUACAACAUUUUUAUAAAUAUACAUAUUCACACGUAUAUUCGCAGAUUGACUAAUUUAUGCGAACCGUAAACCACUAAUCUACAAUUCGCCAACACCAUGCAUUUACUUCCCCAAAUUAUGAACGCAUACAUGUUUAUCAUACGAGCCGAGCAUUUCAAUAAUUAUCCUAAAACAGCUAACUCCAUUGCACACUUGUAUCACAAACCUACUUGACUUACUUGAAGCGUCUACUCGAAAUCGUGAGCAUAAUAACAUUAUAUGCGAAGCAUAAUUUAACGAACGCAUAAUAUGCAUCGUCACGACUCGACUUAUAAAUAUAGAGAAGACGACGACUACUUUGGCAUGUCACCACCUCUCUAUAUAAGUCAAAACAAUUUCUACUAUCGACUAAGAGUUCUAAGUAUUAAACACAUUAUUAUUUUCCACGUGCAAAUAAACCUCAGCUUAACAUCAGUGACACCGAUGGAUUUUUACUAAACUCAUCAGGCGCAUAACCUCGUCUCGCAUACAACCAUAUGAUGGCGUGCACUCGAGAUACUUUGAUCAUCGUAGCGUAACCACUAAUAUAUGAACUCCGACACUCAUGUCUUAACAAUACAUCCUCCACGCAAACUAGCAUUUUCUAAACUACUCGUCACAUCAAUAAAUAUACUCCCUAUAUAAUCAUGAAUCCCAUCACAUUGCAUAAAACAAUUAUACUUUUCACAUAAACACAUAUCGAUACAUUUCUCAAAACAUAAUCCGCAUUUUGUUACUUAGUUUUUCGCAUCAAAGAACGCAUCGCAUAUUUUUCCUACCAAGAUAUAAAAAUAUCCGAGUUCUUUUCUACUUCAUUUUCUUCUCUACACGCGUCCAUUCAUACAAUUAUACUUUCACGCCCAUAUUCACGCCAUCGACUGAAUUGUAAAUAAAACGAUAUCACAAUUUUUCUAAAGCGAACAACCUGGCCGACUCGUGUCGCGCAUGCCUCCACGGUUUAGGUGCUUCAUCGAAUCAUGCAUCGCGCGAGGCGCAACGACAACAUCUAGCUGCGAUUAACAACACCAAAGGUUCAAACAUUUUUAUCAAGCACUUGAGAUCCAAAAACAAUGGGAUACUAGCGAGGGGCUCACCGAGGAUUUUGACGACGAUGCGCAAGCGCUGCGCAAAUCCGGCGAAGCGAGACGCGGAGACGUCGUGCCUGCACGGAUCGACGACGCGGCUGCUCUUGACGAACUCUCGCGCAGGUGACACAACAUGGGGGCAGCAGCGUGCACUGAGGGGCAUUUUGUCGAGCAGAUUGAGCGAAGAGGAGAGUGGCUUGGGGCUUGCUGUUGUGGUUAGAAUGGUGAGUAGAGCACCACCAUGGCUACAUAUGGGGGAACUGAUGCACGAGCUGCUGCUAGGAUUCAGGUGGGGAGGACAGCGAGGUAGAACAUGUUGGCAACGGUGCGCAGGGCGCGCCAUGAGGGGAAAAGCAGGGGCGCACGUGAUCUAGGCGAGCUCAGCAUCCCAGGCCACAAUCUUCUUGCGGAGGAGGAGCUCGCUGGGUGUCGGCGCCCAGUCGGGCUAAGGUGAGGCGAGCCGAUGUGGGGCUAGGCGAGGGAGGAACACAUGGUCUAGACACUGCAGGAGCCAUGGCUGAACCUACAGUUGAGCUCGCUGGUGCGAACCCAAGGUCCGUGGCGAGGCGUAGCAUUGCUCUGUUGACAGAUCUCGCCAUGGCAUCGAUGAAGGAGCAUAUGGCGUGAAAUCUAGAUGGAGCAAGGUCCGGCGAUCUGCUGGUGCGCAGGGAAAAAGACGCAGGGGAAAGCCGGCUGGAGGCCGACGCGGAGAGCGCGGGCCGAGCACCAUGGGCAGUUGAGGGAGCUCGGGCGUCGGUUGGGGAGAGGAGACGAGGCUGCAUGCUAGUGGAAGAAGUGGCUGGAGCAGGGAGGAGGAUGGCGUUCAAGGAGCUAGGUGCCAUGGAGAGAGGGAAGAGAUCCCUGCUGCUGGCGCCCAUGGGAGGAGGGGUUGUGCAUCCCUGGAGGCCAAGCACCAAGGAGGGAGGAGCCCGGUGUGCUGGUGAAGAUUCGUAGGGGCUUGCCUGUCGCCAUGCCGCGCGGAGAAGAUGUCGCUGGGGGAAGGCGCCGGCUUGGGGAGAUCACGAGAAGGGCGCUGGGAAGGCAGAGGCCGACGACCUAGGGGAGAGCAGGGGCGAGAGGGCGCCAGGGAGCUGGCCAUGGGAGAAGAAACUCCUGCGCGUUGGGGGAGAAGGGCUCUGCGCUUGGGAGCUUCUGCAGAAAGCUGGGCGUCGAGUGGAGGAAUGGAGCAGAGAAUGGAGAUGGCGCCCUGGCUCCUUUUAUUAACAGGCGACGACCGCAUGCGACAUUGGCGCCUUGGCCGGCUGCUGUUGGUUGGCUAGUGCCAGGCAGUGGCUAAGAGCCUGGUGUCCAACGACUGCUGAGGAGGGAGGUGGCCAUCCAUUGGCUGAGGGCGCGACAUCCUGCGAGUGGCCGAGGCUACAGUGCGCACGAAUUUCAUUUGAACAGCUCGCAGCCACGAUGAACAGAAAAAAGGUUGUUGCUUAAAUUCAAAAACUAUGUUGAUGAACAAAAUUUCUAGUGUCGUAUUUAGAAAAUAAUUUGACGCACAUUUUAACUAGGUUUUUGAAUUAGAAACCUGUAGCUCAGAUUAGUUCGCGUAAGUUAAAAAAGGUAUUGAUGCUUGUCGCUUUUUACUCAGAUCAGGUACAUGUAUUAACACAUCGAGUAGGAUAUGAUUUAAAUAGAGGCAAACACGUUAAAGAUCCCACUUGGGAAUACGGGUUCAGAUAAAAUUUAUUUCGAAGCUGACACAUUAGAAAUCCCGCUUAAGAAUACGAACCCGGAUAAAAUAUUUGGACAUGGAUGGCUAGUUGAGAAAUCGGGGUUGGACAUAGACCGAAGGUCGAGAAAUUUGAUUCGGACACAGCUCGACUAGCAACUGUCGAGCAUUCGAUUAAAUGAGCUUUGAACGAGAUUUAUAAAUCAAGAAUGAUUUUCGAGUUUGCAUUUGCGCCAAGAAAUAAAAGUUUUAACAUGCUCCAAAAUUGGUUGUUUCUCGCGAUCGAAUAAAAUCAGAAAUCGGUGAAACCUUCUCAAGUAACUUGAUAAAUGGAGAUAAACGCGAUCGAGAAAAAGAAAUUUCCACUGAGCAUCCGGGAUUAGGAUAAAUCUCCUGACAUAACGCGAAAUAGACACCUGGGUGUCACACGAACUACACCUCAGUUCCUCUAAUUAUGUGGUAUGUGGACAUGAAAACAGAAUACUAGUCAAUCCUUAGGUUGAUCAUGGUAUACGGGUUGAUGAAUUAUAAAGUAAAUGGAACAUAAUAGGCUAGAGGACACUUGCCUUCAAAAAACAGAUGCUCACAAUCUUCAGCCUCGUAGAUCUCGAAGAGUUUGGUCUCUUGGUCGCCGAAGCUUGACAGUCGAUUCGUCGAAGCUCGAAAAUGGAUCGCAGUCUAUUCGCGACGCACAACGAAUACAAGCAGGCGCAAGGAAACAUAUACUUGCAUAAAAACAUUACACCAUACGAGAUAAAGUAUUAUAAAAGCGAGCAAUAUAAAAUAGAGAGCGCUUCUACGGUUAUGCGAGGAAAAGAACCGCGAUAGUCGAAGCUACGGUCGAGGGGAUAGCGUGUUUACACUAAGCAAGUAUUAAUUAGAAUAUUUAAUCCGACAUUUCUCAAAUAUAAAUAAUAUCUACUACUUAGUUUAUGGAUAACUUACUAUUUUAAUUGUGGAUGAUUAAAUAAAUAACUAAUUAACUCACAUGAGUAAUUAUAACGAAUGGUUUAAUCUCGUAUGCGGACAACGCGCGAUACGCGUGAACGGCGUGCGACACACACGAACGGCGCGCGACAACGCAUGCGAAUAACACGUGCGACACUCGUGAACGACACGCGACGACACGCGCGAAACAACACCGCGGCACGCGCACGGUACGCGCGAAACAACAUGCGAAACUAAUAAAUAAAUGACAACAUGAUUACACUAAACAAUUAUUAGUAAGUAAUAUUUCAGUUAAGAUUAAUUAUGUUGGUGACUAAUUAUAAAUGCACAAAUCGAAUUCCUAAAUUAGAUUUUAAAAUUGAAUUGUCGUUCCAGUAGUCUUUGGUUAAACAAACGUUUAAAUAAAUUAAAUGAAAUGUGCAACAGUGGGGAUAAAUUUUUCUAAAUUAAGAUAAUUUUAGUACGAAUCUAACGCAACUUGAAUGGAUCGAAUCGAGUUUAAAACGCAAAAGUUAUGACUGUUUUAAACUGUACUGUAAUUCGUGCGUACUAAAUUACGAGACUGUCAUCUUCUUCCUUCCAUCCAUGGAAGGAAGAGGAGGGGAAGAGGAGGGGGCUGCGCAGGGGAGGAUGAGGUCGGGCCGGCCGUGCGCGGGCGCGGACGCACAGGGCGCGCGGGACGCGGGAGCGUGGUCGCCGCCGCCGGGGAGUGGGAAAGGGGCGUCGCCGCUGGAGAAGGUGAGAGGAGAGUGAGGGAGGCCCAGUACGGACGGGAAAACGAAGAAACCCUAGGUGCAACAAUAGAGGUUUCUCACCGGGAAGAAGACCCUCGCUGGAGCCGAGGAGAAAUCCGUCGAUUGCCGAAGAUUCGGGGGGUCUGAUCGACGAACUGGACACACCCCGACGAAGUCCUCGGCGAGACGAACUUAGCGGUACCUUUAGAUUCCACAGACGAUGCACGAAUUGGGAGUAAUUGCUCGCCGGAGUUGGAACCGCUUCGAACUUCGGUGAGCAAUACCGGGAGCUAGGGAUCGAAUUUGAAGGAACUGUUUCACGUUCUGGAACGGUCUCGACGAGGAGAAGCCGGACAUGUAUAUAUAUAUAUAUAUAUAUCUAGGGUUCCAACGAGGUGAAAAUUCGGUUAAAAUUCGGAUUUUACCAUUUUUAAAAUUUGAAAAAACCUACAAAUCCAUAUUUUGUGCUCAAAAUAUUAUAGAUGCUUUCAAAAAAAUCUAGAAAAAAAUCCGAUAAAUGUUUUGGCACCUAAUGAACUCAAAAAAAAUAAUUAGAGUUUCUAAAAACAUUUUUAAGUUCCUCAAAAAAUAGAUUUUGGUUUCCGGAAAAUAGAAAAAUAUUUCAAAAAAUAUGACAAUUUACCGAGCACUUUUAUAAGAUAUGUUAACAUGUUUCAAACACAUUUUGCACUUAGAAACACCAUGCAACGGCAUGAAUGCAACAACCAAUGUGCCUCUAGGGCUCAUUCCACUAGGUUUACACCAAUAUAAAACAAAAUAAUAUUCUCCAUUUUUAGGAAAAAGAAAAGGAAAGCAAAGAAAUGAGAGAGUAACACCUAAAUUUGGUGGAUAUUAGGAAAGAAAAUUUUAUACCCCCAAAUUCAGGGUGUUACAAUGGCCUUCUUUGUUUUUCUUUUCAUGUUGGCACAUUUGCUGCACGAACAUGGGACUAGACUAGCUCCUUUAGUAGCUUCGCCAAAUGCUAGUUCCAUGAAAGCAUUGGCCUUUCUAAUCCAUUCAGGGGUCACAUCAUUCCUUCCUAUACGGCCCGUGUACAUCUACUCAUGGUCCUCCAUCCUCUAACAUAUAUAACUGGGUAUAGUUUAAUAUAAACAUGUAAUGCAUGUACACUACGUUCCUACCUUCUAAUAGGUGAGGAUAGGUCCUAAUCCCACUCGCGGUUGCGUAGAUGGGGUUAGUUUCCAUGCUCUACUCCGACCCGAGACAGAGUUUCGGUAGCACCUCCCCGCUGUUCUCAUGAACAUGUCCUGGCAGGGAGAGUGUACUGUCCGGAGAACAAAAGGGAUGUGACGUCAAAACUCUGUAUCGAACAAGAGUAGAGCAUAGAAACUAACAACAUCUACGCAACCGCGGGUUGUCCAAAAAAUGUGGACAAUUCAAAACAGAUACAUUUGUAGAUAUGCAAGGAUAUGCAUAUCUACACUAUAUCUCUUUCGGACAGGAGACGUCUGUCGGGGGUGGUAAUUAGGGGUACCCGAAUUAUUCCCCCGACGGGCGCACUCAGGAGAAGUAAAGACAUAACCCCGAGGGGAAGCAGCCAAGAUACCUCCUAAACCGAGGCCCCUCCCCAAGAGUCUAUCACCUCGGGCAGAACUCCGCCUCGCCCGAGGUCACCACCGCUCCAUUCGUCUUGCCCGAGCUAAUCCCCGGCAAAUAAGACAAAAGCACCCAAAAACAAGAGGGGAACACUCGCAUUUAAUGCGCAUACCUACCCCACGCCACGGGAUUACGCUCGAAAGCGCACGAAAGCAGGAGCACAGUGGCUAACAAGACAACAAUAACAUCCGAGUGCAACAGCAUGAUUACGCCCCUGCUACAAUACGUGCACGCCGCCUGCCAUCCUCCAAUGGGACAUCUAAUAUGACGGGUGAAGCAGACCGGCCCUCAGGCGCAAAUAUCCGCCACGCUCAACGUCGAGUCUGGCCCUCAAACCCAAUCUCCGUCUCACCCGAGGCUAAGUUCGGACUCGAGUGAUUUCUCCGCCUCGCCCGAGCUCGGCCUCGUCUACUUGCCCCACCGUGAAUCCCACGGGCGGCCACUCCGCGGACUGUGGCACACAUCAAUGGAUGGCUCAACCAACACCUCAAGAAGACUUCCACCUCACCCGAGCAGGGCUCUGACCUCGAUAAACACAGCAAGGAAUCACGACGUCAUCCCACGCAAGGGCACUAACACACCCCAUAAGCAGGCCUUUUGCCCAUUCCCCGGCGCUGUUACAACAACUACGGUAUGAGAAAUCCCUCCCCUGGCUCGGCCAUCCCUUGUUCGACGAGGUAAGGGUGGCAGGGAUGUACAAUUGCACCCAGUCCAAGCAUAGCUGAAGCGUGCAGCCGCCGGCCCGGACAGCGUGGCGUACCCUCCUCACCUUGCUAGGGAGAGAGAAGGGCUCCGCCCGGAAGAGAUGGAGCCAUUGGUCCCUAUGGAGCUCAAUGCCCAAAAAUCCCAUGCAGACGACGGUGAAGAUGGCCUCCUGAGUGAUGGAGUUGGGGUUGAAGUUGUGCAGCUCCACCCCCAUAGUAGUGCGGCAGAGCCCGCAUGAAGCGGCUCAGCAGACCUCCAACCCCCCGCUCAUGGAAUGAGGUGAAGCUCACCACGUAGCCCGCGGGCAUAUCCGACAUCUCCUCAUCACCCGAUGCAAACCACUCGGGCUACGAGCCGGGGGAGAGGGGGCGGAGCAGACUAGCUUCAACCAUCGCCUCCAAAUCCUCGUCGGUGACGGAGAAGAUGGGCCAUGGGUCGUGAGGAGGAAGAACGCUGAUCUUCUCGGCCAUCGGGAUGGAGAAAGAAGUCGAGGAGAAGACGAAAGACUCUUUUUGCAGAAGGUGAGAACAACGUGUGAAAGCAAGAAGGUUGAAGAGGCAAAGGUAAUGGUCUGAGGCAUCCGCCUCGGUCGACUUUAUAGGAACAUGCAAAGCCACUGAGGUGCGAAUCGUAAAGGUCGAACGAUGGUUGUUUCGAAUCCCAUGCGCACGCGUGCAAACGGUCGGCUAACCGAUAGGAUGUCUCGUCGCAUUAAAUGGGUGUGCCCCUUCUGAGAAAAAACACGCUAAAUGUCGUUUUGCAUUUCUUCUCAAAAGGUAUGCCCUAUGCCUCUCCGACCUUUAUCCUCUCAGCAGUUAACCGGAAGAAGGCGUCUUCUGCCCUAGGCAACUCACCUCGUAAAGGAAAAAAGGUGAGGAAAAAUACUAAUCAGAGGUUCGAAGGUCCGGCCCUCGACAGGGCUCGAAAAAACCACCUCAGGACACCCUCGGCAGCACUCUUACUCUGCACCAUGCCAGAGCCUUCCACCACUGAGGGACGCUGCAUCCAUGGCAAACUUCGGGGGCUUCUGGAAUGCACCGCAAUUCAGCAGCCUAAGAGCUCUGCCUCUCGGCUCCGAGAGCCCACCUCAAGUCAUCAGGUGGGGCCCUCUCGCUUCGAGAGGGAAGCCUCGGUGCACCCUACGCCUACCAGAGAGAGGGCGCCCACGGUGCGUGAUCAUCUCCGAGACAACCGCCAACCCCAAACGGUUCAUGACCAUCUCGACGGACACGUUCAACACCAUGAGACGUACGGCUACCACCCUCGGUGAUCUAGAACCUGAGGACUACUCCGAGCCGAGCCACAAGGUUUACAACGUUCUUCCUAGUCUAUGGGGCAGAGGCUGUGUUACCGACUAACCUAGAGUACGGUUCCCCGAGGCUACAAGCAUACAACGAAUGCAACAAUCAAGUCAGCCGUGAUGAUUUGCUUGACCAGCUGGAAGAAGCUCGAGACGUAGCAUUCCUUCAUUCGGCCAAAUAUCAGCAGUCCCAUCAGCGCUACCAUGAAAGGCGUGUCCGACCCCGAGAAUUCCAAGAAGGCGACCUGGUGCUUUGGUUACGACAAGACAACAGAGAAGACGAUGAUGGCCUCCGUCGAUGACGCGGGGCACGCGGGAGCCACCUCGGCCGUGGUGAUGUCGGGCUCGACCGAUGCCCCAGGAGCAGGCACAGACACCUCAGUGCCCUCCUAAGGUGUCUCCUGGGCAUAAUGGGGGCGGGACGAGGCCCCCGCGGACAUCCCGGCGCCGUGCUUCACCGCCUUGGUGGCAGUAAAGGUCGGCGUGUGAGCUCGGUAUUUGGAGCUAAGGACAAGAUGACAGUCAGAGAAAAAACCAUACACACAAGACAUUUUCAUAUUUCAACAACUUACCUGGAGACUGGCAUGGCGGAAGGCAUGAGCCUCUGGCUCCCUGAUCCUUGCCGCCUCACCAUAGACGUAGGUGAUGGGACUGUGGACCUCUCUUCUACAGGCCCCAGGGCAGGGGCAGGGGUCGGAGGCGGAACAAUGAUCGAGGCCAAUACGGCCCCUCCUGUGACAGAACCUCCCAAGUUAUUGGCCCCACAUGCACCUGCCCUUGUCUCAAAGACCUCAGACGGCUAUGCAUGUGCACCAAAUAACUUAACAGGAUCUGUCCGAGUGCCCCAAGGACCUCAGAUAAACCACUUACAACCUGGACCGCAGGAUUAAGUAAACACAAAUCACACACCAACAAGUUGCAACUGAAAUCUUAUUACCAAAUUUUACAAGUUACAACAAAUUUACAUUAUAUUUAUCGGAGUGGUUACAAAAGUGGUUCAAAGUGAUAACUUUGAAAUGUUAUAAAUUAGUUAUAAGUUUGAAAUAUAUGCUAGCUCAGGGACAAUCCUCAAUAAGAAGUUUAGAAGAAGUACUUAGACUUAUAAGAAGGCCGUGCCCACCGGCGCUUAACACCAAUCACAAUCAAGUGACUUGUAAUCUACAGCAACAAUGGGAAUAAAACCCUAAGUACGCAAGUACUCAGCAAGACUUACACGACUAAAGAAAAGACUCUCAAGGGUAUGCAGUCUUCAUGCCCGAGAAGUAACGGCGAUCCGAAUCGAUUAAUACUCAGCUGAGGAUCUCCAAUCACACGACAUAUGUAGCAUUUCACCCUUGCAUAUGUCAACUCGCCACCGGGGUUCUUAAGACCAGACCGGGUUCACACCAACCGAGAGCACAUAUACACCACCAUCCAGCCUCUUGCCACAGAGGGUACACGCUACUCUCGCCAUCUCUCCACUCCCAUUGCUUGUUGGCCUUUCUGGUAUUAGUUUGCCCGAGGCAAAGCUUACCCAUGACGAGGCAUGUGACCAGUUAAAGGGUCCUCGGUCAUUAGGCCCACAUUGACACGGUCCUUAAUCGACUCAAACAAAGACAUUACACCGAGACUCCCUUCUCAUGCAAGUCAACCGCCCGGUCUCAGCUUUAUUAUUUAAACCCAAAGUUUGGUACCUGGCUGUCGGCGUUUCGAGACCGGGGGGUCCCUAAGCCGACGAGUGAAUGUGCCGCGUGCCCCAGCCUAGAUGGGUCGAGCGCGUGGGCGAGCGCGAAGGUGGGAAGCGAGGUGGCCGGAGACGGGCGUGAGAGAGGUGGAAAUCCCGCGGCCUUCGUGUUCGUCCCGCGCCCAGGUCGGGUGCGCUUGCAGUAGGGGGUUACAAGCGUCCACGCGGGUGAGGAAAGAGAGCGGCCCCAAGAGAGCGCCUGUCUCGUCCUCGUCCCCGCGCGGCCAACCUUCUCUAAGAAGGCCCUGGUCCUUCCUUUUAUAGGCGUAAGGAGAGGAUCCAGGUGUACAAUGGGGGUGUAGCAGAGUGCUACGUGUCUAGCGGGGGAGAGCUAGCGCCCUAAGUACAUGCCAAUGUGGCAGGCGGAGUGAUCUUGGCACCCAGCUGGUGUGAUGUCGUGGCUGUCGGAGGAGCAACGGAGCCUGGUGGAGGGACAACUGUCGGAGCGGUUGGGUCCUUGCUGACGUCCUCCUGCUUCCGUAAGAGAGCUGAGAGUCGCCGUCGUCACAGGUCUUGCGGGGCGCCAUCAUUGCCUAUUUGGCGGAGCUAGCCAGAUGGGACACCGGUCUUGUUCUCUGCGGCCCGAGUCGGCUCGGGGUAGGGUGAUGAUGGCGCUUCCUGUUGACGUGGCUGGCCUGCGCCCUAGGUCGGGCGACGUGGAGGCUCCUCCGAAGCCGAGGUCGAGUCUGUCUUCCAUGGCCGAGGCCGAGCCCGAGCCCCUGGGUCGGGCGAGGCGGAGGUCGUUCGGCAGAGGCCAGGGCGGAGUCCGAGCCCUAGGGUCGGGUGGAGCGGAGUUCGCCGUCUUCCUGGGCUUAGCCCGAGUCCGAGCCCUGAGUCGGGCGGAGCGGAGUUCGCCGUCUUCCGGGGCUUAGCCCGAGUCCGAGCCCUAGGUCGGGUGGAGCGGAGUUCGCCGUCUUCCGGGGCUUAGCCCGAGUCCGAGCCCUGGGUCGGGCGGAGCGGAGUUCGCCGUCUUCCGGGGCCUAGCCCGAGUCCGAGCCCUGGGUCGGGCGGAGCGGAGUUCGCCAUCUUCCGGGGCUUAGCCCGAGUCCGAGCCCUGGGUCGGGCGGAGCGGAGUUUCCUAUGGCGCCUUUGGUAGGGCCUGACUGCCUGUCAGUCUCACUCUGUCAAGUGGCACUGCAGUCGGAGUGGCGCAGGCGGCGCUGUCCUUCUGUCAGACCGGUCAGUGGAGCGGCGAAGUGACGGCGGUCACUUCGGCUCUGCCGGGGGGCGCGCGUCAGGAUAAAGGUGUCAGGCCACCUUUGUGUUAAAUGCUCUUGUGACUCGGUCGGUCGGCGCGGCUAUUUAGUCAGGGUUGCUUCUUAGCGAAGGCAAGGCCUCGGGCGAGCCGCAGACGUGUCCGCCGUUGGAGGGGGGCCUCGGGCGAGACGGAAAUCCCUCGGGGUCGGCUGCCCUUGUCCGAGGCUAGGCUCGGGCGAGGCGUGAUCGAGUCGCUCGUAUGGACUGAUCCUUGACUUAAUCGCACCCAUCAGGCCUCUGCAGCUUUAUGCUGAUGGGGGUUACCAGCUGAGAAUUAGGCGUCUUGAGGGUACCCCUAAUUAUGGUCCCCGACAGUAGCCCCCGAGCCUCGAAGGGAGUGUUAGCACUCGCUUGGAGGCUUUCGUCGCACUUUUUUGCAAGGGGACCAGCCUUUCUCGGUUGCAUUUUGUUCUAGUGGGUGCGCGCGAGCGCACCCGCCGGGUGUAGCCCCCGAGGCCUCGGAGGAGUGGUUUCACUCCUCCGAGGUCUUAAUGCCUUGCGUAAUGCUUCGGCUGGUCUGGUUGUUCCCUCAUGCGAACUGGUCGUAGUCCGGGUGCACGGUCGGGGCCCAAGUUCUCGGGCUGGUAUGUUGACACUGUCAACGGUUCGGCCAGAGCCGGGUUUGCGAGAGCAGCCCCCGAGCCUCCGCACAGGGCGAGAGGACGAUCAGGGACAGACUCGGCUUUUUUACAUACGCCCCUACGUCGCCUUUCCGCAAGGAGGAGGGGGGGAGUGCGCCAUGUUACCCUCGAUGGGCACCGAACAUGGUGUCUCCGGUGAGCUGCAAGCGGGUAAUCCGAGUAGACAUCCGUGCCCCGUUCGUUGGGGGUCGGCUAGGGGCCCAGAGGCACGCCCAAAAGUACCUGCGGGUGAUCUGCCGGACCCGGUCCCCUGGCGUCGGGGUCCGAGGGCUCGAUGCCUCCCUCCGAUGGGAUUCCGUUACAAGAUCGCUCCCGCUGGUCUCGGAAAUGUCCUAGGGUACCUCGGGAGCGCAGCCCGAGCCUUGGUUAUGUAUCGAACGUACCCCUGGUCAUCCCUCGCUCAGCGUCUGAGGCGACUGUGAACCCUUCGGGGGCCAGCCUUCGAACCCCUGAUCAGUAAUGGGCGCGGAGCCCGAGUAGCCUGAGGCGACCGUGGAGCCCUUCGGGGGGCCGGCCUUCGAACCUCUGACCAGUAGUGGGUGUAGGGCCCACGCGAUCUGAGGCGGCUGUUGAACCCCUCGGGGGGCCAGCCUUCGAACCUCUAAUCAGUAGGAGGGGCUCAGAGCCCGGUUCCUUCACAGGGAAGGAUCCUUUUCGGGGUAUCCCCCUUUCCCGGUCCCUGUUGCAAGAGAUAGAGAAAGAGGAAAAAGGAAAAGGAUACGAAAUCGAACGAUGUGGCGUACCUUUUUUGGCGCGGUUAUUACGGCGAAGGCGAAGCAUCGCCCGCUUCUCCUGCCAGAAGCGCCGCAUGUCCUGCCGCGGAGUUAAUGCGACGGGGCGAGUGGUUGGCGGGGCGGCCGUUGCGCGUGCGCGAGCCGUUCGAGGGACGGAUCACGGGCGCGUCGUCUUCACGCCGUGAGAGGAGGCUCUCUUGCUGCCCCUGGAUGGGACGUGAGCCUGGCCGACGACGUGACCGCUGCUCUCGCCCGCCUGCCACCGUCAUUACUGUCGGCCCACUUUCGGCUGCAUUGACCGUCGCGCCAGGCUGGCGCCGCUGGGUCGUGCGCUGGGCCGCCUCGAGUCGCGGUAUUGGUUCCGCAACCGAAGAGGCGCGGUGGUGGCGCAAGUGGCGGUGCAGUUGCUUGCAUGCAGCAUCCGGCGCGCUGGUUGCGUGACGCGUGGGCCUGGACCUCCAUGCUGGCGCGUUGGGAGUCGGGGAAGCGCGUCCACCUGGCGCGGUUGCAUGCCGCCUGCAUGGCUGCCCGCCCCUUCUGCCCGUUGGUCUAGGCAGAAGUGGGGGGUCUCUUGUAACCGCUGGGCGGUUGUGUGCACCACGCGCGGCGGUUUGGCUUCAUCUGCUCUGAGCAGGUUUGCAUGACAUGCGGGACCCAGCCCCCGCGCCGCAGGAGAGGGCCUUGGAGCGUGUUGGAGAAGACUCAGCCCGUGACGUUUGGGGGCGCACGUAGGGAGAGUUGCCUUUAAAAGGAGGGCGACCCCUUUCGGAAGGCGACCAUGUCUUCUCCCCACCUUAUGCAUCGCGUCUUUUCACCUUCCAAGCCCCCGGAUGGGGGGAACCCGCCGUCUUUUCGCCUCAUCGUUGGAGGAACGCAACUCCGCGGGAGUUGGUACCUUUCAGCCAUCGUUCGGCUUCAAGGAUUUUCAUCACACAGCCCGGUUGCUCCCCUCCGCUGGUGGUCACCCAAGACGGUGACCUCCAGCUCCUGGAUGGGGAGAGGCAAGCCGGGCUGUGAUCCCGCCCUCAGCAUCGGGGGUGUUCGCCAUCCUCGCUGGGGCGGGGAGCGAGGUGAGCCAGGGCUCUACCUCCUGCGCGGGUCGGCGGACCACCUCUUCUUCCAGCUUCUGGUGGUGGCAAUCGUCCUCCCGCGCUGCGACGGAGACGUCCUCCAGCCAUGCCGGGGAAGGCGUACUGUUGCUGCCCAGCUAGGAUGCAACAUUCCGCCCUCUCCCUCGCAUUCGCGGCGAGGAUGGCAGCGAGGGUCUGCCGGUGCGCUUGGGAGCGACCCGCUCUUUGGCUCUAAUAGCUGGUUCGCGUCCCUUGAGCGGGACCGCGAACGAGAGCCCUCCGGUGGCCGCAUCCACCCGGGACCAUGGCUGCUGCUGCAGAGGUCGCUGGCGAGCCUCCCGAUGUUCGUCGCCCCACAGGCUCGAGGUUGCUCAUACCCGCGGGGACGGAACUAGAGUUCUGUUUGUAAGGGCACUUUGAAUGCCAGUGUUUUUGUUCAUUGUGGCUGUCGAGGCCUGAACAUGUAUGUAAUUUUGGCACGGAGCCGUGUUUUUUCCUCAUUUUCGAGCACUAAGACUCGCCUGUUGAUUAUCUGAACCGCUUCACCAAGCAUGAGUCGCCCCGUGUCAAGGUGACGAGUGAGGUAUCUAUAUCCCGGAGGCAUAGGAAUUCCUCGGCUCGAUCGGCCUUGUUGUCUGAGGCUCCUCUAGCUUAGUUAAAGAGACCCCUUGGCCGCUCUUCGACGAGCCGAGGCCAGGGGUAGCGAUAUCAGCACGAACAGAGGCGGAGUUGGCUUGAAAAUGAAAACCUGGUUGGCCGGAGCCUAACCGGGUUGUCCGUCAGCGGGGCCGAUGCCGGAGUUGAUCAGCCGAGGCCUCGGAUCGGGCUAGCGCCCUUGGAAGAUGGUUGGCCGAGGCCCCAGGGGUAACCGGCCGAGCCGCCUACUUGGGCCGGAUUCUCGGAGAAGUCCCUGGACCGCGUCACCGUCCGAGGCUGGGUCGGACCUUGCUGAAGGUGUCGUCGAUGCCGAGGGUGCUACAGCCCCCUUCCAGCGUGAAGACCCGGGCCUGCAGGAUCAGAUUGUCUUGUAGCGUGUGCCUUCUGCGGCCGCUGAGGCCAGAACACACACCCUCGCUGCGUUGUAAAGUUGUGUCUCUUUUCCUCUUAUUUCGAGUAUCUGGACUUUUUUGUCGGUAACAGGGAUGUUUGUGCGAGCGAGAGUUGCUUCUCGCGGAAGGUGAUGAGUGAGGUAUCCGUAUCCCGGAGGCGUGGGAGUCCCUCGUCUCGGUCGGCCUUGCCGCUUACGCGUACUUUCACCCGUCCAUGAGGCCCUGUCACCGACUCAGUCGAGAAGGCUCGAAGGAUCGCUUCGGCAGAAAAGCUUCCGAACGUAAAGACUUGUUCGGUCCGCGGAAUCACUUUAUCCGAACGCGAGUUACUUAUCGCAGAAGGUGAUGAGUGAGGUAUCCGUAUCCCGGAGGCGUAGGAGUCCCUCGGCUCGGUCAGCCUUGGCUGCUUACGUGUACUCCGUCGUUUUCAGGAUCCGCUUUUCGAAGUAGUCAAAAAGCACGAAAGAUAUUCUGCUAAAAGAGAUCUUUUUUUGAGGAAAAUUUCGACGCAGAGGGGGUCCCCCCCUUUUAGCCCCCGAGGGAGGGUCGGGCUUUGCCGAGGCGAGGCCGACCCUUCCUUGAUGACUAAACUUUGCGUGGGUGCGAGGUAUAUGAACGACUUGAAAACAUCUUAAGGGUAAAAGCGACGUAGCUGUUGGAUGUUCCAAGCGUUGCCGUAGACCUCGCCUUGACUGCUGGCCAGCUUGUACGUUCCGGGCUUCAGAACUUUGGCGAUGACGAAUGGCCCCUCCCAGGGGGGCGUGAGCUUGUGCCUCCCUCGGGCGUCUUGCCGCAGCCGAAGCACCAGGUCGCCCACCUGGAGGUCUCGGGGCCGUACCCCUCGGGCGUGGUAGCGUCACAGGGAGUGCUGGUACCGUGCCGAGUGUAGUAAGGCCUUGUCCCGAGCCUCUUCCAGCUGGUCCAGCGAGUCUUCUCGACUAACUUGGUUGCUUUGAUCGCUGUAGGCUCUCGUCCUCGGGGAGCCAUAUUCCAGGUCAGUGGGCAAGACGGCCUCGGCCCCGUAGACCAGGAAGAACGGCGUGAAACCCGUGGCUCGGCUCGGUGUUGUCCUCAGGCUCCAGACCACCGAGGGGAGUUCCUUCAUCCAUCGCUUGCCGAACUUGUUGAGGUCGUUGUAAAUCCGAGGCUUGAGCCCUUGUAGAAUCAUGCCGUUGGCACGUUCUACUUGCCCAUUCGACAUGGGAUGAGCCACGGCGGCCCAGUCCACCCAGAUGUGGUGAUCCUCGCAAAAAUCCAAGAAUUUUCUGCCGGUGAACUGGGUGCCGUUGUCGGUAAUGAUGGAGUUUGGGACCCCGAAGCGAUGGAUGAUGUUGGUGAAGAACGCCACCGCCUGCUCGGACCUGAUGCUGUUCAGAGGUCGGACCUCGAUCCACUUGGAGAAUUUGUCGACGGCGACCAGCAGGUGCGUGUAGCCCCCGGGCGCCUUCUGCAAGGGACCGACGAGGUCCAGACCCCAUACAGCAAAGGGCCAGGUGAUGGGUAUCGUCUGCAGAGCCUGAGCGGGCAGGUGGGUCUGCUUCGCAUAGAAUUGGCACCCUUCGCAGGUGCGGACAAUUCUAGUGGCGUCAGCCACCGCCGUUGGCCAGUAGAAGCCUUGCCGGAAAGCAUUCCCGACAAGGGCUCGAGGCGCUGCAUGAUGGCCGUAAGCCCCCGAGUGUAUUUCUCGCAGGAGUUCCUGACCUUCGGCGAUGGAGAUGCAUCGCUGGAGGAUGCCCGAGGGGCUGCGGUGGUAGAGCUCCUUCUCAUCGCCCAGCAAGACGAACGACUUGGCGCGUCGCGCUACCCGCCGAGCCUCGGCUUGGUCGAGGGGUAGCUCUCCUUGGCGGAGAUAUUGCAGGUACGGGGUCUGCCAAUUUUGAUCAGGCGUGGUCCCGCUCUGCUCCUCCUCGACGUGCAACGUCUCGCCCUCGGGGGCCGAGGGUACCUCGGGCUGAACCGAGGGCGCCUCGGGCCGAACUGAGGGUGCCUCGGGCUGAGCCGAGGGUACCUCGGGCCGGACCGAGGGUGCCUCGGGCUCGGGCGCAUCGUCGAUCUUGACGGAGGGUUGAUGCAGAUCCUGGGAGAAGACGUCCGGGGGAACCGUCGUUCGCCCCGAGGCUAUUUUUGCCAGCUCGUCCGCAGUCUCGUUGUAGCGCCGAGCGAUGUGGUUAAGCUCGAGCCCGUAGAACUUGUCUUCCAGGCGCCGAACCUCGUCGCAGUAGGCCUCCAUCUUCGGGUCGCGGCAGUGGGAGUUCUUCAUGACUUGGUCGAUGACGAGCUGCGAGUCACCACGGGCGUCGAGGCGUCUGACCCCUAGCUCGAUGGCGAUCCGCAACCCGUUGACCAGAGCCUCGUACUCAGCCACAUUUUUGGACGCCGGGAAAUGGAGGCGUAGCACGUAGCGUAGGUGUUUCCCGAGGGGCGAGAUGAAGAGCAGGCCCGCGCCGGCUCCCGUCUUCAUCAGCGACCCGUCGAAAAACAUGGUCCAGAGCUCCGGUUGGAUCGGAGCCAUCGGCAGCUGGGUGUCGACCCAUUCGGCUACGAAGUCCGCCAAUACCUGGGACUUGAUGGCCUUCCGAGGGGCGAACGAGAUUGUCUCGCCCAUGAUUUCCACCGCCCACUUUGCGAUCCUGCCCGAGGCCUCUCGGCACUGGAUGAUCUCCCCCAGGGGGAAGGAUGACACCACAGUUACCGGAUGAGACUCGAAGUAGUGUCGCAACUUUCGCCGUGUCAGAACCACCGCAUACAGCAGCUUCUGAACUUGUGGGUAGCGGAUCUUGGUUUCAGACAGUACCUCGCUGACGAAGUAAACUGCCCUCUGAACGGGCAAUGCAUGCCCCUCUUCUUGCCUCUCGACCACAAUCGCGGCGCUAACCACCUGAGUGGUCGCAGCGACGUAGACCAAGAGGGCUUCUCCGGCAGCUGGAGGCACCAAGAUAGGCGCCUUUGUGAGGAGUGCCUUCAGGUUCCCGAGAGCUUCCUCGGCCUCAGGGGUCCAAGCGAAGCACUCGGUCUUCCUUAAGAGGCGGUACAGAGGCAUACCUCUUUCGCCGAGGCGUGAGAUGAAACGGCUCAGGGCCGCGAGACAUCCCAUGACCCUCUGUACGCCUUUUAAGUCCUUGAUGGGCCCCAUGCUGGUGAUGGCUGCGAUCUUCUCCGGGUUGGCUUCGAUGCCUCGUUUGGAGACGAUGAACCCCAAGAGCAUGCCUCGGGGCACCCCGAAGACACACUUCUCGGGAUUGAGCUUGACGCCUUUCGCCUUGAGACAUCGGAAUGUCACUUCAAGGUCGGAGAGGAGGUCGGAAGCCUUCCUUGUCUUGACUACGAUGUCAUCGACGUAGGCCUCGACUGUGCGACCGAUGUGUUCGCCGAACACAUGGUUCAUGCACCGCUGGUACGUCGCGCCCGCAUUCCUCAAACCGAACGGCAUGGUGACAUAGCAGUACAUGCCGAAGGGCGUGAUGAAAGAAGUCGCGAGCUGGUCGGACUCUUUCAUCCGGAUUUGGUGAUACCCUGAGUAGGCAUCGAGGAAGGACAGGGUUUCGCACCCAGCAGUGGAAUCCACGAUUUGAUCGAUGCGAGGCAGAGGGUAGGGAACCUUCAUACAUGCUUUGUUGAGACCAGUGUAGUCUACACACAUCCGCCAUUUCCCCCCUUUCUUUCUCACAAGCACAGGGUUGGCAAGCCAUUCGGGAUGGAAUACCUCUUUGAUGAACCCUGCUGCCAUCAGCUUGUGGAUCUCCUCGCCUAUCACUCUGCGCUUCUCCUCGUCGAAUCGGCGCAGAGGCUGCCUGACGGGUCGGGCUCCGGCCCGAAUAUCCAGCGAGUGCUCGGCGACAUCCCUCGGUAUGCCGGGCAUGUUCGAGGGACUCCACGCAAAGACGUCGGCGUUUGCAUGGAGAAAGUCGACGAGCACUGCUUCCUAUUUGGGGUCGAGCCCGGAACCGAUCCGGAUCUGCUUGGAGGUGUCGCCACUGGGGUCGAGAGGGACGGCCUUAACCGUCUCCGCUGGCUCGAAGUUGCCGGCAUGACGCUUCACGUCUGGCACCUCUUUGGAGAGGCUUUCCAGGUCGGCGAUGAGGGCCUCGGACUCGGCGAGGGCCUCGGCGUACUCCACGCACACCACGUCGCAUUCGAACGCGUGUUUGUACGUGGGGCCGACGGUGAUGACCCCGUUGGGGCCCGGCAUCUUGAGAUUCAGGUAGGUGUAGUUGGGGACGGCCAUGAACUUCGCGUAGCAUGGCCUCCCCAGUACCGCGUGGUAGGUUCCUCAGAACCCGACCACCUCGAACGUCAAAGUCUCCCUUCAGAAGUUGGAGGGCGUUCCGAAGCAGACGGGAAGGUCGAGUCGUCCGAGGGGCUGGACGCGCUUCCCGGGAAUGAUCCCGUGGAAGGGCGCAGCGCCUGCUCGGACGGAGGACAGAUCGACGCGUAGGAGCUUGAGGGUCUCGACGUAGAUGAUGUUGAGGCAGCUGCCCCCGUCCAUCAGGACCUUGGUGAGCCUGACGUCGCCGACGAUGGGGUCGACGACGAGCGGGUAUUUCCCCGGGCUCGGCACGUGGUCGGGGUGGUCAGCUUGGUCGAAGGUGAUGGGCUUGUCGGACCAGUCUUGGUAGACUGGCGCCGCCACCUUCACCGAGCAGACCUCCCGACGCUCUUGCUUGCGAUGCCGAGCCGAGGCAUUCGCCACAUGCCCACCGUAGAUCAUGAAGCAGUCGCGGACCUCGGGGAACUCUCCUGCUUGGUGAUCUUCCUUCUUGUCGUCGUCGCGGGCCCUGCCGCCCUCUGCGGACGGCCUGGCUCUGUGGAAGUGGCGCCGAAGCAUGACGCACUCCUCGAGGGUGUGCUUGACGGGCCCCUGAUGAUAGGGGCAUGGCUCCUUGAGCAUCUUGUCGAAGAGGUUAGCACCUCCGGGGGGCUUCCGAGGGUUCUUGUACUCGGUGGCGGCGACAAGGUCCGCGUCGGCGGCGUCGCGUUUCGCUUGCGACUUCUUCCUGCCUUUCUUCUUGGCGCCGCAAGGAGUUGACGCCUCGGGAGCAUCUUCCGAUGGGCGGCCCUGGGGCCGCUUAUCCUUUCGGAAGAUAGCCUCGACCGCCUCCUGGCCAGAGGCGAACUUGGUGGCGAUGUCCAUCAGCUCGCUCGCCCUGGUGGGGGUCUUGCGACCCAACUUACUCACCAGGUCGCGGCAGGUGGUGCCGGCAAGGAACGCGCCGAUGACAUCCGAGUCGGUGAUGUUGGGCAGCUCGGUGCGCUGCUUCGAGAAUCGCCGGAUGUAGUCCCGGAGAGACUCUCCCGGCUGUUGCUGGCAGCUUCGAAGGUCCCAGGAAUUCCCGGGGCGCACGUACGUGCCCUGAAAAUUGCCGGUGAAGGCUUGGACCAAGUCAUCCCAGCUGGAGAUCUGCCCCGGAGGCAGGUGCUCCAACCAGGCGCGAGCGGUGUCGGAGAGGAACAGGGGGAGGUUGCGGAUGAUGAGGUUGUCAUUGUCCGUUCCACCCAGUUGGCAGGCCAGGCGGUAGUCCGCGAGCCACAGUUCCGGUCUCGUUUCCCCCGAGUACUUUGUGAUAGUAGUCGGGGGUCGGAACCGGGUCGGGAACGGCGCCCGUCGGAUGGCCCGACUGAAGGCCUGCGGACCGGGUGGUUCGGGCGAGGGACUCCGAUCCUCCCCGCUGUCGUAGCGUCCCCCACGCCGGGGUUGGUAGCCUCGGCGCACCCUUUCGUCGAGGUGGGCCCGACGGUCGUGACGAUGGUGCUCGCUGCCGAGGUGGCCCGGGGCCGCAGGCGCGGUGUUGCGCGUGCGCCCGGUGUAGACCGAGGCUUCCCGCAUGAAUCGGGAAGUCGCGGCAUGAGGUUUCGAGGGGUAUCCCUGCCUUCAGGAGGCAGAGCUCUCGGCCCGUCGGACCGCAGCGCCUUCCAGGAGAUUCUUGAGCUCUCCCUGGAUUCACCGACCCUCGGUGGUUGAUGGCUCCGGCAUCGCGCGGAGGAGCAUCACUGUGGCUGCCAGGUUCUGACCGACCCCACUGGAUGCGGGUGGCUGCCUAACCCUGACGUCGUUGGCGACGCAGUGCUGGAAACCCUGGGGCAGGUGACAUACUUCUCCGGUCGGGGGUUGGCCCGCCCAUACCUGCCCGACGUCCCGGCGGAUCGGCUCAAGCGCUCCUGCUCCCUCGUCGAGCCUGGCCUGCGCCCCGCGGACUUGCUCGAGCUGUGGGUCGUGACCCCCCGCCGGAACGGGGACCACAGCUAGCUCCAGCGGGAUGUCUGCGCGAGGCACCGGCCUAGGGAGAUCACCGUCCUCCGGCAUGCCGAGAUGGUUGCCUUCGGAGGGAUCCCCUAGCUCGACGUGGAAACAUUCGCGGCUUGGGCCGCAGUCCUCGUCGUCGAGGCUGCGGCUACAGUCGGAACAGUCGGAGAGGCAGUAGUCACAUGCGGUCAUGAAGUCCCGCAUGGCACUGGGGUUGCCAAAUCCAGAGAAAUCCCAACAGAUGCUGGGAUCGUCAUCUUCCUCGGACCCAGAGGGCCCGUAGGUCGGGACGUCCGUCAACCGGUCCCAAGGCGACCGCGUGCGAAACCCCAGAGGGGUUGCACUCGCCUCAACGAGAGCGCCCGCCAAAGCAAGGUCGCUAGGCGGGUUGAGGCUGAGUCGAAAUGACGUAGGAUGGGAAUCAGUCGGUACCUUUUGGUCGACGAGGAGCGACAUGGUCACGUAGGGGACUGAUUGCACUGUCGUCUCAGGUACGAGGGCGACGUCCUGCAAGCUCUCCGCGAGCGCGCUGGCGUCGUCCACUUGCUCGGGAUUGGCGCGUCGUGGGGGGACGACGCCCGCCUUCGUCUCAAACGCGAGGUCGACGCCCGACGCACCCCCCGUUGGGGCACUGGGGAUGUCGAUUCGCUCGACAGCCGACGAAGUGCGGCCUCCCGCUUGGCCUUGGUUGCCCCGACUCCUCCUCCGUUGGCGGGGGAGAGGACGGGACGAGCUCGAAUGUUGUUCUUCCACCACGCGGGGAAGAUGUCGUCGAUUCCGCCGCCGGCGGGCGGGUUGUCGGCCGCCAUUGUCGUUGUCGCGCGGCGGUGGAAGGAGUAUCAUGUCGUAGCUGUCGUCGAAGGACAUGAACUCAAGACUCCCGAAACGGAGCACCGUCCCGGGCCGGAGAGGUUGCUGGAGACUGCCCAUCUGGAGCUUGACGGGAAGCUGUUCGUCAACACGCAGCAGGCCCCUACCUGGCGCGCCAACUGUCGGCGUUUCGAGACCGGGGGGUCCCUAAGCCGACGAGUGAAUGUGCUGCAUGCCCCAGCCCAGAUGGGUCGAGCGUGUGGGCGAGCGCAAAGGGGGGAAGCGAGGUGGCCGGAGACGGGCGUGAGAGAGGUGGAAAUCCCGUGGCCUUCGUGUUCGUCCCGCGCCCAGGUCGGGUGCGCUUGCAGUAGGGGGUUACAAGCAUCCACGCGGGUGAGGGAAGCGAGCGGCCCCAAGAGAGCGCCUGUCUCGUCCUCGUCCCCGCGCGGCCAACCUUCUCUAAGAAGGCCCUGGUCCUUCCUUUUAUAGGCGUAAGGAGAGGAUCCAGGUGUACAAUGGGGGUGUAGCAGAGUGUUACGUGUCUAGCGGGGGAGAGCUAGCGCCCUAAGUACAUGCCAAUGUGGCAGCCAGAGAGAUCUUGGCACCCAGCUGGUGUGAUGUCGUGGCUGUCGGAGGAGCAACGGAGCCUGGUGGAGGGAUAGCUGUCGGAGCGGUUGGGUCCUUGCUGACGUCCUCCUGCUUCCGUAAGAGAGCUGAGAGUCGUCGUCGUCACAGGGCUUGCGGGGCGCCAUCAUUGCCUAUCUGGCGGAGCUAGCCAGAUGGGACACCGGUCUUGUUCUCUGCGGCCCGAGUCGGCUCGGGGUAGGGUGAUGAUGGCGCUUCCUGUUGACGUGGCUGGCCUGCGCCCUAGGUCGGGCGACGUGGAGGCUCCUCCGAAGCCGAGGUCGAGUCUGUCUUCCAUGGCCGAGGCCGAGCCCGAGCCCCUGGGUCGGGCGAGGCGGAGGUCGUUCGGCAGAGGCCAGGGUGGAGUCCGAGCCCUGGGGUCGGGUGGAGCGGAGUUCGCCGUCUUCCGGGGCUUAGCCCGAGUCCGAGCCCUGAGUCGGGCGGAGCGGAGUUCGCCGUCUUCCGGGGCUUAGCCCGAGUCCGAGCCCUGGGUCGGGCGGAGCGGAGUUCGCCGUCUUCCGGGGCUUAGCCCGAGUCCGAGCCCUGAGUCGGGCGGAGUGGAGUUCGCCGUCUUCUGGGGCUUAGCCCGAGUCCGAGCCCUGGGUCGGGCGGAGCGGAGUUCGCCGUCUUCGGGGGCCUAGCCCGAGUCCGAGCCCUAGGUCGGGCGGAGCGGAGUUCGCCGUCUUCCGGGGCCUAGCCCGAGUCCGAGCCCUGGGUCGGGCGUGUGGCGGAACUGCCCGAAUUAUUCCAACUUAAGUGCCUAAGCCCCGCCUUAUAGGCUAGACCACACUUAAAUGGGAAUAACCCAUCAAUCCCUCGGAUCUAGUCCGACACGGCCACUGACAGGAUCAAGUACCACAAUCUCACUCGAAGGUGAGUCACAGAGCAAAUACAAUAAAGCAUAAAACCAUACAUGCCAGAGUAUUUAAUUAUUACAUCAUCAUCAUCAUCAUCGGAGUUUUUGCAAAAGUAACCAUCAUUGUUCGAAGUGCAGCGGAAAUAAACUAACGGUAAAUAAAUAGAGGGAUGGGGAAGUCGCUCCCAUCACUCCUCAUGCUCCUCCUCAGCCGAGGCAGGGUCCCACUCGACAGUCCAACCCGGUGGCAAGGUGGACGGCCAAGUUAUUCCAGCAACCAUUUCCUCCAGAGAACCUGUAAAAAUUAUGCCACAAGCAAGGCUGAGUAUACUAAUACUCAGCUAGACUUACCCGGUGUGAGGAGUCUACUCCUCUACCUCUAGACAUGCAGCUGUUUGGCUGUGGGGUUUGGUUGCCAAAAGCACUAGCUGAGUUUCUAAAUCAAGAUUUUAACUUAGUCAAAGUUAAGUGUGACUCUCUUAAGGCUAAAAGUGGACUAUCUACUCAUACAUGGUAGCAAGCAUUAUUAACAAUCAACAUCUUAUCCCAACUCAUCAUACUUCCACUUAUUACUCAAUGCAGUACAAUGGAUCAAGCAGUCUCAUUAGCUGCGAGAAGCAGACGAUUCGAAUCGAGUUUUUAUCCUUGCAAGGUAAACCUAAACACACGACAUGUAGGGGCACUCCGUCCCCACACACAUCAACCGUCCCCAUCGAUUCCCUGGCAACAGAUCAGGGCUCACCGCCUUGGCGUACAAUGCCCCACUGACCCCGACUGGCCAUCGUGCAGUGACCGCACUUGUACCCACCAUAACCGGAAUGGGAGACCUCGUCUCAGGUCGCGUGAGGGGAUAUGUCUGCGGGCAGGUUCACUCAGGUACUAGGCUUACCGAUUUACCAUAUUUCUCGGUAUGUGUUUAGUACGUUCAAACGCUUGACACAGGUAUCCGCACGUUAAUCCUUAUUCCAUUUUCCAUCUCGUGAACAACCAAUCCCCAUGGAUUGUUGUCCACCAACUAGUAUCAUGACAGUGUGAAAGUGGGUACAAUCAAUUUCCUGAUCUCGCGCGAGUGCUAGAAAAAUCACUCGUCUUCUACCGAGAUCCUAAUUAAAUAAAGCAACUACUCGACCUGUCAUACUAGUAUUCAUCUCAAAAGGAUUCCUGAGAUCAUGCAACUAGGGUUUCAAACAAUUCCUACACCUAAGUGCACAAUCAAUCCUACAAUCAUUAAGUGAAGUAAAAUAGCAUAAAUAACAGGUUAUGCAUAAAACCGGGGCUUGCCUUCCAAAGCAGUGGCAGGCAGGUCCUCUGGUGCAGGCUCGGGUGCUGGAUCCGGGGCUACCUCCUGAGCAGCUCCUUGCUCCGGCACGAGGAUGUACUCUCCGUCAGCAAGAUUACAGUCUAUCGAAAUGCAAUGAACAUGUAUGUCAUGAUUAUGCAGGAUUUAAUAAUAUUAUGCUAAAGAGAACUAAGUUAAGAAGUAACUUAGGGUUUCUUAGUCAUGCGGGGCUUCCAGUGGGUUAGGCUUAUUACUCUUUAGGCUUGGGUUUUUAGUGAAGAUAACAUAGUGGAUUGGUAUUGCCUUGAUACAUUUUAGUGGACAGAUUACAAAGGUUUUAGGAUGACAUUAAUUUACAUUAUUCAUUUUCCUUUCUUUAAUUUCCAUUUAGGGUUUCUAGUGUAGGUUUGAACUACGACAGUGUUUUAAUGAUUUCCAAAAAUUCUGUAAAAAUUACAGUGGGUUGUCAUUUGCUAUUCUAGCUUGUUUUAAGAAUUUGAGGCUUAAAGUACAAAAGCUAGGCUUUAAACAAAAAUGACAAGGGUUAUGCAGAAUGGCCCACUUUACACUACAUCUCUUAGUUAGGGGUAGGUUCUGUCUUAAAGGUUAUUUUUGCUGGCAUCCCAUAGUAAUAAUAGGUCUCUGUGCUAAAAAUCACAGAAAACUAAGGGGUGGUUGUUUAGUUAUGAUUUUCUUAAGUUUAAGGUCAAAAAGGCUCUUUCUACUACAUUAUUAUUUGAAAAAUGUCAAACAGCAGAUUUCAUAUUUUUCCUAAGUUUUCUCUAAUAAAACAAUAGUUAUCCCAAGGGUGGGGGUGUUUUUACCUUGGGGUUAUUUUUGUAGAGUUUUUCUAAGUUUCACUUGUUUUAUCAAAACAAAAGGGAUCUUACUUAUUUUACACUAAAACAGGGUAUGAUAUAUUUUUCCAGUGAACUAUAUUGAAUAAGUAACCUAACAAAAAUAAAGGUACUCUCUGGUUCAUUAAUUAAAUUACAUUUUCUAUUUUCCUUAUCCUUAAGCAUAUUAUAGAAUAAGGGGUAAAACUAACUUAAAUGGAGUGGACAGAGAGGUUUAGCAUUUUUAUUUGGUUUAGUAGGUAGAUACAAGCUUCUCAAAAUUUUUCUAACCCCAGUCAAAUAGUGCAACUAAUUUUGGCCCUAUUAUUAAGCUUUUGGUCAAAACUAUAAUUAAAUCAGAGCUUUAAGGUUCUCUAUAGUACAUAGGGGGUUUUAUAUUUUUCUUAAGUAGGUUACAUUAUUUAGAGUCUGACAAAAUUGGUUUGACCAAAUUUGGAUGAUUUAAACAGGAGUUAUGUAUUUUCAAAGUUUCUGUCCAAUUUAAAAACAGAUUUAAUAAAGGUUUUCUGGAAAAACAGUUUACACCGAGGUCCCUGGGUUUAAACUAAAUCCACCCUCGCAAAUCUACCCCAACGCCACUAUUCCCCUGUGUCUCUGACAUUUCACAAAACCCCCUGACCUUCUCUCCCUCUCACCCGCAGUCCUUCCCCUUAUGCAAACAGUAACCGCGGGAAAGAAAAGGGUGGCGCGGCUUAAAAGGAGGCGAGGGAGGUCCGGCGAAGGGUGGGGUUGGCUCGGGGAGACUCUGGCGGUCACGUCGAGGUACGACUUGACGUCGGGGAUGGCCGGAAUCACCCGGUCCACGCGUGCAGGCGGGUGUCCUCGUCGGCGGCGAGUAUACCGGCCAAACCACGGCGAACUGGUUCAAUCCGAGGGCAUGGUGAGCUUCACGGGGUAACAUAGCGACCGCGUGCACAAGGAAUCGAAGGAUGGUGGAGUGGUUUACCCGGUCCACGUACUCCGGUGGGGUUGAGAGCUCCGGCGAGCGUGGACUGGCCUCUCCGGCGAAGUAAACUCCGAUUCCUCGCUCGGGGAGCCUCACGGAGGUGUGCACAGUCUUCUCCGAGGGCUGGACGGAGUUGGGAAAGGCUCCACUGGCCGGUCUACGGUGGCAGAGGGAUUGGGCGGCCGCGGACUCGCUGCGCACGGGCAAACGGCGACGAGCUCGACUCCGGUGUGGUUUGAGGGUGCGCGGAAGGGAACAAUCUAAGUCUGGGAGGGUUUUAUAAGCGUGGGCGCGGGCCAUGGCGCUGGCUUGGCUCGGGCGCGGCGCUGGGCAUGCGGGGGCGCGCGCGAGCGUGCUCUGGCGCGGGCAGAAGGCGUCGAACACGUGGAGGUGUUUUUCUUCCAGUGUUCAAAUGUCUCCAGAGAUCGCAAACGUGCGAAUCUCGCCAUGAAUCUAGCGCAGGCCUCUUCCUGGCACCUAGGGCUAUCUCACAUGUGUGAGUUCCAAUGGAGGAUACGCCCUAGAUCAGGAGAUAGACGGGCGCCAAUUCUGGCUUGUCUCACUGCCCAUAUUGCGACAAAACUGAUGUCAAGAGCUGUCAAACGUCCGAGUCUCGGUCUCCACUUUUUCCAGGGGGUGCCUUAAGUGGUAUACCACAUUUUUGGUAUAGAACCCAAGUGGUUUUGGCGCCAUCUUCAAAGUGAACACGGCUGGUCUUUGGAUUAGGGUUAAAAUUUGACUUAGAGGGAAAUAGAGAGCUCUAGCUCUCUCUCCACUUGGAGAUUUGAAUUGGGGUUUCUCCAGGGGUCUUUUUGCAACAUUUCCCUCCCCUAAUUGAUGGUUAUUUAGUUGCUUAGGGUUUGGGUAAAAGUUACACAUACUUUGCACACUUGAUCACUUUCUUCCCCCCCCCCCUUACCUAGGGUUUUGGAAGCUAGGGUUUAGGAGAGGUCUAGGGUUCUUCUCCCCUCUUAUCCAAGGUGGUAAGUGAGUAAGGAUUAGGGUAAUGCUUCUCAUGUCAUUGGCAACUUGAUUAGCACAUGAUCUUCAAGUUCUUAUGUGUUGCCCUAAGCCUUUACCCCUUGUGAUCACAGCUCCUAGUGUCAAAAUGGGCUUUAGCCAAGGUAACACCUGGGGUGUUACAACCCUCCCCCCUUAAAGGAAUCUCGUCCCGAGAUUUAGGUAGAGUCCCUUGGAGGGUGCUUGAAGGUGUGCUGGUGUUGUUUUUUUCUUUAUACUUAAGUUUCUCUUAUUAACUGCUCUUCGAAUGUCAUCGUCUUUGCAACUUCAGAAGGAAGCCCUUCUUAAGUUAAAUCCACAACUUAGACUAUCCUUGUUAUCUAAGUUUUUCUUAUAAUUGAAUUCAAAGGGCAGGUGGGGGUGGGGUUCUGGGGUUACGUACCGACUCCUUUGGGUAGAAAGUCGGGGAAGCGAGAGCGUAGAAAAUCCUCAGUCUCCCAUGUAGCUUCUUCUGCUGAAUGGUGACUCCACUGAAUCUUAUAAAUUCUGACCGACCUUGCCCAAGUUGAUCUUUCCUUCUGAUCUAGCACCUUGACAGGGUACUCUUGGCAAGAUAAGUCCGGUUCUAUCUCAAUGUCUGGUUCCGGUAGUACUUCAGUGGGUAGGCGAACACAUUUCCGCAGCUGAGAUACAUGGAACACAUUGUGAACUGCUCACAUGUGGGGUGGCAAUUCCAAUUGGUAAGCUACGGGUCCACAACUUGCCUUGAUCUCAUAGGGUCCAAUGUAGCGAGGAGCUAACUUGCCCUUGAUCCCGAAUCUCUGGACACCCUUGGUGGGUGAUACCUUAAGAUAGACAUGAUCUCCCACCUCAAAUUGUAGGGGCUUCCGCCUCUUAUCAUGAUAGUUCCUUUGCCUGGCCUGAGCAGCUUCCAAGUUCUUGGUAAUAACUCUGACUUUUGCCUCUGCCUCGAGUACCAAGUCUGGCCCAAAAAUUUCCCUUUCUCCUGCUUGAGACCAAUUUAGUGGGAUCCUACACCUUCUCCCAUAUAAUGCCUCAAAAGGUGCCAUCUUCAGACUGGACUGAUAGCUAUUAUUGUAAGAAAACUCUGCCAAGGACAGACACUUGUCCCAAUCCUUUCCAUAAUGUAGUGCACAUGCUCGCAACAUGUCUUCCAAAAUCUGAUUCACCCUUUCUGUCUGGCCAUCUGUUUGAGGGUGAUAUGCUGAGCUUCGGAUUACUUGGGUCCCAAGUGAUUCUUGCAGUUUCUCCCAAAAGCGUGCCACAAACAGUGCUCCUCUGUCAGAUACAAUGGUCUUUGGAAUACCAUGCAAUCUUACUAUCUGAUCAACAUAAAUUUCUGCGUACUUCUCUGUCUUGUGGGUGGUGUGCACUGGCAAGAAAUGAGCAGUCUUGGUCAACCUGUCCACAAUAACCCAAAUAGAAUCAUGGUGCCUGGAGGUAUUGGGUAAUCCCACUAUGAAGUCCAUGCAAAUGUCCUCCCAUUUCCAAGAUGGUAUGGGAAGGGGUUGCAAGGGGCCUGCUGCCUUCAAAUGACUAGCUUUGAUCCUCUGGCAGGUGUCACACUCGGAUAUGUACUUGGCAAUUUCCCUUUUCAUUCUAGUCCACCAAUAUAGAGAUCUGAGAUCAUGAUACAUCUUGUUGCUACCAGGGUGCAUGGAGAAUUUGGAAAGGUGAGCUUCAUCCAGUAUGUGCUUUCUGAGCUCAGGGUCCUUGGGAACAACCAAUCGAUCUCCGAACCAUAGAAUUCCCUUGCUGUCCUGUCGGAAGCACUUGUAUUUCUCUGCCUUUUGCUUGAUCAUAUCCCUGAUAACCUGAACACCCUUAUCCUCAACCUGUGCCCUGAUUAUCUGCUCUUGCAAUGUGGGGCUCCACCGAGAUAUAGCUUAGGUUACCUGAAGAAACAACUUCCAGGUUCAAUCUGCACAACUCAUCACACAGGGUGGUCACUCCCACAUCCAUGCUCAUACAAUUGCACUGGGCCUUUCUGCUCAAGGCAUCUGCCACAACAUUGGCCUUCCCUAGGUGGUAAUGCACCUCCAAAUCAUAGUCCUUGAUCAACUCUAACCAUCUCCUUUGCCUCAUGUUCAGAUCUGCCUGAGUGAAGAUGUAUUUGAGACUCUUGUGAUCGGUGUAGAUCUUACAGUGGGCUCCCAUCAAGUAGUGUCUCCAUAUCUUAAGAGCAUGCACCACAGCUGCCAAUUCCAGAUCAUGAGUGGGGUAGUUCUGCUCAUGGGGCCUGAGUGCUCGGGAAGCAUAAGCAAUCACUCGGUUCUCUUGCAUCAAGACACAUCCCAAUCCGGUACCAGAAGCAUCACAAUAAACUUCAAAUGGCUUGGUGCUGUCAGGUUGGGCCAGCACUGGGGCUGUUGUCAAAUGCUGCCUCAAGGCAUGAAAGGCAUCUUCGCACUUUUGGCUCCACUCAAAUUUGACUCCCUUCUUCAACAGUUCAGUCAUUGGUUUGGCAAUUCUGGAGAAAUCCGGAAUAAAUCGUCGAUAAUAACCUGCCAAUCCCAGAAAACUCCGAAUUUGCUUCACUGUAGUCGGGGGUUUCCAAUCCAUUACCUCUUGCACCUUCUCAGGAUCAACUGAUAUCCCAUCCUGAGAAAUUGUAUGACCCAAGAAUUUAAUCUCCUUCAGCCAGAACUCACACUUACUCAACUUAGCAUACAACUGAUGAUCACGUAGUCUCUGAAGCACAGUAUGCAAGUGUUUGGUGUGCUCGGCUUCAUUUUUGGAAUAAACCAGAAUGUCAUCAAUGAAAACGACCACGAACUUGUCUAACUCUGGCAUAAAUACUAAGUUCAUCAAGUACAUGAAAUAAGUCGGGGCAUUGGUCAGCCCAAAAGACAUCACCAGAAACUCAUACAGUCCAUAUCUGGUAGAGAAAGCCGUCUUGGGAAUAUCGCUGGCACGGAUCUUGAUCUGAUGGUAUCCUGAGCGAAGGUCUAUCUUGGAGAAUACCUUGGCUCCUACCAAUUGAUCGAACAGAACAUCGAUGCGGGGCAGUGGGUAUUUGUUCUUGAUAGUCACCGCAUUGAGAGGACGGUAGUCAACACACAUCCUCAAACUCUCAUCCUUUUUCUUCACAAAUAGUGCGGGACAUCCCCAUGGUGAAGUGCUUGGACGAAUAAACCCCUUGUCCAACAACUCUUGCAAUUGCUUCUUCAAUUCUGCCAAUUCCGCGGGAGGCAUCCUAUAGGGUCUCUUGGAGAUAGGAGCAGUCCCGGGUUGCAAUUCGAUGGCGAACUCAAUAUCUCGGUCAGGUGGCAUCCCUGGCAGUUCCCCCGGAAAAACAUCCGGGUAGUCACGGACCACUGGGAUCUUUUCCACUGGGGAUUCUAACAUAACAAAAGCACAAGAUCGGGUACAACCCUGGUCAGGCAAAUACAGUGUGGUCUCACCACAAGUUGGUGAGUGCACCUCAAUGGCUCUAGCCGCAAUAUCCAUCACAGCCUGAUUUCUGGUCAACCAGUCAGUUCCCAAUAUAAUAUCCACACUCUCCAAACCCAAAAUGAGGAGGUUGGCUUUAAUUAUCAGACUACCAAACUUUAUAGGCACAUUCUUGUUAAUUUGGUAGGUGGCAACCCUGCCUCCUGGGGUUAAAAUUGUGAUACCUCCAUUGGUGUGGUGAAAAGGCAAUUGGCACUUGGCACUAAAUUUUGCACUGAUAAAACUAUGCGAUGCACCAGAAUCAAAUAGAAUAAUAGCAGGAUAAUUCAAAACUGUAAAGAUACCAGUCAUGACGGGUGCUCCCUCUGGAAUAUCAGUCAUGGUGGUGAAGUUCAGCCUGCCCUGCCUCACUUGCACCUUCUGUCUCUUGCCAUGGUUCUGAUUGACAUUCUGCCCCUGUCUCUGCUGGUUCCUGGGGCAAUUCUUGGCGUAAUGCCCAGUGUUGCCACAUGUGAAGCAUCUGUUGUCAUUGGCCUGGCGGUACUGCUGCUGCUGCUGAUUGCUCCUCUGAGCGGGAAAUUGGGUGCGGUUGGGUGCCUGCUGCUGCUGCUGCUGCGGUCGGAUCACCCAUCGCCCUUGCUGCUGCUGGGGUCCCCUGCCCUGGGUGUCGGACACAAUCCUGAAGCGCUGUGGCUGAGCUGAGGGUCCUGCCACAGGGGUCUUCCUCUUCUUCUCUGCCUGUCUAGCUGUAAUGCAGUCCUCCUGGGAGAUAGCCAUGUUGACCAACUCAUUGUAACUGUUGGCCCUGACGGUGUUGAGACGGUCACGGAGCUUAGUGCUGAGCCCCCUCCUGAACCUAUCCCUCUUCUUCUCAUCUGUAUCUGCAUGAUAUCCCGCAUACUGGCACAAGUCAUUAAAGGCCUGGGCAUACUGCAACACUGUCCUGUUGCCCUGAGUGAGUGCCAAAAACUCAUUGAGCUUCCUGUCCAUGAUCCCGACGGGUAUAUGGUGUCCUCUAAAAGCUGCCUUGAACUCCCUCCACUCCACCUCUCGGUCCUCUGGCUGCAUAGCAAGAAAAUGAUCCCACCAAGUCCUUGCAGGUCCGCGAAGCUGCUGGGUGGCGAACCUGACUUUGGUGACCUCUGAACAAGCUCCAUGGAGCAGUGGGAAUUUGGAUUCCACCACUCGCAACCAUACAUCUGCAUCAAGUGGGUCCUCCGCCCUUGUGAACAAUGGAGGCUGGGUGCUAAGGAAUUCCUGGUAUGUAGCCGCCGCGGGGUGACGCUGAUGGUCUCCACCACCAUAAUGCUGAGGUGGUGGCUGACGCUGAGCCAGCUGCCUCAGGAUCUCAUUCUGCUGAGCCAUGAGCUCUUGCAGAGUGGGAGGUGGUGGCGGCGGUGGAGGAACGCGCUCGUUCUGGCCACGACGCUGCCUCCCGGCCAUCUGAAAAACCACAUACAUACUUAACACCACGGUUCCAAGUUCAAGAUUUUAUCACGGAGAAAAAGUUAAAACAACAUGAUAGACUCCGACUUCAACAAAAAGGAUUUUAAAGAGGCAUAAAUUCUUCCUUCCAAUUUUAAACUGAUAACAGCAUCCAUCAAACAAGCUCCCAAGAGAGUUUAGCACGAUUACAUCAAAUUGUUCCCAAAAUGACUCAACUCUAUCUAGCCUAGUACCCCAAGGGUGCAAAAGCUAAACUAGCUACGAGGAGUCCGACUAUCCAACUUCUAAGCCUAUCCUGAACAUCUAGUGAGCGAACGAAGCAACACUCGACUCGGGGGAAGGUGGUCUUCUCGAGCCAGCAGUGUCCACACUGGAGGCAGGCUCAUCUCCUCCCUCGAUGUCGACGUCCUCGUUGGCCUCCUGGUCCUGGAUCUCCUGGUGAUGCAUGUCCAGGUGCUCGUUAGCCUCAGCAAGCUGCUGCUGAGUGUUAAGGAGCUGAUCCUCUAGAACCUCGAUGGUGUUCUCCCUGGUGCCCACCAGCUCCUCCAACUCCUGAAUAUCAGUGGAUAGCUGCUCCACCUGCAAGUCCUUCUCCACCAUUUCUUGAGAUAAAUCAACCACGAGCUCCUCUCUGUUAUCCAACGUGAUCUUGGUUGCUUCCAGCAGUGCCAUCAGAUGGGACAUUGCCUCACCGCGCAUCACCUGCAGACGGUACAGAGCAUUCAUGCACCGUACUGUCAAGUGCGCAGUCUGUCCUGGGUAGAUGGCCCAGAUAUCCUUGGCAUGCUCCACCCGAUCCCUUCCACAUUGGGUCGUCCUCCCUCUCAGCGGGGAACAAGCCAAUAGGUUGGGUAGCCAGCUCCAAAGGAUGGAACCCGCAGAAGUAGUCAAUCCAUGCAGAGCGNNNNNNNNNNNNNNNNNNNNNNNNNNNNNNNNNNNNNNNNNNNNNNNNNNNNNNNNNNNNNNNNNNNNNNNNNNNNNNNNNNNNNNNNNNNNNNNNNNNNUAUACCAAUUUUUGGUAUAGAACCAAGUGGUUUGGCCAUCUUCAAAGUGAACACGGUGGCUUUGGAUCCUUAAGUGCGUAUACCACAUUUUUGGUAUAGAACCCAAGUGGUUUUGGCGCCAUCUUCAAAGUGAACACGGCUGGUCUUUGGAUUAGGGUUAAAAUUUGACUUAGAGGGAAAUAGAGAGCUCUAGCUCUCUCUCCACUUGGAGAUUUGAAUUGGGGUUUCUCCAGGGGUCUUUUUGCAACAUUUCCCUCCCCUAAUUGAUGGUUAUUUAGUUGCUUAGGGUUUGGGUAAAAGUUACACAUACUUUGCACACUUGAUCACUUUCUUCCCCCCCCCCUUACCUAGGGUUUUGGAAGCUAGGGUUUAGGAGAGGUCUAGGGUUCUUCUCCCUCUUAUCCAAGGUGGUAAGUGAGUAAGGAUUAGGGUAAUGCUUCUCAUGUCAUUGGCAACUUGAUUAGCACAUGAUCUUCAAGUUCUUAUGUGUUGCCCUAAGCCUUUACCCCUUGUGAUCACAGCUCCUAGUGUCAAAAUGGGCUUUAGCCAAGGUAACACCUGGGGUGUUACAACCCUCCCCCCUUAAAGGAAUCUCGUCCCGAGAUUUAGGUAGAGUCCCUUGGAGGGUGCUUGAAGGUGUGCUGGUGUUGUUUUUUUCUUUAUACUUAAGUUUCUCUUAUUAACUGCUCUUCGAAUGUCAUCGUCUUUGCAACUUCAGAAGGAAGCCCUUCUUAAGUUAAAUCCACAACUUAGACUAUCCUUGUUAUCUAAGUUUUUCUUAUAAUUGAAUUCAAAGGGCAGGUGGGGGUGGGGUUCUGGGGUUACGUACCGACUCCUUUGGGUAGAAAGUCGGGGAAGCGAGAGCGUAGAAAAUCCUCAGUCUCCCAUGUAGCUUCUUCUGCUGAAUGGUGACUCCACUGAAUCUUAUAAAUUCUGACCGACCUUGCCCAAGUUGAUCUUUCCUUCUGAUCUAGCACCUUGACAGGGUACUCUUGGCAAGAUAAGUCCGGUUCUAUCUCAAUGUCUGGUUCCGGUAGUACUUCAGUGGGUAGGCGAACACAUUUCCGCAGCUGAGAUACAUGGAACACAUUGUGAACUGCUCACAUGUGGGGUGGCAAUUCCAAUUGGUAAGCUACGGGUCCACAACUUGCCUUGAUCUCAUAGGGUCCAAUGUAGCGAGGAGCUAACUUGCCCUUGAUCCCGAAUCUCUGGACACCCUUGGUGGGUGAUACCUUAAGAUAGACAUGAUCUCCCACCUCAAAUUGUAGGGGCUUCCGCCUCUUAUCAUGAUAGUUCCUUUGCCUGGCCUGAGCAGCUUCCAAGUUCUUGGUAAUAACUCUGACUUUUGCCUCUGCCUCGAGUACCAAGUCUGGCCCAAAAAUUUCCCUUUCUCCUGCUUGAGACCAAUUUAGUGGGAUCCUACACCUUCUCCCAUAUAAUGCCUCAAAAGGUGCCAUCUUCAGACUGGACUGAUAGCUAUUAUUGUAAGAAAACUCUGCCAAGGACAGACACUUGUCCCAAUCCUUUCCAUAAUGUAGUGCACAUGCUCGCAACAUGUCUUCCAAAAUCUGAUUCACCCUUUCUGUCUGGCCAUCUGUUUGAGGGUGAUAUGCUGAGCUUCGGAUUACUUGGGUCCCAAGUGAUUCUUGCAGUUUCUCCCAAAAGCGUGCCACAAACAGUGCUCCUCUGUCAGAUACAAUGGUCUUUGGAAUACCAUGCAAUCUUACUAUCUGAUCAACAUAAAUUUCUGCGUACUUCUCUGUCUUGUGGGUGGUGUGCACUGGCAAGAAAUGAGCAGUCUUGGUCAACCUGUCCACAAUAACCCAAAUAGAAUCAUGGUGCCUGGAGGUAUUGGGUAAUCCCACUAUGAAGUCCAUGCAAAUGUCCUCCCAUUUCCAAGAUGGUAUGGGAAGGGUUGCAAGGGGCCUGCUGCCUUCAAAUGACUAGCUUUGAUCCUCUGGCAGGUGUCACACUCGGAUAUGUACUUGGCAAUUUCCCUUUUCAUUCUAGUCCACCAAUAUAGAGAUCUGAGAUCAUGAUACAUCUUGUUGCUACCAGGGUGCAUGGAGAAUUUGGAAAGGUGAGCUUCAUCCAGUAUGUGCUUUCUGAGCUCAGGGUCCUUGGGAACAACCAAUCGAUCUCCGAACCAUAGAAUUCCCUUGCUGUCCUGUCGGAAGCACUUGUAUUUCUCUGCCUUUUGCUUGAUCAUAUCCCUGAUAACCUGAACACCCUUAUCCUCAACCUGUGCCCUGAUUAUCUGCUCUUGCAAUGUGGGGCUCCACCGAGAUAUAGCUUAGGUUACCUGAAGAAACAACUUCCAGGUUCAAUCUGCACAACUCAUCACACAGGGUGGUCACUCCCACAUCCAUGCUCAUACAAUUGCACUGGGCCUUUCUGCUCAAGGCAUCUGCCACAACAUUGGCCUUCCCUAGGUGGUAAUGCACCUCCAAAUCAUAGUCCUUGAUCAACUCUAACCAUCUCCUUUGCCUCAUGUUCAGAUCUGCCUGAGUGAAGAUGUAUUUGAGACUCUUGUGAUCGGUGUAGAUCUUACAGUGGGCUCCCAUCAAGUAGUGUCUCCAUAUCUUAAGAGCAUGCACCACAGCUGCCAAUUCCAGAUCAUGAGUGGGGUAGUUCUGCUCAUGGGGCCUGAGUGCUCGGGAAGCAUAAGCAAUCACUCGGUUCUCUUGCAUCAAGACACAUCCCAAUCCGGUACCAGAAGCAUCACAAUAAACUUCAAAUGGCUUGGUGCUGUCAGGUUGGGCCAGCACUGGGGCUGUUGUCAAAUGCUGCCUCAAGGCAUGAAAGGCAUCUUCGCACUUUUGGCUCCACUCAAAUUUGACUCCCUUCUUCAACAGUUCAGUCAUUGGUUUGGCAAUUCUGGAGAAAUCCGGAAUAAAUCGUCGAUAAUAACCUGCCAAUCCCAGAAAACUCCGAAUUUGCUUCACUGUAGUCGGGGGUUUCCAAUCCAUUACCUCUUGCACCUUCUCAGGAUCAACUGAUAUCCCAUCCUGAGAAAUUGUAUGACCCAAGAAUUUAAUCUCCUUCAGCCAGAACUCACACUUACUCAACUUAGCAUACAACUGAUGAUCACGUAGUCUCUGAAGCACAGUAUGCAAGUGUUUGGUGUGCUCGGCUUCAUUUUUGGAAUAAACCAGAAUGUCAUCAAUGAAAACGACCACGAACUUGUCUAACUCUGGCAUAAAUACUAAGUUCAUCAAGUACAUGAAAUAAGUCGGGGCAUUGGUCAGCCCAAAAGACAUCACCAGAAACUCAUACAGUCCAUAUCUGGUAGAGAAAGCCGUCUUGGGAAUAUCGCUGGCACGGAUCUUGAUCUGAUGGUAUCCUGAGCGAAGGUCUAUCUUGGAGAAUACCUUGGCUCCUACCAAUUGAUCGAACAGAACAUCGAUGCGGGGCAGUGGGUAUUUGUUCUUGAUAGUCACCGCAUUGAGAGGACGGUAGUCAACACACAUCCUCAAACUCUCAUCCUUUUUCUUCACAAAUAGUGCGGGACAUCCCCAUGGUGAAGUGCUUGGACGAAUAAACCCCUUGUCCAACAACUCUUGCAAUUGCUUCUUCAAUUCUGCCAAUUCCGCGGGAGGCAUCCUAUAGGGUCUCUUGGAGAUAGGAGCAGUCCCGGGUUGCAAUUCGAUGGCGAACUCAAUAUCUCGGUCAGGUGGCAUCCCUGGCAGUUCCCCCGGAAAAACAUCCGGGUAGUCACGGACCACUGGGAUCUUUUCCACUGGGGAUUCUAACAUAACAAAAGCACAAGAUCGGGUACAACCCUGGUCAGGCAAAUACAGUGUGGUCUCACCACAAGUUGGUGAGUGCACCUCAAUGGCUCUAGCCGCAAUAUCCAUCACAGCCUGAUUUCUGGUCAACCAGUCAGUUCCCAAUAUAAUAUCCACACUCUCCAAACCCAAAAUGAGGAGGUUGGCUUUAAUUAUCAGACUACCAAACUUUAUAGGCACAUUCUUGUUAAUUUGGUAGGUGGCAACCCUGCCUCCUGGGGUUAAAAUUGUGAUACCUCCAUUGGUGUGGUGAAAAGGCAAUUGGCACUUGGCACUAAAUUUUGCACUGAUAAAACUAUGCGAUGCACCAGAAUCAAAUAGAAUAAUAGCAGGAUAAUUCAAAACUGUAAAGAUACCAGUCAUGACGGGUGCUCCCUCUGGAAUAUCAGUCAUGGUGGUGAAGUUCAGCCUGCCCUGCCUCACUUGCACCUUCUGUCUCUUGCCAUGGUUCUGAUUGACAUUCUGCCCCUGUCUCUGCUGGUUCCUGGGGCAAUUCUUGGCGUAAUGCCCAGUGUUGCCACAUGUGAAGCAUCUGUUGUCAUUGGCCUGGCGGUACUGCUGCUGCUGCUGAUUGCUCCUCUGAGCGGGAAAUUGGGUGCGGUUGGGUGCCUGCUGCUGCUGCUGCUGCGGUCGGAUCACCCAUCGCCCUUGCUGCUGCUGGGGUCCCCUGCCCUGGGUGUCGGACACAAUCCUGAAGCGCUGUGGCUGAGCUGAGGGUCCUGCCACAGGGGUCUUCCUCUUCUUCUCUGCCUGUCUAGCUGUAAUGCAGUCCUCCUGGGAGAUAGCCAUGUUGACCAACUCAUUGUAACUGUUGGCCCUGACGGUGUUGAGACGGUCACGGAGCUUAGUGCUGAGCCCCCUCCUGAACCUAUCCCUCUUCUUCUCAUCUGUAUCUGCAUGAUAUCCCGCAUACUGGCACAAGUCAUUAAAGGCCUGGGCAUACUGCAACACUGUCCUGUUGCCCUGAGUGAGUGCCAAAAACUCAUUGAGCUUCCUGUCCAUGAUCCCGACGGGUAUAUGGUGUCCUCUAAAAGCUGCCUUGAACUCCCUCCACUCCACCUCUCGGUCCUCUGGCUGCAUAGCAAGAAAAUGAUCCCACCAAGUCCUUGCAGGUCCGCGAAGCUGCUGGGUGGCGAACCUGACUUUGGUGACCUCUGAACAAGCUCCAUGGAGCAGUGGGAAUUUGGAUUCCACCACUCGCAACCAUACAUCUGCAUCAAGUGGGUCCUCCGCCCUUGUGAACAAUGGAGGCUGGGUGCUAAGGAAUUCCUGGUAUGUAGCCGCCGCGGGGUGACGCUGAUGGUCUCCACCACCAUAAUGCUGAGGUGGUGGCUGACGCUGAGCCAGCUGCCUCAGGAUCUCAUUCUGCUGAGCCAUGAGCUCUUGCAGAGUGGGAGGUGGUGGCGGCGGUGGAGGAACGCGCUCGUUCUGGCCACGACGCUGCCUCCCGGCCAUCUGAAAAACCACAUACAUACUUAACACCACGGUUCCAAGUUCAAGAUUUUAUCACGGAGAAAAAGUUAAAACAACAUGAUAGACUCCGACUUCAACAAAAAGGAUUUUAAAGAGGCAUAAAUUCUUCCUUCCAAUUUUAAACUGAUAACAGCAUCCAUCAAACAAGCUCCCAAGAGAGUUUAGCACGAUUACAUCAAAUUGUUCCCAAAAUGACUCAACUCUAUCUAGCCUAGUACCCCAAGGGUGCAAAAGCUAAACUAGCUACGAGGAGUCCGACUAUCCAACUUCUAAGCCUAUCCUGAACAUCUAGUGAGCGAACGAAGCAACACUCGACUCGGGGGAAGGUGGUCUUCUCGAGCCAGCAGUGUCCACACUGGAGGCAGGCUCAUCUCCUCCCUCGAUGUCGACGUCCUCGUUGGCCUCCUGGUCCUGGAUCUCCUGGUGAUGCAUGUCCAGGUGCUCGUUAGCCUCAGCAAGCUGCUGCUGAGUGUUAAGGAGCUGAUCCUCUAGAACCUCGAUGGUGUUCUCCCUGGUGCCCACCAGCUCCUCCAACUCCUGAAUAUCAGUGGAUAGCUGCUCCACCUGCAAGUCCUUCUCCACCAUUUCUUGAGAUAAAUCAACCACGAGCUCCUCUCUGUUAUCCAACGUGAUCUUGGUUGCUUCCAGCAGUGCCAUCAGAUGGGACAUUGCCUCACCGCGCAUCACCUGCAGACGGUACAGAGCAUUCAUGCACCGUACUGUCAAGUGCGCAGUCUGUCCUGGGUAGAUGGCCCAGAUAUCCUUGGCAUGCUCCACCCGAUCCUUCCACAUUGGGUCGUCCUCCCUCUCAGCGGGGAACAAGCCAAUAGGUUGGGUAGCCAGCUCCAAAGGAUGGAACCCGCAGAAGGUAGUCAAUCCAUGCAGAGCGACCGCCUCGAUCGUGUCCUCUGCUCGGUAUCCGAAAGACUCGGAAUCCAAGUAGCGCCAGCCAGGCUGCAGGGGAUGAGGCUCCAAAGUCAUCCUCACUCUACAGCGAGGCACUCGGUGCUUCUCGAACUGCUGCACCGCGUACUGAGGGGGUGUCGCGUAUCCGGCCCCCUGAAGUACCUCCCACAAAAUGCGGGGAAAGCCCUCUCGUGCAAGUCCGUCAGUGUGGGUCAGUGCAUUUCCGUCAUCGGAGGAUCCGUGGGAAGUCAUCUGGGUACGGUUAAACGUAACUAAAAGAAAAAGAAUUAUAAAAAGAAUCAAGGAAAAAAAAUAAAACUCAGCCCUUCUCUAGUUACAUGAAAAGGCACUGGAAACCUAGUUGGUUGUUAUCUGGGUUUUAAGUCCCUUACUCAGUUAUCCAUUUGCUUAAUUGUGAAUGCAUGCAUGCUCGUCCUGAACGACCUCACAACAAGAUAAAAGGAAUAGGGAAGAACUCCCAUCCUGUAAAUGUGGCCUGUAGGGCCUAGUUACUUAGCCACCUAGCUACCCUUCUAUUACCCUAAGGCUUCACGUCCUAGGUCUAUCCUGCUCGCCCUACUAUCUAUCCAACAUUGUUUCUAUCAAAUUUUACUUGGAAAAUCGAUGGUAUUUAUAUUUUAUUGAUUCCUCUGUGGUGGUACAAGCUCCGAUACCAGCUGUGGCGGAACUGCCCGAAAUAUUCCAACUUAAGUGCCUAAGCCCCGCCUUAGAGGCUAGAUGUAACACCCUGAAUUUGGGGGUAUAAAAUUUCUUUUCUAAUAUCCACCAAAUUCAGGUGUUACUCUCUUAGUUCUUUGCUUUCCUUUCUCUUUUCCCUAAAAAUGGAGAAUCAUUUUGUUUUAUAAUAGCGUAAACCUAGUGGAAUGAGCCCUAGAGGCACUUUGGUUGUUGCAUUCAUGUCGUUGCAUGGUGUUUCUAAGUGCAAAAUGUGUUUGAAACAUGUUAACAUAUCUUAUAGAAGCGCUCGGUAAAUUUUCAUAAUUUUCGGAAUAUUUUUCUAUUUUCCGGAAACCAAAAUCUAUUUAUUUGUGGAACUUAAAAAUGUUUUUAGAAAUUCUAAUUAUGUUUUUUGAGUUCAUUAGGUGCCAAAACAUUUAUAGGAAUUUUUCUGGAAUUUUUGAAAGUAUCUAUAAUAUUUUGAGCACAAAAUAUGGAUUUCUAGGCUUUUUCGAAUUUUAAAAAUAGUAAAAUCCGAAUUUUAACAGAAUUUUUAUCUCGUCCAAACCCUAGGUAUAUAUACAUGUCCGGCUUCAUCUAGUCGAGCCCGUUCCAGAACCGAAACAUUUUCUCCAAAUCUAAUCCCUAGCUCCCGGUAUUGCUCGCCGAAGUUCGAGGCGGUUCCAACUCCGGCGACAACUCCGGCGAGCAAUUACUCCCAAUCCGUGCAUCGUCCGCGGAAUCCGAGGGUACCGCUGCGUUCGUCUCGUCGAAGGCUUCGUCGCAGCGCGUUCGGUUCAUCGAUUGGAUCCCCGAAUCUCCGGCAAUCGACGGAUUUCUCCUCGGCUCCGGCGAGGUCUUCUUCCCCGGUGAGCCUCCUCCAUGGAUUUUAACCCUAGUUCUUCAUUUCUUCUCUCCUCCCUGCGCAGCCCCUCUAUCUCUCCCCACCGGCCCCCUGCGCGUGCCCGCCCUGCCCCUGUGCGCGCCCACCCUGCCCCUGCCGUGGCGCGGCGGCGACGACCGGCCGUGGCGGCCGAGGUGCUUGGGGCACAGCAGCCCGCGGCGGCGGCGUGGCCCCCUGCGCGCACGUCCCGGUGCCCCCUGCGCGCGUGGCGUGGCACGGCGGCGUGGCCCCGGCCCCCGUGGCGGCGUCCGAGCUCUUCCCCCUCCCCUGCGCAGCUGCAGCCCCAUAGCCAUGGAUUUCGAACGUGAGGUAGAGAGGAGAGAGGAAGAAGACGAUGGCAGUCUCGUAAAUUUAGUCUGCGCGAAUUACAGUAUGGUUUAAAACAUUCAUAUCUUUUGCGUUUUAAACCCGAUUCGAUUCAUUCAAGUUGUGUUAGAUUCGUAUUAAAAUUAUCUUAAUUUAGAAAUAUUUAUCCUAAUUUUUGCACAUUUUAUUUAAUUUAGUUAAACGUUUGUUUAACCAGUGGCUACUAGAACGAUGUUUCAAUUUAAAAACCUAAUUUAGGAAUUCGAUUUGCACAUUUAUAAUUAGUCACCAAUAUGAUUAACCUUAACUGAAAUGUUAUUUAUUAAUAAUUUUUUAGUUUAAUCACGUUGUUUAUUUAUUAGUUUCGCAUGUCGGUCCGCGCAUGCCGCGGUGCUGUUUCGCGCAUGUCGUAGUGUGUCGUUCGCAAGUGUCGCACGUGUUGUUCGUACGCGUUGUCGCGUGCCGUUCGCGUGUAUCGCGCACCUUGCCGCGUGCCGUUCGCGCGUAUCGCGCGUUGUCCGCAUGCUAAGUCGUUUGUGUCCGCGCGUUGCGCACAUCGUGUUUGCACGUCGUGCGUUGUUAAUUCGUCUCGCUUAGAAUCGCUCAUAUUCAUUAAGUUACUUGCUUAACUGUCAACUAUUAAAAUAGUAAGUUAGUCAAAACUAAGUAGUAGUAUUAAUUUACAUUUGAUUAAUAUUAAUUAAUAUAAUUAUGUUGAAUUGGAUGUUCUAAUUAGUACUUGUUUAACGUAAACGUGUUAACCCCUUGACCAUAGCUUCGUCUAUCAUGGUUCUUUUUCUCGCGUAACCGUAGAAGCGCUCUCUAUUUUUUAUUGCUCGCUUUUAUAACAUUUUAUCUUGUAUGGUGUAAUGUUCUUAUGCAUAUGUAUAUGUUUGUUUGCUUGUGCCUGUUCGUCUUCGCUUCGCGUUGCGAUUAGAUCGCGAUUCGUUUCUGAGCUUCGAGGAAUUGACGGACAAGCUUCGGCGACCAAAUGACCCAGCUCUUCGAGUUCUACGAAGCUGAAGACCCUGAGCAUCUGUUUGGUGAAGGCAAGUGUCCUCUGACCUAUUAUGUCCAAUUUACUUUAUAAUUCAUCAACCCGCAUACCAUGAUCAACCUAAGGAUUGACUAGCUUUGUAUUUACCUUGUCCUUGAUUACCUUUUGGGUUAUUAUUGUUUAGCUUUAUGCUAUUGCUCAACUCUAAUCAAUGAACAUGAUGAGAAUUAUCAAUGAUACGUUGUUUCCCUCCUUUAUUAUGAUGUUGUAUCUGUGGUAUUCAAGGGGGCUCGAGCGGUUUCUCGAGUGCCUCUCCGUAAGGACCUGUUCGUUGGAUGACCGCCCGGGAAAACAGUGCAACCAUGAGGGUGGAAUGGGAUGCCCUUAGCUGAAUAAUUAGAGGAACCGGGGUGUAGUUCGCUUAGCCGUCGUGCCGUUAAUGGGGCUCGGUGUAUGCGGCUCGCUCUGCCAAGUUUGGUUCGCCCCUUGGGGAGGAGUGCGGUGCAUUUAGGAAACCUAACGGGCGGCUACAGCCUCGGGGAAUCUUUGUAAAGGCUACGUAGUGAAACCCUGCCUAUUCACCUUGGUAGUGUUUAAGGGUUUGAUCGGCCCGAGGCAAGAGGGAAUCACGGCUUGUGGGUAAAGUGUGCAACCUCUGCAGAGUGUUAUAAAACUGAUAUAUCAGCCGUGCUCACGGUUAUGAGCGGCCAAGGGAGCUCCAUUGAUUAGUGAUACUUGAUCAGAGAUGGUUGGUUUACAGAUGAUGAUGAGGAUGGUUAUGAUCAUGCUUAUGGUAAUGGUAAGUGGUAUUCUUUCCAUUUGGAAAGGGUACUUUGGGUUAAGAACUUGGGUUAAUGCUAAAACCUGGCUUUCUACUAGUAAUAAUAACCUGACCAACUAAAAGCAACUGCUUGACUUAACCCCACAUAAAGCUAGUCCACUACAGCCAAACGGGACAUUUGCUGAGUACGUUGAUGUGUACUCACCCUUGCUUUCACAAAACACCAGGUUGCCUUUGGUGCAAUCUAUGCUCAGGUAAAGAAGGCGUCGAGGCGGAUCUCCAGGAGUUCCAGGACGUCGACGAGUUCGAGGAUUAGGCUAGCGACCUCCCCCAGUCAGCUGCCUGUGGUGGGUUGUUUACGUUGGCUACGUUUCGAUUCUGUGUACUUUGAUUUAUAUUAUGUAAAUGGCUCUAGUCUGUAAUAUUAUUACUUACUCUUUAUUGUAAUUCGAAGCAUUGUGCUAUGAUGAGUCAUUUAUGUAAUUGCUGUGUACGUGAAUAACUGAUCCUGGCACGUACAUGGUUCGCAUUCGGUUUACCUUCUAAAACCGGGUGUGACAUAAGUGGUAUCAAAGCCGUGCUGACUGUAGGACCGCUGACCUAGAGUAGCAUUGGCCGUUUUAAGGACUUAUUGAUUAUUACUUCACCCCAUCCUUGAUUCUGCUUCAAAAUAUUAGUCAGCUUGACUAAUUCUAUGUUGUGCUCCUAUAUGCCCCCUUGCCAAAAGUAUUUUAUUCUAGUAUGGUCUAUACUUCUCUCAAUCUAUUAGAUCUGAUCUCACUCUUAUGCUUGCGACAUCUUUGUAGAUGCCCCCUGACCAUAGCCUUUAGUCUUUUGGGACUCUUUCCUCAUCCAUUAUUAAAUUGCUACUAUUUGACCAUCUCUAUUCCAUUUUGUUAUUGACAUGCUCGUAUCCUUGCAUUUUUAAUACCCUUAUCCCUUAAUCUAAAGCACUUACCCUUGUACCUCUACUACCUAUUUAAACAUUUCAGUUUAUAUGUCCAUGAUCUUACUGUCUUUUGAGACCCUUUCCUAUUCUAUUGAUAAGUCGCUAUCUUUUUGGCAAUUUGUACUUUCUUGUUCUUGGUAUGCUCGUACCAUUGGAAUCUUGCAUACUCUUAUUUUUUUAUAUGUGCUUACCUUUAUAUCCCAAUAUAUGUUUAAGACAUUUCAGUUAACGUGCCCUUGACCACCCUUGUUUCUUAAUGAUCCAUGAGCGGUCAUUCUACUUUGCAUAUCCUUGGUGAUCCCGUUGUCUCCUUGUAACUCCACUCGGUAAUGAAUCUUUACUUCAACCCUUCUGUUGGAACCUUACCGAUCUUACCCUUGAUUGUUUUCUCCACUUUGUCGUUUCGCGAGUCUUGUCUUAACUAUAUCCUUUGUUAUGCUUUUUAAUUAUUAUCAUAUGCACCCUUGACACCUCUAUAUCCUACAUUGAUGUUUGUCUCAUACAUGCCCUUUAAAAUCGCCCCUCUUUCGUCUCAUACCUUCUUUCUCUUGGACGUAUCCUCUUCUUUGGCUCGCGAGUUUGUAACCUCAUCCUUUGUGGUGCUUUUGUUUCUUAUUUCCUUUACCCUUCUCAUCUCUCAAUCUUACCUUGGUGAUUACGCUAUGUUCGUUAUCUAAAACCUCCAAUCUCCCACCUUAGUUCAAGCGUGGUCUCUUACUUAUCUCACCCGUGGUUAUAUCCUAUACUUUACCUCUUGCAAGACUUAUCUUAUCUCUAUUCUUGAUUGUACCUAGAUUCCUGGUUUUUUAUGCACAUUUACCUCUUCCUUUAUAUCCUUGCCUAUCAUCACCUUUGACCCUUGACCUCUCUCCAUAUUUACCAUGAUGCUUACCUAUUUCUUAGCCUCACUUAUUCCAUUUCAAUCCGAGAGUGUUAUUUUCCAUAUCCUGCUCUUGUUCGUUUCCUUUCCCUUUGUCGCUUUGCAAGUCUUGUCUUACCUUAACUUCAUCCUUUGUGUAGCUUUUGUUUGAUAUCAUCCUUACCUUUGUAAUCUGUAGAUCUUGCCUUGAUACUUAUCUUAGGUCUGCUUGUUGAAAUCCCCUCUUUUCUAUCUCAAUUCGAGAGAUAUGUUUUACUUAUCUCACCCUUGACUAUAUCCUCUUCUUUACCGCGUGUAGGCCUAGACUUAACUCCAUUCGUUAUUGUAUUUGUACCACUUGCUCUUCUAUGCCUUUAUCUUUUCUCUUACACCCUUGUCCGUUAUCGCCUUUGGCCCUUGCGAUAUUUAUGUCUUCUACCUAAAUGCUUACCUUAAACUUAUCCUUUAAAUCCUCCCCUUUCUUUCAACCCAGUUUGAGAGUUGCGAGUUACCUACCUCUCCCUUGAUUUCUUUUCACUUCUUGUCGCCUUACAAGUUUUGUUUCAAUUCCAUCCUUUGCUAUGUUUUUUAUUUGCUAUCACCACCUCCUUGUCAUCCAUCGAUCUUGCCUUGAUACUCAUCUUUAUUCUGGCUCUUUAAAACCUCCUCUCUUCCACCUCAAUUGGAGAGUGGCUGUUUACCUAUUUGGCCCUUGGACGUACCUCCUUCUUUUUCAUCUGCAGGUCUUGUCUUAACUCCAUCCUUUGUGGUACUUAUAUCCUUGGUUAUUAUGCGCAUUUAUCUCCUCUCCUACAUCCUUGUCCGUUAUCACCUUUAAACCCUCGUGAUAUCUAUGCCCUUGCCCUCAUGCUUACUUUGAACCUACCCUUCAAAGCCACCUCUUUUUCAUCGCUGUUUGAGGAUAAUGCCUCACCUACUUCACCAUUGAUUGCUUCCCAUUCUUUGAUACCUCGCACGUUGUCUAAAAUACCUCCUUGGUUGUGUUUGUCUGUUAUCACCUUAACCCUUGUCAUCCAUUGAACUUUACCAUGAUGCUUAUCUUGCACCUGCAUUUUAAAGCUUCCUCUCCCAUUCCAGUUCAAGAGUGUUGUCUUACGCCUCCCCGCUCUUGUUCGUCCCUUUUUUAUCUCCGUCGCAUGGCAAGUCUUGUCUUGGCUCGAUCUUUUGAUGUGCUUUCGCCUAUUACCUCCUGUACCUUUGUAAUCACUGGAUCUUUCCAUGAUGCUUAUCUUAUGCCUACCUUUUGAAUUAUCAUCUUUCCCAUCUCGAUUUGAGAAGGGUGUUUUACCUAUCCUGGCCUUGGUUGCAUUCUCUCCCUUGUCGGUUACAAUCAUUGCUUUAGCUCCAUCCUUUAUUAUGCUCAUACCCCUACGCUCCAUGUCUUAUUAUUCCCCUUGCCUUUUGUUGGCCUUAGAGUAGUUUCCCUUUUUAAGGAAAGACCACCAUUUAAUUAAAAGGAACGUAUAGAAACGAGAUGUUUGUUGAUGUGUGCUCAUGAUGUUUGUCCUUCUGCUAUGACUGAUUUGCUUCUUUGGAAUGAGUGUUGAUGUGUUGUGGCCCUUGGACCGCAAUGGAAUCUGUUUACUAGGUGAGUGCCAUAGAGUUAAGUAGUUGGGUUCUCCCCCUGCUCUCUCUAAUCCGUCUAUACUUACCUUUUCUCGUUAUUCUUUCCUCUUACACCUGUCCUUUUGGCAACCUCCAGCUCCUCCAAAUCAGUCAAGAUCAGAGUCGGCAACAUCUUCAUCAAGUGUGUAUCAAUGCUCUUGUUAAGGGGGUUAGCCGCUAACCCCAAUGAAGACAAUGCAAUCAACAUCAACCAACAAGAUCAGAGUGGUGCAGCGAAAGCGUGUGUGGGUCCUAACCCACAGGUCCAGGAGGUCCUCAAGAAUUGCAUCAAUCGAUCUCAAGCAUCUGAUGGUCAAAGCAACCAAUUCACAAGUCAAGCCGGCGGAGGCAAAGUUGAGUUAGAAAAAGCUAUGAAAGACUAAUGAACCAAUCUCAUUUUCUUGCUAGCCUCUUCUUGAAUCUCGAGGACGAGAUUCUGUUAAGGGGGUUAGAUUUGUAACACCCUGAAUUUGGGGGUAUAAAAUUUCUUUUCUAAUAUCCACCAAAUUCAGGUGUUACUCUCUCAGUUCUUUGCUUUCCUUUCUCUUUUCCCUAAAAAUGGAGAAUCAUUUUGUUUUAUAAUAGCGUAAACCUAGUGGAAUGAGCCCUAGAGGCACUUUGGUUGUUGCAUUCAUGUCGUUGCAUGGUGUUUCUAAGUGCAAAAUGUGUUUGAAACAUGUUAACAUAUCUUAUAGAAGCGCUCGGUAAAUUUUCAUAAUUUUCGGAAUAUUUUUCUAUUUUCCGGAAACCAAAAUCUAUUUAUUUGUGGAACUUAAAAAUGUUUUUAGAAAUUCUAAUUAUGUUUUUUGAGUUCAUUAGGUGCCAAAACAUUUAUAGGAAUUUUAACCGAAUUUUUAUCUCGUCCAAACCCUAGGUAUAUAUACAUGUCCGGCUUCAUCUCGUCGAGCCCGUUCCAGAACACGAAACAUUUUCUCCAAAUCUAAUCCCUAGCUCCCGGUAUUGCUCGCCGAAGUUCGGGGCGGUUCCAACUCCGGCGACAACUCCGGCGAGCAAUUACUCCCAAUCCGUGCAUCGUCCGCGGAAUCCGAGGGUACCGCUGCGUUCGUCUCGUCGAAGGCUUCGUCGCAGCGCGUUCGGUUCAUCGAUUGGAUCCCCGAAUCUCCGGCAAUCGACGGAUUUCUCCUCGGCUCCGGCGAGGUCUUCUUCCCCGGUGAGCCUCCUCCAUGGAUUUCAACCCUAGUUCUUCAUUUCUUCUCUCCUCCCUGCGCAGCCCCUCUAUCUCUCCCCACCGGCCCCCUGCGCGUGCCCGCCCUGCCCCUGUGCGCGCCCACCCUGCCCCUGCCGUGGCGCGGCGGCGACGACCGGCCGUGGCGGCCGAGGUGCUUGGGGCACAGCAGCCCGCGGCGGCGGCGUGGCCCCCUGCGCGCACGUCCCGGUGCCCCCUGCGCGCGUGGCGUGGCACGGCGGCGUGGCCCCGGCCCCCGUGGCGGCGUCCGAGCUCUUCCCCCUCCCCUGCGCAGCUGCAGCCCCAUAGCCAUGGAUUUCGAACGUGAGGUAGAGAGGAGAGAGGAAGAAGACGAUGGCAGUCUCGUAAAUUUAGUCUGCGCGAAUUACAGUAUGGUUUAAAACAUUCAUAUCUUUUGCGUUUUAAACCCGAUUCGAUUCAUUCAAGUUGUGUUAGAUUCGUAUUAAAAUUAUCUUAAUUUAGAAAUAUUUAUCCUAAUUUUUGCACAUUUUAUUUAAUUUAGUUAAACGUUUGUUUAACCAGUGGCUACUAGAACGAUGUUUCAAUUUAAAAACCUAAUUUAGGAAUUCGAUUUGCACAUUUAUAAUUAGUCACCAAUAUGAUUAACCUUAACUGAAAUGUUAUUUAUUAAUAAUUUUUUAGUUUAAUCACGUUGUUUAUUUAUUAGUUUCGCAUGUCGGUCCGCGCAUGCCGCGGUGCUGUUUCGCGCAUGUCGUAGCGUGUCGUUCGCAAGUGUCGCACGUGUUGUUCGUACGCGUUGUCGCGUGCCGUUCGCGUGUAUCGCGCACCUUGCCGUGUGCCGUUCGCGCGUAUCGCGCGUUGUCCGCGUGCUAAGUCGUUUGUGUCCGCGCGUUGCGCACAUCGUGUUUGCACGUCGUGCGUUGUUAAUUCGUCUCGCUUAGAAUCGCUCAUAUUCAUUAAGUUACUUGCUUAACUGUCAACUAUUAAAAUAGUAAGUUAGUCAAAACUAAGUAGUAGUAUUAAUUUACAUUUGAUUAAUAUUAAUUAAUAUAAUUAUGUUGAAUUGGAUGUUCUAAUUAGUACUUGUUUAACGUAAACGUGUUAACCCCUUGACCAUAGCUUCGUCUAUCAUGGUUCUUUUUCUCGCGUAACCGUAGAAGCGCUCUCUAUUUUUUAUUGCUCGCUUUUAUAACAUUUUAUCUUGUAUGGUGUAAUGUUCUUAUGCAUAUGUAUAUGUUUGUUUGCUUGUGCCUGUUCGUCUUCGCUUCGCGUUGCGAUUAGAUCGCGAUUCGUUUCUGAGCUUCGAGGAAUUGACGGACAAGCUUCGGCGACCAAAUGACCCAGCUCUUCGAGUUCUACGAAGCUGAAGACCCUGAGCAUCUGUUUGGUGAAGGCAAGUGUCCUCUGACCUAUUAUGUCCAAUUUACUUUAUAAUUCAUCAACCCGCAUACCAUGAUCAACCUAAGGAUUGACUAGCUUUGUAUUUACCUUGUCCUUGAUUACCUUUUGGGUUAUUAUUGUUUAGCUUUAUGCUAUUGCUCAACUCUAAUCAAUGAACAUGAUGAGAAUUAUCAAUGAUACGUUGUUUCCCUCCUUUAUUAUGAUGUUGUAUCUGUGGUAUUCAAGGGGGCUCGAGCGGUUUCUCGAGUGCCUCUCCGUAAGGACCUGUUCGUUGGAUGACCGCCCGGGAAAACAGUGCAACCAUGAGGGUGGAAUGGGAUGCCCUUAGCUGAAUAAUUAGAGGAACCGGGGUGUAGUUCGCUUAGCCGUCGUGCCGUUAAUGGGGCUCGGUGUAUGCGGCUCGCUCUGCCAAGUUUGGUUCGCCCCUUGGGGAGGAGUGCGGUGCAUUUAGGAAACCUAACGGGCGGCUACAGCCUCGGGGAAUCUUUGUAAAGGCUACGUAGUGAAACCCUGCCUAUUCACCUUGGUAGUGUUUAAGGGUUUGAUCGGCCCGAGGCAAGAGGGAAUCACGACUUGUGGGUAAAGUGUGCAACCUCUGCAGAGUGUUAUAAAACUGAUAUAUCAGCCGUGCUCACGGUUAUGAGCGGCCAAGGGAGCUCCAUUGAUUAGUGAUACUUGAUCAGAGAUGGUUGGUUUACAGAUGAUGAUGAGGAUGGUUAUGAUCAUGCUUAUGGUAAUGGUAAGUGGUAUUCUUUCCAUUUGGAAAGGGUACUUUGGGUUAAGAACUUGGGUUAAUGCUAAAACCUGGCUUUCUACUAGUAAUAAUAACCUGACCAACUAAAAGCAACUGCUUGACUUAACCCCACAUAAAGCUAGUCCACUACAGCCAAACGGGACAUUUGCUGAGUACGUUGAUGUGUACUCACCCUUGCUUUCACAAAACACCAGGUUGCCUUUGGUGCAAUCUAUGCUCAGGUAAAGAAGGCGUCGAGGCGGAUCUCCAGGAGUUCCAGGACGUCGACGAGUUCGAGGAUUAGGCUAGCGACCUCCCCCAGUCAGCUGCCUGUGGUGGGUUGUUUACGUUGGCUACGUUUCGAUUCUGUGUACUUUGAUUUAUAUUAUGUAAAUGGCUCUAGUCUGUAAUAUUAUUACUUACUCUUUAUUGUAAUUCGAAGCAUUGUGCUAUGAUGAGUCAUUUAUGUAAUUGCUGUGUACGUGAAUAACUGAUCCUGGCACGUACAUGGUUCGCAUUCGGUUUACCUUCUAAAACCGGGUGUGACACUAGACCACACUUAAAUGGGAAUAACCCGUCAAUCCCUCAGAUCUAGUCCGACACGGCCACUGACAGGAUCAAGUACCACAAUCUCACUCGAAGGUGAGUCACAGAGCAAAUACAAUAAAGCAUAAAACCAUACAUGCCAGAGUAUUUAAUUAUUACAUCAUCAUCAUCAUCAUCGGAGUUUUUGCAAAACUAACCAUCAUUGUUCGAAGUGCAGCGGAAAUAAACUAACGGUAAAUAAAUAGAGGGAUGGGGAAGUCGCUCCCAUCACUCCUCAUGCUCCUCCUCAGCCGAGGCAGGGUCCCACUCGACAGUCCAACCCGGUGGCAAGGUGGACGGCCAAGUUAUUCCAGCAACCAUUUCCUCCAGAGAACCUAUAAAAAUUAUGCCACAAGCAAGGCUGAGUAUACUAAUACUCAGCUAGACUUACCCGGUGUGAGGAGUCUACUCCUCUACCUCUAGACAUGCAGCUGUUUGGCUGUGGGGUUUGGUUGCCAAAAGCACUAGCUGAGUUUCUAAAUCAAGAUUUUAACUUAGUCAAAGUUAAGUGUGACUCUCUUAAGGCUAAAAGUGGACUAUCUACUCAUACAUGGUAGCAAGCAUUAUUAACAAUCAACAUCUUAUCCCAACUCAUCAUACUUCCACUUAUUACUCAAUGCAGUACAAUGGAUCAAGCAGUCUCAUUAGCUGCGAGAAGCAGACGAUUCGAAUCGAGUUUUUAUCCUUGCAAGGUAAACCUAAACACACGACAUGUAGGGGCACUCCGUCCCCACACACAUCAACCGUCCCCAUCGAUUCCCUGGCAACAGAUCAGGGCUCACCGCCUUGGCGUACAAUGCCCCACUGACCCCGACUGGCCGUCGUGCAGUGACCGCACUUGUACCCACCAUAACCGGAAUGGGAGACCUCGUCUCAGGUCGCGAGGGGAUAUGUCUGCGGGCAGGUUCACUCAGGUACUAGGCUUACCGAUUUACCAUAUUUCUCGGUAUGUGUUUAGUACGUUCAAACGCUUGACACAGGUAUCCGCACGUUAAUCCUUAUUCCAUUUUCCAUCUCAUGAACAACCAAUCCCCAUGGAUUGUUGUCCACCAACUAGUAUUAUGACAGUGUGAAAGUGGGUACAAUCAAAUUCCUGAUCUCGCGCGAGUGCUAGAAAAAUCACUUGUCUUCUACCGAGAUCCUAAUUAAAUAAAGCAACUACUCGACCUGUCAUACUAGUAUUCAUCUCAAAAGGAUUCCUGAGAUCAUGCAACUAGGGUUUCAAACAAUUCCUACACCUAAGUGCACAAUCAAUCCUACAAUCAUUAAGUGAAGUAAAAUAGCAUAAAUAACAGGUUAUGCAUAAAACCGGGGCUUGCCUUCCAAAGCAGUGGCAGGCAGGUCCUCUGGUGCAGGCUCGGGUGCUGGAUCCGGGGCUACCUCCUGAGCAGCUCCUUGCUCCGGCACGAGGAUGUACUCUCCGUCAGCAAGAUUACAGUCUAUCGAAAUGCAAUGAACAUGUAUGUCAUGAUUAUGCAGGAUUUAAUAAUAUUAUGCUAAAGAGAACUAAGUUAAGAAGUAACUUAGGGUUUCUUAGUCAUGCGGGGCUUCCAGUGGGUUAGGCUUAUUACUCUUUAGGCUUGGGUUUUUAGUGAAGAUAACAUAGUGGAUUGGUAUUGCCUUGAUACAUUUUAGUGGACAGAUUACAAAGGUUUUAGGAUGACAUUAAUUUACAUUAUUCAUUUUCCUUUCUUUAAUUUCCAUUUAGGGUUUCUAGUGUAGGUUUGAACUACGACAGUGUUUUAAUGAUUUCCAAAAAUUCUGUAAAAAUUACAGUGGGUUGUCAUUUGCUAUUCUAGCUUGUUUUAAGAAUUUGAGGCUUAAAGUACAAAAGCUAGGCUUUAAACAAAAAUGACAAGGGUUAUGCAGAAUGGCCCACUUUACACUACAUCUCUUAGUUAGGGGUAGGUUCUGUCUUAAAGGUUAUUUUUGCUGGCAUCCCAUAGUUGUUGGGGGCCUUCGGCUUACGAAGGUCCUCAAAAACAGGAUUUAACAGUAUUCUGGAGUUUAAUGUGUGAACAGGUAUCUUCGGACUCAAGUCGGUAUCACAGCAGACCAGAAUAAUACGAAGGUUGAUACAGCGCCGAAGGUGUGAGCAGGAAAGCUUCGGCAUGAUGUCAACAAAAUGAAACCGACUUAAAGAUGAAAAGGCUAUUCAAACCUCGAUAGAUUACAAUAGAAUCAUUAUCAAAUGUAAAGGGCAUGAAUGUAAUUUUGCAUAGGCUGUGUCCUGUGCCUAUAAAUAGGUGAACAGUACCCCCGUACUGUUCACGCUGAUUUGGCAUUCACUUUUGCGUCACGCUUGUACUUUCAUCUCCUUCAAGUUGAAGGUACAUUUGUAACCCAACGAUUAUUUCUGUUUAUACAUGAUAAUAAGACAUAAUUGUUUAUGUUGUUCGUUAUAUUCCUUAUAAUUCAUCCUUCGUCAUUGUAUAAUGUAUUCAUGAAGGUAUGCCCUUCAUGACCUUCGUCCGAAAACCAUUAUAUCCUGAGAGGAAUAAUGCUUCGAAGGACGAAGGACUUUACCGAUUAACAUAUUCUAUGUUGCCUUGUUCUUGACUCAUAGCAUUUGAGAACAAGUCCCCAACAUUGGUGCCCACCUCCGGUGAACUCACUUCCACUCUUUGAGUUUUUUGAACACCUUCGGUGAUCAUAAACCUUCGUUAUGGCGCCGAAGAAAGCUUCAGCAACUGGGGCUGCAGCUCUGCAACCGCUGGACCACAAUCAGGAGACAGUCUCCCUUCGGGAGGCCCGAAGCCAGAAAAGGAAGGCUGUUAGCCCGACACCACCAGAGGAUGAGAUAGAUCAAGAAAUCAGAGAUAUGGAGAUGCUUCAUCAACAAGUGCAGAGGAAGAAAGAAAAGAUGGCCAGGCUAGCUGAACUGCAGAGGCAGAUAGACGAAGCCUUUGAACAAGUUCGUCACCUUGCCCAGGAUGAGCAACACCGAAGGCCUCAGCACCAAGACCUUCAUCAGGAGGGUUUUCCCAACGAAGAUGACUGGUAUGACAAUUUCCAUCAUGGGAAUUUUGUUUUUGACGAUGCUUCUCCUCUGUCCGCUGAGCUGCAGGCUACACCUUGGCCUCCGUCCUACAAGCCGCCUCAGCUUCCCGUAUUCGAUGGCCACUCAGACCCGAAGCAGUUUUUGAUGAGCUACGAAGCAAUAGUAUCUUCGUAUGGUGGCAAUGCUGCAGUCAUGGCCAAAUCUUUUGUUAUGGCUGUCAGGAGUGUCGCUCAAACUUGGUAGUCCUCCCUUCGACCAGGAACGAUCACUUCAUGGCAGAAGCUGAAGGACUUGUUGUUAACUAGCUUCCAAGGGUUUCAGACGAAGCCGGUUACUGCUCAAGCUCUGUUCCAGUGCACCCAGGAUCACGAAGAAUACCUUCAGGCGUAUGUCCGAAGGUUCUUGCGUUUGAGGGCACAGGCACCAACGGUGCCCAAUGAAAUUGUCAUUGAGGCCAUGAUCAAGGGGCUUCGGCUAGGACCAUCAGCUCAGUACUUCGCUAGGAAGCCUCCUCAAACUUUGGAGAAGCUGCUCCAGAAGAUGGACGAAUACAUUCGGGCCGAUAAUGAUUUUCGCCAAAGAAGGGAGGAGGCUUUCAGGUUUUCUGAAAUGACCAGGGGCUUCGGAGGGAGGUUCUACCCGAGGCAUGUUAGAUCAAUUCAUAACUCUACACAAAAUGAUGAUAGAGGGAGCCAACAGCAAAGGCCACAAUGUUCCUCACAGGCUUCGGGGCAACAACAAGGCUCCUUCCGACCACCAGCUCCAAGAGGCAGAGGCGCCAGGGGCUUCGGAGGAAGAUUUGGCGAUCAACCGAGAAGAAUCUUUUGCUUAUUCUGUGGUGAGAACAAAGGUCAUACCACCAGGAUGUGCCAUGUUACCAUCCAGAAGCAAAAAGAAAUAGCCGAAGCGGCAGCACAACAGGCUCAGCCGAAGCAGGUCAUGCACACUGCUUCGUAUCAUUCGCCUUACAUCCCAGAGUAUGUAGGCAAUCACCCUGCAGUUUCUGUUGCUUCGGCGAGUCAACCUCAGGCUUCCUGGCAACAACCUCCGCCUCCACCACCGCUGCAACAAGGUCAGCAGCCAGAAGGGAGCCAAUAUGCUCCACAUCAAAGGGACUUCAGAGAACAGUCCGAAGCUCGCACAGUCAACAGCACUGUGCCAGAGUCAAAGCACAUCUAUUGACAAAUAUCCUACCUUAAUAGCAAUCUUUUUCAUUCAGCUUUAUUUUCUGUAAUAAAGGACAUUGUUCAGGUUUCAUGUAAAUAGUUUCGUUGAUUCCCACAAGGAAAAUAUAUUUUCUUCACAGGCUUAAAUUGUUGAAAGACUUGUGAUAACAAAGAGGACCUUCGAACUAUCGAAAAUUCUUCGAAGCAACAAAAAGUCGUUCUAAGGAACGCAGAGUAAGUUUGCCGAAGUCACAAAAAAGUCGUUCCAAAGGGAGCGCAGUGUAAGUUUUCUGCUCCAAAGUCGUUCCAAAGGGAAUGCAGAGCAUACAGAGAAAAGUCAACGCUGAUACCGCCUAAGUAAAAGGCGAAGCGCGAAAAGUCAACGUGAAUACCGCUGAAAGUAAAAGGCGAAGAAGCUCCUAAGGGAGGCUUACAGCGAAAAAUAAACGCUGAUUCCGCUGAAGUAAAAGGCGAAGAAGCUCCUAAGGGAGGCUUAUAGAAAAAAGACAAUGCUGAUUCAAAAGAUUAUGUGUUUUGUCGCAGGAAUGUGUGUAUCUUCAGAAUAAACACCAUCGUACACAGCAUAACAUCAUCGCAUCAUUUCGCAUAGCAUAAGCAUCAUACAUCAUGUUGCAUAUGGCACAAGAGGUGGACAUCAUAUUAAUCUACAGAAGAACGUUUUAAGAAAAGGGAAAAAUCAUAAUGUCACAAGGAGAUACGUUAUUGAUCUUCGGAAGUAUAGCUUCGGAAAGUAUCUUCACGAAGCCUGGAUAUUAUUCUUCAGAACACUGGAUAUUGUUGUGACAAAGAAAAAUUCCUCUUCACGAAGCAUGAAAAGAAGGGAAGGUGUUUUUUCGUCAAAGACUCAAAAGCGGUACGUGUAAAGUUUCAUGCAUCGUAAAGAAUUGAGCAAUAAAAAUGGGUAUAUUACAUUCAGGAUUAUAAAAUGUUACAAUAUAUUACAUUUCAGAAGUUUAAUUUACAAUAGUAUUUAAUCUUCUCUCAGAACAACUUCUGCAGCCUCAUUCAGGAGCCGAUUGACGACUUCGUCCAUAAUGGCUUCAGCCAUCUUUUUAAUUUCGUCGUCUCCUUUCGGCUGAGGGCCCGGAGACGCUUUAGCAGGAUCUGAAGAAGGACAGGAUACGCCUACAUUGCUAUUACAAAUGGCAAACGAAGCUUAAAACCAAAAAUUACAACACAAUAAAAACUAUUAGUUAAUACCUAACUGACCUUCGGGCUCUAUGCUCUUUUCAGCAGCCUCAGCCACUUCUCUAGCAUCGUGAAUGCCCUUUUCACUUUUUUGAAUAAUUUCUCCUGCCAUUUCUCGGCCACCAUUAUCCCAGAUAACGGUGAAAAAUUUUCCACCGAUCAUGCUAGCUUCGGCCGAAGGAUCUCUUGCAUCUUCAAAGGACAAAGCAGCUUCGGAUUGUGCUAAAAUUUUUACAUGUUCGCAGCCCUUCUUCUCUAAAAUGGUGGCAAUUCCUCUGGCACCAGAGAAAGCACAUAUAUCUCCACGACUAUUUAAAAUUUCUUCGAAGGCCUCAGCUUCGUGGUCGAUCCAGUCGAUGGGACCUUCGGGAUUGCCUCUCGUAAAUUUUUCUUCGCUUGAGAAGGCGCCGACCCUGGCGAAGCUAGCUUUUAACUUCUUAACACACUCUAUAGAUUUGUUAUAGCAUCUUUUCUUGGACGAACGAAGCUCUUCAACAGUUACUUCUAGGUGAUCUGCCCAUUGGUCGCUGAGUUCUCGCCUUGUUUCUUCAAGUAUGCGUUCUUCCUUGGCUCUGGCCAGUUGUUUCCGAAGAUCUUCGAUUUCGCGCUUCUGAGCUUCAGCUUGACCCUUAAAAGCAGCUUCGUCUUCCUUUAUUUUAUUUAUCAAUGAGUGUAAUAUUUUAUCUUUUUCGAGGCCUUCGUUCCUCAGUUCAAUUACUUCGGAACGAAGGUUGCUCAGGGCUAUAGCACACCCUUCGUCUUCAUCAUCUUUUUGUGCCCUGAGGGCAUUGCUAAGUAUCAGGCCCUGCAAAGAGAAAUAUGUGUGUGUCAAUAGAUUUAAACAAACGAAAAUUUUGGUCUCAACAAAAAGUACAAGGAUCCCAUUUGUCGCACCUUUAAGCUAUUAUAGGCCAGGCUGUCGGCCAGAUCGUUCUUCGACAGCACCGAGAGCCCGUCUUCUAAAGUUGGGAAUCCGAAGCUCUUGCUCAUCUCCCGGCAGACAGAAAUCUCCUUGCUGUCAGGGAGACAAUACAAAAAGUAUUCUUCUCCACUACCAUUGAAUAUUAACGCCCCCUUUGGAUACUUCAGUUUUUGGGCGUAGCGCUGGGCCUCUUGCUCUUCUUUUUCUGAUAGUUUUUUCCCCGAAGCAUGACGAACGAUAUAAUCACGAACUUUGGAGGAUGCUUCGGGGGCAACGACACCGAUUUCUUCAACAAAAGUUGGCUUUGUUAUUUUUUCUUCCUCAGUUUCCAAGGAUUUUAUCUUUACGGGCUCUGAGGACCCAGCUUCGGCUUCAGUUUCUUGCUCUGGAGCUUUUGUAUCAGAAAUUUCAGUUGUUGUUUCAGGAGUGGCAGCAGCCUUCUUCGGAGGUGUGCUUGAAGAUUUGAUUGUUUCCAGUACAUCUAGCACAUUAGCCAUUCUCUUUCUUUUCGGAGUCACUGCUGGCACUUUUUGAUUUUUCACUGUCUCAACAUUUGCUGCAGGACUCACAACUUCUGAUGCUUUUUCUUCAGAUGGUUUUUUCACUUCUUCAAUUUUUUCUGUGGAUGGCGCCUCGGCCAUUUCUUCGGUUUCUGGUAGCAAAAUCUUCGGUUCUUCCAAUUCUAUCCUUUUUGGCGCUUCGGCCAUUUCUGCAACUGCUGGCAGCAAGGUUGGUUUGGCUGGUUUUUUAGCCUCGGUGGCCGAAGAAGUUUCUCCGGUAAACUCAGGCACCGAAGCUGGUUCAAUAUAGCGCGGCCGAUGUGUGAGGACCUUUAUCUUCUUUCUUUCCGGUUCUGGCUCACUAGGAGCAGUUGCAGCUUCUUCUUUUGCAGAGGUUGUAUUUUUUUCUCUUCUGCCUUCGAAUGGGAUAGCAAUAGUCAGGGUAGACAAACCCAAUUGCAUCAAAUACCCGAUUUAGCCUCUUCUUUUUUCGGCCUCCGAAGGCUGCUGACAUCGCAGUAUCUUCAGCCUUCGAAUAAGCCCCAAGCAGCUCAUCACUUAAAUUUUCAAUGCUUUUUAACCAGUCAUCAUCUGGCUCAACGAAUUUAUCUCCGAACUUGAAGGUGUACUUCAGUCUGACAAGUCCACCUUCGUCGGCCUCUUUUAUGGUUUCUUGCGGCAUUUCCCAUUUCUCCGCGAGCGGCCAUACCCGGAAGGCAAUAUGCUCUUGUACUAAAUCUCUCGUUCCAAUAAAAGAACAGAUAACGCCGAAGGCCCUCUGGCAUUCUUCGGCAGCUUCAUUCAUUUCAACCUUCGGCCUCCGAAGGCCGAAGCUUUGCCAAAUAGGGCGCAUAAUUAUACCUUUGAUAUCUUCUCGUACUGACAGGUCAUUCUUCACAUAAAACCAUUCUGUCAUCCAGUCGCCGGGCCAUCUCUUCCGAAAGGUUGGCACAGGACAGCUUGACCCGGACCGAGAAACGAAACUGUAGCAGCCAAAAUUAUUAUGAUACUGUUCCUUACCCCAAGGUUUCGUUUCGUAUGAUAAUUCGUGUAUAUUGCAGAAGCUUUUUGCAUCAGGCCUCAGACCUUGGCUUCUCACGGCCCACACGAAGAUAUUCAGCCUUAUAAUUGCCUCGGGGGUAAGUUGGUGAAGAUAGACUUCGAAAAUUUUCAACACCUCCACGACGAAGCUGCUCAAGGGAAAUCGUAGCCCAGCUUUCAAAAAGCUUCGGUACACUACGACUUCAUUCUCUUCAGGGUGUGGACAAGUUUUCUCCCCUUCGUCGGCCAUCACAAUGGACAAAUCCCGGAAAUACCUUCCUCUCAUGUUGACAAGAUGAUUCUCUUUGAUAGUUGAUUUACCAUAAACUGAAUGGCUUGGUCGCCAGGGACGAUCUUCGGAGUCUUCACCACCGCUGUCCACAUCAUAACUGUCGCUGUCACCAGUAUCCUCAGACAAACCUUCUAGAAUCUCCUUGGUGAUUUUUUCCGUGUUGGUCUUCGACAUCGCUAUAAGAAACCCCAAGUUUUUCUCUUCGUCAAGACUCAGCUUCGUAUCAGCAGCAGCCUUCUUAUCUCCAGACAUCUUUGGAAACACUAAAAAACUAUUUUCAAAGCCGAAGCUUCAAAACUAAAAGCUCAGAAAAUCUUAGUGCACAAAAGCUAAAAAUCGAGUGGGCGAGAGCAGAUGACAAGAGAGCGUGCCAAAUGAGUUUGCGGUAUGACCGUAUUUAUACGCCCAGUGCGUUGAAAAUUGAAAGACCCCGCUUGUCAGUGAAUGUUGCUAUUCUAGCAAAGGGAAGGUGUUUUUUCGGACCUUCGGCGUAAAGCCUUCGUCCAUAUCGCAAUCUAAAUUUAUUAUUUUAAACAAAUUAAUAUUGCGAGGGGCUACUGUUGGGGGCCUUCGGCUUACGAAGGUCCUCAAAAACAGGAUUUAACAGUAUUCUGGAGUUUAAUGUGUGAACAGGUAUCUUCGGACUCAAGUCGGUAUCACAGCAGACCAGAAUAAUACGAAGGUUGAUACAACGCCGAAGGUGUGAGCAGGAAAGCUUCGGCAUGAUGUCAACAAAAUGAAACCGACUUAAAGAUGAAAAGGCUAUUCAAACCUCGAUAGAUUACAAUAGAAUCAUUAUCAAAUGUAAAGGGCAUGAAUGUAAUUUUGCAUAGGCUGUGUCCUGUGCCUAUAAAUAGGUGAACAUUACCCCCGUACUGUUCACGCUGAUUUGGCAUUCACUUUUGCUUCACGCUUGUACUUUCAUCUCCUUCAAGUUGAAGGUACAUUUGUAACCCAACGAUUAUUUCUGUUUAUACAUGAUAAUAAGACAUAAUUGUUUAUGUUGUUCGUUAUAUUCCUUAUAAUUCAUCCUUCGUCAUUGUAUAAUGUAUUCAUGAAGGUAUGCCCUUCAUGACCUUCGUCCGAAAACCAUUAUAUCCUGAGAGGAAUAAUGCUUCGAAGGACGAAGGACUUUACCGAUUAACAUAUUCUAUGUUGCCUUGUUCUUGACUCAUAGCAUUUGAGAACAAGUCCCCAACAAUAGUAAUAAUAGGUCUCUGUGCUAAAAAUCACAGAAAACUAAGGGGUGGUUGUUUAGUUAUGAUUUUCUUAAGUUUAAGGUCAAAAAGGCUCUUUCUACUACAUUAUUAUUUGAAAAAUGCCAAACAGCAGAUUUCAUAUUUUUCCUAAGUUCUCUCUAAUAAAACAAUAGUUAUCCCAAGGGUGGGGGUGUUUUUACCUUGGGGUUAUUUUUGUAGAGUUUUUCUAAGUUUCACUUGUUUUAUCAAAACAAAAGGGAUCUUACUUAUUUUACACUAAAACAGGGUAUGAUAUAUUUUUCCAGUGAACUAUAUUGAAUAAGUAACCUAACAAAAAUAGAGGUACUCUCUGGUUCAUUAAUUAAAUUACAUUUUCUAUUUUCCUUAUCCUUAAGCAUAUUAUAGAAUAAGGGGUAAAACUAACUUAAAUGGAGUGGACAGAGAGGUUUAGCAUUUUUAUUUGGUUUAGUAGGUAGAUACAAGCUUCUCAAAAUUUUUCUAACCCCAGUCAAAUAGUGCAACUAAUUUUGGCCCUAUUAUUAAGCUUUUGGUCAAAACUAUAAUUAAAUCAGAGCUUUAAGGUUCUCUAUAGUACAUAGGGGGUUUUAUAUUUUUCUUAAGUAGGUUACAUUAUUUAGAGUCUGACAAAAUUGGUUUGACUAAAUUUGGAUGAUUUAAACAGGAGUUAUGUAUUUUCAAAGUUUCUGUCCAAUUUAAAAACAGAUUUAAUAAAAGGUUUUCUGGAAAAACAGUUUACACCGAGGUCCCUGGGUUUAAACUAAAUCCACCCUCGCAAAUCUACCCCCACGCCACUAUUCCCCUGUGUCUCUGACAUUUCACAAAACCCCCUGACCUUCUCUCCCUCUCACCCGCAGUCCUUCCCCUUAUGCAAACAGUAACCGCGGGAAAGAAAAGGGUGGCGCGGCUUACCGGCGGUGAGGGAGGUCCGGCGAAGGGUGGGGUUGGCUCGGGGAGACUCUGGCGGUCACGUCGAGGUACGGCUUGACGUCGGGGAUGGCCGGAAUCGCCCGGUCCACGCGUGCAGGCGGGUGUCCUCGUCGGCGGCGAGUAUACCGGCCAAACCACGGCGAACUGGUUCAAUCCGAGGGCAUGGUGAGCUUCACGGGGUAACAUAGCGAUCGUGUGCACAAGGAAUCGAAGGAUGGUGGAGUGGUUUACCUGGUCCACGUACUCCGGCGGGGUUGAGAGCUCUGGCGAGCGUGGACUGGCCUCUCCGGCGAAGUAAACUCCGAUUCCUCGCUCGGGGAGCCUCACGGAGGUGUGCACAGUCUUCUCCGAGGGCUGGACGGAGUUGGGAAAGGCUCCACUGGCCGGUCUACGGUGGCAGAGGGAUUGGGCGGCCGCGGACUCGCUGCGCACGGGCAAACGGCGACGAGCUCGACUCCGAUGUGGUUUGAGGGUGCGCGGAAGGGAACAAUCUAAGUCUAGGAGGGUUUUAUAAGCGCGAGCGCGGGCCAUGGCGCUGGCUUGGCUCGGGCGCGGCGCUGGGCAUGCGGGGGCGCGCGCGAGCGUGCUCUGGCGCGGGCAGAAGGCGUCGAACACGUGGAGGUGUUUUUCUUCCAGUGUUCAAACGUCUCCAGAGAUCGCAAACGAGCGAAUCUCGCCAUGAAUCUGGCGCAGGCCUCUUCCUGGCACCUAGGGCUAUCUCACAUGUGUGAGUUCCAAUGGAGGAUACGCCCUAGAUCAGGAGAUAGACGGGCGCCAAUUCUGGCUUGUCUCACUGCCCAUAUUGCGACAAAACUGAUGUCAAGAGCUGUCAAACGUCCGAGUCUCGGUCUCCACUUUUUCCAGGGGGUGCCUUAAGUGGUAUACCACAUUUUUGGUAUAGAACCCAAGUGGUUUUGGCGCCAUCUUCAAAGUGAACACGGCUGGUCUUUGGAUUAGGGUUAAAAUUUGACUUAGAGGGAAAUAGAGAGCUCUAGCUCUCUCUCCACUUGGAGAUUUGAAUUGGGGUUUCUCCAGGGGUCUUUUUGCAACAUUUCCCUCCCCUAAUUGAUGGUUAUUUAGUUGCUUAGGGUUUGGGUAAAAGUUACACAUACUUUGCACACUUGAUCACUUUCUUCCCCCCCCUUACCUAGGGUUUUGGAAGCUAGGGUUUAGGAGAGGUCUAGGGUUCUUCUCCCCUCUUAUCCAAGGUGGUAAGUGAGUAAGGAUUAGGGUAAUGCUUCUCAUGUCAUUGGCAACUUGAUUAGCACAUGAUCUUCAAGUUCUUAUGUGUUGCCCUAAGCCUUUACCCCUUGUGAUCACAGCUCCUAGUGUCAAAAUGGGCUUUAGCCAAGGUAACACCUGGGGUGUUACAGGGCGGAGCGGAGUUCGCCGUCUUCCGGGGCUUAGCCCGAGUCUGAGCCCUGGGUCGGGCGGAGCGGAGUUUCCUAUGGCGCCUUUGGUAGGGCCUGACUGCCUGUCAGUCUCACUCUGUCAAGUGGCACUGCAGUCGGAGUGGCGCAGGAGGCGCUGUCCUUCUGUCAGACCGGUCAGUGGAGCGGCGAAGUGACGGCGGUCACUUUGGCUCUGCCGGGGGGCGCGCGUCAGGAUAAAAGUGUCAGGCCACCUUUGCGUUAAAUGCUCCUGCGACUCGGUCGGUCGGCGCGACGAUUUAGUCAGGGUUGCUUCUUAGCGAAGGCAAGGCCUCGGGCGAGCCGGAGACGUGUCCGCCGUUGGAGGGGGGCCUCGGGGUCGGCUGCCCUUGUCCGAGGCUAGGCUCGGGCGAGGCGUGAUCGAGUCGCUCGUAUGGACUGAUCCCUGACUUAAUCGCACCCAUCACGCCUCCGCAGCUUUAUGCUGAUGGGGGUUACCAGCUGAGAAUUAGGCGUCUUGAGGGUACCCCUAAUUAUGGUCCCCGACACUGGCAGAGGUACAUCUUUUCCGAUGUUGAACCCAUCACGGCCAUGAUGGAUCCACCAUCAAGUUUUAUUUUUGAAAACUUUCCAUCCAAUGUGUAGCAUCACUUUUGUCUUAAAACAAAACAUUUUGUUUUUCUAAAGCAAGGCUAAACAUCAUAAAAAUCCUUUUUAUAAAAGGGUGUCAAGGAAGGGUAAUCAAUUUUUCCAAGGAAGGAAAUGCAGCAAUGGUUUAGCACACAACUCCUAUCACCUAAUGCAUCAUAUAAGGUGAUAAAGAUUUUAAAACAGCAAGGAGGUGGCAAAUGCACCAGGGCUUGUCUGGAGAACAUUAGGUUAGUGUUUGUUAGAUGACGUCCACUUGACGAUCGUCCUUUGUCCUAGCACUUGAUCAGGCAGGUUCGUCUAUCAGCAUCACCAUGCGGAGUAGCCCACCCGUUAUGUCAUCCUGGGGUCGACUUGGGUCGUCUUCCGCAUCACAAGAUCAACUAGCGCACCUAAUGAGAUGCAUAAUGCAUAUGUAUGAGCAUAAAGUAAACCAGAUGAUAUAGAAAAGAGAAUCAAACACUUAGCGGCAAGACAUCGACACAAUCCUACAUAAGCACUAGACACCUAUAAUUCGCUAAACACAACAAUCACGAUUUUCUAGUUUUACUAGAUUUAACUCAAACAUCAAAGAACAAUAAAUUAUACGCACGUCUGCUUUCCUUAGCUAAGGCCCAACACCAAAAGACUAUCAAACCUAGAUUCAUUUAUUAGGAAAACAAUAGACCAUAUGAGUUCCACCUUUCUAUUUGACUAAAGCAUAAUACCGAAAGACUAAUUACUUAGACUCAUUAUUUUGGGACACGAAACUCGAAGUAUGAACCGAAAUAACUUAACUAACUAUUUAAACCAAUCUUUUUAAUUAAUCCUUAAAAUAUCCUAACUAUUAAAACAUCACACUAUACUUAAUCUAUCAAGUAGAGCAUCAUCUCACCACAUAUAUUUUACUAAUACCCUGAUCACAUAAACCUGAAAUUCAACUUUAACCUCCACAUCAAAUAAUAGACAAUAGAAUCAUCGCAAUAGAUGCAUCUAUUUAAUCCAACCAUCUAUCUAAUUGAUAGGAAUAACGAAUUAACUCACCAUAACUAAACUCGACCCGAAUCUGCCAGGUCGACGAUGAUCCUGCGUAUGAGGACACGAACUUGAAGGGUGGCGUGACAAAAUUAUUGGAACGGCAGAGUCGUGGACGUGGUUGCUGUCGAGGCGAGUGACGUCUGCAACCUUCAGCAAGAACGACGAUGACACGAGCCUGUAUUGCGCAGAAUAGCACGUCGGCGAAGUUCAAUGGCGAGGUUCGAGCAUGGCUGAUGACACUGUUGUGGAAGUCAAAGGCGGUGGCAGUCGCAAACUAGUCCACGGCAAGGUCGAGAAGAAAGCCGACACGACAGACUUGCAUGUGCGGGAGCAUGACCAAAAUAGGGACAUGGGUGUGGCCACGAUCAUCGGCGCCGGGAACCGAAGGCAGGGGAAAACGACAUAUCAGGAUCACCGGGAUGACAAACGGAACCAAGCCGACGAUGUGGUGAGCAUGUAGGUCACGUCACAGGAGAGGUGCACUGUGCACGGUGAGGGAGCUUGUCGAGGUAUACGCAAACGACAUGGCCGAGCUAGAAACUAAGCGCCGGCGAGCUGGAGCGCCGCAGGGACUGACCGGCGGCUAAGCGAGUUGGGACGCACGGUUGGAGUGGUGAGCUGCUUGACAAAUCAGCAGGAGCAAGAAGCACAGCGGCCAUGGGAAGCAGGGGAGGGAGCUCGGACUAGAGAUGGAGAGCGCCAGCACAGGGGAGUAACGGCUGGGUGUGCGCAGGGAGCUCGGCAUGGGCGCCGCACUGGAGAGGGCGCAGUCCGAGCAGGAAAAUCCCAGGCGCGCAGAGCUCCGGGCGGGCGAGCUGAGCGACGGCGCAGGAUGCGGCACUAGGAAGAAGGCCGAGCUGGGCAGGGACCAGAACACAGGGGAGGAGGGAGAUCCGGGCUGGGGCGCAGGGAGAACGUCGGAGAGGCAACCAUGGAAGAGAGCUGGAGCUUGGAGCAGAGGAAGGCCGCCGAGCUGGGUCCGAGCUAGGGGCGCACUCGCGCGGAACCAGGGAGAGGGUCACGAGCUGGAGGAGCUCAGCUGGACGCAGACGCCAGGGCGCGCGGCCGAGCAGGAGCCAGGGCACACGACCCAGGGUGCGGCGGCCAGGGAGGAAGGCGCACGAGGAGGAAGAAGCAGGGAGAGCACGCGCUGGAAAAAAUCAGGACCGUGGGAGAGAGGAGGUCAGGGCGGUUGAUAUUUCUGCACGAGAUGAGCGGCGAACGAAAAAUCUUCACGCCUGCGCGCGGCAGCAGAAAAAAAUCCCAUUGGUAGGAUAGAGAUAGGAGAAGAUAUUUUCAGAUUUUUCUCUAUUCCUCUUAUUUUGAUAACGGGAUUCGCAGAUAUUUCGAAAUUGAAUAAACUCAUCUGCUUUCUUCGUCCCGAAUAUUUGAUAUGGUGAAUAUUUUGUAGUCAGAUGAACUUUUACCAGGUAUUUAUAUCCGAAGAUUUAAAGCUGGCAAGAAACAUACGGACCGAAUUAAACGGAUUUCGGCUUCGGUAUUUUAAUCUGCACUUGAUUCAGUUGACUUCAGACGAAUUCUGUUCGUUACUUGAACACUCGACUAGAUAACAGUUCAAUUAAAAAUCCGUAGACGCGAUGUUACGGAUGGCAAAAAGGGGACUAAAUUAUUUUACACCGAAAACUUAGUCGUCGAGUUCUACUUAAUCUGUUCAGGGUAAAAUCAUCUGAGUGGGUCGGGCUUCUGAAUUUGUAUUCGCGCGAGCGAUGAAUUUUAAAUAAUCACCGGACGCACCGAUUUUCGGAACAACUAUGUUCCAAACAUCACGAAAAUUUAGGAAGAGCCCGAAUAGAUAAAGACGAUGUCGAACUCGCGACAGACAAAACAGAUGCGAUAUUAAAAUCACAAUAGGCGAAGAUGAUUAAAAUUUAGCAUCCGUUUUAUCCACUGAUAUUGCGUGCUUAAAUCCAUACUCAUUGUCGAGCAGAUGGUAAACACCUGGGGUGUUACAGCCCUCCCCCUUAAAAGAAUCUCGUCCCGAGAUUCGGAGCGAAAGAUGUUUAAGAGUAGAGAAGCAUAUAACCCAUGUCCAUAUCAGCGAUAAUCGUGAGACAUUUCCAAAUAAAGACGAGUGUCUCAGGAUGUCGUUUCUCUAGUGGACAUAACAUGUAUCGCCGUAGGCUAAUUUAGAAAUGCCCACCAAUAGAGACGAUGUCUGCCAGAAGAACACAUAAGGUUCUAUGUGUGCAGUUUGCUUUUUCUGAUGACACUGUACUACCUGAGUUUGUUGGGUGAACGGUAGAUAUGCGACUUUACCCAAAUAGAAUUAGUUGCAACCUCUUGGGUAAAACACACAGAAAGAGGUUUACCAACAAGUGGUCACAUUAAGUUCGUAGCACACGAGACGGGUGUGAAUGUUGAAUAGCCUCCCAGUUAACUCGUGUUAGCCAGAGAAUCCAUGUCUAUGAAAGGUGAUAUAGAUUCGAAAAAAUCACCAGCGGAGGGAUCUGUAGAUGUUGACUUCGUGUCUAAUCUAUUUUGUCAAGCACUAGGCAUGGUUCGACUUGAUCACACAUGCUGGAAAAGCACACGUGAGGCAAUCGAGGCAUGACUAGAGUGAUGACUAGGUGGUCACUGGCUGACUUAAUCUCAAUUCUUGUAAGUACAUUCUUAUGAUGGGUUGAACCAAAGUGAGUUCAGACAACUCGAUAAAACGACCUCUAAACUCAACCUUUGUUCACAAUGCAGUUACAAGUUAGUAAAACCAACUUGUUGAACUACCUAGUUGUCUCUUAACACUAGAAAGCUUCAAGGCUUCACCUUUACACAAAGGACGUAAAGGGAACUUGUAUGAGUAGUCACUACCAAAGUCAAGGGAAAAGAGACCACACAUGGGAAGUGGUAUGCCCUUUUGAUCCAAUAGAGAUGAUAGAUGUUGCUUGAUCACUUCGACAAACAACACCAAAAUCAUUUCAAGGAAGAGAUCUACGGAAGAUAAUAUAUUAGGGUAGUUCCAUAAUGGAUCAUGACCAAAGACCUUGAUACCAGCAUGCGCCAAGCAGCAAAAUCCUGUGUGCGCAUUCACAGGAGGCUCUCAGUUUCGUGGCGGCACCAUAAGUCCUUAACCAUGACACCAUUGCCGAACUGGCACCAAUAAUGAAUCUCACGCAGUAGGAACAAUUUGUGCAGAGAUAACAUAUCGAUAUAGUCUCAUAAUGGAUUAUGACUACUAACUAUGAUACCAGCACGUGCCGAGCAGCACAACCAAGUGUGUGCACCCAUACAAGGCCCUCGGUUUCAUCGCAGUGCCAUCAAUUUUAGUCAUAACACCAUUGUCAGACGUAAUCAAUAAGAAAUCUCAUGUGGCACAAACGGAUUGAGCAAGGGUGACAAUACACAAAGAGACUCUAUCUGUCAAAACGGUUACAAGUAGAGAUCCAAAUAGAUCAUGGCCCGAUGAAAUGAACAAGACAUGGCCAUAACCUAAAUUUGAUGAAAGGAGUACGACGGGAGACUGUUAAUUCAGCUCCAAGCAUAUUUCUAUGCCCAUCGCAAAGAUCACAAGGUCAAGGAUUAGUAUCUUUUAGAUACGGACGAAAAACAAUCAUAAGAUUAAGUUGAUAUGUCUUCGAUAGAUAUAAGAAAACCAAAGGCAUCAAACUCAAGAAAAUGAUUGGACAUGUCUUUCUUGAUAAAGCAACAUGGUGAUCCUUAAGAACAGGCAAACUAGAUAAGGGACACCAGCUUGUGUCAAUCGAAUAAAGGCACGGUCUAAGAUGAAAAUAUGACUUGAGAUUCUUAUUUUAAGCCUGAGUACACUUUAUGUCCAGCAAAGAAAUUAUCUAAGUAUUUAUUUGUAUGUGUUUGUUCAUGGAGUGAUAACGGAAAAAUCAACUUUGGGUCACGGUUCACCAACUAAGAACAUGGCCUAAUUUUCGGUUUAAGCAAACAAACUACCAAUCUUCUAUUAGCACAUCAAGUACCAGAGCAAACACAUAUAUAACACCUAAAUAUAUUACCUAAAGAAUGGAGGACAGCUAUUUCAUCGAAGUUUAUAACACAACAUUACACCACAUUAACUACAAUCACUGGUUACUGGAAUAAAGGCGAGAGAAGCAUUUUGGGUGUAUAGGUGACAAACAUGAUGCAACAAUCAGGAUGCAUGCUCGUCCUAUGCGUCCUCACAAGUUUUGCCAACAUACUGUUGCAAUAACAUUCUAUAUCGGUGGCAUACUUACGACACUCUCGGUAUUUUGCUAGUCGUCAGCUACACAUACGGGUUUGAGGUUAGUGUACCUGCAGAAAAUGCCAUCACAGCCCAUUUUCCUAUUAUGCAGUUCACACAUGACAGUUCAUCACAGUUUAUACUCCAUAUAUUGCUAUAUGGAGGCCAGCUCAUCAUUAAGCGCCGAGCCACGCAUAGGCGCUGUUGCCACACUUUAACCAUAGGACAGCUCAUUAUGGUAACUUACCUUCUUACCUGAGCGUAGGUGCGUCGUUGCAAGUACAUUACACUUCUUAGAAUUCCCAUGUCUGUAUACCCAUACACAUCCAUGGGGUACUGAAUCCCAAAAAAGUAAAUACUCCACAUCACAGCUUUCGUAUAUACAUAUGUAGAACAUGUAUAUAGUCAAGUGCCACAAUUAAGCAUUCCCCUAGACCGACGUUUGUUCGGUCAUGCUCUCACAUCUCAUCUCACCUUACCUGAGUGUCGAUCCAUUCAAAACUGAAUGGCCUCAAAAAACAAUACACAUGUAUGCAAUACCCCCGGUUGUGGGUUAGUGGUUUUGAACUAAGCCACCUGACAGUCCUAAAUUUAGGGCUUAACAGAGGAUGUCACUAGCAUUGUAGUUUUCAAAAUUGUAGUUUUUUUUUCAAAACCAAACAAUGUGUUUAGUUGAAAAUAGGUUUUCUAAAACCAAAACUUUGUUUUUAAAAUAUGUAUGUGACUGUAUUAUACUUAAUCCUACUUCGAUACCAGCUGUGGCAGAACCUCCCAAGUUAUUGGGCCCACAUGCACCUGCCCUUGUCUCAAAGACCUCAGACGGCUAUGCAUGUGCACCAGAUAACUUAACAGGAUCUGUCCGAGUGCCCCAAGGACCUCAGAUAAACCACUAACAACCAAGACAGCAGGAUUAAGUAAACACAAAUCACACACUAACAAGUUGCAGCAGAAAUCUUAUUACCAAAUUUUACAAGUUACAAAAAUUUACAUUAUAUUUAUCGGAGUGGUACAAAAGUGGUUCAAACUGAUAACUUUGAAAUGUUAUAAAUUAGUUAGAAGUUUGAAAUAUAUGCUAGCUCAGGGACAAUCCUCAAUAGGCGAAGAUGAUUAAAAUUUAGCAUCUGUUUUAUCCACUGAUAUUACGUGCUUAAAUCCAUACUCGUUGUCGAGCAGACGAUAAACACCUGGGGUGGUACACCUCCUCCGUGUUCCCCGCAGUGGGCGGCCGCUGAUGGGUUCCGGCCUACGCACCCGCAGUCACCCCCAACGGCUUCCUCGGGGAGAGGGGCGACUUCCCCCUCCACGCCCCCUGCCUCUUCCACCGAGGCAGGGAUAGGGGCAGUGUCACACCCGGUUUUGGAAGGUAAACCGAAUGCGAACCAUGUCCGUGCCAGGAUCAGAACUCACGUACACAACGAUUACAUAAUUGGACAUCAUCACACAAUGCUCGAAUUAAAUAACGGAAAAGUACUUUAUUUACAUCAAGAUGUCUGAGACAUCCACAGAGUCUAAUACGUAACUAUAGUGUUUAACAUUAACAUCAAAGUGUGGAGUAAUCAAAGUUCUUCUAAUCAAAGAGGAUCCCAAGGCUGCUCUUAACCGUGAGCAUGGCUGAUAUACCAGUUUCUAACACUCUGCAGAGGUCACGCACUUUACUCACAAGUCAUGAUUCCCUUUCUGCCCGGGGUUCUAGCCUCCCCAUUGAUCACUACCAAGGUGACCUAGAAGGGUCUCACUACGUAGCCUUUACAAAGAUUUCCCAGAGGAAAUAGCCGCCCAUUAAGUUUCUCCAGUUUGAUAAACACAGUACAUCUCCCCAAAGGAAGGGUUACUAACAAAACCAAAUCAAAGAACCUCUGCAACCAGCCUCGGCAGAGCAAGUAUUGUGCCCGGACCCCAUUGACGGCCCUAUGGCGAAGCUAACUACUCCUCUGGUUCCUCUAAUUAAUUAGCUAAGGGCAUCCCAUUCCACCCUCAUGGUUGCACUGUUAUCCCGGGUUGUCACUCCCCAAACAGGUCCUUACAGAGAGGUACUCAGGAAACAGCCUGAGUCCCCUAAAGUAAUCACAAGAACCUCAUCGGGAUAACAUCAUCGUAUCAUAAAUAAUCACAUCAUGUUCAUUGAUUAAGUUUAAGCAAUAGCAUAAGCUAACCAUAAUUAACCCAGAAAGGUAAACAAGGGUAAGGUAAAUACAGACUAGUCAAUCCUUAAGUUUCAGUAAUGUAAUGCGGGACAUUGAAUUAUAGAGUAAAGUAGGACAUGAUAGGUCUGAGGACACUUGCCUUCACCAGGUUGUUGCACAGAGGGAUCUUUGGCAACACACUCAGGAACCACGAGCUGCUCAUUGUCUAAAUAAAGCGAUCAUACAUUCAAUACAUUUGGAAUGUACAAAUGAACAUCACAUCAAAUAUGUACAAACAUUGGAACGCAACUCAAAGAGGUAGUACUAAAUAAAGGAGAAUAAGAUCAAGUUAUAAAAUGGACUAAUCCUAAUUGGGGAUUGAUUACUCUUUAAGUGUUGAAACAUAGCUCAAAAGGUAAAGUAAUAAUUAAUUAAAGAAAAGGUUAAAUUAUAAGAUGAACUACUCUCAUUUAGGAAUUUGAUUAUCCUUACAUAACCCAAUUCUAUUCAUUUCAUUAAGACCUAAAAGUUAAACCACAGGUGAUUUCAUGUAGUACAUAUUAUUAAUCUCACAAGAUUAAAUAUACUUUAACUCCUAGGAUUUUCCUUUUAUUUAUUUCAUUAAAUGAAUAAAUCAACAUAUACUUUAAUCCUAUAUUCUAAGUGUAAAAUUAAAGUAGAUAGACUAUAGUUGGUCAUAUUUUAAUUGAACAGAGAAUAAUUUUAUGAAAAUUUUGCAAUUUGAACCACUAAAUUUGGAGUUCAUAUGAAAAAGAUAUGAAAUAAACAAGUUUUGAAGUUUGAAAUAUGAAAUUAGGGCUAAAUGUGUGAUUAAAUAAAAGUACAGGGCAUAUUCAAAAUAAACCAGGGGCCUGCGUGCUAAAACAGAGGACGGCGGGUUGAUUUCCUAAAACCAGGAGGUCUCUUAAGCAAAACUUACACGCGAAGGGGUACGGGGUAACCUUUGCCAUCGGAUCAGAGAUCAGCGUCCCAGAUUAGAUCGAGCGGGCGCAUGGACGAUGGGUUGACAAGCGGGGCCAGGGUGUCAGCAGGCUAGGGCGGGCUGACCGGCCGGGCCUAGGGGCAGGGACAUAGGUGAGGGGGAGAAGAGGGGCGGUCAGAUCUAGAUCAGAGGGCUGGGAUUAGAUCCGCUCGGGUUAAGUCUAAACCGCCCGAUCUCGGACAGACGCCUGAGAUCUAACGGCCAGGGGCGAACACAGGCGCGGUGGCGCCACUCGGUCCCACGGCGAGGGCUCACCGGAGACGAGGAGGCUAGCCACGACGAGGCUCCAGGGGCAUAGGGGCUAGCUCGGGCACGUUCAGGGCGGUCUGGCGGACUCGGCCAUGGCCCUCACGCCGGCGCGGGAGCACCAGAGGGCGCUGCACACGGCGAGGCGGGCCAACGGCAGCGCAUGACAGCUCCGAUGAGCAAUCGCGCGAGCAACAGAGAAGAAACAACCAAAUUAAAGGUACAGGCGGGUUGCUCACCUUGAGUGGAAGCACUGGGGUCACGGAGCAACGGGGGAGGCGCAAGGAUACGACGGGGCGAUGACGGUGGGGCUCCAGCUGCGCAAGAAUAGCUCCGGUGAGCGCAGACCGGGCGAAACAGAGAGGGGAAGGGCACACCGAAGGGUGUCCCGAGCAGCUGACAGCGAGGCAGAACUCACCAUGGCACGGGACGGGACGCGGACACGACGGUGGCUGCAGAACGGACAGCAGUCGACGGCGGGCGGUGGCGGAGCUCUCUGCACGCGCGGGCAGAGCGAGAGAGGGCAAGAGGGUUUGGCAGAAGGCACAAAUGAGCGAGGGGAGGUGCGCGAGCAGUGCGCGAGGCUCAAAGGGGAACGGGCGCAGGACGUGGCCGGAGAAUGCGCGGUCGUGGGCACGUCCACGGCGGGGAGAUCGUGGGCGAGAGGUUAGGGACGACUGACAGGUGGGGACAGGGGGACAGAGAGAGGGAGAGGGCGCGGGGGAAAAGAACGGCGCCGACAGCUCGGCCCCAUAGAGUAGUGAGAGAGAGGGAGUGAGCGCGCACGGGUUGGCGCCGACAUGCGGGGCCCGCCUGUUAGGCACCGAGGGCACGUGCGGAGGCUAGGCUUAAUGGGCUGGCUUGGGCCGAAAUGGCCUUUUCCUUUUUCCAGGAAUUUAUAUUGCCUUUUCUAUUUAUUUUCUCUAGGGUUUUCAAUUCAAAUUCAAAUAAAGUUUCAAAUUCAAACCAAAUCAAAUAUGUGCAACAAUUCAAAGAAUAUUUAGGCUCAAUAUGAUGCAACAUUCCAUGACUCAUAUGUUUUGGGCAAAAUAAAAUAAAUAAUCCUUCACUAAUUCAACUAACCCUAAUUAAAUGAAAAAGAGAGGGAGAAAACUAGAGAGAGAAACUAGAGUGAGAUAGAGAAGAGUAACACCUGAAUUUGGAUUAUCAUAAGAAAGAAAUUUUAUACCCCCAAAUUCAGGGUGUUACAGACCUAUCCCCCUUAAAAGAAUCUCGCCCUCGAGAUUUUGGGCUGGCUAGCAAAGAGUUCAGGGUACUUGGCUCUCAGAUCAUAUUCUCUUUCCCAGGUUGCUUCUUCUUCUGAGUGAUGACCCCAUUUGACUUUGCACAUCUUGAUGGUGUUCCUCCGAGUGACCCGAUCGACUGUCUCUAGGAUUUGCGUUGGCUUCUCAAUAUAUGUCAGAUCCUCUUGAACGUCAAGGUCUUCCGUUGGCAACUGCUCUUCUAGUAUUCACAAGCAUUUCUUCAAUUGAGACACAUGAAACACAUCAUGCACUACGGAUAGAUUCUCCGGUAAGCUGAGUUGAUAAGCCACUUCUCCACGUCUUGCUUGGAUCUGAUAUGGCCCGAUAUAGCGAGGGGCUAGCUUGCCUUUGACUGCAAACCUUUUGGUUCCUCUGAUGGGUGACACUUUCAAGUAGACAUAGUCUCCCACUUCAAAACUAAGUUCCCUUCUUCUAGUCUCUGCAUAGCUUCGCUGUCUGGACUGCGCUGCCUUCAGAUUUUCUCGGACCAUCUUGAUAUUCUCUUUGGCUUCAAGCAAAAUUUCUAGACCGAAUACCUGCCUUUCGCCGGGCUGGUCCCAAUGCAAUGGAGUUUGGCAAUUUCUCCCAUAGAGCGCUUCGAAUGGUGACAACUUUAGACUGUCUUGAUAGCUGUUGUUGUAGGAGAAUUCUGCAUACAGUAGCCUUUUGUCCCAACCUAACUUGUCUUGCAAAGCACAAGCUCUCAACAUAUCCUCAAGAAUCUGGUUGGUUCUCUCAGUCUGACCAUCUGUCUGCGGGUGGUAAGCUGAACUGAAUUCAAGUGAGUACCCAAAGCUUCAUGUAGCUGCUGCCAAAAGUGUAAGGUAAACUGGGUGCCUCUGUCUAAUAUUAUCUUCUUUGGAAUACCAUGCAAGCACACAAUCCGAGACAUGUAUAAUUCUGCCAACACUGCACUGUUAUAUGUCAUCUUGACUGGUAUGAAAUGGGCCGCCUUUGUCAAACGGUCCACUACUACCCAGAUGGAGUCGUAACUGGCUCGAGUGCGGGGCAGACCGACUAUAAAGUCCAUCCCAAUCUCAUCCCAUUUCCACUAAGGAAUCUGCAACGGCUACAACAAACCUGCAGGUCUCUGAUGUUCGGCCUUGAUCCUCUAACAACUGUCGCAUCUGGCCACAUACUCUGCUAUCUCUCUUUUCAAAGUGUACCACCAGAAUCUCUUAUUCAGGUCUUGGUACAUUUUCUCGCUACCAGGAUGUAUAGAAUAUGAUGUCUCAUGAGCUUCCUUGAGAAUCAGUUCCCGGAUCGGUGUGAUGUCAGGAACGCACAGCCUAUCCUUGAACCAAACCACUCCUUCUGCAUCUUCACAGAAAUCUGGACCUUUCCCAUCGAUGAUUAGCUGCCGGAUUUCGUUGAUCUUCUCAUCAGCCUUCUGACCUUUCCUGAUGUCUUGCUCUAGAGUGGGCUCUAACUCAAUUGCCACUACUUCAGUGUUGUUCAGAAAUCAAAGACUCAGCCUGUCGAAUUCCUUCGCUAGCUCGAACGACAUUGGGUGAUUAGCCAACAUAUUAACUUGACUCUUCAAGCUCAGAGCAUCUGCAACUACAUUUGCUUUGCCUGGGUGAUAAUGAAUCUCCAUCUCAUAGUCUUUGAUCAAUUCUAGCCAUCUUCGCUGCCUCAUGUUUAACUCUGACUGAGUGAAUAUGUACUUGAGGCUCUUGUGGUCCGUGUAGAUAUCACACUUCUGCCCAUAAAGAUAAUGUCUCUAGGUCUUUAGUGCAUGAACCACUGCUGUUAGCUCCAAAUCAUGAGUGGGGUAAUUCUUCUCAUGAACUUUCAAUUGUUGGGACGAGUAUGCCACUCCUUUCCCUUUCUGCAUUAACACACAUCCCAGUUCGGUGUACGAAGCAUCACAAUAUACUGAGAAUGGCUUGUGAACAUCUGGCAGACCCAAUACUGGUGCUGUUGUCAACUUCUGCUUCAACAUUUCAAAUGAUUCUUGGCACGCUGGGGUCCACUUGAAAUCAACCUUCUUUGCUAGCAAGGCUGUCAUUGGUCUGGCAAUCUUGGAGAAACCUUCAAUGAAACGCCGAUAAUAACCGGCCAUUCCAAUGAAACUCUUGAUUCCUCGGACAUCUUUUGGUGCUUUCUAGUCCAGAAUCGCAGCUACCUUCUUUGGAUCUACAACUAGUCCAUCUCGGUUUAUAAUAUGACCCAAGAAUAGAACUUCGCUGAUCCAGAACUCGCACUUGCUAAGCUUGGCAUACAACUGGCAAUCUCAUAGCCUCUGAAGUACUUUCCUCAAAUGUUCCUCAUGCUCUUGCUCAUUCUGGGAAUAUACAAGAAUAUCAUCAAUGAACACCACUACGAACUUGUUGAGGUAGUCCAUGAACACACUGUUCAUCAGGUACAUGAAGUAAGCUGGCGCGUUCGUCAAUACGAAUGACAUAACCAUGAACUCAUAUAGUCCAUACUUGGUGAUGAAUGUUGUCAGAUUCUGCGGGUCAGAUUCUGAGCUGAUGGUAACCUGACCUCAGAUCUAUCUAUGAGAACACACUGGCUCCUCUCAACUGAUCAAAUAGGUCUGAGGAUAGUGAAUUAUAGAGUAAAGUAGGACAGGAUAGGUCUGAGGACACUUGCCUUCACCAGGUUGUUGCUUAGAGGGAUCUUCAGCAACACACUCAGGAACCACGAGCUGCUCGUUGUCUAAAUAAAGCGAUCAUACAUUCAAUACAUUUGGAAAGUACAAAUGAACAUCACAUCAAACAUGUACAAACAUUGGAACACAACUCAAAAGAGGUAGUACUAAAUAAAGGAGAAUAAGAUCAAGUUAUAAAAUGGACUAAUCCUAAUUGGGGAUUGAUUACUCUCUAAGUGUUGGUACAUAGCUCAAAAGGUAAAGUAAUAAUUAAACAAAGAAAACAUUAAAUUAUAAGGUGAACUACUCUCAUUUAGGAAUUUGAUUAUCCUUUAAGUGUUAUCCAUAAUUACAUAACCCAAUUCUAUUCAUUUCAUUAAGACCUAAAAGUUAAACCACAGGUGAUUUCAUGUAGUAAAUAUUAUUAAUCUCACAAGAUUAAAUAUACUUUAACUCCUAGGAUUUUCCUUUUAUUUAUUUCAUUAACUGAAUAAAUCAACAUAUACUUUAAUCUUAUAUUCUAAAUGUAAAAUUAAAGUAGACAGACUAUAGCUGGUCAUAUUUUAUUUGAAGAGAGAAUACUUUUAUGAACAUUUUGCAAUUUGAACCCCUAAAUUUGGAGUUCAUAUGAAAAAGAUAUGAAAUAAACAAGUUUUGAAGUUUGAAAUAUGAAAUUAGGGCUAGAUGUGUGAUUAAAUAAAAGUAUAGGGGGCUAUUCAAAAUAAACUAGGGGCCUGCGCGCUAAAACAGAGGACGGUGGGUUGAUUUCCUAAAACCAGGGGGUCUCUUAAGCAAAACUUACACGCGAAGGGGUACGGAUAACCUUGGCCAUGGGAUCAGAGAUCAGCGACCCAGAUUAGAUUGCGCGGGCGCGUGGAUGCGGCUGACAAGCGGGGCCAGGGCAUCAGCGGGCUAGGGCGGGCUGACCGACCGGGCCCAGGGGCAGAGACGCAGGUGAGGGGGAGAGAGAGGGGCGAUCAGUUCUAGAUCGUAGGGCUGGGAUUAGAUCCGCUCGGGUUAAGUCGAAACCGCCCAAUCUCGGACGGACGCCCGAGAUCUGACGGCCAGGGGCGAACACAGGCGCAGUGGCGCCGCUCGGUCCCACGGCGAGGGCUCACCGGUGACAAAGAGGCUAGCCACCGUGGAGCUCCAGGGGCUUAGGGGCUAGCUCGGGCGCGUUCAGGGCGGUCUGGCGGACUCGGCCAUGGCCCUCACGCCGGCGCGGGAGCACCAGAGGGCUCUACACACGGCAAGGCAGGCCAACAACGGCGCGGGAUAGCUCCGACGAGCAAUCGCGUGAGCAACAGAGCAGAAACGACCAAAUUAAAGGUACAGGCGGGUUGCUCACCUUGAGGGGAAGCACUGGGGUCACGGAGCAAUGGCAGAGGCACAAGGAUAUGACAGGGCGACGGCGGCGGGGCUCCGGCUGCGCAAGAAUCGCUCCGGUGAGCGUGGACCGGGCGAAACAGAGAGGGGAAGGGCACACCGAAGGGUGUCCCGAGCAGCUGACAGUGAGGCGGAACUCACCGUGGCACGGGACGGGACGCGGACGCGACGGUGGCCGCAGAAUGGAUAGCAGUCGAUGGCGGGCGGUGGCGGAGCUCUCUGCACGUGCGGGCAGAGCGAGAGGGUUUGGUAGAGGGCGCAAAUGAGCGAGGGGAGGUGGGCGAGCAAGGCGCGGGGCUCAAAAGGGGCACGGGCGCAGGACGUGGCCGGAGAACGCGCGGUCGUGGGCGCGUCCACGGCGGGGAGAUCGUGGGCGAGAGGUUAGGGACGGCUGACAGGUGGGGACGAUGGGACAAAGAGAGGGAGAGGGCGCGGGGAAAAGAAUAGCGCCGACAGCUCGGCCCCACAGAGCAGCGAGAGAGAGAGGGAGUGAGCGCGCACGGAUUGGCGCCGACAGGCGGGGCCCGCCUGUUAGGCACCGAGGGCGCGCGUGCGGGGGCUGGGCUUAAUGGGCUAGCUUGGGCCGAAAUGGCCUUUUCCUUUUUCCUGGAAUUUCUAUUGCCUUUUGUAUUUAUUUUCUCUGGGGUUUUCAAUUCAAAUUCAAAUCAAGUUUCAACAUCACACCAAAUCAAAUAUGUGCAACAAUUCAAAGAAUAUUUAGGCUCAAUAUGAUGCAACAUUCCAUGACUCAUAUGUUUUGGGCAAAAUAAAAUAAAUAAUCCUUCACUAAUUCAACUAACCCUAAUUAAAAGAAAAGGAGAGGGAGAAAACUAGAGAGAGAGAGAAACUAGAGUGAGAUAGAGAAGAGUAACACCUGAAUUUGGAUGAUCAUAAGAAAGAAAUUUUAUACCCCCAAAUUCAGUGUGUUAUAGGUAGGCUCGGCUGACGCUCGUGCCCUAGACAGGGACACUGCCGGCCCCUGUGCGGAUGGGACCACUCCGCAAGAAGGGCCCGCCAAGGCUGGCGCAGACCUAGGUCCGACCUCGAGGCUAAAGCCAAUGCGGACCUCCAUCCCCUUGUCGUCGUCCUCCUCCUCCUCGGUGCUAGGAGAGGCCUCGAGCGGAAGCCCCUCCCUUGCCUACGGUCUACGGGGAUUUUCGAGUGAAUCGCGGGCCUGCAUCUUCUUGCGGGCCUGCUUCUUAUGCUCGUCCUUCUUCUUCUUAUCCUCCUCGGCCGCCAGCCGACGCACCUCCCCGGCAACCACGUCUGUUGGGGGCCUUCGUCUUCCGAAGGUCCUCAAAAGCAUGAUUAACAAUGUUUCCCAAGUGUAAUAUAUGUACAGGAACCUUCGAACUCGGAAUGAAGCUGUACACAAUAUGAAAAGCAUAAUCGGGACGAAGGUUGAACCAGCUCCGAAGCUACGCGCAAGGAAGCUUCGGCUCAGUAGCAGAAAAAGGAACCAACUUAAUGAGGAAAAGGUUAUCUAGUCCUCGAUAGAUUGUCCUUAAGUCAAUAGUAAACAUGAAGGGCAUGAAUGUAAUUUUACUCAGGCUGCGUCCUGUGCCUAUAAAUAGAUGAACAGUACCCCCUAUUGUUCACGCUGACUUGUAUUCACUCAUGCGUCACGCUUGGACUCUUUGCCUUCUGUCAAGCCGAAGGUACAAAUGUAAUUCAAUAUUGUUCAUGUUCAUUCAUGAUGAUAUAAAGAGAUAUAUUAAGCAUGUCAUAUGAUCAUUCAUGUCAUUCCUCAUGUUUCAUAUGCUUCUUCUUUCAUUAAUAUAUGUUGCUAUGAUGAAGGUACGUCCUUCAUGACCUUCGUCUGAAGAUCAUUAUAUCCUAAAGGAGAUAAUGCUUCGGAGGAUGAAGGACUUUAACCAUUAAUAUUUUGUGCUGCCUUGUUCUUAACUCAUAGCAUUUGAGAACAAGUCCCCAACAUUGGCGCCCACCUCCGGUGAACUCAAUCUGCCACCUUCGGCAAGUCGUGACCUUCGUCAUGCCGCCGAAGAAAACUUCUUUAGGACUAGGGGCUACACUGCAGCCACUGGAUGUCAACCAGGACACGCUGCGCGAAGCUCGAACUCAAAAGAGGAAGGCUACAAGUCCAACACCCCAAGAGGAGGAGUUGGACCAGGAGAUAAGGGAUCUCGAAGCUAUCCAUCAGCAGGUCGAAAGGAAGAGAGAGAAGAUGCUUCGCCUUUCCGAUCUUCAAAAGAAGAUCGAUGAUGCUGCUGAAGAAAUACGUCAUCUUACUCAAGAUGACAAGGACCGAAGACCUCCACAAAGAGAGGUUCGUCAAGAUAAUUCCUACAAUGAUGAUGAUUGGUAUGACGAUUUCCAUCAUGGAAAUUUUGUUUUUGAUGAUGCUUCUCCUCUAUCAGCAGAACUGCAGGCUACCCCAUGGCCCCCAUCAUACAAGCCACCUCAGCUCCCCAUGUAUGAUGGGCACUCAGAUCUGAAGCAGUUCCUGAUGAGCUACGAAGCAACUAUAUCUUCGUAUGGGGGCAAUACCGCAGUCAUGGCGAAGUCCUUCGUCAUGGCAGUCCGAUGUGUGGCCCAGACAUGGUACUCUUCUCUCUGGCCAGGGACAAUCACGUCACGGCACAAGCUUAAGGACAUGCUGGUCACCAGUUUUCAAGGGUUUCAGACGAAGCCAGUCACAGCUCAGGCCUUGUUCCAGUGCACUCAAGAUCAUGAGGAGUACCUUUAGGCAUAUGUCCGAAGGUUCCUGCGCUUGAGAGUACAAGUGCCUAUAGUGCCCAAUGAAAUCAUCAUUGAGGCCAUGAUCAAAGGUCUUCGGCCAGGGCCUAUGGCUCAAUACUUCGCCAGGAAACCCCUAGACCCUGGAGAAGCUGCUUCAAAAAAUGGAUGAGUACAUCCGGGCUGACAAUGACUUCCGCCAAAGAAGGGAGGAAGCUUACAGAUUUUCUGAGAUGACUAGGGGCUUUGGAGGAAGAAUUCACCCUAUGCAUGUCAGAUCAAUCCACAGCUCCAGCCAGAACAAUGACAAAGAAGGCCAGUUUUAGAAGCCCUAACACAGCUCACAGUCUUCAGGACAGCAGGAAAGCUCCUUCAGGCCACCAGCUCCAAGGGGCCAAUGCGGCAGGGGCUUUGGAGGAAGAUAUGGGGAUCAGCCCAGGAAAAUCUAUUGCUUAUUUUGUGGUGAAGACAAGGGCCACACUACAAGAACGUGUCUGAUCACCAUUCAGAAGCAAAAAGAGAUUGCCGAAGCAGAAGCCUAGCAGAAUCAGCCGAAGCAGGUCUUACAUACUGCUUUGUGCCACUCUCCCUAUAUACCAGAGUAUGUGGGCAAUCAACCUGCAGCUUCUGUUGCUUUGGCAAGCCAUUUGCAAGCUUCCUGGCCUCAGCUCCCACCGCCACCACCAUUGCAACCUACUUAUACCCGAAGCCAGCAGCUAGAAGGGCGCCAACAUCCGCAACAGCAACGUGACUUCAGGGAGGAGUCCGAAGCUCGUACAGUCAACAACACUGUACCAGAAUCGAAGCACAUUUAUUGAGGAAUAUCCUACUUUUUGAAGUAAUUUUGUAUUUUAUAUCAUUUUACCUUUUUGUAUGAAGAACAAGUAAUGAAAAAUUCAGUUUCAACUUCUUGUAAUAAUAUUGUAAAUAUCAGAAUGAAAUAUAUCUUCACAGAUUUACAAAGCUCGAAAGACAACCCUUAAAACGAAGCAGAUUCUGAAGCUCAAAAGUCGUUCCCUAGGGAAUGCAGAGCUAAAAUUGACGAAGCUACAAAAAGUCGUUCCUAAGGAAGUGCAGUGUAAGUUUUCUGCUCAAAAGUCGUUCCAAAGGGAAAUUUUCUCAUUACUUUGGCUCUUUCAUUUUCCACUUUUAUAGGCAUUACGAUUGUUGGAUUUCAAAGACAUGGGCUUCAUUUUUUUAGCUUCUUAUUACCAACGGGAGUCCCACUGCCAUUAGCACCUUUUUUAGUACUCCUUGAGCUAAUCUCUCAUUGUUUUCGUGCAUUAAGCUCAGGAAUACGUUUAUUUGCUAAUAUGAUGGACGGUCAUAGUUCAGUAAAGAUUUUAAGUGGGUUUGCUUGGACUAUGCUAUUUCUGAAUAAUAUUUUCUAUUUCUUAGGAGAUCUUGGUCCCUUAUUUAUAGUUCUAGCAUUAACCGGUCUGGAAUUAGGUGUAGCUAUAUCACAAGCUCAUGUUUCUACGAUCUCAAUUUGUAUUUACUUGAAUGAUGCUACAAAUCUCCAUCAAAAUGAGUCAUUUCAUAAUUGCAUAAAAAUGAGGAGCCAAUCAUAGAACUACAUAUGGUCUGAUACUACUAACUUCCUUGAAAAGUGGAAGAGUAGUUAUGUAGGCAGUUGCCAUUCUAGAAAUGUAGCGGUUGCUCGACCAAAGCCAGUCAUCAAAGCAGAGCCAAAUACCGCCGAAAUAUAAGGCGAAGAAGUUCAAAAGUCGUUCCUAAGUGGAUGCAGAACUUAUACCGCCGAAAUAGAAGGCGAAGAAGUUCAAAGGACGUUCCUAAGGGGAUGCAGAACUUAUAUCACCGAAAUAGAAGGUGAAGAAGCUCAAAAGUCGUUCCUAAGGGGAUGCAGAGCUUGUGUAUUCCAGUGUGGAUGUGUGGGUGUGUGUGCCUUCGGCAUACUCAUCAUUUUGCAUCAUAUCAUCACAUCAUUUCGUAUAGCAUUACAUCAUACAUCAUAUUGCAUUAACGGCACAAGAAUCGAAUACGAAGCCAAUCUUCGACAAAUGCUUCAUCAAAUUGAAAAUGUGCUAAGGCACGAAGUGAGCUUCGGGAAAUACAAUUUUACCAGCCUUGUCAUAAGGGAUCUCUUUCUUUACGAAGCAUGAAAAGAAGGGAAGGUGUUUUUUCGCCGAAGGCUCAAAAACGAUAUGUGCGUAAAUUUCAUGCAUCGCAAAGAAAUAAAUUACAAUAAUUUACAUAUUCGAUUCAAUGUUACAUACAUAAAAUGUUACAUAGUUUUGUUACAAUAGAAGCUUAAUGUUCAUUCCAUUGUCCCAUACAUCGAGCAUUCCAAAUAUUAUUACAAUGAAAUCUAUUCUUCUCUGAGAACUUUUUCUGCAACUUCGUUUAAAAGUUUAUCGACAACUUCGUCAAUAAUGGAGUCUGCCAUGUUUAUAAUGUCCAGCGCUUCCUUCAUUUCUGCAUCAGCUAGGGGAUUGUACGGUUCCGGUGGCGGAGAUAGUUCAGCUGAAGUAGGCAAAAUUGAUUAGUUCGAAGCCACAGAGCAAGUACCGAAGCUAAAAAACCAAAAAAUAAUACCUAUACGCCUUUCGCGUUCUGGAGCCUCUUCAGCUUGUUUUGCUUCUGCUCGGGCGUCAUGGGUGUCUUUUUCACUCUUUUUUAUAAUUUCAUGGGCCAGCUCUCGGCCACCAUUCACCCAGACAUCAUUGUAAAAUUUCCCGCCCAUUAAAGUUGCUUCAGCUCAAGGAUCCUUCGUAUCAUCUACGGAGAAGGCAGCUUCGGCCUGGGCUAUGGCUUUAAUGUGAUCACAUCCGGCCUUCUCCAAGAUAGCUGAAAUUCCCCGCGCACCGGAAAACGCGCAAACAUCCACGCGAUUACUCAAAAUUUCUUCGAAGGCUUCGGCCUCUUCACUUAUCCAUUCAACGAUGCCCUCAGGGUCGCCUCAUAUGAAGUUUUCUUCAGCAGAGUAGGCACCCACUUUGGCGAAGCUAGUUUUUAAUUUCUUCACACAAUCCAAGGAUUUCUCGAAGCACCUUUCCUUGGAUUUGCGAAGUUCUUCAACAUUUUUAUCUAGCUUAUUUUUCUAGUACUUGAUGAUCUCUCGAUUAGCCUAUGCGAGCGUGCAGUUCUCUUUAGCUUCGGUCAGCUGUCUCCGAAGGUCUUCAAUUUCGGUUUUCUGGGCUUCGGCCUGAGCUUUAUAAUUAGCUUUGUCUUCCUUUACUUGUUUACCAAUGAAAUCAAAAUUUUAUCUUUUUCUAGACCUUCGUUUCUUAGCUCAAUCACCUUAGACCGAAGGUUAUUAAGAGCCAUUGUAAACCCUUCGUGUUCGGCGCUCUUCUGAGCCCUCAAGGCAUUACUAAGAAUUAAUCCCUGUAAAGAGGAAGAAAGAAUUGAGUAUGACAAUACAAUAAUUCGCUUCUAACUUCAAAGUCAACUUUUAUACCUUUAUGCUAUUGUACGCGAGGCUGUCAGCAAGAUCAUCCUUCGAUAAGACCGAAAGGCCUUCUUCAAGCUUAGGAAAUCCCAUACUCUUAGCUAUCUCCCAGCAAACGGAUAUUUCUUUGUUAUCCGGGAGACAGUACAAGAAAUCUUCUUCGUUGCUACCAUUGAACACUAAAGCCCCCUUCGGAUAUUUUAGUCUUUGGGCAAAGUGUCUGGCUUCUAGUAUUUCUUCCUGGGAUAAUUUCUUCCCUGAAGCAUGCCGAAUAAUGUAGUCAACAUCUUCAUUCGGAGCUUUGGGAGCAGGAGCUUCGGUCUUUUCUGGUACAAACUGCCCUACCGUUUUUUCCUCAGGCGCGGCAGGAUUCCUCUCAGUGGACACUGAAGGCCUAGCUUCGGCUUCGGCCUGAACUUUCAUAGCUUCGGCAAUUUUCUUAGGGGCAGGGCUCAAGGCCUUCGUAGUCUCUAUGACAGCGUCUAGUACGCUGUCCAUCCUCCUCUUCUUGGGAGUUGCGGCAGGAAUUUUUUGCAUCUUUGACAAAUUUGCCUCUAUCGGUGGGCUUACGAUUUCUGGCACUUUUAUUGCUUUUUCCACCUGUAGCUCCUCGACCUUAUCAUCUUUAGCUUCGGCUGGCCCGACUGUAGGCACCUUCGGCACUAUAGUCGGCUCUUCAGCGCUCUGCACAAUCAGAGCAGCUUGCUUUACUUUAGAAGCUGAGGAGGUCCCCGCGCCAAAUUUAGGCACCACGGCUAGUUCAAUGUAAUGUGGCCGGUGGGUCAGAACCUUCAUCUUUUUGCCCUUCGGCUCAGCUGCAAUGGCCGAAGCGGUAGUCUUUUUUCUUUUUCUCUUGCCCUUGUAGCGGGUAAUGGUAAUCAGGGUAUACGAAGCCAAUAGCAUCAAAUACCCUAUUCAAUCUUUUCUUGCCCCGACCCCUGAAAGCUGCGGACAAAGCAUUAUCUUCGGCCUUGGAGUAUGCUCCAAGUAGCUCAUCACUGGUAGCUUUGAUACACUUCAGCCAGUCAUCGUCUGGCUCAUCAAACAUCUCCCUAAAUCUGAAGGUAUACUUCAGUCAGACCAGACCACCCUCACUUGAAUCGGCGGUGGUCUCCUUCGGCAUAUCCCAGCUCUCCACAAGUGGCCAUUCCCUGAAGGAUAUAUGCUCUUGAAUCAAAUACCUUGUGCCAAUGAAGGCACACACAGUGCUAAAAGCCCUCUGACAUGCUUCAACAGUGCCAUCAAUUUCCACCUUUGGCCUUCAGAGGCUGAAGCGAGACCAGAUGGGGCGCUAAAUGAUUUCUUUGAUGUCUUCCCUUGCCUUUAAAUCAUUUUUAACGUAAAACCACUCCUCCAUCCAGGCCCCGGGCCAUCUUUUCCAGAAUGUUGGCACCGAGUGGCUUGCAUUGGGGCGAGCAAUAAAUCCAUAACAACCGAAGUUGUUGUGGUACUGUUCUUUGCCAGUAGCCUUCGUCUCAUAUAAAAGCUCGUGCAUACUGCAAAAGCACUUCGCGCUUGGCUCUAGGCCCUGACUCCUUAUAGCCCAGACAAAAAUCCCCAUCCUAAUUAUAGCUUCGGGGGUCAUCUGAUGAAGGAAGAUCUGGUAUAUCUUUAGCACUUCAACCACAAACUUGCUUAGCGGGAACCGAAGACCUGCCUUCAAAAAGCUUCGGUAUAUAACAACUUUGUUUUCCUCCGGAGCAGGGGCAGUACUGUCUCCUCCAAUUCUGACCAUAGACAUGUCGCGAAAAUAUCUCCCCCUCAUGGAAUCAAUAUGACUUUGCUUGAUAGUCGAUUUUCCGAAGAUAGUAUGGCUUGGGCACCACGGCCGAUCCUCAGAGUCUUGAUCCCCGCUUUCCACGUCAUAACUAUCACUGUCAUCAGAAUCUUCGGAUAAACCCUCCAUGAUCUCCCUAGUAAUUUUCUUUGUAUUUGUUUUUGCCAUGGACUCAAUAAAUUCAUAAAUAAAAGGAUCUGCAACCUUUUUCUCUUCAUACAACUUCGUCUCCCUGGUCGUUUUCUUCUUUUCAGUCAUCUUCUUCUCUCCACUCAUCUUCUUCUUUUCAAAUCUGGAGCAAACGCGUCUUUAAACCGAAGCUCUAAAAACUCGAAAAUCAGGCAAGAGCUAGUGAGCAAGAGCUAAAAAUUUGAGACAAUAACGCAAAUGGCAGAAAUGGCGUGCCAAAUGCUGCCGCUAUGGUUCAUAUUUAUACGCCCAGUGCUUUGCAACUUGGUGGACCCCAUUUGUCAUUGACUGUUGCUAUUCUAGCAAAGGGAAGGUGUUUUUUGGGACCUUCGGCUUAAGGCCUUCGUUCAUGUCACAGUCUAAAUUCGUUAUUAUAACAAAUUAACACUGCGAGAGGCUAAUGUUGGGGGCCUUCGUCUUUCGAAGGUCCUCAAAAACAUGAUUAACAAUGUUUCCCAAGUGUAAUAUAUGUAUAGGAACCUUCGAACUCGGAAUGAAGUUGUACACAAUAUGAAAAGCAUAAUCAAGACGAAGGUUGAACCAGCUCCGAAGCUACGCGCAAGGAAGCUUCAGCUCAGUAGUAGAAAAAGGAACCGACGUAAAGAGGAAAAGGCUAUGUAGUCCUCGAUAGAUUGUCCUUAAGUCAAUAGUAAACAUGAAGGGCAUGAAUGUAAUUUUACACAGGCUGUGUCCUGUGCCUAUAAAUAGAUGAACAGUACCCCCGUACUGUUCACGCUGACUUGUAUUCACUCGUGCAUCACGCUUGGACUCUUUGCCUUCUGUCAAGCCGAAGGUACAAAUGUAAUUCAAUAUUGUUCAUGUUCAUUCAUGAUGAUAUAAAGAGAUAUAUUAAGGAUGUCAUAUGAUCAUUCAUGUCAUUCCUCAUGUUUCAUAUACUUCUUCUUUCAUUAAUAUAUGCUGCUAUGAUGAAGGUACGUCCUUCAUGACCUUCGUCUGAAGAUCAUUAUAUCCUAAAGGAUAUAAUGCUUCGGAGGACGAAGGACUUUAACCAUUAAUAUUUUGUGUUGCCUUGUUCUUAACUCAUAGCAUUUGAGAACAAGUCCCCAACAGCGUCCUCCAAGACCGGGGGUCGGGCGGUUCGGAAGCCUUGCAACCCCUGUAGAGGAGAUGAGAAGGGUAAUACGAGAAGAAGGAAAACCCAAAAACAUAGACAAAAAACAGGGGACCCACCAGGGACACGUAGCCCAACGAUGGGCGCAUUAACACCACGAUGGAGUAGUCCACCUUCCCCACCGUUCCCUUCACCCGCUGGAGGAGUUCGUUGGUAGGGAGGGCGGCCGAGGCCAUCCAGGAGCUUUCCACAAAGGCCUCAGGUGUCAUCUCAUCAAGGCGAAGCCGACGGUCAAUGGCAGAACCCACCGCCGGUGGAAGGCUAUGACAACUCCAGCCCCGGUGAGACCGCGAUCCCGGAGCUUCCGUAGGGCGUCCAGCAGUGACUUCAGAUGGGUCUGGAUCUCCUAAGGCAGGCCCCACCUCCAUCGCUCCUCCGCUCCGAGGAUGACGUGGUGCAUGAACGUCGAUAGUCGCCUGUCGUCGUUGUGGAGGUAGAACCACCGGCUCUGCCACCCCUUGUUCGAUGAGGUAAGGGUGGCAGGGAAGUACAAAUGUGCCUGGUCCGAGGGCAGCUGAAGCGUGCAGCCGCCGGCCCGGACGGCGUGGCGUACCCUCCUCACCUCGCUAGGGACAGACAAGGGCUCUGCCCAGAAGAGAUGAAGCCAUAGGUCCCAAUGGGGCUCAAUGCCCAGAAAUCCCACGCAGGCGACGGUGAAGAUGGCCACCUGAGCGAUGGAGUUGGGGUUGAAGUUGUGCAGCUCCACCCCAUAGUAGUGCAACACAGCCCACAUGAAGAGGCUCGCUAAAACUCCAACCCCCAACUCAUGGAGUGAGGUGAAGCUCACCACGUAGCCCACAGGUGGAUCUGGCAUCUGCUCAUCACCUGGCGCAAACCACUCGGGCUGUGGGCUUGGGGAGCGUGGGCAAAGCAGACCGGCUUCAUCUAGCGCCUCCAAAUCCUCGUUGGUGACAGAGGAGAUGGGCCAUGGGUCGCGAAGAGGAAGAACGCUGAUCUUCUCGGCCAUUGGGAUGGAGGUAGAAGUCGAGGAGAAGACGAAAGGCUCUUUUUUGCAGAGGGCGAGAACGACGUGUGAAAGCAAGAAGGCUGAAGAGGCAAAGGUAAUGGUCCAAAGCAUCCGCCUCGGUCAACUUAAUAGGAACAUGCGAAGCCACUGAGGUGUGAAUCUUAAAGGCCGGACGACGAUCGUUUCCAAUCACGUGCGCAUGCGCGCCGCAAACGGUCGGCUAACCGACAAGAUGUCCCGUCACAUUAAAUGGUCGUGCCCCCUCCGAGAAAAAACGCGCUAAACAUCGUUUCACAUUUAUCCUCAAAAGGUACGCCCUUCGUCCUCUGCCUCUCCGACCUUUAUCCGCUCAGCAGUUAACCGAAAGAAGGCAUCUUCUGCCCCGGGCAACUGACCUCGUAACGGAAAAAGGGGAGGAAAAUACUGUUCAGAGGUUCAGAGGUCCGGCCCUCGGCAGGGCUCGAAAAAACCACCUCAGAACGCCAAGGCUCUGAGCCCAAUACUGAUCAGGGGUUCGAAGGUUGGCCUCUCGGAGGGCUCCAUAACCGCCUCAGAGCACAGAGUCAGGGAUGAUAGUAGGUACGCCUGUACAUGGCCCUAGCUCCAGUUGUGACCCGAGGUUCCUUAAGACAUAUCCGAGACCCUUGGGAGCGAUUCGUUAUGGUGUCCCAUCAUAGGGAGGCAUCGAGCCCUCAGCCCCCACCAAGUGGGUUCGGGACUAGGAGAAUGACCUGCAAGUACCUUUUGGGGCGUUUCUCUGGACCACUAGCCAACUCUUAUCGAAAGGAGCUCGAACUCCCGCUCGGAUUACCCAAUAACAGCUCAACGGAAAGGUCCUGCUCGUCGCCAUCGAGGGUAGCAUGAUGCGCUCCCCCUUCCUCCUCACGGAGAGACGACGAAGGGGCGUAUGAACCAAAAGUCAAGACAUCCCUCGAUCGACCUCUUGCCCCACGCAAAGGCUCGGGGGCUAUCCUCGUGAACUACACUAAAAAUUUCAAUUGGUCAACUGAAGAUCAAAUUUGACCUAUUAAGAGUAAAAGCCCCCGAAAGAGUCAACUACUCCUUCGAGGCCUCGAGGGCUACACCCGACGGGUGCGCUCGCGCGCACCCAUCGGAAACCAAACGUCCUACUCCUCAAUCAAAUGUGGCACACCCACAAGCAAGCAGUAGAGACUCCAAACAAGUACCAAAGUACUUCCUUAGAAGGCUCAGGGGCUACUGUCGAGGGUGGUAAUUAGGAGUACCUGAAUUAUUCCCCUAACGGGCGCACUCAGGAGAAGUAAAGACAUAACCCCCAAGGGGAAGCAACUGAGAUACCUCCUAAACCAAUGCACCUCCCUUAGAGUCUAUCACAUUGGACAAAUUUCCGCUUUGCUCGAGGUCACCACCGCUACGUCCGUCUCGCCCGAGCUGAUCCCCGGCAGAUAAGACAAAAGCGCCCGAAAACAGGAGGCGGACACUCGCAUUUCAUGCGCAUACCUACCCCACGUCGUGACAGCAGGAGCACAGUGGCUAAUAAGACACCAAUCACAUCCAGGCGCAACAACAUGAUUAUGCCCCCACUACAGUACGUGCACGCCGCCUGCCAUCCCCCGAUGGGACAUCUAAUAUGACGGGUGAAGCAGACCGGUCCUCGGGCGCAAAUAUCUGCCUCGCCCGAUGCUGAGUCCGGCCCUCGAACGCAAUCUCCAUCUCGCCUGAGGCUGAGUUCUGCUUCGGGUGAUUUCUUGGCCUCGUCCGAGCUCGGCCUCGGCUACUUGCUCCACCGCGAAUCCCGUGGGCGGCCACUCCGCUGACUGUGGCACACACCAAGGGAUGGCUUAACCAACACCUCGGGAAGACUUCUGCCUCGCCCGAGCAGGGCUCUGACCUCAAUAAACGCAAUAAGGAAUCACGACAUCAUCCCACGCAAGGGCGCUGACGCACCCCGUAAUCAGGCCUUUUGCCCAUACCCCGGCGUUGUUACAACAACUACGGUAUGGGCAAUCCCUCCCCCGGGGGCUCAGGCGUACGGCCAACCCCUCGACCUCUGCCUCGGCUCUCAGCAAGAAACCAGCGGACACAAGAUAACCAUACAUUGCACCGUCACAUCGGCUUACAGGGCACCAAGACACCUCCCCUUUAAAUACAACGACUCCAGGCUUCACGACAGACGUCUCCUUUAUCUAUAAAUAGGGUAGUGGAGUCCUUCCAAGGAGAUAGAGAGACAAGCGAGACACACCAGCGAACACUCAGUCAUUCUCCACUAAGUCUUAGGAUAUUGGCACUUGCCUCAAUCAGUUCUAGGGACUUGGGGUUUUCCCCUCUCCCGCUGUGCUUGUAAACCCUACUACAGGCACUCAGGUGUGAGUAAUAUAAGCUUCAUCCCCCUCUGCUGGAAGUAGGGCUUUGCAUUGCCAGAACCAGGAUAAAUUGCUUGUGUCAACUUGCACACCAUGUAGACUCUAGGCACACGACAUUAUUUACUAGUUGGUUAGGACCGUUAGUCCAAACACCGACAACGCCUAACUAGGUGACAUGAUCUACGACCAUGAUGUGGAAAUAGAGGUUAUACCUAGGGUGACGGUGGAGUCAGGCUAGCGAGGUUGUGGCGGGUCGGUGCAAUGGCGACGCGAAGUGGUGCAGGCAGACCCGCAACGGCUACAAAGACCUCUGCAAAAAAAUAAAUAAGCAUGUCAACAAAAAUUUUUGGCAGCACCUCCCCACACGAUGGGGUUUUCAAAACCUACAAAUAAAAGUAACAGCACAAUGGCCAUCAAUCACAAAUAUAUUUUCAUUCACACGUGUUUGGGUUAUAUACUACUACCUAGGUUUUAUCACAAAUUCUCAACAAGACUAUAGCCUAACAUCAUAUCAUCUAAUCAAUAAUAAAUACAAAGUGGCACAUAAUAAAAACAAAGCUAGUCCUUAGCUAGACCAUUAGAGACAUUCUUAAAAGCAUAAGUACUGUUGGGGACUUGUUCUCAAAUGCUAUGAGUUAAGAACAAGGCAACGAGAAAAAAAUGUUAAACAUUAAUGCCCUUCGUCCUUCGAGGUAUUAUUUCCCUUAGGAUAUAAUGAUCUUCGGACGAAGGUUAUGAAGGACAUACCUUCAUCAGUGCCACAUAUGAUAAUGAAAAGAGAAUCAUAUGAAAUAUAAAAGAUAACAUGAACAAUUAUAACUCAUUUCUAUUUUAUCAUUAUGGAAAAAUAGAAAUGAUAUCAAGUUACAAAUGUACCUUCGGCUCGAAAAGAAGGUAAGGUUACAAGCGUGACGCAAAAGCAAAUGCCAAGUCAGCGUGAACAGUACGAGAGCAUUGUUCAUCUAUUUAUAGGCACGGGACGUAGCCCAUGUAUAAUUACACUCAUGCCCUUUACAUUUGCUAAUGACUCUAUAGCAAUCCAUCGAGGUCUAAAUAGCCUUUUCCCUUUUAAGUCGGUUCCUCUUUCUACUAUCAUGCCGAAGCUCCCCUGCGCACAGCUUCGGCUCUGCGCCAACCUUCGUAUUCUUUGUACUUCUUCACAUUGUAGUUCUGAUCCGAGUCCGAAGGUACCUGUUCAUGUAUUAUACUCCAGAAACAUUGUUAAAUCAUGUUUUUGAGGACCUAUGAAAGACGAAGGCCCCCAACAAGUACAUAUUAGAAACUCAUGCCUAGACCAUGGAGAUCGUCAGGGCACUGGGGAAGUCGGUGCGGCGCUGACGAGGCACGGCGACGGUGGUCGGGGCCAGGCGUGGGCACCAGUGGAGGGUCGAGCGCGGGGCACGCAGGGGUGGUGACGGGAUGUGAGGUCUUGGGCAGCGGCGGACCGAGCGUGGGGCGGGGCCGAGCGGUGGUGGUGGCACGCAGGGGCGAUAGUGGCGUUGGCGACAUGUGCUCGGUGAGGGCACGACGGCGAUGAAAGUGAAAACGAAUGGGCCCACACAGUUAUGUUAACUUCAUCGUCUUUGUCGAGUGCCCGCGAUCUGGCACUCGACAAAGAUUUUUUAAAUUUAAAAAUACACUUUGCCGAGUGCCCAUUGUCUAGCACUCAGCAAAGAUUGUUUUAAUUUUUUAUAAAUUCUUUGUCGAGUGUCCUCGAGCAGACACUCGACAAGAGAACGUCUGCAAGUAUAUUUCCAUUUUUUUCUUUUCCAACCAAUUUUUUGUGGUUUGUUCCUACACUAUGUAGACCUACAUGUUCCAUUUUGGCACAAUUAUCAAAGUGUUUGAUAUAGCUAUUUAAUUUAGUUUGUUUAAUUGAAUUUCUUUGGAUGAUUGAGAUUUGAACUGCAAGUCACUCGAAAGAUGGAAAACGGUGAAUGCAAAAAUGAUAUCCAUGUUAUUUAACACAAGUUACGGCCUGUUUCAGGAACAGACUAAAAUUUUCGAGCACCAUGCUCAUGAAACAUGGUCGUGAACUUGCCAUCCAGUUGUUUUACAAUUGUAUAAAACAUAAACAAAGUCAAAAUAUCAUAAAACUUGUCGACAUGUCAUGAUAUCAUAUGUAGAGCCUAUGAUAAUGAUAUUAUAUGUAGAGCCUAUGAUAAAAAUUUGAGACUGUUUCGAGAAAGUUGCGACGCACUAUGUGUAGAAACCUAAGUGUCAUUCACAUGAAAUCAUAGAACUUCAAUGUAGACCGGCUAGGUUUCUACGUAUAGUGCUUGACAACUUUUUUGAAAUAGUCUCAAAUUUUUAUCAUAGGCUCUACAUAUGAUAUCAUGACAUGUCGACAAGUUUCAUGAUUUUGUGACUUUGUUUGUGUUUUAUAAAAUUUUAAAACAACAGGAUGGCAAGUUCACGGUCAUGUUUCGUGAGUAUGGUGCUCGAAAAUAAUUUCGGUCUGUUCCUGAAAUAGGGUGUAACCUAUGCUAAAUAACAUGAAUAUCAUUUUUGCAAUCACCGUUUUCUAUUUUUCAAGUGACUUGCAGUUCAAAUCUGAAUCAUCUGAAGAAAUUCAAUUAAAUAAACUAAAACAAAUAGCUAUAGCAAACACUUUGAUAAUUGUGCCAAAAUUAAACAUGUAGGUCUAUAUAAUGUAGGAAAACACCACAAAAAUUUGGUGGAAAAAAAUGGAAAUAUUUUUUGUCGAGUGUCAACGAGAGUGCUAAUAGUUGGGCACUCGGCAAAGAAGCAACCUUUGCCGAGUGAUAAUAUCUAGCGCUCGGCAAAGUUAGCGGUCGUCAGCUAUAGACGGCUGUUGACUGUCCUUUGCCGAGAGUCGCGUUUCGCUGAGUGUUCGACACUCGGCAAAGGAGGCUUUGCCGAGUGUCUAUCUAUGCCGAGUGUCUCAAGCUCGGUAAACGUUGUCGUUGUCGAGAGUGUUAUUUCGCCGAGUGUCCGACAAAAUGCAAUCAGCAAAUCACUUAGCACUCGGCAAAGAGCCGGAUUCCAGUAGUACAUCGAAUAUGCAAUGAUGAGCUUGUAAAUAUUAAUAUGUGUGCACAUCACCAUGCAUGCAUAUCGGCGUGGGCAUUAUUAAAUAUCGGCGUGGGCAUUAUUAAUUUGGACUGGACAAAAAAUCAGCCAGAUCCCAGAGGCCGGGCGUCACCCUUUUGCUCCGCUCGUGGCCUUGUAAUCCGUUUCCGGGACAUAUUGAGAAAGUCUGGUUAGUGGAUGAGAUAGCUAUCGCCAGCUAUAUAUCUAGCUAGCAUGGAGAGUGGCAGCAGGCGGUGUGUUGGCGCUGCUGCUUCUCCAGCUGGCGUGGUAGCUCCGACGACGGCGACGGGCCGCCUCCGUCCUGCAGGCGGAUACCCUCCCCAGUGACAUCAUCGCGAGGGAGUUUGGCCAUCCCCUGUGGUGAAACCUGUGUCUUCAUACCAUGCAGUUAUACGGCACGUACUCUUGGGUUUAAUUAGUUGCCAAUGCAUAGACAAAGUCUGCAUGAAAUUAUAACUCGUGACGCCGCUUCUACAGUCAGGCUUGAAUGAUACGUGUCAUCAAACGUACGAGGCCACGUUGAUCUGUUUGCUUCCGUCAUCAUUAUUUCCCAGGGCCGGUGUGAUAUAUCUGGACUAGCUAUUUGUAAUUUGUGUCGGGAGAAACACAAGGACGGUACGGCGGUGUUCAACUUAUUGCAUAUGUAUGGUCAUUUAAUAAAUUAAGUAUAAUAUAAAAAAGGGAUACGUUGGAUGUGUACCUAUCGCCUGCUGCUUGCGUCCUUUUGACAUACUCCCCACCGUCCAAGUAAUAUAGGCGUGCUCUCUCUCUCUAGUUAUACGUACAUUAAUACAGUGGUAUAUAGACAAUUAAAUAUAUUUCUUGAUCUUCAAACCAGAGGUAUUUGUUCAACACAAAAUGUGACAUGCGGGCUGUCUCCGCCCCUAGGGUUGGACGGUCUGCGGUCUAGACUGUCCGCAGUGGUGACGUUGACGGUCCACGCAUGCGCAUAAUUUGUUAAGGUUCUGGAUUUCUAGUGGGAUUUGUUAGCUAAACCUGCGAAAUUAACUCGAGAACCGACUUGUAACAGGUCUAGACCUCCCUCUUUAUAUCGAUGAAGGGCUACAGCCGAUUGAACCCCCACAAUAGAUCCAAUCAAAUCUACUUAUCAAUUUUAGCCUUAGGUUUAGAUCUAGUUUAGUCUUCCACAAAAAUCUCUCUUCGACUCUAUGCCGAUUAGAGGACCCGGAGCAACACCUUGGAACUCUCCCCCUCGACGGGAUCUCUCCUAGGGUGAGUUCUAGGGUUCUUCGCGGAGAAGAAGACCCUCUGCGCCAUCACGGACCGUCCGGCCCCAUGGGCGGAUCGUCCGGAACCGUGCAGAGGGGGAUCUGCUCCUAUGCCCAGGUCGCGGACUAUCCGUGCCUCACAGAGAGCAUCGCCAGGUGGUUAGUUCCAGCAUUUGGCGCUCAGAUCGGUGCCAACAUACUUUUUGGAGACUCCACUGAGGACGAGGGUGUUUAGAUCUACCAAAAAUCGGCCCCCAGAUGGCCGGUUCCAAAGAUCACACCGACGUCUCCACCACCAGCAUCAUCAAGCCGACCAUGGAGGCACUCCCGGCUGAUGACCAGCAUCACUUUGAUGACCUCAUAAGGCGCGAGGAGGAGGACGUGCUGUGACAACUCGCCGAACGACGUGACAAAGAGGAGGAGGAGAAGGUGCUGCGACAUCUCAAGGAACGAUGUGAAAAGGCGAUAGAAAAGUACAUAUCAUACUUCACGGUGGAUUGCCACCAGAAGAUCAUCCGACAAGGGGAGAUCGAUAUGACAUCUCUCCUACCUCCGCCUCAGGCUCCCAUUGUAAGUACCCUAGAUCCAUCUUUUGAGGCUUUCAUGGAACAACGAGGGGAACUGUCAAAAGAACACAUAGAUGAAUCUAUUAAAAAUGGGCACUUUCAUAUAAGAAACCUACUGCCCUAGUUCUCCCUCGUGUGAAUCCAAUACCGAACCACCCGCGCCAAACACAUUGGCUACAAAUGGGUCUCCCUUGGCCCAGCCGUCGUAUGGUAUGCCGAUGUACAUGUUCGUGUCACCAUCACAACCGCCACCGCCAGGCACACGACUAGCUCUCACUACCGGAAUCAUCUGCUCUACCGAGUAUCUAAAACACUCAGCAAAACCUGAAAACACUCAGCAAAGGCUUUGCCAAGUGUAACACUCGGCAAAGAAAGCUCGGUGAUUUGUACAUCGGCAACGGCUUCUUUGCUGGGUACUUUUUAUCGGGCACUCAGCAAAGACUUUGCCGAGUGUCAAUUGGUACUCGGCAAAGAAAAGUCGUUGUCACGGUGGUAGGUAACGGCGACGGAGUUUGUGCCGAGUGUCCACUGUACGGACACUCGGCGAAGAAGCCCCUGUGGGCCCCUUUACUAGGAUCUUUGCCGAGCGUAUUAGGUGGCACUCAGCAAAAGCUCCCUCUUUGCCGAGUGCCCGUCAGACUAGCAUUCGACAAAGGGAUCACUAGCGGGCCCUUUUGUCAGUUCCUUUGUCGAGUGCUCUAGGAAGCACUCGGUAAAGCUUGCUUCUUUGUCGAGUGCCAAGGCCACAACAAUCGGCAAAGAGGCUUUACCGGUGCCCAGGUGUGCCUUCUUUGCCAAGUGCUAUGUCCUUAACACUCGGCAAAGUACCUCUUUGCCAAGUGUAACACUCGGCAAAGUACCUCUUUGCCAAGUGUAACACUCGGCAAAGUGACCAGAUUACCCCUUUUUAUUAUUUUUGCUAUUCCAUCCAAAGAAACAAAAGAUAUAUCACAUAAUCAUCACAUAUACAUCACAGAUAUCACAUAAUCAUCACAUACAUAAUAGAGACCACAUAUUUCACAAAAAAUCACAUAAGUUUUUCACAAACAUGUCAGAAUGGGGUAUCCGACUGAAUGAGGUCGGUAGUCGGGAUCCCCAGGGCCUGGAGUGUUCUAGGGUAGGUGACGUUGAUGCUGCUACCACCAUCCACAAGAACCUUCUUGACCCAGCUUUCUUGAAUCAUGGGGUCGACAAGUAGAGGGUACAUGCCGGGGUGAUCGAAGUUGAGGCACUGGUCAGCUUGGCUAAACGUGAUAGAGUGUUCUAGCCAUCGAUACGGUGUCGGGGCAAUGUGGGUUGCCACCAGGACAUGUCGAUCGAUGAGCUUCCGUUGCCUUUUGAUUUCCUGGGACCCAUGGCCCCCGAAGAUGGAAUUGACCUCCAUGUCAAUGCGAGGGAAGGCACAACCACGACCUCCACCCUGCUGUUGUGUUUGUUAUUGUUCAGUGGGUUCUCCUCCUAGUGGGGGAGACAGUGGUUGGAAGGGUCAGUCAUGGCCGAAUGAGUUCCUGAAGUCCCUGCAGUUCCAGAGGGUGUGGCACAUCUCCUUGUGGUACGGGCACUGGGCGUCGAGGAUCUCGUCUAGUGUUCGUACAUUGCCUCGUGGUGCCCCGCAGGGCUGAGUCACAUGGGGCCAAUGGUGUGCACUUCAUCUCUGGGCCUCUUGUCCCAGCACUCGUCCUGCUAUUGGAUCCCCUCCUUCGGUGUCUAGGGCGCAGGCUUCGCAUUGCCGAUGAGGUCCUAGGCCCGUUCAACGGUGAUGUAGUUGUCCGCCUCUUAGAACAGGUGUUCCGAGGUGGCGGGAGCUUUCUAGAGGAUGGCCCGGACGAAGGCCGAGUCAUUAGACCCGCUGUAGAAGUCCUCAAUCAUGGCAGCCUCCGUGACGUCGGGGAUGCGAUUCCUCAUGGUUUGAAAAUGCCUCGAGAACGAGUGGAGGGUCUCAUUGCUUUAGCGCUUGAUGAAAUUGAGGUCCUAAGGCUGCGUCGGUUUAUCGGUAAGGGAUUGAAAAUUUGCGACAAACUGGUGGCUGAAGUCGUCCCAGUCAUCGAUGCAGUGGCGAGGGAGAUGUUGAAGCCAUUGCGGUGCAUCUUGCCUGAGGACGAUUGGCAAGUACAUUGUCAUGAUGUCCUCCAUUGCUUCGGCGGCUCGGGCGGCGGUCGUGUAGACGGCCAACCAGCCGCCCGAAUUUUGCUUGGAUUCGUACUUGUUGACAUUUGAGACUUUGAAGUUAGGCAGCCAUUGAAUUGUCUGGAGUAGGGGAAAGGGCCAAGACCCUGCACGUCCCUCGGUCCUCCCGACAAUGGUCGCGAUGAUGGUCCCUGGGAGGUGAGUGACACCGUGCGUCAUGUCGCCUCUCCUGGGCUGACCGGCCUAGAGCUAGGCUGUUCAUGGAUGUUGCUGCCCACUCAGUUCUGGUGGCACAGCUGCGUGCCGAUGCACCAUGAUCUCGGUCGUACUCUUCCCACCGCCUCAUCUCUUCUUUGUGCCGGCGAUCGUGUGAAGCGUUGAUAUUGCUCCGCGUGUCUUGCUGACUGUUGAUGGUGUGGCAUAGGUUGUUUUCCUGGAUGGGUGAGGGGAAGAAGAUGGUUCACCACUAGGGUGAGGAUCUACCGGUAGCCUUACACGUUCAGGGUGCAUGGCAAGCCGUUGGCGAUCUAAGCUAGGGCUUCACCGACUUCACUUAGUGUGUUCAGCGCUCGAGCGAAGUCAGGUAGCAGGUUCCGAGGGAGAAGCGGGUUCUCGCAUCGAAACUUGGUGUCCUGCUCAGCUUAUUCCCGCUCGCGUUCUUGGGUGUGGCGACGAUCGUGGUGUCAAGAAUUGCGGCGCUCACGGAGCGCUCUUUCGUCAGGGGUUUCCCCUACUUCAGAGGCCUCGUCCCGAGAGACGGGUUGAGCAGGAUCCCGUUCUCGGGCUUUGUGGUGACGCUAGAUGUUAUGGAGCCUAUUCCGACGUUGACGUGCCUCACGUUGCGUGGGCUCCUCCCCUAGUACAGUAGGAUCAUCGUCGGAGAUGGGUAUGUCCUUUAUUUUUUCCUGGAUGAAGAGGACAUUCGGGAAGAAAGAGCUUGGUGCGAUGUUUGUGCUUUGGCCAUCUCCUUUGAGAGCGGAGCAAUCGGAACGAUCGUCGGUCGUUUUCCCAUGGCUACGUCAGUGCUAGGGUUACCCGCUACUCUUUGUCGAGUGAUCCAAGUCCAUGCCCAAGUGGGUGACGUGGACAAUGUUGGGGCGAAGGCGAAGACACUACCCUUCGCUCUAGGCCUUCGCCACCCCGCUACACCAUCAGAGGCAAGAUGACGGCAUGGACCACCCUUCGCCCUCCUCACCGCAAGACGAAGGCCUACAACGAAGUCUUCCCAUCCCGCGUCCUCACCCAACCUGGAGGCCCACGUGGGAUUCGGCCCAUUGUAACAGGCCCCGCACGGAGAAGCGUGUUAUGGGCCCGAUUUGUAAUAGCUUUUCUGUAAUGACAGUCUGUAACCCUCUCUUAUGGGAAUAUUCUGGGGAUAAUCCAGGUGCCUGAGGGCAUAAACGUCCUUACAUCAAGACGUUGGGCACUCGAGCACCUAUAAAUACCCCCGUAUAGUGCCCUUGAGAGGCUAAAUUAUCAGAGCUAUUGCCAUCCCGAGUUAAACCUUGUUAGCACUCUCUCCAUUUCCCCGUUGGAUCAACUUGCCCAGGAGAGCAAGUUCCAACAUUUGGCGCCCACCGUUCGUGCUACGAACAAACCACCCGCGAUGGCACCCAAGAGAGCUAGCUCGAAGGCAGCCCCAUCCAUUGACGAAGCAGCGAAGGCAGCGCUGCUAGCCGAGAAAAAGGGCAAGGCCCUUGCAGACACAACCCACCAAGAAGCCUGCGAAGACGACGCCGUCAGCAAGAGACAGUGCAACGAUCAACCAACUCCCGAAGGCAGCCUCCGCACCUGCAGCUCCGGAGGACAGCCACAGGAACCACCCCUAGGCUUCGCUCCACUAGAGGGCGAGGACGCCACAGAAGACGGCGAAGUCAUCGGCAUUUCAGCAGAAGAACAGCUACAGUUGCGGGCCUUGCGCAUCAAGAACCGCAACCUCCAGAAGUAGAAAGAAAUCCUCGAGGCCAAGCGCCAACGUGACUCUGCGCAGGCCAAGGUGCGCCAGAUGAUAUGAGACGAUGAGCAGAGGGCUCAGGAAUUCGAGCAAGAGAUUGCGCUCAUGCAGCACGAAGGCCAACAUGAUCUGCAGCACGGCCCGCCCCUCCAACAGCGCGCGCUAGUCGGAGACCUAUUCAUUCCUCAACGCGGACCCUUCAUCCCCACGCCGUAGCAUUCCAAGGUAUCAACUACCUUGAUGAGCGGAGCCCCCUGGCGUCGCAACUGCAAGUGUCACCAUGGCCCGCCAACUUCAGGGCAGGGACCUACCCCAAGUACAACGGCAGCACCAAUCCAGCACAGUAAAUCAUGAGCUAUCAAGUCGUUGUCGCAUCAUCCGGAGGGGAUGACGCCACGAUGGCCAAGUCCUUUAUCAUCGCCCUCGAGGGUCCGGCCUUGACCUGGUACACCAGGUUGCCCCCAUUGUCCAUCGACUCCUGGAGAAGUCUCCGGGACAAAUUUCUGCUCAACUUCCAAGGGUACCGCCCAGACACCGAUGCCUUGGCCGAACUGUCACUCUGCAAGCAGCAGGAGAAAGAAACACUGCGAGAGUACUACCGCAAGUUCUUGACUCUCAAGUCACAACUGCCCUCGGUCGAUGACCAAAUUGCCAUACACUACGCCAUCAGUGGCCUUCGGGCUGGCGUCCUGCAUCAGGGACCCACCCAAAAACCUCCAAGAACUCUAUCAGUUGUUUGAAAAGUACGCUAGAUCCGAAGAGCUCCACCAGCGUAAGGUCGAGUCUCAAAGAAAGCCCAAGGACCCUCCGCAGUCCAGCCGAACAUGGACAAGACCUUCGCAGUCAGACUCCGGUCGGGACAGCCGCAGUCAGCAGCAGGUGCAUAAUAUUGCCAACCAGCACCCCGCUGGCGAAGCCCCUUGCUGUCAAGAAAAUCCCCCCCAGGGCCGUGGCAAUGGCUCGCAUGGUCGGGGCCGAGGACGGGCGCAGCAGCCGCGCAUAUUUUACUGCCUGUUUCACGGCGAAGACUGCGCGCACCCAACGAGGGAUUGCCCGGAAACGAAGGCCACCAGGGACAUGAUGUCUCGGGCACAACCCGUCGACAACCCAAGAGUUGUCGCGCACACAUAUCAACACCACCUCCCACAACCAUACAACCACGGCCCCGCCCAGCAUCUACCCAACCACGCAUACCAACACCACCAGGACGUACAAGUCGUACCACCCCCACUUCCGCCUCUGCACCCGCAUCAGCCAAACAUCCACCACCAAAAUCACCCCCAAGCACCAAAACUGGAAGACUUCGCUGAUCAGCCAUAUCGUGGAGUCAUUCACAUGAUCACUGGAGGGUCCAGUGUCGACUUCGACAUGAAGCGACAAAAGAGGGACCACUACCGAAGCAUCAAUCACGUCGUCAUCACCGGCCCAGUCGUGCAAACGAAGUGGUCCCAUGUGCCGCUGAACUUUGACUCCAGAGAUGUUGACCUGCGUAGCGCCCCCCACAUUGAUGCCAUGGUAAUCAACUGCAGUGUGGCAGGCUGGGACCUACACAAAGUCUUAGUUGACAACGGCAGCCAGGCGGACAUCAUCUUCCUCCACGCCUUCGACUGCAUGGGCAUCAGCCACAAUUUACUCAAGCCUUCGGAUAAUCCCCUAUAUGGCUUCGGUGGCAAGGGCACCUUCCCUGUGGGCAAGAUAGAGCUACCCCUGUCCUUCGGCGUAGCGCCCAAUGCGCGAAGCGAACAGGUCACCUUUGACAUCGUUGACAUGGUCUACCCCUACAACGCCAUAAUGGGUCAGGGCUCUAUCCACAAAUUUGAAGCAGCCAUCCACGGAUUAUACCUCUGCAUGAAAAUUCCUGGUCCGCAAGGCGUAAUAACGGUGUACGGAAACCAGCAGACUGCGCGUAACAUUGAGAGAGACUUCGUUCCCGGUCAACGAAACAUACACUACCUUACGACACAGCGCGAAGUCCCCGAGGCUGCCCGCCCAGCCGCCAACGAGCAUGAAACGACACAGCUGCAGAGCAACGACGGAACAAAGACAGUUCCCCUUGACCCGGCAACGCCCAAGCAAACAGUCAUCAUAAGCGAAGACCUGACUUCGCAAGACGAGGAGAAACUCAUCUCCUGUCUCUCUAGAAAUAAGGACGUCUUCGCCUGGUCUGCCCUUGACCUAGUCGGAGUCAGUCGCACCGUCAUCGAGCACAGUCUGGGCAUCGACCCUUCGGUGCGCCCAAAAAAGCAGUGGUUAUGCAAAAUGUCCGAUGAAAAAAUAGAAGCCGCCAAAGCCGAAGUACACCGCCUGCUGGAGGCCAAUUUCAUCGAGCCAGUCGCUUACCCUACGUGGCUCACCAACGUAGUCAUGGUACAAAAGAAGAGCAGCAAGUGGAGGAUGUGCAUUGACUUCACCAGUCUCAACAAGGCCUGCCCCAAAGAUAACUUCCCGCUGCCACGGAUCGACAAGAUUGUCGAUAGUGUGGCCGGAUGCAAAGUCAUGUCACUCCUCGACUGCUUCUCUGGCUACCACCAAAUAUAUAUGAAGGAGGAGGACAAGGCCAGUACCAGUUUCAUUACACCCUUCGGCACGUACUGCUUUAUCAGGAUGCCGGAGGGACUCAAGAACGCUGGGUCAACCUUCUCUCGCCUCAGCAAGACGGUGCUCGAGAGCCAAGUAGGCCGGAACAUCUUCAGGUAUGUGGACGACAUAGUCGUCGCCAGCAAAAAUAAGGCGGAUCACCUGGCCGACCUCGCAGAGACAUUCGCAAACAUGAGGGACGCACGACUUCGCCUCAACCCCGAGAAGUGCGUCUUCGGGGUCCGCCAGGGGAAGAUACUAGGCUACCUGGUGUCGCACCGCGGGAUCGAGGCCAACCCGACCAAGAUUCAGGCAAUAAUCAACAUGACACCCCCGCAGUCAGCCAGGGACGUCCAGCGUCUAACAGGCAGAUUAGCCGCUCUAAACAGAUUCAUCUCCAAGUCUGCCGAGCGGAGUCUACCUUUCCUCAAGACACUGCGUGGCGCGAAAGACUUUGCGUGGGGACCAGAACAGGCGGCAGCCUUCGCGUCACUCAAGCAGCACCUGUCAGACUUGGCUAUCCUCACCAGUCCAGACCCUUCGCUGCCGCUGCUGCUCUACAUCGCCACCUCACCACAUGCAGUUAGCGCAGCCCUAGUCCAAGAGCAAAACAGGGAGGGCACGACUCGGCAGUGUCCAGUAUACUACAUGUCUGAGGUCCUCACGGCCUCCAAGUGUAACAUGACCGAGUUGGAAAAAAUCUUCUACGCAGUUGUCAUGGCCUCACGCAAGCUGCGCCACUACUUCAAAGCAUUUAAGGUGCGGGUCACCUCGGACAGGGGACUGGGAGAGCUGUUCCGCUACCCGGAGGCAUCUGUCCGGAUCGCCAAAUGGGCAGCCGAGCUCUCUGGCUACCAUAUCACCUUUGAACCUAGGACAGCAAUCAAGUCGCAAGUCCUGGCAGACUUCAUCGUUGACUGGACAGGGCCAGUAACGUAGCAAGACGAGCCUGCAGAGGAAGUGUGGACCAUCCACUGCGACGGCGCAUGGUGCCAUGCGGGGCAGGCGCGGCUGCAGUCAUCACAUCACCCACAGGGGUCAAACACAGAUAUGCAGCACGCCUCAUCUUUGCUUUGGAGUCCGACAGAUGCACCAACAACGUAGCAGAAUACAAAGCUGUCAUCCUAGGUCUUCGCAAGCUAAGAGCGCUUGGUGUCACCACCUGCAUAAUCAAAACAGAUUCCAAAGUGGUGCCCGGCCAGGUUGAAAAAGAAUAUUCAGCAAAAGACCCCGCACCCAUGCAGUAUCUCACGGCUGUUCGCAGUCUUGAGAGACAAUUUAAGGGCUUUACCUUGCAGCAUGUGGACCGAGCCAAGAACGAGGAAGCCGACGCAUUGGCCAAAGCAGCCACCAGAGGCGAAGCCUUGCCCUCCGACGUGUUCUACCAUGUCAUCGGCACGCCAGCCGUCCGCAGUCCAGAGGGUCUACAAAUAACCAACAACACCGAGGGCCAUCGCAUAGUCAACCUCAACAUAACCGAAGAUUGGUGGGCCCCAAUAACCCUGUUCCUGCAAGGAUAUUACCAUCCAAGCGACGUCAACGAGGCCAAGCGCCUCAAGCACCGGAGCUGGGACUUCGCAAUCAUUGAGGGCUAGCUAUACAAGAAGGGGAUCAGUCAACCCAUGCUCAAAUGCGUCACCGAAGCUGAAGGCAUCCAGAUCAUACGCGAAGUCCACAGUGGAACUUGUGGCUCUCACUCGGGGCCUAGGGCCCUCGCUGCCAAGGUGAUCGACAAGGGUUCUACUGGCCCGCUAUAAUCUGCGCCGCAAAUCGGGUCACGAGGUCGUGUGAAGCCUACCAGAAGUUUUCUCCCCGAUCGGGCAACCCUUCGCAAUUCACAAAGUUGAUCGCCCACACAUGGCCACUUCAACGCUGGGGGCUAGACAUUGUCGGGCCACUACCCAUGGCCCCAGGGAACCUCAAGUUCACCUUCGUCGCAGUCGAGUAUUUUACCAAGUGGAUCAAGGCAAGGGCAGUAUCCACAAUAACGUCGAAGACUACCCAGAAAUUCUUCUGGCAAAAUAUUGUUUGCUGAUUCGGAGUCCCGUCUGAGCUCACAGUCGAUAAUGGCAAAUAGUUUGACAGCCAGGAUUUCAGGGACUUCUGCUUUUCCAUCGGCACCAAGCUUGCCUUCGCCUCAGUAUAUCACCUGCAAUCUAACGGCGUCGUCGAGCGUGCCAACGGCAAGAUUUUCACCGCGAUCAAGAAGAGGCUUCUCGACGACAGGAAGGGUAAAUGGGCCGACCAGCUACCUGAAGUAGUCUGGGCACUCAACACAACCGAAUGCCGGGCAACUGGAUUCACUCCUUUUCGACUACUAUAUGGAUCAGAGGCCAUAACCCCGCAAGAAAUAAAGCACGGGUCACCUCGAACAAGUGCAUCAGCCGUCCCCGACGUCGACGAACCAAAAUCCAAAGACCUCAUCGACGGAGACCGCGUCUUCGCCCUGCAGGCCCUCAACAAAUACCAAGCUCAAACGAAGGCCUGGCGCGACCACGCAGUCGUCCCAAGAGAAUUUAACGAAGGAGACCUCGUACUCGUCCGAACCACCCGGACAGAGUCACGGGGCAAGCUGGAGCCAAAGUGGGAAGGUCCAUUCAUCGUCAAGUCGAAGGCGUCCCCCAGCGCAUACAGGCUAACAACGCCAUCCGGCGAAGACCUAGACCAUUCCUGGAAUAUUGACAAUCUAUGCAAAUUUUUGUCUAAGUCUUCAGGGCCUGCGCACCCUUGUAAUUCAACAAACAACAUUAUUCAGGCCCGCACUCUUUUCCUCUCGGGGGGUGAGGUUUUUAACGAGGCAGAACCAUGUAAUAUAUCUGCGAGAAUCCCCCGCAAAAACUAAGAUGCAACAUGUCGAAAAAGACCGCAUCAACGGUCUUCGACAUUCGACUACUCCGAAGUCACCGCGAGAGGCAGCGCAGACUACCCUCGCGUGCGACACUCCGCGCAAAAGUCACCUAAGGGUGCAGCCGGAAUAGCACAACAAGUGCGCUCAUCAGUCUUUUAUCCAAGAGACACUCCGCGCAAAAAGUCGCCUAAGGGUGCAACCGGAAUAGCACAACAAGUGUGUUAAUCAGUCUUUUAUUCAAAAGACACUCCGCGCAAAAGUCGCCUAAGGGUGCAGCCGGAAUAGCUCAACAAGAGCGUUAUUCGAAGUCUUUUCUUCAAAAGACACUCCACACAAAAGUCGCCUAAGGGUGCAGCCGGAAUAGCUCAACAAGAGCGUUAUUCGAAGUCUUUUCUUUACAAGACAUUCCGAGCAAAAGUCGCCUAAGGGUGCAGCCGGAACAACACGACAGGAGCGUUAAUCGAAGUAUUUUAUUCAAAAGACAGCACAACAGUUACUUAAGCGCGCACCCAGAAUAACGUUAAUCGAAGUCUAUCAUUACAGAGAUACUCCGCACAAAGUCGCCCAUGUACGCAGCUGGAACAACACAAGUGUACGAAUACGGCCAACAGGCCACAUCACCAUUACAAUUACAUACACACGUUGAGGGUGCCUAUUACACAAACACGGCGAGGGCAUCGCCUGUUACAUUGGCUCAACCUUCGGAAUGAUACCCAUCUCCCUGUAAUUAAACAACAUUAUCCUCAAUUCCUCACCCUCAAAAAGCUCCUGAAGAUCCCCCUCGCCUAUGCCUGCCCCAAUCGGCGAGGACAACAAUUCUCGUUUACCAACCCCGUCUACCCGAAGUCGGCCACGCUCCAUCCCCAUGCGACGACGCCUAUCGCUCCGCGAAAAUUCACCCACACUCUGUUUUCCCAUCACCCUUCGCCGCCUACACCCAGUACUUGCACCAGGAAGAUCCUCAGCACCCUCCACACGCGGCGAAGUCUCCGCCGCAGCCACAUCCAACGCAACAAAGUAAUCUAAGCCUUCAUCUGAGGACUCCUCCAUCCAAGCAAACGAACUCCCAGACUCACCAUCAGACUCAAAACAUUCAGACAUAGAGCCAGGCACACUAUCAUCGGUGGGAACUGCAAUUGAAGUCUCCACCGCAAAAUCAGUAUUGUCAGUAGUGGUUGCUUGCGCAGGCCCAAAUGUCGGAACCUACGCAGCAACCGAGGUUUAGUAUCACACAGACAAAAGUUCACAUGCAAUCCCUAACCACUAUUCCUACACCUGCAAAGGCUCGGCCGCCGCCGCGGGGUCUUCGGUAGCUGGUUCGGCCACCGCCUUCGAGGCGUCCUCACACGUCGGCGCAGGGGCUGGUGCGGGGUCUUCGUCGGCUGCAGUCGGCGCAGGGGUCGACGAGGGGCCCUCGCCGGCAUCAGAUGGCAGCGCCAGAUCCACCUCCACGGCCUCGGGUAGCGCGCCGUCUAGACCACCAAGGUCCUCGACGCCUUCGGCAUGCGCCAUCUGCAGCAACAGCACACUCAUUCAACAAAAACACACAUACCUACACAUAUAACCACACAAAAAAAUAGCCUUUACCUGAUCUAUUGCCCGGUCGGACCGCUCCCGGACCGUCUCUCGGCCGUGCGGGCCCCACAUCCUGUCUAAGAGCGCCCCUGCCGACUGCUUCAGCACAGGGUCCUCGACCUUGAAGAUUUCACGUUCAAUGUUUUGUCCGACUGGUCGAAGACCUCGUAAUGCCUGCACCCCUCGCAGGACAAAGCAUUCACGGCCCCCUCGCAGGUGACGAGGGAGGCAAAGGACAUGAGACCAGUCACAAUGGUCGGGAGCACACCGAGCUCCUCCUGCAACCAUUCAAGAAAGCGAAGGCCCGCUUAUUGGCCGGGCGCUUCGAAGGCAGCGGUCCGCGCACCCAGCUCUCGGUACGCGUCCACAAACUGCGCAUGCGUCCGCUCGACCUCCGCGCGCGUCGAGGCCUCGGCCUUGUCCACGCAGUUGCGCAGGGCGUUGAGCCUCGCCUCCAGCUCCUCGGCGCGUUGGCGGGCGAUACUGCCCUCUGCCCGCGCCACUUUGGCCUCGGCUUGCGCAGCCUGCGCAUCAACGAUGGCCUUGUUCACCUCCCUCCUCUCCUCCACUAGCUGGCACCGGAGAUCGGCCUUCUCGGCCUCCAUAGCGGUCACCCUCUCCGUCAGCCUGCGGCUUUUGCUUUCCGCAGCCGUCUUCUCCUGAACAGCAUCCGCAUGCUGCGCCGGGAGAUGCUCAACCUCGGUAGCAAACUCGCGCAGUCAAAGCACCCGACGCGACGUGGUCGGCGAAGUCGGCCGCCUGCCACAUAAACCCAUGAGACUCGCAACCUCAUGAAAACAACGACACUCGAAGUCCAACACGACUUACAUGCUUCAACUGUUGUGCCAGCUGCUGCGACGCUUGCCUCAGCUGCUGGGAUACAGAGCCCGCCACAUCUUUAGCGACAGCGGCCGACAAAAUUUCGCCGCUCGCGCAAAAGGUGGGCCACGGGUCCUGCGUGGCACCCUUCGCUCCAACCGCCACAGUCGGCGAAGUGGUCGCCACCGGAGUCGGGACAACAGCCAGUUGCCCCACAUCCGUCCCUGCACCAUUAUAUUGGUUAAAGAUCGAGUUAAAAAAUUACCAACAAAAUAAUCCCCGACACAGAUGUCCAUGUCGAAGUCGGCAACGCACGCCGCCGCCUCGACCAUGCGCACCGGCGAAGGUAGUCUUCGCCCUUUCACGGGCCCGCCUGGGGUGGCUUGCUCGCGCCAGAAGCAGCAGCCUUUGCACCCGCCGACGCCUUGCUGUGCCCGGGGGCGGCCGGUUUCGCAGCCGGCACUGGUUUGCUACUACCAGGGGCAGCAGCCUUCGCGCUCCCCCGCGCCUUCUUCGCCUCGCGGAAAGGAUCCCCGAUCCUAACGACCGCCCGGCGUUUCUGCGCAGCGUCUUGAUGGUCCUUCUCCAUCACUGUCGAUACAACAGCAGCAAUAUUCCGUCCGUAAGGAAAAAUCUUCAAGUCAUGAACCAUGCGAGACGUAAAGAAGUCUUCACCAGCCGAGCGGGGGAUCGGAACAUUCUUGGGCCACCGACCCCCGGUAACCUUCAGCAUUCGCGCCGAAGACUCCCGGAGCUCGGGCGAAGACAUCCUUCCCCCGAGGGCUGCACAUGUCCCCAUCAACUCCACAGCAAAACUAUCAGAGACCCCCAGUCCCCCACUGCAGUACCUAUUUUCCUCUUCUUCGCGACUGGGGCAGCCUCCUGCGAAUGGCCUUCCUCAGUCACGGCCACUGGUCUUUUCCUGCGGCGGUCGACGGCCACGGCAGCAUCAUCCCCGGGAUAGCCGCUGUAUGGAAAGCGGUUCAGCUCGAAGACCCUAUUAAGGCGAACGUUGCAUCCACGGAUAUCCCAACUCCACAGAGCCUCCGUCCUCGGCACAUAACGCCCCACAAUACGCACAGCCCCUUCUUCCACCUCACGCACGAAUGCGGCGGGAUCCCGGCCAUGCAGAUCCAUCACGAAGGCAGGACUUCGCACUAGCUGCUCGCCCAGGGAGGGCAUCUGGCGAGGGCAUACUUCGCCCAACGCCCAGCCAUGCGCCAAAGGCCACACUCCGUAGCUGAUGAAUUCCUCAACUAAAUCGCGCCCGCCACUCAUGCGGGCAGCGCAACGAAAGGCCCCUUCAUCACUAUCAUCCUCCGCCACCUCAAACGGCGGGAACGCCACAUAGCAGUGCGAGCACAUCACGGCCGCCGGGAGUCCCGGGAGAUCUUCGACCUCGCCUCCCGCCACAUAAAACCAAUAAUCAUACCAAUUACCCCACUUGUUGCGGGCGCAAGGAACCAGCUCCACAACCUCCGCCGAAGUCUUGCCAGUCCUCGGUGUAAAGGUGCAUGACCCAAACUGCGCAAUCUUGUUUCCAUCUUUCCUCUUCUGCCAGUGCAAACAAUAAUUUUUGGCGAAGACCUCUACGGAGGGCUGACCGCCAUACGAAGUCACUGCCCAGACAUACUUCGCCAGGGCCACCACGGCAUUAGGUGUCAAUUGAUGAAUCUGCACGUCAAACCUCUGCAACACCUCCGCCACAAAACGAUGCGCAGGUAACCGAAGGCCCGCAGUAAAAAAUGCCUCGAACACAACAAUCUCACCCCCCGGCUCCGGAAUCUCCUCCUCCCCCGGAACUCGGCCAACUCCGUUCCCAAAAUACCCCAGCUGCUGCAUAUCUUGCACGCGAACCGAGGAGAUCCGCGAAACGCCGAACUCCACCGUGUGGCCCGGGUGCAGCUCUGCCGCCGCCAGAUCGCUCAUAGUUUCCUCAGACGAUGAUUUGUCCGGCGGCAUAUUCGCAAUGGAUGAAGAAGAAGACGGCAUGACUACGUACCGUCGGCGGCGGCGCGCAGUCUGCUUGACGCGGGCCAGAUCUCCGAUGAACAGGAACAAGGAGGGCAGGCGAGCGGGUGAACAAGUUCAAAUGCUAGGGUUUGGCGGCGCAUAGAAAGGUAAGAGAGCCUUAGUCGCCCCCCCCCUUUUUAUACACAUGACGCGACGCUUCGAGAAGCCCGCAGUCCAACAGUACCACGUCCGUCAACGGUCACAUCAAAAACCCCCGCGGAACCACUUCGAGCAAGGGCAGCGUCUCCACCAUCUAGCAACGUCUUCAGCACCAGAUGACUUAGUCGAACCGGUCCCUCGGAGGGCAAAUGUUGGGGCGAAGGCGAAGAUGCUACCCUUCGCUCCUGGCCUUCGCCACCCCGCUGCACCAUCGAAGGCAAGAUGACGGCAUGGACCACCCUCCACCCUCCUCACCGCAAGACGAAGGCCUACAACGAAGGCCUACAACGAAGUCUUCCCAUCCCGCGUCCUCACCAAACCUGGAGGCCCACGUGGGAUUCGGCCCAUUGUAACAGGCCCCGCACGGAGAAGCGUGUUACGAGCCCGAUUUGUAAUAGAUUUUCUAUAAUGACAGUCUGUAACCCUCUCUUAUGGGAAUAUUCUGGGGAUAAUCCAGGUGCCUGAGGGCAUAAACGUCCUUACAUCAAGACGUUGGGCACUCGUGCACCUAUAAAUACCCCCGUACAGUGCCCUUGAGAGGCUAGAUUAUCAGAGCUAUUGCCAUCCCGAGUUAAACAUUGUUAGCACUCUCUCCAUUUCCCUGUUGGAUCAACUUGCCCAGGAGAGCAAGUUCCAACAGAGAAAGGUGUCCACCACGACAGAGGUGCAGCCUCAAUCGGUCGAGUCAUAGGUGCCACAACGGUCCUGGGCUCACCCGCCACUGGCGCAAUUCUGCGCGGGGCAGAAGCCUGUCGAGAUCCUUCCGCCUUAGUGUUCCUCAACGCAUUUCUUGCUGGAGUUGGGUGAGGCAAGCCAACUCCCAAAUUUGGUGCCAUCGAAGAAAAUCUCUUCUCGGAUGGGUCCACAAUGCGGUGCAGGACGCCUUCCUGAUCUGUAAUGCAGGAGAGAGAUCCGAAGAAGAAAAUCUCUCCAGCAUUGAAGGUGAUCGGGAUGUUGAAGACAAUAGCCAUGGAGUCGUCGUAGAUCAAUGUCAGAUCCCCUACCAGGUGCGCCAGAUGUCGGUGUUUGUGUCCCGACUAUGCACCAUGGGGUUACCCACGUGAUGCUUUUGGGUAGGACGUGUCAUUGACUGCGACUCGAUGGUACGUGAGGGAGCACGUCGAACUUGCAUGAGGAUUUAUACAGGAUCGGGUCACUAGAAUGUGUAACACCCUACUUCCUGUUGAGGCUGUGUACUAGAAUUUCUCUGGAGUAUCAGGAUUACAAGUGAGUUGUGAUGGUGCUUAGUUGUUGUUGAUGAGGGCUGGUCUAUGAUGGGACGAGAUGAGAUGAUUUUGUACGGGUCCCCCCUUGACCUUAUAUACUCGACCAAAGAGUUAUCCCUUUACAAGUUGUGAUCACUAUCUAUUCUACCUAUCUCCUUCUUUAUCGCGACAUGUAGUCCUGCAUAUCCGAAGUUCGAUCGCUUCCUCAGUCGAGUUAACGCCGAACGUAUAACUCUUUGGGUAUGUGCAACUUCCUUACCCAAGAUAUCAGUGCCUCGGUCAGCUCAUAACUCGGAUGUCCAGUCUUUGUCUCCUUAGAUCAAGUUCAUCCAACCUGAUUGCGGCCUCAUGGUCCGUUCUGCAAAACAAAGAGGAGCCCAUCAGACAGCCCAUGAUACGUUUCUGUGUCUGUAAGGACACGGGGGAUAUCUAUCCCCCACAGGCUACGAAAACAAACUUGUGGCGUCACCCUUUUGCUUGUUGGCCUUGUAAUACUUAUAAUUAUCCCUAGUCUAGUCUAGUCUGGGACAUUGAAAAAGUCUAGUGCAUAUGCGGAUGAGAUAGUCAUCGCCUGUUGUGUUGUGUAUAAAAAUCCAGCAUGAGCUAGGUGUGGGGAGCACAACAAAAAUUAGCAUAGUUAGUCAUUAUAUCUAGCUAGCGAAAGACUCAAGAGAGAGGAAAGCAAUAUCACAAUCGCAGAUGCUUUAAGUUCCUCACCACCUAAUAUCUGCUGGCGUAGGGAACUUGUGGGCCCUAAGUUAGUAUCCUGGAACAAUAUGUUUCUUCACAUUGCUAAUAUUACCUUAACACAAGAGUCUGAUCCGUUCCACUGGAACUUAACACAAAAUGGAGUGUUCUCAGUGAAAUCGCUCUAUCUAGCUCUCAUUCGGAAGGAAGCUCCCAACGUCAAUAAAAAUAUGGAAGAUUAAGGCACCUUUAAAAAUUAAGGUCUUUCUUUGUUUGGAUCGUGGCUUCAUGGAAUACCUAACACUUGGCAAUCCAUAGUUGUUCUUGGAGUUGCAGCAUUGUCUUGGUCUAUCUGGCUAUGUAGAAACGAUUUAGUUUUUGAGAAGAAAAACUCAUGUUCUCAACAUUUGGCAAUCCAUAGUUCUUCUUGGAGUUGCAGCGUUGUCUUGGUCUAUCUGGCUAUGUAGAAACGAUUUAGUUUUUGAGAAGAAAAACUCAUGUUCUCCUUUGCAGGCUAUUUUUACAGCAGUCCAUUGGAUGCAUUCAUGGGCUAUCCUUCAGCGAGUGGAUUCACAGGACCUUGUUACGAAGGCAUCCCAUCUUUUGACACGAGUGGCUAUGGAUUUCUUCUCUCGGGCGCAUCUUUUGUCCACUAGUUCAUUUUCGAACUAAACGUGAUACAUAAAAAAGAACAAAGGGAGUAUUUAUUUUCGGCAUGCAUAUAUCAUUUGAUUGUAAUCACGGAACAGUAACUUGUGCAACGCCUACCAAGAAAGAAAGGAGGAACCAAUUAUGUUUUAAUCUCAAUCCAUGUGGAUCGAACGAGAUUGAGAAGCAUGUAUUUGAGCUUCUGCUAUGAUAAGGUAGUGACUGGCCAAAGGGACGAAUACCAGGUUUGAGCUACACUCCUAAUUGCCAUAACAAAAGACUUUGCCAUCAUAGAAUGAUAUUGUAUCUUCGUAUCUCGUCAUAAACUGCUUUGGAUUCGACAAACCAUCGGACUUUGGCAAUUGAUGUAGCCUGUACAUGGUGGUCAUGGUGUAGCUUGUAACACUGCAGCCAAGAGAGAACCACCAUCUUACAGAAAAUCAUCAAAGCAUUGCUCUUCAUGGUGAAGGUUGUUCUGACGGCAUGGUUCCUCUGGUUGCUCAACUUGUUACGUUAUAUUACGCAAUUGCUCUGAUGCUUCAUCAAUUAAUCCUCCUUGGAGAGAUUAAAUAAAGGAAGAAGAUUAAAGAAAUAAACAAUAAUCUAAGACAUUAGGGCAUAAAGAUGUGACAAAAUGAUUGUGUCUAGUCAUAUUACCCACCUUCAUCCUUUAUUGCAUAAAAGAUUCUAGUUAUACCUUCAUUCGGCUUUACAAAGCAGAGCUCGAAGCUAUCAUAUUACAGCUUUGAAGGCGGAGUGAUUUGAUUCUCCCUUGUUCAAAAGGCGAGAUCUGUGCAUGUCAUUGUGCCCCUAUUUAUAGUGACGAGGUAAAACUUCGUAUGAAAUUACAAACAUGAUCAUAGAUCUUAUUUUAUGACCACAUUUCUUAUUUAUAGAAAGGGUUGGAGGGACAAAAGACAGAAUUAACCAUAUCGAACCAUCUUCGUUCAGAAGUUGACAAUCUUCAAAGUAAGAAUGAUGAAAAGGAUGGCAUAAUAGAAUUUAAUUUGGCCAAGCGAUGCAGCGACGGGUAGUGGCAACUAUUGCUGGCACAACAUCCAUAUGGAUCAGUUCCCUGCAUACCGUUCGUUUGUGCUGGAAUUCACCUAGUAAUUAUUCCAGCCGAUCAAAAUGUAUAUAAAUUUCACAACCAAUAUAUCCGGCUAGGAACUGAUCUAGAUCCAGGUGACGGUUCCCUAGGAACUGAACAGGACCUGCAAUAUAUUCGGCUAGGAACUGAUCUAGAUCUAGGUGACGGUUCCCUAGGAACUGAACAGGACCUGAGGGGAUGAUGAUUCCAGUGCACAUCAACCCUGCUCCAUACAUUUGAGGGGUUGUUCAGUUUGAUGUUAAUCUAUGUGGAUUGGAUGGUAUUAAGGCCCUGUUCGGUUGUUUGGGAUUGGAGCCCCGGAUUAAUUCCUAGCCGAAUUACUACUCUAAUUUAUAUAGAUUUUGAUGAGCUGUAUUGAAUCUUGGUUUAUUCCGGUACAACCGAACAGGCCCUAAGUCGGUUUAAAUCCAUAGCAAGUCAAAAUCUAUCACAUUCCAUUCUAAUACACUUCAAUACACAUGUAAUUGAAAUAACCCGAACAAGGGCUGAGAAAUUACAGUUGGCGACCUAAGGGCUUGUUCGGUUUGAGGUGGAUCGAAGGGGAUUAAAUCUCCUCCUAUACAAAUUUGUAUGGGAGGGGAUUUAAUUCCCUCCAAUUCCCAUCAAUCCAUCCUUAACCGAACAAGCCCUAAGGGGUAUGAUGGGGAUCAGCUGCCAAGAAGUACGAACGAGACUGGCUGCUAGAUAAAGAUGGUCAUCGUAUCGUCGCGAUUCCAAGAGCAACGGCCCCUGGCAUGCAUGGCCCGUUCUCUCGUCGGACUUCACUGAUCGGUCAUUCUGUCGUGGUUCACGUGUUCCCUUAUUAAUAUUGCCAUUAUUGGAGGGAAAUAAAAGAAACAAGAAUAGUUUACUGAUAGCCAUCGCCUGUUGUGUAUAAAAAGCGAGCAUGGGAUAGGUUGGGGAGCAGAGCAAAGCGUAGUCAUCACCUAUCUAUAGAGAGAGAGAAGAGAGAAGAGAGAGAGAGGAAAUCUAGCAUGGAGAGUGGCAGCAAGAAGGUCGCAGCCUGUGUGUUGGCGCUGCUGCUUCUCCAGCUGAUGGUAGCUCCGACGACGGCGACGGCCCGCUUGCUGCAGCAGGCGGAUACCUCCCCCGUGUUUGGCCUGGACAUCAUCGCGAGGGAGUUUGGCCAUCCAGAUGGAGCCGUCCCCUGUUUUGAAUCCUGUGUCUUCGUACCAUGCAUUUCGUCAGUCGUGGGAUGCCGAUGCGAAAACAAUGUCUGCGUGAAAUAAACUCGUGACGCCGCUGCUACAGUCGGGACGAGGCCAUAUAUCUCUGAUCCCGUUACGUGUGAAGAACCAGCUCCAUCUUUGUAACAAAUUUGUGUUGGGAGAAACAGAAAGACGGUGGUGUUUAACUUAUUGUGAAAGGUGAUUUAAUAAUAAUAUAUAAUAAACGGGAUACGUUGGAUGUGGUGUACCCAAUCGCCUGCUCCUCGCGUCCUUUUGACAUAUUUGUUUUCGG